GUUUUCACUGUCCCCUACGUUGAUUGAUAGCACCCUUAGUAGUUGAAGUUGUUUCAAUGCAGCCAAUUCCUUCUCCUCUAUCUUGCUUUCCUCCGUUAUGUCUAAUUGCAGUACUCGAAGUUGAUUCAGUGCCACGACCUCACUAAGGUGACAAGCUUCUGUUGUUGCCGAACUCGGUAUCUUGAAUCCACUUUAAGAUGAGAAAGACCAGAGAGACCUUGUGGUAAGCAUGAAAAAGAUGGACAACCUCUAACAUCAAGAAUUGCCAAUCUUGGAAGUGUUGUGAUUGAUGUUGGUAGCCUUUUCAGUUCCUUGCAUUCUCUAAGGACCAGUAUUUGGAGGCCACGUAACUUCCUCACGGAGCCUGGAAUUUCUUCCAGGUUCGCAACAUCUCGUAGGUUUAAAUACGCUAGUUGCAUCAGUGAUGUGAUCCAUUGCCAUAGAUCAAGUAACCAGAUAUUGUCUAGCUUGACACAUGACAAAUCCAAGACCCUAAGAGUUUUGAUUUCAGCUAGAGCAAUUUUCCUGUUGAAGCCAGUGGAAUUUGUCGUAGUGAGAAGAAGUGCUCUUAGCUUUGAGUUCCCAGCCAAGGACUGGAAAGUUGUUUCCUUGGUGACCCCCAAGUGCCUCGAGUUAACGGUGGCUAUGAGCCUGCCUCUAUCAAAGUUACAAAACAUCUUGUCUUCUGCGACCAGAAUUGUCAUGUCCCUAACCAUGUCAGGCAUCUUGCAACUGUAAACUCUGCCAUCAAAGUUACUUCUUUGGACAGCUUCAACCAAGCACCUACUUACCAGUUCAGAUAAAUAAUUAAAAGCAACAUAUGUUGCAGUUUCUGUGUCAUCGCCACGAACCAAUCCUUCCCCUACCCACCAACGAACCAAGUGUUCCGCCUCAAUUUCAUGGUCACCUGGAUAGAUUGAGAAGCACAAUAUGCACUGUUUUAGAUGAGAAGGAAGCUCAUCAUAACUUAGCUGCAAAGAAGCCAUUACAGAGAUAUUGCUCACACAAUCCGAUACCAAUUUCUCUCGAAAAUUUUCGCAUAUCCUUGUCCACUCCCCGAGUGAUUGUGGCUUUGAUGAUAACAUCCCACCUGUGGUCUUGAUGGCUAGAGGAAGACCAUGGCAUUUGCGCACGAUCUCUCUUCCAACUUCUUCCAAUUGAGUAUUGCACUUCCCUUUAGUUGACAAAAAUGCAACUUUGCAAAACAACGACCAACUCUCUUCAUCAUCAAGCAAUCUUGGUCGAUGAAUUCUUGAUUCUGUGGCUCCCAUCCUCUUGACUACAUCCUCAUUUCUUGAUGUGAUUAUAAUACAACUAUUGUGCUCUUUAAACUUGGGUAAUCCACUUGAGAUCCUAUCCCACCAUCCAUCAUCAAAACUCCACACAUCAUCCAUGACAAUCAGGUACGACUUAUGUGAAAGCGCUACACGAAUUCUGUUUAGCAAGUCUCUUUUAUCAGUUCCACUAUCAUCUGCAUUCAGCUGUUUCAAAAUUCCCUUCAUCAUGGAAAGAUCAUCAUAAGUUUGAGAUACUGAAACCCAAACUUUCUUUUGAAAUCUCACAUUCACUUGUCUGUCAUUGUAGAUCUUUUGCACAAUUGUGGUUUUACCCAAACCACCCAUCCCUACAAUGCCAACGAGAUGUAAUGACUCGCUGUGAGAUAGGAUCCAUUCUUUGAUUUUUCUUGUAUCUUCUGAUAACUCCACAAUUAAAGUUUGAUCAAAAACGUGUGAGGUCCAUCUGCUGCUGAUAUGGUCACUUCUUGAUUGUUCAGUUAUUGGACCAACAAAGGCCCUAAGCUUCUGAUGCAUUGUCACUAUCUCCUUGUUGAGUUCUGUCAGUUUCUUUCGAGUGUUGUAUCUGAAAAAAAUCUCCCUCGGAGACGGAAAUAAGCAAGAAGGAUUCCCUUUCAUCCUCAGAUAGUCUUCACGAAUUUGGCAAUCCGUGAUCACAUUAUCUGCUUCAUAAAUUAGUUCAUCAAGUUUAGAUAAGGUUGACUUGAGAGACUCGUUGUUUCGUUUCAUCCUGUUUGCUUCAGUGAGAUACGAACGGAUGAGAUUCAGCUCUCUUCAUCUCCUCAAACUGACUUUCAAAUAGAAUAGCAUAUUGAGAAUGAAUAUUCACUUGUUUUGACAAGUCUUUUACGAUGAGCUCAGCUACAGCACUCGUGAUUGGGUCUCCCAUCUCUCAGCUGCAAAUUUAUACAAAUAGAAAAAGUGAUGAGCCCUCAUAGACACUAAAGGAAGUAAAUGUUUUCCUCUUUUUGGUAUAGUCAUCUGAUACAGAUUCUGUAUCAGUAGUUACUUCAUCUACAGACCAUUAUUUGCUGCCAUAUCAGUUAAUGUUAGAAGAGAGUUUAUGGUUGUAUAGUUACGGUCUUACAUGUAAAGUGUCCUGUACCCACGACUCAAUUUUCUCUAGGUUCAUUUAGUAGCCUGACUAAAUUAAUCCACAUUCUGUCAAACUCUCUGUAUAAUUCCCUCCUUGUGUUGCAAAGUGUUGGAUUAUUGGAAAUGACCAAGUCUAAGAAGGUCAUUUCUUGAUAUCUGAGUUGUAUAGAAUUUGAAAAUCUAAAGAAGCUAUUCUGAAGCUUUUAGUUUUAGUAAGUUAUAUAAUAUUGUUAUACUUAUCAAUUAAAUGAUAUACAUGAUAUGUCACUAAGACAAUUGCAUCCAUUAACAAAUGUUUUUAGCAGAAUCCAGAUUUCACUAUUAGAACUUAGAAGGUAGCCGGAUCAAAGUUUAAGCAAGACUGACACUGGAACUAACUAUGCAUGCUGGGUGUUGAUUUUUCAAACGGUAACUCAACUAAUAGUUAUUAUCUCGCAAAAUCAACUUUUUUCUUUCUUUCAAUUUCGUUCAAUAAAAGGAAGUGUCCUUUUGAGAUGACAACUGUCAUUUGAGUGACUAUAUGAGAAAUCAACUCUGUUUGUUACAGUGCUAUGGGACUGAACAUGUUUCCAAAGCAAGGGAAAAUAAUUGGUUGCGGAAACUAAACCAAAUUAUCGGAAAGAUGCUCUAUUCACUUUGCUUGUCUUACUGCCAAUAUUCUAAAGAUAUAAUAAGUGCGACCUGUGUGGAUACAUCGACUCAGGAUUUCACUUCAUCUCAUAUCUAUACCUGGACUGGGACAAAUGAUACACUGGUAUUUCAACGCUAGAUCUCUACCCCUCGAAAGCUCACUCACAAUCUAGGGCUCACUUAGGGCCAGAAAAAUAGGAGGCUCACUUAGGGCCAGAAAAAUAGGAUUCUUCAUACAAAGCCAACCGGGAACCUUCUUGCAAGGGGUUGUGCUUUGCUACUUACUUAGGUUUCCAUCUAUUGUUUUUAAAUACAUGGGAAUGAAUUCAUCGGUCAAACACGUCAUUUGUAUGCACCCGAACAUGUUCAUUCGGCAAGUUCAUCCUGAUUGGGAGCUUGGUUGGAUCGAAUUUGCAUUGCACAUAUGUUUUUUUAUAUACAUAAUAGAAAUCUUUAUUUCCCCUCUCUCUCUCUCGAUAGAAAUGAGAUUAUAGCGGAUACACACAUUAAUUAAUCAAAUUUGCCCGACAUAGAGGCGAUCAAGAAAACCGCAUACGUGAAUUCAUAACCUACAAAAUGGAAAGGGCCACUGGUUUACCUCUCCAGCGAAUCAAAUUGGCCAAAGGUGUGUGUCCAUGAGUGGGGCAUGGUAUCAUAUUCUAGCUCGCAGUUUCACUCUUGCAUCAUUUUUAGUCCCUUUCAAAAGGUCCUUCCUUUUGUAGAUCUUUAACUUCAAUUUUCCCGCAUGACAUGUUUAAUUAACACCACAACAUUAGAAAAUACUUUGGUACAUUCUAUAUAUCUAUAGUUUAAGACAACAAGAUUCAAAAGUCUUUUUUUUCUUUCUUGAAUUUCAUGCGAAGUCAAAAUCAGACAAACUAAUCGAAACGGAGGGAGUAUAUUAUUGUAACUUUUCAAGAUGAGUCGAGAGAUUUCUUACCUCAAUGUUAGAUGAUUAUAUGAUAACAAUUUUGAUCAGGUCUCACAAGUCCAGCAGUGUCACCGUAAAGCUCUUCAACAUACCUAAUAAGAAGUCCUGAAUUCAAAUAAAAUUUAAAUGGAAUUGAACAGAGAUAUAUAAAGAAUGUAACCCCUUUAGGGGAACUAAGUAUUAUGACUAUUAGGAUGUUUUGGUGUGCGUACGAGAGCAAAUAAUUUCAGGAUAAAAUAAUACGUUUGGGAUGAACUUUUUAAUGUUUGGUUGAUAUUAGUCUCGGGAUAAGUUAUUCCACACAUUUGGUGGUAUAAGUUAUCCCACCCUAAUUUAUCCUUGGAUAACAUUAUAAAAUGACAAAACUAUUCCAAAAUCUAUGAUUUUCAUUUCACACGCACACAUAUAUUUUUUUUAUGAAUACAUUAUACGUUAAAUUUAUUUGAAUAAUUAUUAUGUUUAUUUAUAUAUUUUAAUUUAUCUAAAAGAUAAUUAAAAUAUCGACCCCAUUAUUGAAUUACAUAUUUUAAAUUAAAUAGUUUUUUAAUCACCUGAAAAUUGAUAUUGUAUAUAUCAAUUAAAAUGAAUUUUAAUAUUCUAUAUUAUAUGAGUGAUAUGUGUUUAAAUAAAGUGACAUAAACAAUAAAUCCUCUUUUAUUUUAACAAACUUAAGUUGGGAGUUUUUAUUUCAAACUAAAUAAGAUGUAGUAAGAUUUUUUUUUAAACACACACGACAUAAUCUUGGGAAGGCACACGCAAAAAAAUUAAAGUUAAAUAAGAUGAAAAUUUUAUUUUUGAAAUACACACGAUAUAAUCAUGAAAAUGAAUACACAAAAAAAUGAAGCUAAAUAAGAUGAAAGUUUUAUUUUUAAGAAUAAAUAGCUUGAAAAGAAAUAUAUAUAUAUAUAUAUAUAUAUAUAUAUAAAAGUUAAAUAAGAUGGAGGGUAUUUAAGUAAUCAAUUAUUUUAUUCUUAGAAAUUAUACCAUGCAUAUUACUUUGAAUAUAACAAACCAAACACUCAAUAAAAAAAAAAAUGCCACCAUAACUAGUCCCAAUAUAACUUAUCCCAUCAUAACUUAUCAUAUCAUAACUAAUCCCAUCAUAGCUGCAUUCCCAACCAAGCUACCCCUUAAAAGAAAAAUCCUAUGACACAUUUUUCGUCUACUAUGGCAUGAUUUAAUAUCAUAUAUAUAUUUUUAAAUAGUUAGUGUGAUUUAAUUACAAUAGAAUCAAUAACAAUACCAAGUACAAUUCCACAAGUAGAGUAUGUGGAGGGUAAUGUGUACCCACCCUUACCGGCCAAUUACCCCUGCCUUGUGAAGGUACUUGGAGAGGCUAUAUCCGAUAGACCACCAGCUUGAGUAAGCAUAUCAAAUCAAGCAUGUAAAACAAAUUCAGAAGCAAAGAGGUUGUAUUGAUCGACAACAAUUAAGAGAACAAGUAACAAUAACAAACAACACGAUAACUGAAGCAACGGAAACAGAAGAUACUGCUAAAAUUGAAGAAAAGUAUGGCAUGUUAAAGAGCAACAUUAAAACAAUCUGAAACAAUCAAACAUAGUAUACGAAUGGAUAAAGGAAUAUUUACCUUAAUCUAGUGAUUACAAAUCUAAAAUUCAGAAUAAAAAGAAAGGUUGUGCUCUUUAAAACUUGGGAAGUGCCUAUUUAUGAGAAGGGGAGGAAAACUUAUAAAACAAGACUAAGGUCCCUUUUCUCCUUCAAAAUGUAUCAAAAUGAUAAAUAGAAAGUACUUACUAUUACCAAUGCUAUUUUAGUUAUACGACCUUUUCUUUCAAAAGUGAUCAAAAAGCAAAUAAAACGCAUGAGAUUUUUAUAGGGUCAUUUUCUUUUAAUUUGAGACAGCUAGAAAUUUCUCCAUACGUUUAAGAUUUGUCUUAUUUGCAAUUCAUUUUUAAUAGACAUAAUUAUCGGUAAUAAUUUUUCUAUAUCAUAAAGGUAGGAAUAAGGUUUGCGUAUAUUCUAUCCUCUUCGAACUUCACUUAUAGGAUUACACAAAAUAUAUUAUUGUUGUUCUAAGUCAAAAUUGCUCAUUGUGAGGUUACAGAUUCGAGCCACUAAUUUUUUGCUUAGGAUAAGCUGCCUAUGUAAGAUCUCUUCUUCAGAGACUCUUAAGGUGAAUUUCUUCUCAUAAUCUUAUUUCAUAAAAGAAAUAAAACAUAAGCAUGUUCUUUAACUUGAUUCCUUGAUUCAACUGACAUCUAUGCCCUUCAACUUUAGAUAUGUAUAAGUAGAUACUUAAAUUUGUAUAGAAUUGCAUAAGUAGAUACAUGCAUCCUACAUGACAUUUACAUGUCAAUCUCACGCAAAUUGCCACGUAGAUGUCACCUAAAAUGUGUUUAUAUCUACUUGUUCGACUUUAUAUAAAUCUAUUAUACCUAUUAAUCCGCGCACCCCCCUCCAAAUGGUAUCAGAGCUAAGUAAUUUAAAAAGUACGGAAGAGAUAUAUGUUAGAAGAGUUGUUAGAAUUAAAAUAGAUUUAGAGUUAAAACAAUUUACUUAUAAUUAAAUUAAUUAUGCGAAGACCAUUUAAAAAUAGAGAAGCUUUUAGAAAAAUUAAAGAAUCUUUAAUUAGUAAUUAUUCAGAAUAUAUAAGUCUAAAUAAAACAAAAGAAAAUCCACAAAAACUAGCCUAUUUAAUUACAUUAAUAUCUAGUAUUGAAUCAAAAUUAAUAACACAUUUAAAAUCUAGAAGAAUGAAACAUAUACCACUUAAUUAUAAUAAAAUUAGAUUUAGAUAUCCACCGAGAUAUUAUAAACAUAAUUUAAAAUGAAUAAAAUACAACGAUAUAAAGAAUUAAAACAAAUUAUCUCUGAAAAACGAAAAGAAUUAAAAAUGAGAAUAGAAAGACUAAAUUAUAAUAUAUUUGCCGGAGUUAGUAAAAAUUCAAUAAAUACACAAAAAGAUGAAAUAUCAAAAUUAGAAUCACAAAUAGAUAGUUUAGAAUAUGUAUAUCAACAUGACCUAUUCACAAUAAAAUGAAUAAAGAAGAAUUUAUAAUAGAUGAAAAAAUAUAUGAAAACUACGAAGGAUCAAAAAUAAAAAUAGUAUUUUCUAAUCUAGGACGAAGAUAUAAGAAAAUAGGUGAACAUUUAUAUCUAAUGUUAGAAAAAGAAGAAUUAAAAUUAGAAGAUAAAUUAACAGCAAUGGUAAGAAUAGAAAAAGAAAAUGAAGAGAUAGAUAGGAAAAAAGAAAUAGAAAAAAUAAAACAACAAACUACGGAAGAAAUACGAAAAAUAGAAGAAACCAAAAAUAGUAGAAUUGCUGAAUUAGAAAAAGAAUUACAAAUGUUAAAAGAACUGUAUGAACAAAGACAAAAAGAAAAAGAAGAAAAAGAUAGAGAACAGAAAUUACUAAAUGAGAUAAAUCAAUUUAAGGAAAAAUUAGAAAUAAAAAAUGAAGAAUUAGAAAUAAAUAAUAUAGAUAUUGAAGAGACAGAUAAUUAUGAGUCCGAAGAUAGUGAAACAUACACAGAAAUAUUAACAAAUACAAAAAAUUUAGAAAUCAAUGAAGAACAAAAAAUUAAUGAGGAAAACUUAGAAAAUACCCACACAGAAAUAAAUACUCUUGAUAAAAAAGAAAAUGAAAAUAUAAUACCUAAAACAACAGAAAUAAGAAAACCUAUAUACCAUAAGAAUAAGUUUAAAAAAUAUAAUGAAUAUGAUAAAUGGAUACCAAAACAAAUAGUGAAUAAAAAUUAUAACUUUUUAGAUCUAGACUGUGUAAUAGAUACAGAAAAAACAAUACAAUUAUGGAUAGGAUAUAUGACAAAACAAUUAUUAGAUAAUAAUAUAAAUAUAACAGAUGCACCGGAAUAUAUAGAAAAAACACUAAUAGGAUCAGUAAAACUAUGGUUUGCAAAUCUAACCGAAAAUAGCAAAAAAGUAUUAAGAACUAAUAAACCUAUAGAAGGAACAUCAUCGACAACAACUAAACUAACACCUAUAGAAUUAUUAAAAAAAUAUGAAACAGCUAUAAAAGAUGAAUUUGGUAGUACGACAACAAUCGAAGAAGAACAAAAUGAAGAAAAAGAUACAAAUAGAAAUUUAAUGUUAAAAUUAGCAAUAUGUAAUAUGUGUUAUAUAGAUGAAUAUACUUGCGCAUUUAAAGAAUAUUAUUACAAAGGAGCAUAUAGUAUAGAAGAAAGUAAAGAAAUAAGAAAAUUAUAUUUUAAUAAAUUACCCGAGCCAUUUAGUUCGAAAAUAAUAAAAAGUUGGGAAGAAGCAAAAAUAGUAGAUACGUUAGGAGCAAGAAUAAAAUAUUUACAACAAUGGUAUAGAAACUUAUGUGAAAAAUAUAGAGAAGAAUUAAAAAUGGAAAAAACAUUAAUAAGAAAUUUAGCUUGUUGCAAAAAUAAAAUAGCACCCCAAUUUGGAUGCGAAGAAAGAUAUUAUAAGAAAAGAAAAAGACAUAAGAAAUAUAAGAAAUAUAAAAAAUCAAAAUAUAAAUAUAAAAAACCAAGAAAAAGAUACUAUGUAAAAAAUUAUAAACAUAAAAGACCAUAUAGAAAAAAGAAAUCUAUAAAAGAAUGUACUUGUUAUAAUUGUGGAAAGUUAGGACAUUUAGCUAGAGAUUGUAAAUUACCUAAAAAUCCAAAAAAUAAACAAAUAUCAGAAAUAAAAAUAGAAAAUACCGAAUACAUGCAGAUAGAUUAUAUAGAUUAUGAAUUAGAAAGUGAAGAUAGUAUAUAUGAAAUUUCAGAAAACGAAACAGAUAAUGAAAUAGAUAGCGAAAUAGAUGAAUCAAAUGACUGAAGAAGAUAUAAAAAUAAUAACAAAGGAAGAAUAUUUAAAUGAUGAAGGAACGGAACAAAAAAUAAUAUUUGACAGUAAUAUAUUUGAUGAAAUAAAAGGAAAAGAAUUAGAUUUAAGUGUAGACAAAAUAUUUAAAAUACCAACAAUAAAAAAUAUUUUUACUAGGAAAAAAGAUGAAUAUUAUGUAGUAUGCCAAAAAGAACAUGUAAUAGAUUGCAGAUAUGCAAAAGGAAAAGCUAGUAUACCACUAGUAACAAAAAGAAUAAUUAAUAAAGAAAUAAAUGAUAUAAAAAGUAAAGGAGAUCCAAUAAAAUAUGUACACCUUGGAGGUACAGAGAUAUUAAUAAAAGCAUGUUUUAGAGAAGGAAUAGAUACACCAAUAGAAUUAUAUUUAGCAGACGAUAGAAUUAUAAAACCUAUAGAAAAAAGCAUAAUAACUGCCGUAAAAGGAAAUCUAAUAUACCAAAAAUUUAAAUUUAUAAUAAGUGCAAAUUAUUCAGUAGCAGUAACAGAUAGGAAUAUAGAUAAAUCAUUAGUAUUAUAUUGGAAAAUAUCAGGAAUAGAGUUAACCCCAGGAAGUAAAAUAUUUACAGCAAGAUGUAAAAACCUAUAUGUAUUAACAACAAAACAUAAAAUAACAGGAAAAAAUAAGAUUAACAAAAUACAAAUAGAAAGCCCAUUCGAACAAAUAGUAAAAACAAUAGAUUAUAAUGAUUAUACCUAUAGAGACAUAGAUACAGAAGAAAAUUUAGAAAUAGUAAAUGAUAGAAUAAGUACAACGAAAAGAAUAGCUAAUGAAAAGCCAGAAUCAUCAAGCUCAUCAAAAAGAACAAGUUAUGAAACAAACUCAAUAAGUAAUUUAAACCAAUAUUACAUAACGGGAAAAAUAAAUGAAAAAGAAUAUUUAAUACUUUUGAACACAGGACAAGAAGAAAAUUAUAUAGCAAAAUAUCUAGUAAAAAAUGAAGAAAUAAAAACCGACAAUAAUAUAUGCCCAGACUUACCAAGAAGUUUAAUAAAUAAUAAAAAUCUAGCAGAAAAAGAAAUAAUAUUAGGAGUUAGAAAAAUAAAAAUAGAAUUCGAAGUAAAAGAAGAAAUGCAAAAAGCAGAUAUAAUAUUAGGAAUAAAAUGGUUAGAACAAGUAAAACCAUAUAAUAUAGAACAUACACAAUUAACCUUAACAUAUAACCAAGAAAAGUUAUUCUUAAAAAGAGCCUUAACAUGAAAUGAAGAUACAUGUAUUAAUGAAGAUAGUAGUAGAAGGAUAUUACAGUAGAUAUUAUACGCCUAUGAUAGAUACAGGAGCAGAAGCUAAUUUAUGUAGAUAUAAUUGCUUACCAGAAAGCAAAUGGGAUAAACUAAAAACACCAAUAAUAGUUAAAGGAUUUAAUAAUGAAGGAAGCUUAAUUACUUAUAAAGCUAGGAAUGUAAAAAUACAAGUAUGGGAUAAGAUAUUAACAAUAGAAGAAAUUUAUAACUAUGAAUUAACAUCAAAAGAUAUACUUUUAGGAAUGCCAUUUUUAGAUAAAUUAUACCCACAUAUAAUAACUAAAACAGACUGGUGGUUUACAACACCAUGCAAACAAAAAGUAAGAGCAAAAAGAGUUAAUAAUAAAAUAAGAAAGAAAACUGAUUGGAUAAAAGGAAGUGAAAAAAUUACACAAAAGUUAGAAAAUAUAAACAAUACUGAAGAUACAGUAGAACUAGUAGUAUUUUCGAUAAAUAAAACAGAAAUAACUAUAUUUUCAAUAAAUAAAAUAGAAAUAAUUCAGAAAAAAUUAGAACAAUUAUAUAGUGAAGAUCCAUUAAAAGGAUGGGAAAAACACAAAACUACUAUAAAAAUUGAAUUAAUAGAUAAGAAUAGCAUAAUAACACAAAAACCAUUAACAUAUAAUUUUGAUGAUUUAAAAGAAUUUAAAAUGCACAUAGAUGAAUUAUUAGAAAAACAAUAUAUACAAAAAAGUAAUAGUAAACAUAAUAGUCCAGCAUUUAUAGUAAAUAAACAUAGUGAACAAAAAAGAGGAAAAAGUAGGAUGGUUAUUGACUAUAGAAAUUUAAAUGCAAAAACUAUAACAUAUAAUUAUCCGAUACCAAAUAAGAUAUUAAAAAUAAGACAAAUCCAAGGAUAUAAUUAUUUUAGCAAAUUUGAUUGUAAAUCAGGAUUUUACCACCUAAAGCUAGAAGAAGAAUCUAAAGAAUUAACCGCAUUUACGGUACCACAAGGAUUUUAUGAAUGGAACGUGUUACCAUUUGGAUAUAAAAAUGCACCAGGUAGAUAUCAACAUUUUAUGGAUAAUUAUUUUAAACAAUUAUCUAAUUGUAUAGUAUACAUAGAUGAUAUAUUAUUAUACACCAAAACCAAAGAAGAACAUUUAAAAUUAUUAGAACAAUUCACAGAUAUAAUAGAAAAAUCAGGAAUAAGUCUAAGCAAAAAGAAAGCUGAAAUUAUGAAAAACCAGAUAGAAUUUUUAGGAAUACAAAUAGAUAAAAGUGGAGUAAAAAUGCAACAACAUAUAGUACAAAAAAUAAUAAAUUCGAAAGAAGAAUUAGAUACAAAAAAGAAAUUACAAUCAUUUUUAGGAUUAGUAAACCAAGUAAGAGAAUAUAUUCCAAAAUUAGCAGAAACCUUAAAACCACUGCAGAAAAAAUUAAAAAAGGAUAUAGAAUAUAAUUAUGAUGAAAAAGAUAAAAAACAAGUUCAAAAAAUAAAAUUACUUUGUAGAGAAUUACCAAAAUUGCAAUUUCCAGAUGAAAAUAGAAAAUUUAUAUAUAUAGUAGAAGCAGAUGCAAGUGAAUAUAGUUACGGAGGAGUACUUAAAUAUCGAUAUGAAGCAGAAAAAAUAGAACACCAUUGUAGAUACUACUCAGGUACGUUCAACGAGACAGAAAUAAAAUGGGAAAUAAAUAGGAAAGAAUUAUGUUCAUUAUAUAAAUGUUUAUUAGCAUUUGAGCCAUAUAUUGUAUAUAACAAAUUUAUUGUACGAACAGAUAAUACACAGGUACGCUGGUGGUUAACAAAGAAAAUACAAAAUUCAGUUACAACAAAAGAGAUUCGAAGACUAGUUUUAAAUAUAUUAAAUUUCACAUUUACAAUUGAAGUGAUCAGUACUAACAAAAAUGUUAUUGCAGAUUACAUAUCAAGACAAAGCUACACAGACUGAAAUAGUAGAGGAAGAUACUCUAGAAAAAAUACUUAACACCCUAACUACGCUUUCAAUGAAAGUGGACAGUAUGGGUAAUGAGAUAGAAAAGCUAAAGACUAAUGAAGAUAAACUGAAGUCUAUAGCUACAAAUCAGCUAACUCAGCAAUGUGCAGAGCUAUGUCGAUCGAAAGACAUUAAAAAUCCAGAGCUAGAAGGAGACGUUGGGACACUCCAUAAAACCCAUAACAUUUAUCAAUCUACUUCUGCAGGUACAAGCAAAGGAGUUAAUAGACCAAGAUACCAGAAUGUAAAUAUGAACAAAAUAUUUGAAAAACCAUUUACCCCAAAAGCACAAAAAGACCAUUUAUUCAUACCCCCACAAGUUAACACAUACCGAGACAGCCUAAACCAAGACAAGAAAAUAUACAACUACACAGCCCAAAAAUACAUAGAAAAUAUAUAUAGAGUCCAAACCUUUCUAAACCAUAACCCCAGAGCUACAAAUAUCCAAGAACCAAAUACCAAUUAUAUAACCCAAAAACUACAAGGAUACAAUAAACUGAUAGCACUACCCAAAACUAACCCAAGCCUAGUUAAAACUUGUUUUGACUAUGGACUACUAAAUACCAUAUACACCCAAGACGGAGAAGAGCUAACAGCUAUGGAGGAAUUAUACAAGAUAUUCACUACCUACAAAAGAAUAACAAAAGGAAAUUUAUUUUAUAUAAAGUGUUAUACUGCACCAGCAGAGAUAUUAUAUGACGAAAUAAAACCAGUUAUACAAGUUGUAAAGAUAGGAUUAACAAGAGAUAUGAUUAUACCAGAAGAUAUUUCGCAACAACCGGAGAUACCUAGAAUCGAGAUACCAGAUUUUUAUGCAAAUAAAAGACUUAUUGGACUAGCUACGAUCAUUCAAGAACUAGCAAAUAACUAUGCUAACGGAAACCCAAUAUGGAGCUACUAUUCAAGAGAUCACCAAAUGAUAUAUUCAAAUUCAAAAGAGCUACGACAAGCAGAUAUGGAAGACGUAAGACAAUGGAUACUGACGCUACUUAACCCAGAAAAAAAAAUCUACCGCGCGAGCAAUGAAAAAGGGAUUUAUUUCAGACGGACUGCUAACAAGAUACUGUAAGAUAAUCGGACAUAAAUAUCCAGACCACCAAUGUUCGAGGUGCAAUGGAGAAGAUAAUAUUAUUCCAGAGGUACAUCUAGAAUAAAGAAGACAAAAUGCCCGCUGGAAAGAUAAGGAUAAAGAUAUGAUAAAGAGCAAUAAUGGAGCAGAUACAGAGCAAUACUGGAGCAGAUAAAGAGCAAUAAUAGAGCAGAUAAAGAACAAUAAUGGAGCAGAUACGACAACGGAAGAUAUUUUGACUUAUUGUACAAAAUUUUCUUACGGUACAAUAAUGUAAAGCAAUAAUUGCUUUUCUUACUUUUCUUACUUACAUUUAUGACUUUAGAGUAGGGUAGGCUAGAAGGCCACCAUUUUUGACUUUUUAGUUUUAGUUUUAGAAACUAAGAAACAUGUGUAAAUUAAACUUUUUCGUUCUAUAUAAGUACCUGAGUAGUAUCUACAAUGGUGUUCUAUUCUUUUUGCUUCAUAUCGAUAUUUAAGUACUCCUCCGUAACUAUAUUCACUUGCAUCUGCUUCUACUAUAUAUAUGAAUUUUCUAUUUUCAUCUGGAAAUUGUAAUUUGGGUAAUUCUCUACAAAGUAAUUUUAUUUUUUGAGCAUAACAUAUUGUACUAAAUUAACCUUUCUCAAACUUACCCACCACUCCAUUCACAAAAUGAAAUUUCGUCUGAUCAACCAAUAUGCUACUAUUACUGAUUUUGUACCUUCUAGGUUUAACCAAGGCACUAUUGCCUAACUAUCAUGUAACGACACAUUUUAUUAUUAAUGAAAUAUCCCCAUUUACCACAAAAAUAAACCUAAGAAUUUGUUAAAUAAAUUCAAAAUAUAAUAUAUUAAUAAAUAAAAAUUAUAUUUAUAUUGAGUAAUUUGUUAAUGAAAAAAUAUAUUAUCAUAAAAAUAAUGAAUAGUAAAGGUUGUGAAUGUCAUUAAAAAUUUUGUGAAUAUACACAAACGUGAAACGUGAUUUAUAAAAGAGGAUUUAAGGGGGAUAUUUUGUUGUUUUACAUAUUUUAUUUCAGAAUAAGUUAUCUCGAUUAUUUUUUAUUUAAAAAAGCAACCACAUGUGAUCACUUUUUUAUUUUUAAAUAUCAAAAUAAAUAUUUCAAUAAUUUUUAUAUUACUUAGUAUAUAUUUUAAAAAUUAAAAUUAAAAAAAAAUACCAAAACCGACCACUUGUGGUCGGUUUUAGUGAAAAAAAAAUUAACUAAAAAAUACUUUUAAAAAUCGACCACUUGUGGUCGGUUUUAAAUUAAAAUAAAAAGAAAAUAAUUUUUAAAAAGUGACCACAUAUGAUCAUUUUUAAUUUAAAUAAUGUUAAUAAAUAUUUUAAAAAAUCAACCACAUGUGGUUGGUUUUGGAAUUAAAAAUUUUAAAAAACCAACCACAUGUGGUUGGUUUUGGAAUUAAAAAAAGGAAAAAAGUAAAUAAUUAUUUUUAAAAAAUAAUUAUAUAAUAUUAUAUUAACCUUAUGUAAUCUAAUUACUGUUAUAGUAAAAGUAAUGUAUUAGAUUAAAUAUAUAAUAUAAUAUAUUUACUGGAUUACAAGAUAAUCUAAUAUAUUAUUUUUUAAAAUUAUACUGAUUACACGUAGUCAAUAACCAAUAUAAUAAUAAUAAAAAUCAAUCAAUCUAACGUGAAAAAAAUUUCACUAAAAAAUAUAUCAAAUAUAAUAUCCAAAUUACGUACAACAUAAUCUUUGUCUUUUACUUAUGUUUCAAUAUAUAAAAUAAAUAUUUUCCUUUAUACAUACGUUAAAUGACGUUAAACAUACAUAAUCUUUAUAUAAUAAAUAUGUGUGUAUAUAUAUAUAUAUAUCAUACCGUUGGGAUAGACCAUUGAGAACUGUUGUAUGCGUAUUUGAAAGUUGAAAACGGAUGUUUAUAGUACGUAUUUGAAAGGUGAUGUUUAUAGUAGGUAUUUGCAGUCAUAAUAAUGUAAUAUAUAACCGAUAAUUCAUUAGAAUAUAAUGAACGUGUUCUAUUAUAAGGUAAUUAUACUUGUGGAUGUGAUAUAUAUAGUACGAAUUGAAGAGUUUAUAUAUAUAUAUAUAUAUAUAUAUUUAGAUAUUUAUAUAUGAUGUAGUGAUCCAUUGAUGAACGAUGUAGUCAAAACCUAGUUUAUUAAGCUAAUCAAAUAUAAUAAAUCGAUCACUCAUCUGAGUAUGUAUAAGAAAUACAUCGCAUUAUUUUAUUGAAUAAUACUAUACUUGUGUACUUAUGUAUGAGAUAUAUAUAGUACGUAUUUAGAACUUGAUAUAGUCGAUAGUAUGUACAUGUGUGUGUAUGUAUAGAUAUAUAGAUAUAUAUAGUAUUUACAUAUUAUACAGUGAAUGUAUAUUAAUGACAUAAGAUAAUGUAAUCUAUAAUUCAUCUGAGUAUAUGUGAAAUACGUUGUAUAUUAUUAUGGGGUAGUAAAAUCGUGUAUGUGAUGUUUAUAGUACAUAUUUUAAAUUUGAUAGAUAAUUGAAUAUACGUAUAUAUAUACGUAUAUAUCAUGUAGUGACAUAUGUAAUAAUCGAAAUCUAGAUAACUGAAUGUAUAUAUCAAAAUAGUUUAAAUAAUACGUUGAUAUAUAUCAAACUAUUGAGGAAGUAGAUAUACUAUUUUGGGUUAAUGUAGACACGCGUAUGUUUUUGAAAUUGUAAUAACGUAAGACUAGUAUUACGAGGUAUAUGAGAGGGGGAGGAAGGAAGUAGGGGAGCGGGAGACACAAAUUUGAACGACCGUAAAUUAAUGUAACACAAAUAAUCGAUAAUUUAUUUGAUUAACAUGUUGUUUUACGAGCGAGGUAUAUAUAUAUAUAAUAUCGUAAUUUGCAAAAUUCAUUGUUAUUAUUAUAUUAUUAGGAAAAUAUACUACUCCUGCUAAUGUGUUGAUAAAAUAACCAACUAUCUGAUUUGUACAUAUACGCAUUGAGUUAAUAUGAUUAUAACAUAACUAAUUAUAUGAUUUAAACUUUUUAUUAAAAUUGAGCACAUGUGAUUGUUUUUUGAUAAUAACUAUUAUAAAACUAAAUCGAACACUUAUAUUUUACUUUGUGAUCAUUUUUGUAAAAUUUUAAUUAACUAAUUAAUUGAUUGAUUAAUAUUUUUUAACUAAUUUAUAAAAAAAUAUAUUUUAAGUAAUUAAUUUUUUUAAAAAUAUUUUAUGAAAACCGACCACGAGUGGUUGGUUUUUUGGAAUUUUUUUUGAAAAACCGACCACUCAUAAAAUAUUUUAAAAAAUUUAAUUUCUUAAAACCCCAACCCGAUCCGACCCACCCUUUUUUUUACUCCCCAAAUCAGAACCCCCUCCCUCCCCCACUUCGGAAACAAAUACACACUCACACAAAUUCUCCAAAUCAAAGUCACACUCUAAAUCCUCAAAUCUACUGCCGUCUGCCGCCGUUUUCCGCCGCCCCCAGCUCCAGUAAGUUUCAAAAACUUCAACUCUAUGUUUUUCUUGUUAGAUACUAGCUAAAGGUUUAAGAAUAUAAUGCUUUGAUACUAAUUUUAGUUAGCUCAAAGUAAAAAAAUUAUUUGUUAAAAUUAUUUGUUCUAAAGCAUUUGUUGUAGUUAUUAUGCUUCAUUACAUAAAUUUAGUUAGUUCAAAGUAAAAAAAGUAAUGGAAAUUUUCAUUUAGUUAGUUCAAGAUUCAAUUUUAGUUAGUUCAAAGUAAAGAUUCAAUUUUAGUUAGUUCAAUUUUAGAAAAUUUCCAUUUAGUUAGUUCAAGAUUCCAUUUAAUUACAUAAUUUUAGUUUGUUCUAUGUGUGUAUUUUGUCAAGUAAAGCUUAUCAAGAUCCCCUCUUUGUGUGUUUACCAAGUAAAUUAGAGUUUACUUUUAUUGAUACUCCAUUGUAGUUUUAGUAUGUUGGUGGUUUAUUUAUGGUGAUUUUAAGCUAAAAAUACGAGAAAAUAAGGAUGGUAAGAUAUUUGUUAUUUUGCAUAAUGAUCAAGAUUUUUAAUUCUACUUACCCAAUAGGUUGCUUGGAAUUUGAUGUUACUGUUUGACAGAAUCCGAAUUUAGGAAAGGAUUGCUUUGCUAUUUUUUCGGUGACCGCUUGUCUCUUUCACUUUAAUUUAGGCCAAGCAACGGUAAGUUGACUUCUCUCUAAUUUUUUAUAAUGAAGUCUUGUUAUUUUUCAUAUUGAAGUCUAGUGAAGCCGUGUGUGGCCAUGUUCGAUUCACUAGCAUUGUUGUUAUCUUCUUGUUAUUGUUCAUAUUGAAUCUAGUGAAGUCGUGUGUGGCUUUGUGUGAUUCACUAGCAUUGUUGUUGACAUCUUGUUGAUUUUGUUAUUGCUUGUUUCUUGUAUUGUGAACUUGCUCUCAUAUCAUUUGGUAUGCAAAUUUGGUGACUUAGUUACUUGAAAAUGGUUAAGAGUUGGGAAUUUAAAGAUAAUUUUUUUGUUUAGACUGUGACUUGGUUGGUGACUUAAUUGGUUGAAAAUGGUUAAGAGUUGGGAAUUUAAAGAUAAUUUUUUUGUUUAGACUGUGACUUGGUUGGUGACUUAAUUGGUUGAAAAUGGUUAAGAGUUGGGAAUUUAAAGAUAAUUUUUUUGUUUAGACUGUGACUUGGUUGGUGACUUAAUUGGUUGAAAAUGGUUAAGAGUUGGGAAUUUAAAGAUAAUUUUUUUGUUUAGACUGUGACUUGGUUGGUGACUUAAUUGGUUGAAAAUGGUUAAGAGUUGGGAAUUUAAAGAUAAUUUUUUUGUUUAGACUGUGACUUGGUUGGUGACUUAAUUGGUUGAAAAUGGUUAAGAGUUGGGAAUUUAAAGAUAAUUUUUUUGUUUAGACUGUGACUUGGUUGGUGACUUAAUUGGUUGAAAAUGGUUAAGAGUUGGGAAUUUAAAGAUAAUUUUUUUGUUUAGACUGUGACUUGGUUGGUGACUUAAUUGGUUGAAAAUGGUUAAGAGUUGGGAAUUUAAAGAUAAUUUUUUUGUUUAGACUGUGACUUGGUUGGUGACUUAAUUGGUUGAAAAUGGUUAAGAGUUGGGAAUUUAAAGAUAAUUUUUUUGUUUAGACUGUGACUUGGUUGGUGACUUAAUUGGUUGAAAAUGGUUAAGAGUUGGGAAUUUAAAGAUAAUUUUUUUGUUUAGACUGUGACUUGGUUGGUGACUUAAUUGGUUGAAAAUGGUUAAGAGUUGGGAAUUUAAAGAUAAUUUUUUUGUUUAGACUGUGACUUGGUUGGUGACUUAAUUGGUUGAAAAUGGUUAAGAGUUGGGAAUUUAAAGAUAAUUUUUUUGUUUAGACUGUGACUUGGUUGGUGACUUAAUUGGUUGAAAAUGGUUAAGAGUUGGGAAUUUAAAGAUAAUUUUUUUGUUUAGAAUGUGACUUGAUUGGUGACUUAGUUACUUGAAAAUGGUUAAGUGCAGGGAAUUUAAAGAUGAUUUUUUUAAUUUAGAAUGUGACUUGGUUGGUGACUUUGUUAGUUGAAAAUGGUUAAGAGUUGGGAAUUUAAAGAUAAUUUUUUUGUUUAGAAUGUGACUUGAUUGGUGACUUAGUUACUUGAAAAUAAUUAAGUGUAGGUAAUUUAAAGAUGAAUUUUUUCUUUAGAAUGUGACUUGGUUGGGGACUUUGUUAGUUGAAAAUGGUUAAGAGUUGGGAAUUUAAAGAUAAUUUUUUUGUUUAGACUGUGACUUGGUUGGUGACUUAGUUACUUGAAAAUAAUUAAGUGUAGGUAAUUUAAAGAUGAAUUUUUUCUUUAGAAUGUGACUUGGUUGGGGACUUUGUUAGUUGAAAAUGGUUAAGAGUUGGGAAUUUAAAGAUAAUUUUUUUGUUUUGAAUGUGCUUUGGUAGGUGAAUUAGUUGCUUGAAAAUGGUUAAGGUGACUUCAUUGAAUUUUUGUGAUUUGAUCUAAUUAGUUGAAUCUGAUUGAUUGCAUAGAUAAAACCUGAUUAUAAGUAGAUAUAUCAACGGAACAAUGAUAAUAGAAUGGGUAUUAGGGAGGAAUUUGUUGAAGGUAUCAAAAGAUUUGUUGAACAUGCUAAGACACUUGAUGUUUGGACACGUUUUGGGGCUAUUCAUUGUCCUUGUGUUAGAUGUGAUGGUACAAAUCUUGUAAGUGAAGAAGUUGUAAAGGAACAUCUUUAUAGAAAGGGGUUUCACGAGGAUUUUUUAAGAUUGCGUGGUGUUCAUGGUGAUGUUCCGCAAAAUAACUUUGUUGUUGGAGAAAGUAGUAGGUCUGCGGAGCAUAAUGAAUAUCAAGAUACUAGAAUGACAGAAAUGGUGUACGAUGCUUUUGGGAUGCAACAUGGGGGCGACUUUAGGGAAAAUGUCGAAGAUUGUAAGGUAAUCCCGAUUAAGAAUCUUGCGACCCAAUAUAGACUCCUAGUGAUGGACUUGUCUAUCAGGAAAGGCAAGUUGAGGCGGGGUGGGAAGGAUUGACCUAGAGUUAGGUGGGGCAGUCUGACUCCGGAUAGUGCUUUAGAGAUAAGGGCGAAGUUGAAGGCGAAUGAGGUUUGGGAGUACGGGGGUGAUAUGGAUAGUAUGUGGGAUAGGGCUGCUGGUUGCAUCAGGGAGUAUGCUAGAGAGGUGUUGGGCGUUUUGAGGGGUUGGUCUGGCCGGUUUCAGGGGGAUUGGUGGUGGAAUGAAUAUGUUAAGAAGAAGGUGAAGUUGAAGAAGGCGGCUUAUGGUAAGUUGUUUGAGAGCAAGGAUGAAGAAGAGAAGCGGGUGAGCAGAGAGGAGUACAAGUUAGCUAAAAAAGACGCUAAGCUAGCAGUUACGGCUGCUAAGACAACAACUUUUGAGAGUUUGAAUAAGGGGUUAGAGGAGAAAGACGGGGAGAAGAGAUUGUUUAGGCUGGCCAAGAUUAGGGAGAAGAAGAGUCGUGAUCUGGACCAGCUGAAGUGCAUUCAGGGGAAGGAUGGCAGAGUUUUGGUAGAAGGCACCCUCAUUAAGAAAAGAUGGCAGUCGUAUUUCCAUAGGCUCUUGAAUAAUGAAGGGGACAUAGGUGUUAUGUUAGGGGAGUUGGAGCUUUUCGGAGAGUGUCAUGACUUUGGCUUUUGUCAGCGUUUUAAGGUAGAACAGGUCAGUGAGGCUAUUCGCAAGAUUCGAAGGGGCAGGGCGACGGGGCUCGAUGAGAUUCCGAUUGAUUUUUGGAAGUUCUCUGGUGGGGCAGGGUUAAGGUGGCUGACCAACUUGUUUAAUAAUAUUUUCAAGUCAGUAAAGAUGCCUGAGGUGUGGAGAUAGAGCACGAUGAUUUUCCUAUAUAAGAACAAGGGUGACAUUCAGAGUUGUAACAACUAUCGGGGUAUUAAGUUGUUGAGUCACACGAUGAAGAUUUGAGAGAGGGUGGUGGAGCAGAGGUUGAGGAAGAUUGUGCCUAUUUCGGAGAAUCAAUUUGGUUUUAUGCCUGGUUGCUCUACGACUGAGGCAAUUUACCUUGUGUGGAGACUGGUAGAGCAGUAUAGAGAGAGUAAGAGGGAUCUUCACAUGGUGUUUAUUGACUUGGAGAAGGCAUAUGACAAGGUCCCUAGGGAGGUUCUUUGGAGAUCCUUGAAGGCCAGAGGGGUCCCGGUGGCGUACAUUAGAGCGAUUAAGGACAUGUAUGAAGGGGCAAAGACUCGGGUAAGGACUGUGGGGGAAGAUUCUGAACAUUUUCCGAUCUUAACAGGGUUGCACCAGGGAUCAACUCUUAGUCCAUUUUUAUUCGCUUUGGUGAUGGAUGUGUUGACACGGAAUAUACAAGGCGAGAUGCCUUGCUGUAUGCUUUUCGUGGAUAAUAUAGUUUUUAUUGAUGAGUUAUGAUAAGGGGUUAAUGAUAAGCUGGAGAUUUGGAGACAAACCCUGGAGUCUAAAGGUUUCUGGUUGAGCAGGAGCAAGACGGAGUACUUGGAAUGCAAGUUUAGUGACUCAAGGCACGAGGAGGAUGUGGUAGUGAAGUUGGAUUCUCAAGAGGUUUACAAGAGGGAUAGUUUUAAGUAUCUCGGGUCUAUGAUUCAGGGGAAUAGAGAGAUAGAUGAGGAUGUCUCUCAUCGUAUUAGGGCUGGUUGGAUGAAAUGAAGGCUCACUUCAGGUAUUUUAUGUGAUAAGAAGGUGCCCCACAAGCUAAAAGGCAAAUUCUAUAGAAUUGCAAUCUGACCUUCUAUGUUGUAUAGAGCGGAGUGUUAGUCGGUUAAGAAUUCUCAUAUCCAGAAGUUAAAAGUGGCAAAAAUAAGGAUGCUGCGUUGGAUGUGUGGUUUCACAAGGGCUGACAGGGUUAGGAAUGAUAUUAUUUGAGAGAAAGUGGGAGUGGUAUCUGUGGAGGAAAAAAUAUGGAAAGUGAGGUUGAGAUGGUUUGGUCAUGUGAUGAGGAGGGGUGCGGAUGCCCCAGUUCGUAGGUGUGAGAGGUUGGCCUUGGAAGGUUUCAAGCGGGGUAGGGGUAGAUCGAAAAAAUGCUAGAGAGAAGUGAUUAAGCGUGACAUGGAGCAGUUACAGUUGACUAAACAUUAAGACAGAGGGCUAAGGGUGUGGAUGAGUCGUAGCCAGUAAUUAGGUGGACUUUGAUGUUCUUUGUUUGGCAAUGUACAAUCUUCUGUGGAUGUCGUACUUAUGUUAUUUUAUCAUAUUCCAUGCUUUUGAUGCUUUUGUAUACUGUCUUUAAUCUUGAGCCGGGGGUCUAUCGGAAACAACCUCUCUACCUCUUUAGAGGUAAUGGUAUGGACUGCGUACACUCUACCCUCCCCAGAAAAAUGGAAUAAAUAAAAUAUGCUUGUAUAUUUAUGAAUAUGUGUGUGAGUUUGCAAAGGAAAAAUGUUUAUGAGUUGUAAAAAAUAAAUAUAUGUGUAUUUUGAAAGAGAGAAAAAAAUAAACAAAAAAUGUGUCCUCCCACCACCUAUUUAUACAAAAAAUUGAGCACCCUUUUUAUCCAAUGGAUAAAGGGGUGUCCUCUCGUUUUAUAAUAGAACACCCUUAGGUCCUUAAGUUAUUGGCCAAAGGAUUUUCAUCCUUUUGACCAAUGGACAAAGUAAUUAUCCAAAGGAUAGUGUCAUUAAGUGGUCGUUGUCAGAUGUGACAAAACAACACUGAGUGGUUAUUUUCGAAUGUGAUAAGACAUUAUUGUGUAGUCGUUGUCGGAUGUGAUAAGACAUCGAAUUAUUAGAUUGAACAAAAAUAAUUGAUCCGACUCAGCAUUUGUGGACUGUAAAAUAUAGAUGUUGAAUGAAAAAUGUAAAGAAUAUUAAAAUUAUUAAAAUAUAAUUAAUUUGAAAAUACUGUAAUAUAUNNNNNNNNNNNNNNNNNNNNNNNNNNNNNNAUGCACGUGUGUGGGUGAUUGUAAAAUGUUAAGAAUGAUAAUGAAUUGAUAAAAAUCCUAAAAUUAAAAAAAUUAAUAAAUUAUAAAAAUAAAAAUAUGACAACAAAUUGAUUAAAAUCUUAAAUAAAGGAUAAUUAUCAAUAAUUUAUCAAGCAAUUGUAAAAAGUUGUGAAAAUUAUGCUUCGUGCCCUUUAACGAACAGAAAGCCUGAAGAUGUUAAUUUUAGGCACGGAGAGCAAAAAUUAGGUGUCAACAGUUGCCCCUUUUCAUUUGAGGAUGAUGUAGAAGUCUUCAAAUAAAAACGUUGACGUGUAGCCAAUUUUUCUCGACAAAAAUGAUUUGAAGAAAAUUUGAUUGAACUCCAAUUUAAAGUUACCUACAUACCUCGAGUUGUAUGAGGAUCAAGUCAAUGUAGUUCAAAAAAUUAAGCAAAUCGCCCUGUUGUUGAGGGUGAGAGAUCGUGUGAAAUUAUUAUUGGGAGAAGGACUAAUUGGAAACAAAAGUGUUCGUGUAUUUUUGAUGCCCCUUUCAAAAUUGCCCCUCUGAGAUGCUCGAGAUGCAAUAUUGUGUACUUUCUGGGGAGAAAGAAUGAUUGCGGUUGUGACGAUCGAACUCUGCACAGAGCUUCCUAAAUAUCUCGAGUGUUACGAGAAUCAGGUCACUGUAAUUCGAAUCAUAGCAAUAUCUUGAUAAAUAUCAAAAUUUGCCCCAGUGUAGAGUUAUGGUAACACUGGGUUCCUUUAAGGAUGACAACAAAGAUUUUAAUACGAAUGAAAUGAAUACGGGUGCUUGUUUCAAAAUUGACUGUUUGGGUAGCUGGAAAUGAUUAGAUGUCGGAUAGCAAUAUUUGAUGGGGACUUUGAGGGAAAAGGAGAUUGCUAAUUUUUAAAGAUUUUCCAGUAUCAGAUUAAGACGACAUUGAAUAAUGAUAAUACGGAUUAUAAAAAUGAGAGUUUUGGGUUGAGUUGAGUUGAGUUUCUUUUCCGAAAUUUCUGACGUAACUAGGGAUCCCUGACAUUCCGCUAGCUUGCCCCAGUUUGCUGCUAAGAUGAUAGUUUCACGUUAUACUGCAUGUUCUAGUAUUGUCUCUAUUUUUGAAGGCAAUCCGCCUGGCGGGGUGAUAACUGAAAUGUGAAUAGCCUCCGUCGACUUAGUAGUUGUUUGAAAGUAAAAGCCUCCGUCGACUGAGCAGUAAUUGAAAUAUAAAUAACCUCCGUCGGUUGAAAUGUAAAUAGCCUUCGUCGGCUGAGCAGUUGCAUGAAAUGUAAAUAGCCUCCGUCGGUUGAAAUAUGAAUAUCCUCCAACGGUUGAAAUGUAAAUAGCCUCCAUCGACUGAAAUGUAAAUAGCCUCCGUCGGCUGAAAUGUAAAUAGCCUCUGUCGGCUGAAAUAUAAAUAGCCUCCGUCGGCUGAAAUGCUUGUUGAGAAAGUAAAAGUUGUAUUAUAUGCCCUAUUAUUGGGGGCGGACAUACCCUGUCCUAUUGUUCGGGGCGGACUUGCCCUGUCCUAUUGUUCUGGGCAGACUGCCUUGUCCUAUUGUUUGGGGCGGACUGCCCUGUCCUAUUGUUCGGGGCGGACUGCCCUUCCUGUUGUUCGGGGCGAACUGCCCUGUGUUAUAUUAGAGUUUUAUGAACAUCUGUUAGUACUUGAUGACCGAGUCUUAAUAGAGGUAUCCCUUUAAUGCGACCUGCAAAAAAUCAAGAAAUUUCUUUUAGAGUUAGAAAGUUUUAGUGAAUGAAUUGAUAAAACCUGGUUUGUGAUAGAGAUGUGAUGUUGAGUUUCUGAUAGAAUAUUGUAAGAUAUUUUACACGUGCCUUCUUGAGCAUUAUUAUGACCUGCAAGAUUCGAGAAGAUUCUUUAGUGUCUUAGAAUAGUUAUGGAUAAAUUGACGAUACCUGGAUUCUUAGCUUGUGAUGGUGAGGCAGCAUUUAGGCUUCCAAGAUGUUUGAACCUUUGUUGUAGCGAUGUUGUACCUGUUCUCUAAGAAAGUUUCUUAGUUUGGGGAGGGGAUGUUGAUUUUGUGUUGAUCGAGAACUCGUCCUUCAAUCUUUCGACAAUCGGUAAUCUAUUCGGGAUUAGGAGUAGUAACACUUCCUAACUCCACAUAAUGUUCUUAUACUAGUAUGUCUUCUGAUGGGAACUUUCUUCAUCUUGAUCUUCUCUUUUGGACUUCCAUCAAAGUGAAGCGGUUGUUGUAGCUUGAGAUGAUAAAUGAAAUUUGAAAAGAUGUAAAAGAUUAUGUUGUUGAUAUGACCGAGCCUGACUUAAGCUGCCUACAUAUCAAGUCAAAACGUAGUUUCAUGUGAGGGAAAUCAAUAAAAAUUUGUCCACAAGGAUAGGUAUGUGGAGAAUGGUAUGGUUGAUAAUAUGAGGUUGCUUUGGAAAGAUCAUUUGGUCAUUUGCUGAAGCGGUGCCUCUUAUGUAUGAGUUUUCAACAUCUUAUGGCUUUUUGUUGUGCUAACGAUUCACAUCAAAGAAUUUCUUAAUUUGAGAAAUGCUUUUAUAAGUUGGAGUCAAUCAAGCAUUGAGAUUUACAUCUCAGUUUUUUUUUGUGUCAGGGUUUUGAGCGGAAGAGUAGUGAACGCAUUGUAUAAGCUAUCUUCACAUGUAGUCUCUCUAACUUGCGUUUUGAUGAAAGCAAGAGGCUUGGGUACUUGCGCGAGUCUUCUCUGCGUAAACUCUGAAUAUUUAUUGGGCGCCUCAUUGAUAGUCUCCUUAUCUUGUGGGCGUCUUUGUAUAUGAACUCUUUUUGGGUCCACUAUGGUCGUCCUUUCGUGUACCUGUUUGAAAAAAAGUAACUUGCAACAACAAAUACAACAACCCUUUUGGUUGUUGCAUUAUUAUUUGUCAGCUGAAUAUGUCUUCAAAUUGGGGUACCCCUUUUGGACAAUGAUGACACUUUAUGCAGAAGGGUCCCCGCGACCGUGUAAUCUUGUGUUGAUGCGGUAACCCUUUUGAGUCACCCAUAAUGCUUGUGGAAUGAUGACCUCUCUGGUUAUUUCCAAUAAUUCUUCGCAUAUAUCUCGGAUAAGUCUUACACAUCUUUUGUAUCAAUACGACUUAUAGAUUGCUCUUGAAUCAUCAAUCUUUGAAUUAUCUUGCGCAUUAUUUGAUGUUGGAUACGAGGCGACUUAUAGAUAUCCUUUGAAUUGCUAGCCUUUAGGUAUUCCUGCAUAUUAUCCAACUUUGGAUAAGAGAUGACUUAUAGAUAUCCCUCCAAUUGUUAGCUUUCAGGUAUUCCUGCACAUCAUCCAACCUUGGACACAAUAUGACUUAUAGAUAUCUCCCAAAUUAUUAGUCCUUUGGUAAUCCUGCACAUAAUCGAUCUUGGAUAUGACGCGGCUUAUAGAGAAUCCUUGGACAUACCAAUUUGAUAAUCUCUUAUAUUCUCCGGUAAAGAUUUAAUUGUGACUUAUGGUAACCUUCGGGCUAUCAAUUUUGGGUAAACUUGCAUACUAUUCUGUUAGGAUGUUAUUGCGUCUUACGGAUCACCUAUGGGCUAUCAACUCAGAGAUAAUCUUGCGCACUAUCUUAUUUUAAAUAAUAUGAGUUAUAGAUGAUCCUCAAAUUAUCAAUUUCAAGGGAAUCUCAUAUGUCGUUCGCUUUCAGAUGACGACUUAAAGACGUACCUUUGAAUCAUGUGCUUUUGAGGAAUUUAGAUGCUAAUUCAUUAGAUGAUAAGAUAGCCUCGACGCCAGCGUAUGCCAUCUCGCAUGUCAACAGAUAUUGGAUGCUGAUAUCCUCGAUUGAUAUAUUAGUCAUAAUCCAAGCUUGAAUGCUUUUGUGUAUAUUUUGGAAAUCUUUCUUGGAAUUGUAGGUAUAGAUUAUUUUUCCUCGUCAUAAGGAUUUUCUUUUGGCUCUUUCAUAAGCAUGUGCCACCUGAAGAUUUGGAUGACCUCCUUAUCACUAACAUAAAGAGUGUUCGAUCCUGCACUGAUCGUUGAUGUGAUUUCGGAGCAUUUGGAUUGAUAGUAUCUUUUAACAAUAUUUGUAGAGAAGAUCUUUGGUUAAGUGGUGGGAGUGUCUUUCGUAUUGGCCCUUGGUGCAUUUUACGAUAUUAUAGAUAAGUUGUCCCCUGUUGAUAUCUUACAACUUUUGUGAUGACUUACGUUGUUUGGUACAAAUCAACCUUGAUCGUAACAUUUUCAAGUUGAACGUCCUAGCCUUCGUUGAUUUUUGAAGCAUUCUACAAAAUUUUUCCCCAGUCUCUUGGAGAGAUUUUCUCGACGAUUCUUCGCUGCGUAUCUUGGGAUAGUCUUGAUGGAUCAUUUUGGGUUUUCUGGAUACCGUCGCAUUCAAGUUUCACUCAUCAUUAGGGAAAAUAGAUUUUUGUAUUAUAAAGGGACCGAGCCUUAAAUAGGCUGCCUACUUAUCCCACCAAGGGAAAUCAGGUCACACGUAGUUCCAAUUACAAAAGGGAUUUAUUCUACUUAAGUACGACCGAAUCCAAUGAGGGUUGUCUACUUAUCUCACCAUGAGAAAUUAGGUCAGAACGUAGUUUUGUUACAUGAUAAUUUAGAGGAAAUCCUAUGCCUUUAAAUAUAGGACUCUAUUUAUUGUUUUUGAGUCGAUCAACUUGGAUUCGUCUAUAUUGUAUUCCCUCUAAAGUUAGCACUUCUCUUUAUAGUGGCUUAUAUAAAGGCCCUACCAAUUUGACAUACAGGAUGGUGUCUCUCACAUUAUAUGCACUCUUUUAUUUUCAUGACUGGCACCGGAUCAUUAUUUGCGUUUGGUUGAACUUUGACACAUUGAAUUGCCCCUAGUUUGAUCAAGCACUCAAUUCUAUGCCUUAACCUAUUACAAUCUUCAUUAUCGUUCCCCUGAACUCCAGAGUGGAAAGUACAUCACUUUCUUUCAUCAAAUCAUUAAGUCAAUGGUUCAACAAAUUGAGUACGACUUCUACUGUGCUUACCCUUCGAAUUUUGUCUAAGCGCAGAAGGUGUCUGAUUUUGAUAAGCUGACACUUGGAUUGGAAUGCAUGGUCAUGAUGGAUUUUGGUAUAUGGGAACUCAGGGUUGAAGGUAAUUUUGUUGGAUAUCAUAGGCAUGAUGUAGUUUGCGACUCGAUAUUUGCAUCAGUUCGUUAUCAGGAUUUUGAUUGGGAUGAUUCAAGUAUUGAGUGGUGUGGUAUCACAAUAGAUACUUCUUCUUCAUUCUCCACCUUGGCAUCUUCGAUGAACUCUAACCGAGUAGACUCACUCGAGUUAUUUGUCGACUUAAUCUUUCUAGAGUUUAUUGCCUCUUCAAUAAAAGUUCUCAUUUUGACAUAAUCGGCAAACUUCUGCUCCAAUGUGGACAUUAUUUUUUUAAAAUAGACACCCUUUUGACUACGAAUAAAAUACUUUAUCAAUUCACUUUCGUCCAUUGGUGGUUGAACUUUUCCUCCUUCAGACCUCCAUCGUCGAGCAUAUUCCUGGAAUGAUUCAGAGGGCUUCUUUUGUAUACUAAUGAGGGAAAGUCGAUUAGGUCCAGUUUCUGUGUUAAACUUGAAAUGAUUCAUAAAGUCUUCAGCCAUGUUGCUCCAUUUAUGCCAAUGACGAGGGUCUUGUUUGGUGUACCAAACGAGAGCCUCACUAGACAAACUUCUAAUGAACAACUUCAUUAUGAGCUUCUCAUUUUUGUCAAUCCCUACCAAUUUAUCACAAUAUGCUCUUAAAUAAGUAUGAGGAUCGCCGGUUCCAUCAAAAAAGUCAAACUUAGGUGGCUUGAAUCCAAUUGGAAAAUCAACAUCUGGAUGGAUACAUAAAUCUUCGUAGUUCAAAUGUUCGCUGACUUGAGUUUCUUGGAGGUGUUUCAUUGCCUGCUUUAGAUUAAGAAGCUCGUUUACUUUUUUGCCAUUCCCCUCUUUUGUUCCUACACUUAUCGGAAGCCUACUUUUAGCAGGCAUGGUGGAGAUGGGUGUCUCAGUCAUGCACAAUGGGGAAAUAUAUUGUUCUUAAAAGGUAGCGUGAUUUGUUCGUUGAAUAUCAUGAGUAGAUGUGACAAUAUUUGGAUGUGGGGUGCAAUGAGAAAAUUUAUGGGAGGUGAUGAGUGUGAAUGGGGAUGAUGGAUUUGUUAAACCAACAGUUGUUGUGGGAGGUUGUAAUAACUGAUAGCGUUUAGGUAUUGGAGUUUUUAGCAACAAAAAAUUAGGAGGGCGCGGUAGAGUAGCCCUGGAUGGAUGUGUGGGAUCCUUUCCUUGGUGCAGUUCUCCUCUUAACGUCUCGAGUUGUUGCUCCAAAAGAAGCAUACAUUCAUUAUCUUAUCUUUUGAAAUUUCCUGAUAUGUUUGCCAGCGUUGGAACACUUCUGGUCGGUUCGACGGUAUUGGUGUUCAUUCUUGAUAUAUAUAGCUUAAGUUGGCUAGUUCUAUCGAUCAACACAAUUAAUCUCUAUCGGGGGGAUAAUGCUAACACAAAUGAAAGUUAAGGAGUUAGUUCAUGUAGAUGGACAAGUACAUUCAGAAAACAUUAAGUAAGCGCAUCUUAUAUUGUGAAGCCUCAUUUUGCCAGAGGUAGGCCUUCGUUCAAAUAAACUAACAGAGACGAAUCUUGAUUUUGACACAUUUUGGAUUCAGAACAAUUUUAAGUUUUCUUGAAAAGGGAAUGUAUCCAACAAGAGUGGCUAAAAGAGGCCGCCUAUAUAGUUGAUAAGAAUUGAUAGAAGCGGGCUAAAAUGAUGCCUUUAAAAGAGUGGGUAUCUCUAGUCUCGUUAUUGGUGAAUGAGGAUCUUGUGGUAGAGAUAUCGAACAGAGGAGAAGUAUCGACAAUCCCUCAUGCUCAUUGGCUGGAAAGAGUUAAAAGUGGGUAAAGAUGAAUAAUAUUCCACAUCCAUUGUUUUGAAGACGGGUGUCAAAUAAUUGUAGAGUUUUGAAUAAUAUUCUACGUCUGUUGACUAGAAAAAGGAAUCAAACAUUAGAAGAAUGCUUGACGGCAUUCCACUCUAGUUUGGAUAAAAAAGUUAGAUGUAGGUGGAGUUUUUAAGUGACAUUCCCUAUCUGCGGACUUGAAGAGAAAGUUGAACGAAAGCAAAGCAUUUUUAGAACACUCGACUUUCAUGAACUUUGAGAAAGAUAUUUGUGAAGCAGAGUCUUAACAACACUCUGUACUUGUGAAAAUGGUGUCAAAUGUUGGCGAGUUUGGGUAAUACUUUAUGUCUAUUGACGUGAAAAUGAUGUCGAAUGAAGGAGGAGUAAAAGAAGACCAAUUUGAUUAUUCUGAAUCCAUUAAUGUUUGAUUUCUAGAUUAUCUGAAUCAUUCUAACACAAAAUAUGUCAUAAAGGUUUCAUAACCUUCUGACGAAAGGGUGGCUUCCUAGUUGCGAAGACGAUACACUGGACCGUCCCGCCUAAGGUAUAUGCAAUAUGACCUAUUUCUAGAGUAGAAUUUUUCCCUAAAUGUUCAAGAAUGGAACUGAAUAUUUGCGAGAAGGUGCACUAACCUAACUGAACCGACUUUGAAACUAAGAAAUCCAAAGAAGGUUCGAAGGAGUGCAGUGCACCCCUCGCGUGUACCACCGUGUGUGAAUUGUGUACGGCCAAAGACUCAAUAGAAAAAUGCAAGUGAUAAAGCAGUAACAAGUAGUGUUAUUCAAACAAAUAAGGAACGCAAGUUUGGAUUUGACUUGCUUCCUUUCACACAUCGCAUGAUAUAAAAAUAUGUAAAACAAAUAACAUAAUAAAUCAUAAAAAUCCUAAACUAAGCAUGAUAAGGACAAAAAAUGUAAAGAAUUUAUGAGAAAAUUCACAUAAUUUGCAGUGUAAUAGGUAAGGAAUCAAAGAAUUUAAUCAUAGACAAAAAUGUAAAAAUACCUCCCUUGAUUGAAAAUUGAGUCGAUCAUUGUUAGAACCUAUUGUCAUUCCCCAGUGGAGUCGCCAUCUGUCAUACUCGAUUUUCUACCUGAGAUUAAAAUGAGCACGAUGUUAUGGACUCUAGAAGAAUGAAAAUUGUACAGAGUCGCCACCUAAUUUUUACGGAAAAAUAGGAAACCUAUUUAUUAACAUGUAUAAUUAAUGUUUUUUAGUCUGCAAAAAAUCAGUUGAGAUUCUAGGUAAGGGUUCAAGUUAUCCCAAAGUGAAGGGAUUAGGCAACCUUUGGGAUCCACAACUGUGGUACCCGGCUCGACUAAAUUUAUCAAAGCGGGAGGAGGUAUACAUAUUUAAAAUAAUGUAAAAAAUAUAUAUUUAAGUAUAAAACAAUUCUUUACAAAAACUAUGUAAAGGUAUAUGUAUAUUAAAUAUAUAAAUAACACAUAUUGUUAUAAAAACAUGUGAAAGAUAUGUAUAAAAAAUGUGUAAAUACAUGAGGAAAGGAAAAUAUUUUAUGAUAUGUAAAAAGAAGUGUAUUUUGACGUGCCAUGAGAAGAAAAGGUAUUUAAACAUAAUAUUUUAUUUGAUUAAAAUUACGAAGCACGUAAAGAUUUAUUUGAACAGAAAAUAUCACAAUAUUUAUGAUGUCAAAGUAUGUAAACUAAUUAAUUAAUAUAAUUAUUUUAUGUAAAUAUUAACAACCUAAGUUUUGCCUUAAGUGAUGAAAUUAUGUAAAUGAAAAAUAUCCCCGCCCGACACCCAAAAAGUAAUUUUCACUAUAAUGAUAUUUUUACAAACAUAAGAAUAUAAAAUACAAUACAUAAUUAAAAGGGGAUCUUUGACUACAACUCCCGACGAGUAUUCCAAAAUAACCUGUAUAAAUACUUGUAAAAAAAUGUUAGUAACAAAUAUAUAAUAAUAACUGAGAAUGUGUAUAUUUACGUAUUAUAAAAAAAUAUUUUUUUUGUUAAAAAAGUGGGCUCAGAUAAAGUCAUGACUGCGAAAUGGUUGCUCAAUUAAUUGGCCAUCCUGAAUCGUUUUGCUACGAAAUGGUUGCUCAAUUAAUUGGCCGUCCUAAAUCGUCUUGCCAGAAUAUGAGUUGUAAAAUCUUGUGUUGUUAUAAAGUUUCAUCAUCGCCCAAAAAAUCUUUUAAUUACAUAUUUAUAUACGUAAAGUCCAUCUUUGCUUAUGGAGGCCUCAAAAUUAAUAAUAAUUUUUCAUUGGCCAUAGUAUUUGGUCAUUAUUAGUGUAAUGAAUUAAAGGACGAAGGUCCAAACAGUCCAAAAUCAACCACACAGUAACAAUGAGGUGUAAAGGAGUAUGACAGCAAAACAUAUGGCAAACAUAGUCAAAAUUUCUCCAAUACCAAGAUAACCAAAAGAAACAAAAAUCAUAAAGCAAAUGUAGUAUCACAUAGUAGUAAACUUGGCAAAAAUUGUCAAAAAACAGAGCAAAGUCAUAAAAAUCAAAUAUUAACUAACAUUAAGCAAGUACUUCAAAAGCAAAAAAUACUAUAGAGCAGUUAUCAAAGCCAUGGAAGAGAGCGAUAGUCGAUCCUAUUCUAAAAAAAGAGCUUUUAUCGAAGAACGUUUAUCUUCGGCCAGAUCUAAAAAAAAUAAACAAAAAUAAAGCUAAAAGGGACGAGUCACCAGUGUUGUUUCAACGAGUUUCAUCGGAGCAACACUGGAGAGGUGUGGAUCCGGCGAGCAGCAACUGGAAUGAAAAUAAAUAUAAAAAAAGGGUGAAAGGGCAGCACGUGUGACUAUUGGAGGGACUCGCCCGCCGGCGAUUAACUCCGGCGUGGCGCGGCAAGGGGAAAAGAAAAGAGUGGACAGUGCUAGAAGGAGGGGUAGAAGUAUGACGUAUGGUGGUGGUUUAUGGUGGCAGGAUCUGUUCCGGUCUAGUUUCGCCGGAGAAGAUGGCAGUAAAAGUAUAGAGAUAGAGAUGUGUGAUAUUCAGAGAGAGAAAGAGAUAGAGUACAGAAAAGAGGAAGUGAUUUUGUUCUUUUUGGAAUUUGAGAGAGAGCCAGUGAAAAUAGAGAGAGAAAGUCCUUUUGUGCCUAUGUCUAUCCGUUUUUUUUAUCAGAACUGAAUACCUGAUAUAUAAUGUCAGUGUAUAUAUCUGUUGUAGUGUUUUGAAGAGAAAAAUAGAAAAAUUGAAUAAAUAAAAUAUGCUUAUGUAUUUAUGAAUAUGUGUGUGGGUUUGCAAAGGAAAAAUGUUUAUGAGUUGUAAAAAAUAAAUAUAUGUGUAUUUUGAAAGAGAGGAAAAAAUAAACAAAAAAAUAUGUCAAAAAUGUGUCCCCCCACCACCUAUUUAUACAAAAAAUUGAAAGUCUAGUAAAGCCGUGUGGGGCUCUUUCGAUUCACUAGCAUAGAUGUCUUGUCAUUCAACUCAUUUUCUUAUUAAAAAAAAUCAAAGUCUAGUGAAGCCGUGUGGGGCCUAUUUUGAUUCACUAGCAACUUGUUGUUCAUCUUAUCCUUCUUGUGUUGGUUAGAACUGGGGUUUAGUGGCAUAAUGGCAAGAAAAGUGGUAAGGGAAAUUUAUUCAAUAUAUGUAUAGCCAAAUCUUUUUGCAUGAGAUUGAGUUGGUAAUAAAGUGAUAUGUCCUUGUGUGUUAGUUUAGUAGAAGGUGGAGAGGGAGUUAUUUGUUAAGGUGAAUUGUUGUUUGCUUGAAGUAUGAAAAGAGUUGCUGACGGUGUUUGUUGUGCAAGAAGAGUAUAGGUCAUUGAUAAAGGUACUUGGUGGAUGAGUGUAGUUAAUUUAGGUGUUCCUAAUAUUGCAAGAGGGAGUUUAAUUGAAACUUAUAGAGUUAUGGACUAAGUUUAGUUGUAUAAAAGGGUAGAUAGUAAUGAUAUAUAGAAGGAGAAUGUGUUAAUAAAUUUUAAAUAAGAUAGAUCAUAGGAUUGUGAUUGAUCCUUACUGUUAUGAAGUUUUGGCGGAUUAAUGUUUUCAGAUGUUUGACAUGUAAGGAAAUUGUGUGGAGUUGUGGUUCAUCAUAGCUAGAACUAGACACUAAGUUGGAAUAGUAGAUGGUGAUCAAGGUGGAUAUAAUGAUUGAUGUGGUGGGUGUUAGUUGUGUGAAAGUGAUCUAGGAGGCUUGAACAGUGUAUACAAGAGCUUAAGUUUAUUUGAUUCGUAAUCAAGUCUAAUGUUGUAAGUAUGAUGUGGAAGUACGCCCAAGGUGCUAUAGGGCUGCAUUAUUUUCAAGGAUCAUUGCAUAUUGUGUGGUUAGUAGUACCGUUGAGUUUCUAGGUGGAGAAAGACUAGUUAGAUAAUAUAUGAUAUUCUUGAUAGCUAAGUUAUGGAGUUAUGAUUAAUAAUGUCGAGCAUUUUUGCAUAAUCUUGAUUCUCAUGGUUUAGAAAUUUAAGUUUGCAGGCAUGAUGCUAGUAGACUAUGACAGAAGUGGUAUGGUCCAUCAAAGGUUUGGAAAUAUCUAUGUUUAGUGUUAGGAGAAUCUAAGUUGGUGAAUGUUUAACCUGUUGUAUGAUGACCUUUGGAGCUAUAGAAACCUAAGGGUUGAAUCUUAGAAGGAGGUAUCAACAUUGGUUGCUAUACAUGAAGAUACCGUCUUACAAGAUAAGUUUAGUUUUAUGUGUAUUGUUAUAUCCCCGACUUUAGAGUAAAGUGAUUUCAAUUUAUACCAGAGUGUAUAUAGUUCUUCACAGACUUAGAGUAAUGUCUUAAAUCUAAGGGGGAGAUGAUGGAACGAGUAACCAAGUCAAGUUUUUAGAUGCUAAUAGAUGUGCCAGUAAGUUGUGGAAUUGGCCGUGAGAAAGAACGAUGCUCAAUCUAUUCUUAUUUAAGCAGUUUACUUCAGUUAUUCCAAUACAUUCUCAUGCUUUAUGUUUCAGCUUCAUGAUCAUAGUCUGUGUUCAUGCAUAUGAUAAGGAAUCAUGUACUCUCCUAGUUCCUAGUAUGAUAAGUUCCCCAUUUAUUCAGUAGUCAGAAUCACUUUCCGUAAGUUAUGAAUUCCAAAAAAUUCAGGUCAUGCAGUUUAUGACUCUUGUGGACAUGUGAUACUCUUAACGAUUAGUGAAAAUUCAGAUUUAUAUCACGUACUUCCUCAUAUUAGAUCUCUUUAAUGAGUAUAUGCCGUGAGUGCUCUAUUUCUCACGCCUCAGUAGGGUAUCAAGUUAUGCUUAGUACUUCCCUCAUGUUUCGGAUUCCGGUAUUCUAAUUUUUCAGUGACUUUUUUCCCUUAGGUGGAGAUACUGAUGAUGAAUAGUUAUCUAGAUGGGCAAGAGUAAACAUUUCUUGUUGAUGAAAGAUGGUUACGUGCUUAUUUGAGUUAAGGUAGUAAUUAUGGAGUGAGAUUGAGGCCAAGUCUUUGAUACAUGUCAAGGUUAGUUGAAGUUUUAUGUGUUAUAUUUGGGAAAAAUUGUUGUGUGCUUGUUUUAUGUAAGUCCAUAAGUUGAAAGAAUUUUGAGGUGAAGUUUCGUUAGUUGAGAAUAUUUUAUGUGUAUCAUCUGAAUAGUGUAGGAAAGUUGUUAUGGAUAGAAGUAUUAGAGAAUAUGAGAAAUAUGCUUUAUGAGUAUUUGUUUAGAAGUGCAUAUGUGGGUAUGAAGAUUGGCUUGAAUGUCAUGUUUGUAUACAUAUGAAUGGAUGCUUUGAGUGUUUGUGAAUGUCUAAUGCAAAGUUGAAGGUGAUUGUUGGAGUGGCAAUAAGAAUUAUGCAUAAGAUGAGGAAUUGUGAAAUGCAGGGCGUACUGAAUUCAUGAUUUAGACUAGUACUACAGUAUUAUGUGGUGCGUCUUCUGAUUUUGAGUUAGGAUUGAAGUUAGUGAGGGGAUUUAGUUCAGUUUAGACAUUAGUAGAUGGAAAUAUCAGCGGCCAUGUAAGAAAAAUAAGUGGAAUCAAUGAGCAUGGUGCUUAAGGGGAAAGUAUAGUUGAGAGAGUAUUUUAGAAGUGUGGCUAACCUUGAAAGUAAGAAGUUGCAUUGCCUAAGGUUUGGUAAUUCUAUCCUAGUUUAUGAGUUACAUGUCUAUAUUUUGUGCUAUAGAGUAGUGUCAAUGUUGUGAUUUCAUAGUUGGAUGUCUGGUGUAAAUUGUGCCUAAGAUCCUUUGCUCCCUAAUGCUACUAGAACUCCUUUAGAAAGAGUUUUGAAGAGAUACUCCUGUUAAGUAUAAAUGUCCAGUAUAAUUCUGUCUGUAUAUCCAGCAAUUCAGUUUGACAGUCAGGCAGACAAGUUACAGUGGUUUUCCGCCUUUUCACCCAGUCCAACUAUCCGCAGUCCAAUACAUAUGACCAUCCCAAAAGAUAAUCUAUUCCAUCCGUGCAAGUUGAGAACUAGUUCAGUCUAAGCAUCAUGUUUCAGAUUCAGUUAUUUAGUCAUGACUCCGUUCAUAAGAGUUCAACACAUAAUCUUAAAAUUUUCUAGCUAUUUUAGCUCAGACAGUGUAUUACCUUUGUACGAUCUAAAUCUUGUAGCCUCAUGAUUCGUACUGACAUAAGUUAUCACUUCCAAAUCCAAUGUGUAUGAUUUGACGAUAAACAAUUUGGGGGGAAUCCUAAACUCUCAGCAUGAAUUAGCUCCUUAAAACAAGUAAGGGCAAGUCAGCUCAGAAUUCAGUUUCAUGAUAGAAGUUUAAAUAUUUCAGAUCAGUUAUAUCCUUUCUUAGAAAACACCUCAUGUAUGCAUUAUUCUAUACCUUUGAGCUUCAAUGUUCCUACCCAUCAUCCAGGGAUGAAUGAUCCCAAAGGGGAGAUAAUGUAACACCACGCAUUUUGGGCUAGAACAAAAAUCGUCAUUUCUAUGCGAAGAUGAUCCAAAAGACAUAAAUCCUAUGAAUAUUUGGCAUGUUAAUAAAUUAUGUAGUGUGGGAACCUAUUUGAUCAUGAAUUGAGAUCAUAGAGGUCCCUAAACUCAAGGACGAGUUGAAAGCUUUCUUAUCGUUUAAGUUUGAGUGAGCGUCGAAACUUGGGUUAACUUCAAUUAACCAUAAAUCUGUGUAUAUAAUGAAUUAGAGGGUCUACUAUAUAUCAAAUUAAAUAUCUUCUAAUUAUCUUUCCAACGAUACAAAUUUUGCCAAAAUCUGAUACUCGAGCAAAAAGUUAUGGCCAUUUUCGUGUCUGAGACAGUAGCAAGGGCCAGUCAACUCUGAUUUCAGUUUCAUGAUAGAAGUGUAAAUAUUUCUGAUUAGUUUUAUCCUUUCUUAGAAGACACAUCAUGUACGAAUUAUUCCAUAACUUUAAGCUUCAAUGUUUCUACCCAUCAUUCGAGGACGAAUGAUCGCAAGGGGGAGAUAAUGUAACACCCUGCAUUUCGAGAUAGAAUGAAAACCGUCAUUUCUCUAUGUAGAUAAUCCAAAAUACAUAAAUUGUAAGACCCCGCAAAAUCGUUGCAUUCGUUUUCAUCUCGUUUGGCUCUUUGAAGCUCAAUACAAGGUCCAACACUUAGAAAAUUUUAGCUAAGUGUUCAACACUUAGUCUCAUUUUAGACCUCCGAACUUCGACGAUUUAUUUAAUGGCCUUCCCGACCUUUAUUUUCUAUUUUUCAAAUUGUGUUGCGAUGGGGUAAGGUAGUAGUACAUAUCGGGUGAGUUUCAAAAUUUUUGGAAUAGCGUAAGGGCACGUUUGGGUGCCUAAACCAGUUGCUCAGGGCGAUAGGCCUACGCCGCCCUGGCUUGAUCACCGCUAUAAGCAAGGCGCCGCCUUGGCUAGAGCGGGGGACUUGCCAGGCGAUGCCCUGCAACUCUGGUGGGUGCUCAAUUUUCUGCAUUCCACCUCCUUGUUUUUAAAGGUAUUUUGGUCAUUUUCGCUACUCUAUAUAUAGUCUUAAACACGGGAUUUAGGCUUCAAAACACCAAAAUAUACUCCUUUUACUGAAAUAUUCUCAAGAACAACCAAGAACAAGUCAAGAGUUUAAUUAGAAGUUUUAAGAUUCAAGCCUAUUUCACCGUUAACUUUGACAGAUCUUCAAUCUAAUGUAUGCGUGUGUUGAUUUAUGGACCCCUUUCGUUCAUGAAGCUCAAGAACCUGAUUUUAAACCAUAUAUCAUGGUAUUUGUAUUGUGAUUUGAUUUUUGGUCAUGUCUAUGUGUUGAAUGAUGCCAAGAUAGAAUCUUUAUCUGUUUGUGUGAAACUAGGAUAAUAUGUUGCAUGAAAUAUAUGAAUUUUGGGUGAUUUGAAUUAUUGAAUUCAUGAAUAAACCUAUGCCCAACGUGGUGCAUGGAAGGUGUUUGCUAAAAUGCCUACAAUGGUAGAAUUCAUGUUUUUGUGUCUCAAUAGUGCUUAAUUAACAAGUCCAUGCUCCAUGCCUUAAGAUUUCACAUGACUUCCACGUUAUUGUUAUGUGUUGCUGUUGUAAUAUGGGAUGACCAUGAUAUUGGAGCUAUGCAAGUAUAUACAUGCUGUGUGCAUUCCAUUCCAUGUAUAAGAAGUCGAGUACCUUGCGUAGUAUGAAAUCCCCAACUUAUGAUAUUGUGAAUUGUGGACUCUAUUCUUAUGAUCAAGUCAGUCAUGUGUGUCAGUUUCUUUCCCUUGAUUCCUGGGAGUACUUGUACUCAAAAAAUAAAGUUGUAUGCCUAGAGCCAUGUCCUGCUAUAACAAUACUCUCAGUCAAGCCAUGAUCUAUAGAACUUAGUCAGUCAUGUGACUCAAGAAAUCUCAUAAAUCUCAUGAUCUCAGUUAAUUCUCAGAUAGUAGUACUAUUUCGUCAGUUUACAGAAGUCUGUUACUCAGUCCAUGUAUAGUCAGUUAAUCAUGUUUAGUCUCUUCAGAUAGGAGUAGAAGUUAGCACUGAGUGAAUCCAAGGAUGGGAACAAACACUGUCAGAUGAGGGUGUGAUUCUUAGCAGUCAUCCUUGCGCUCCAGAACUACAUAGCCAGUGUAGGUUGAGACAUCAAUACCUAUUAGGCGAGGGUAGAUGAGGUGGCUUAACCUGCCAGAUUAGGGUCCCACCAUUCUCAUUAGAGUAUUUACCAGAUAAGGGUUACUCACAACUUGUCCUUACCAAUGGUAGAGUAUUGACACCCUUCCAAUCAGUGCAUAGACUGGACCCCAGCUCAACUAUUAUAGCAUAUUUAGGGCAUGUCGGUUAAACAACUACCUCCCACAGUUGCAGUAUAAGUCUCAGUAAAAGAACUUAGAUAGUUCUUCAGACUUUAGAACACCAGGACUGUCAGAUACAGUCAUUUCAAUUACAGUACAGAACUCAAAUAGUUCCAUCAGAUUAAGGACUAUCAGACAUAGUCGCCCAUGUUAUCAGAAUUCCAGUAUCAGUCAUGUUAGAUAUCUGUAAACCAUGUAUUUAUGUAUAGAUCCAUCUAUCAUGUAUUCAUGAUCUCAAUUACUAUGUAUGCAUAUUUGCACUCUCACGUCCAUAUUAGUCAGUCAGUUAGUAUUGCUCAUGCAUGUAACCCUUUGCAUUUAGCAUACCUCAUUUUUAUACUCAGUACUUUCAGUUGUACUGACGCAUUUGUGCUAUGGUGUUUUUUUAUAUUACACCAUAGGUUCAGAGACACGAGCCCCAGAUCAGUAGUAGCAGUCAUAUUUUAGUAUACAGAGUUGCAGUGAGACUUCUUCAUUCGAGGGCGAUAUGAUUUAACCUUAUUUAUUAUUUUGAUUAGCUUUCAGUUUACAGAGUUAGUUGGAGACAUGUUCCUUCAACUCCCUACUCAGAUAGUAUUUAGAGGCUUUUAGAUUUUAGAUUCAGCUUUCAGUUGUUUUGGGUAUUCGUUACCCCAUAUGGAUGGUAUGAUUUAUCAGAUACUUUAUUUAGCUGAACCUUAUGGCCUAUUGCUCAUGUUUUUCACAUUUUACAUGUAUAUUAUGUAGUAUACAGGUACGAUAUCAGUCAUGAGUUAGCUUGUGAUCCUUCUGGGUGAUAAGCACCGUGUAGCAUUUUGGUUCACCAAAUCAAGGCGUUAAAAACUUGGUAUCAGAGCCUAAGGUUUAAUAGAGUCCUUGGUAUUCUGAAAGCUGCAUCUAGUAAAGUCUUGUACAUGGGUGUUGAGCGCCUUAUUUAUGUACAGGAGGCUAUGAGAUGUUUUAGGAAUAGUUUCCCUUCUUUCAGUACUUAUGUCAUGCUAGUGAGCGUAAUCUCAAGUUAAAAUCUUAGUCUUAUCCGUUCUUGUCUAAUUUUAGAACAUGCCUCCUAAGAGAAGAAACUAGCUAGCUCCUCAGCCCAAAGAUCCUUUGGGUGAACCAGUUUCUCAUGUGGAGUUUAGGGCCGCAUUCACCACACUUGCUCAGUCUGUGGCUGCCCAAAAUGAAUGGGCACCAGUUAUUCUGGCCAAUCUAAUAGACAAUCAGCCACAUCUAGGAUUCGGGACUUCACUCGAAUGAACCCUACAUCUUUAUUCGGGUCUAAGUCUGAUGUAGACCCUCAGAAAUUCAUUGACCAAGUCCAGAAGGUAAUAUAUAUCAUGGGAGUUACUUCUUGUCAGAGUGCCAAUUUAGCCACAUACCAGUUACAGGAUAUUGCUCAUACUUGGUACAAAUAGUGAAAGUCUGAGAUUUAGAGGAUACAGGUCCUAUAGAGUGGGAGGAAUUUUUCAUGGCUUUCUUAGACAGAUUCUUUCCCCAAUAGUUGAGGGAGGCAAAAGUUCUAGAGUUUAUCAACCUCGGGCAGGGAAAUAUGACAGUUAAAGAGUACUCUCUCAGAUUUACUCAGUUAGCCAGAUAUGCCCCUCAUGUGGUUGCAGACAAUAGGGCUAAGAUGAGUAAGUUUGUGUCAGGGGUGAAUGAUAGCAUGGUAAAUUAGUGUAGGUCUACGAUGCUGAACAUUGAUAUGACUUUGGCCAGGCUCAUGACCUAUGCUCAAAAAAUAAAGGAGCAAAAGAUUAGCACUAGGGAGAGGCAGAACAAGAGAGCAAGGUCAGGCUGUUUUAAUUUUGCUCAACCCAAAUUAGAAUGAGGAAACCAUUUACAGUUUCAUCCUAAGCCAACAGUUCCAGCUCCUUCCUCUGCUAGUGCCCCAGUGCCAAAAUUCAGAGACGGCAACAGAGAUCGAGCACCAGGCUCUAAGUCUCAGGGCAGUGUCAGCAGUGCCCGAACUAAUCCCCUGUGUUAGACUUGUGGUAAGAACUACAAGGGUACUUAUAGAGAUGGUAGCAAUGUUUGUUUCGGUUGUGGAAAGCUAGGUCACAAAGUCAUAGAAUGUCCCCAGUCCAGUUAUCAGGGUCAGCAAAACCAUUCCACAGCUCAGUCCAGUUGCCCGAACCAGUGGGUUGCCACUUCCAGUGCUGCUGGUGGGCAAUGCCAAAAAGACUCUAUGCUCUUCAGACCCAACAGGAUCAAGAAAAUUCUCCUGAUAUCAUUACUGGUACAUUACAGAUUUUCCAUGUUCAUGUUUAUGCUUUGCUAGAAACAGGUGCAUCCUUGUCUUUUGUUACUCCUUAUAUACCAGGCAAUUUCGAAAUUAGUCACCAAAUUUUAGCAGAGCCCUUUUUAGUCUCUACCCCUAUGGGUAAAACCAUCAUUGCUCGGCAGGUAUACAGGAAUUGCCCGGCUAUGAUAUUUCAAAAAACCACGUCAGCAGAUUUAGUCAAGUUAAAGAAGACUGAUUUUGAUGUCAUUCUCGGCAUGGAUUGUCUUCAUUCCUCAAGAUCUACUGCAAAAAUAGGAUAGUUCAAUUUCAGUUCCCGAAUGAGCCCGUCCUAGAGUGGAAGGGUAGUACUUCAUCUUUCAGGGGUUAACUUAUUUCCUACCUUUAGGCAAGAAGACUGAUAUCUAAGGGGUUUGUUUAUCAUCUCGUACAUGUCAAGGACUCUAGUUCCGAAUCUCCUAGCUUUGAAUUAGUCCCGGUGGUUAAUGAGUAUUCAGAUGUGUUUCCCUAAGAUCUUCCAGGCAUUCCUCCCAAAAUGGAAAUAGACUUCGGCAUUGACCUUAUCCCAGAUACUCAGCCUAUUUCUAUUUUGCCAUACAUAAUGGCUCCAACAAAACUUAGAGAACUGAAAAAAUAGUUGAAGGAUCUCUUAUAUAAGGGAUUCAUUAGACCCAGUAUCUCCCCAUGGGGCACACCAAUCUUAUUCUUGCGUAAGAAAGAUAGUUCUCUUAGGAUGUGCAUUGAUUACCGUCAGCUCAAUAAAGUUAUGGUCAAGAACAAGUAUCCACUUCUUAGGAUAGAUGAUUUGUUUGACCAACUUCAGGGUGCCAGUUAUUUCUCUAAGAUAGACCUCAGAUCAGGCUACCAUCAGCUUAGAGUUAGAGAAUGUGACAUCCCAAAGACCACUUUCCAUACUCGGUAUGGUCACUUCGAGUUUCUAGUCAUGUCCUUUAGUUUUACCAAUGCCCCAACCACUUUCAUGGACUUGAUGAACCAUGUGUUCAAGAAGUACUUGGACAUGUUUGUCAUAGUCUUCAUAAAUGAUAUUCUGGUUUAUUUCUGUACUGAGCGCGGUCAUUCAGACCAUCUCAGAAUUGUUCUUCAGACCCUCAGAGAUCACCAGCUAUUCGCCAAAUUCAGUAAGUGUGAGUUUCGGCUUAGGACAGUAGCAUUCCUUGGCCAUAUUAUUUUCGGUGAUGACAUUAGCAUAGAUUCUUAGAAGACUGAAGCGGUAAGAAACUGGCCUUUCCUCAUCUCUCCAUCAGAUAUCAGGAGUUUCUUAGGAUUGGCUGGAUAUUACAGAUGGUUUGUCAAGGAAUUUUCUUAUAUUGCAUCUCCUUUUUCUAGAUUGACUCAGAAGAAGGCCAAGUUUCGGUGGUUAGAUUCUUGUGAGAAGAGUUUUUAGGAGUUGAAGACUGGACUCACUUCAGCUCCAGUUCUAGAUCUUCCAGAUGGUUCAGAUGGUUUUAUGGUAUAUUAUGAUAUCCAAAGUGGGUUUAGGUUGUGUCCUCAUAUAGCAUGGUAAGGUCAUAUCCUAUACCUCCAGAUAGUUAAAGUCCUAUGAGAAGAAUUUUCCUACUCAUGAUCUUGAGUUAGCAGCCGUAGUAUUUGACUUGAAGGUUUGGAGUCAUUAUAUCUACGGAGUUUAUGUAGAUGUCUUUACAGAUCAUAAGAGUCUCUAGUAUGUCUUUACUCAGAAAGAUCUCAAUCUUCAUCAGAGAAGGUGGUUAGAGCUUUUGAAAGAUUAUGACAUGAGUGUACUUUACCAUCUAGGCAAGGCCAACGUUGUGGCCAACGCUCUCAGUAGGGUCUCCAUGGGUAGUGUUUCUCAGUAGAGGAUAGCAAAAAGAAGGUAGCUUAGGAAAUCUAUCAGCUUGCCAGACUAGGUGUUCGCUUUUUCAAUUAUUCCGAGGGUGGUGUAUGUGUUAAGAAUAGUUCAGAAUCAUCUAUUGUUUCUAAGGUGAAAGAAAAGCAAAACAGAGAUCCUAGCCUUGUCAAGGUAAAAGAGUUAGUUUAGAAUCAUUAAGUAGAGGUUUUCUCCUAAGGGGGAGAUGGUGUUCUUCGUUGUCAGGGUCGUCUGUGUGUUCCUGGUGUAGAUAACUUAAGGCAAUGAAUUCUUGUAGAAGUGCAUAGUGAGCGAUACUCUAUUCAUCCAGGGGCCACUAAGAUGUACCACGGCUUGUAGGAGAUCUAUUGGUGGAGUGGGAUGAAGAGAGAUAUUACAAAGUUUGUGGCUAAGUGUUCUAUAUGUCAGUAAGUUAAGAUAGUGUAUCAGAAGCCUAGUAGUUCCAUGCAAGUGUUCACCAUUCUUACUUGGAAGUAGGAAGAAGUGAACAUGGAUUUCGUGAUGGGUUUGCCUCGAACUCGUCAUCAGCAUGAUUCAGUUUGGGUUAUUAUAGACAAGUUGACCAAGUCAGCUCAUUUCCUUCCACUUCAUACCUCUUAUUUAGCUGAGGAUUAUGCCAAACUCUAAAUUAGAGAGUUGGUCAGAUUACACAGUGUUCCACUAUCUAUUAUCUCAGACAGAGAUACCUAGUUCACCUCUAACUUUUGGAAAUAGUUCUAAAGGGGUCUUGGUACCCAAGUUCAUCUCAGUACAACUUUUUAUGAUCAUACAGAUGGUCAGGACAAAAGGACCAUUCAGACUCUAGAAGAUAUGCUAGGGGCGUGUGCAAUUGAUUUCAAGGAAAGUUGGGAUGAUCCCUUGCCUUUGAUUGAGUUUGCAUACAAUAAUAGCUAUCAUUCCAGUAUUCAGAUGGCUCCGUUUGAAGCUCUCUAUGGUAGGAGGUGCAGAUCUCCAAUUGGUUGGUUCAAAAUUAGUGAGGCCUCAAUCAUAGGUCCUGACUUAGUAUUCAAUGUCUUAGAAAAUGUCCAGUUGUUCAGAGAAUGGCUUCGGGCUGCUCAGAGCCGACAGAAGUCCUAUACAAAUAUAUGCAGAAAAGAUCUUGAGUUUGAGAUUGGUGACAAUGUCUUUCUAAAGAUCUCUCCCAUAAAGGGAGUGAAGUAGUUCGGAAAGAAGGAAAAGCUCAAUACCCGAUAUGUCGGUUCCUUCAAGAUUCUCAGUCGUUUAGCCAAGGUACCUUAUGAGCUCGAAUUGCCUUCAGACCUAGCUUCAGUUCAUCCAGUCUUUCAUGUAUCUUUGCUGAAGAAGUUUAUAGGUGAUCCAUCAGUCAUAGUCCCUAUUCAGAGCAUUGACGUUCAGAAUAGUGUCUCCUAUGAGGAAAUUUUGGUUGAAAUUCUAGACUAUCAAACUCGUAAACUGAGGAACAAAGAAGUCCCUCUAGUCAAAGUUCUUUGGUGAAACCAAUCCGUUCAGGGAGCUUCUUAGGAAGCAGAAGUAGACAUACGUACCAAGUAUCCUCACCUCUUCUCUGCUAAUUCAGAUCAAGCUCAAGGUAAUAGUUCUCCUUAAGCUAUACAGUUUACGUUCAACAUUCUAUACAACUUGGUAUUUAGUUCAUGCUCAUGUUUCAUCACAAAUCUGGUAUCAAGUACCAUUGAAUAUUCAAUCAUGCAUUCAUGUAUCCGUUCAGUGAAUAAUCAUGCAUCAGAUAUGCAUUCUCUUUGUGAGAACCUCAGUUAUCAUAAACCUUAGUCAUGCAUCUAUGAAUCAAUUACAUGUGCAUUAGAUAUGUAUGUUCAGUAUGAUAUAUUCAGUUGUCAUUAAUGUCAGUCAUGAGAUCAUGUUUCAGUCAUUCAUGUCCAGUUUAUGUUCAGCUUAUUGUUUCCCCUCUCAGUCAGUCUCAUUUGAGGAUGAAUGUUUUCAAGGGGGAGAUAUUGGACCCUACCAAAUUGUUGCGUUCAUAUUCAGCUCGUUUGGCUCUUUGAAGCUCAAUAUAAAGUACAACACUUAGAAAAUUAUAGAUAAGUGUUCAACACUUAGUCUCAUUUUAGACCUCUAAACUUCGAGGAUUUAUUUAAGGUCACUCCUGACCUUCGUUUUCUAAUUUUCAAGUUGCAUUGCGAUGGGGCUAGGUCAUAGUACAUCCCAGGUGAGUUUCAAAAUUUUUGGAAUAGCGUAAGGUCACGUUUAGGUUCCCAAACUAGUAGCUCAGGGUGAUAGGCCCGCGCCGCACUGGCUAGAGCGGGGGACUUGCCAAGCGAUGCCCUGCAACUCCGGUGGGUGCCUAGUUUCUAUCAUUCCACCUCCGUGUUUUUAAGGGUAUUAUGGUUAUUUUCCCUGCCUUAUAUAUAGUCUUAAACACGGUAUUUAGGCUUCAAAACACCAAAAUAUACUCCUUUUGCUGAAAUUCUCUCAAGAACAACGAAGAACAAGUCAAGGGUUUAAUUAGAAGUUUUAAGAUUCAAGCCUAUUUCACCGUUAACUUCAACAGAUUUUUAAUAUAAGGUAUGCGUGUGUUGAUUCAUGGAAUCCUUUUGUUCAUGACGCUCAAGAACCUGAUUUUAAACCAUAUAUCAUGGUAUUUUUGUUGUGAUUUGAUUUUUAGUCAUGUCUAUGUGUUGAAUGAUGCCAAGAUAGAAUCUUUAUGUGUUUGUAUGAAACUAGGAUGACAUAUUGCAUGAAAUAUAUGAACUUUGGGUGAUUUGAAUUAUUGAAUUCAUGAAUAAACCUAUGCCCAACAUGGUGCAUGUAAGGUGUUUGCUAAAAUGCCUACAGUGAUAGAAUUCAUGUUUUUAUGACUUAAUAGUGCUUAAUUAACAAGUCCAUGCUCUAUGAUUUCAGAACUACGUAGCCAAAGUAGGUUGAGACAUCAAUACCUGUUAGUUGAGGGUAGGUAAGGUGGAUUAACCUGCCAAAAUAAGGUCCCACUAUUCUCAUUAUAGUACCUACCAGAUGAGGGUCAGUCACUGUUUCUCCUUACCAGUGGCGCGGUAUUGACACCUUUCUAAUCUGGGCACAAAUUGGACCCAGUUCAACUAUUAUAGCAUAUUUGGGGCAUGUCAGUUAAACAACCACCUCCCAUAAUUUCAGUCUCAGUCUCAGUAAAAGAACUUAGAUAGUUCUUCAGACUUCAGAACACCAGGACUGUCAGAUAUAGUCAAUUCAGUUACAGUACGGAACUCAGAUAGUUCCAUUAGAUUCGGGACUGUUAGACAUAGUUACCCAUGUUAUCAGAAUUCCAGUAUUACUCAUGUUAGAUAUCAGUAAACCAUGUAUUUGUGUACAGAUCUAGCUAUCACGUAUUCAUAAUCUCAAUUACUAUGUAUGCAUGUUUGCACUCUCACGUCCAUAUUAGUCAGUCGGUUAGUAUUGCUCAUGCAUGUAAGCCCUUUGCAUUUAGAAUACCUUACUCGUAUACUCAGUACUUUCAGUUGUAUUGAUGCAUUUGUGCUAUGGUGAUUUAUUUUAUGUUACACCAUAGGUUCAGAGACACGAGCCCCAGAUCAGCAAUAGCAGUCGCAUUUUAGUAUAUAGAGUUAUAGUGAUUCCUCUUUAUUUGAGGGGAUAUGAUUUGACCUUAUUUAUUAUUUUGAUUAGCUUUCAGUUUAUGGAGUUAGUUGGAGAAAUGUUUCUUUAACUCCCUACUCAGAUAGUAUUUAGAGGCUUUUAGAUUUUAGAUUUAUCUUUCAGAUGUUUUGGGUAUUCUUUACCCCAUAUGGAUGCUAUGAUUUAUCAGAUACUUUAUUCAGUUGAACCUUAUGCCCUAUUAUUUAUGUUUUUCACAUUUUACAUGUAUAUUAUGUAGUAUACUGGUACAUAUAUCAGUCAUGGGUUAACUUUUGGUUCUUUGGGGUCAUAAGCAUCGUGUAGCAUUUUGAUUCAGCAAAUCGGGCAUUAAAAACCUGGUAUCAAAGCCUAAGGUUCAAUAGAGUCCUUGGAAGUCUGAAAGCCACAUCUAGUACAGUUUUGUACAUGGGUGUGUUGCGCGCCAUAUUUAUGUACAAGAGGCUAUGAGAUGUUUAAGGAAUAGUUUUCUUUCUUUUAGUAUUCAUGUCGUGCUAGUGAGCACAAUCUCAAGUUAAACUCUCAGUAUAAUCCGUUCUUCUCUUAUUUCAGAAUAUGCCUCCAAAGAGAUGAAACUAGCGAGCUCCUCAAGCCGAAGAUUCUUUGGGCGAACCUUUUUCUCAUGAAGUUUAGGGUCGCCCAUGUUGUUAGAAUUCCAGUAUGAGUUAUGUUAGAUAUUAGUAAACCAUGUAUUUGUGUACAAAUCCAACUAUCACGUAUUCACGAUCUCAAUUACUAUGUAUGCAUAUUUGUACUCUUACGUCCAUAUUAGUCUGUCAGUUAGUAUUGCUCAUGCAUGUACGCCCUUUGCAUUUAGCAUACCUCACUCGUAUACUAAGUACUUUCAGUUGUACUGAUGCAUUUGUGCUAUGGUGCUUUAUUUUAUGUUACACCAUAGGUUCAGAGACAUGAGCCUUAAAUCAGCAGUAGCUGUCGCAUUUCAGUAUACAGAGUUGUAGUGAGUCCUCUUCAUUCGAGGGCGAUAUAAUUUGACCUUAUUUAUUAUUUUGAUUAGCUUUCUGUUUACGGAGUUAGUUGGAGACAUGUUCCUUCAACUCCAUACUCAGACAGUAUUUAGAGGCUUUUAGAUUUUAGAUUCAGCUUUCAGUUGUUUUGGGUAUUCAUUACCCCAUAUGGAUUCUAUGAUUUAUCAAAUACUUUAUUUAGUUGAGCCUUAUGGCCUAUUUUUCAUAUUUACUGCAUUUUACAUGUAUAUUAUGCAGUAUACAGGUAUAGAUAUCAGUCACGGAUUAGCUUGUGGUCCUUCGGGGUCAUAAGCACCAUGUAGCAUUCCGGUUCAGCGAAUUGGGGCGUUACAUGAAUCCUAUGUAAAUUUGGCAUGUUAAUCAAUUAUUUAGUGUGGGAACCUUAUUGAGCAUGAAUUGAGAUCAUAGAGGUCCCCAAACUCAAGGACGAGUUGAAAGCUUUCCUAUCGUUCGAGUUUGAGUGAGAGUCGAAACUUGGGUCAACUUCAAUCGACCAUAACUCUUUUUAUAUAAUUAAUUAAAGUUUCUACUAUAUAUCAGAUGAAAACUCUUCAAAUUAUCUUUCCAACGAUACUAAUUUCUCAAAAAAACGAUACUAGAGCAAAAAGUUAUGGCCAUUUUUGUGACUGAGACAGUAGCAUGGCGCGAUUAGCAUGCGGCGCACGCUCUGUCGCACGCACCCAAUUUCCAGGUUAUGUUUUUGCAUUUUUAUGGGCAAAACUAGUAUUUUCCACCACCUAUUCAUCCAUAAGACAGGAUUAAAUCCCCCAAACACCAAAAUUACAUUAUUUUCUCUCAAAAUCACCAAGAACACUCCUUAGCAUUUCAACCCAAAAAUUAACAUAUCUCUAGAUUUAACCAUAGCUUUUUCUUAAUUCUUCAAGAAUGGGAAUUCCCAUUGUGAAGGAUACAAGAAGCACCCUUCAAUUCUUCGAAUAGCAUCCCUAAAGCACGAGUUCAUUCAAGAGUCAUAAAUUAAGGUAUGUGGGGUUUUCCUAAAAUUUAAUGGGCAUAGAAAUCUUCUUUUAAUUAUUUAAAGGGUUUAAAAAUCAUGAUUUUUAAGAAAAAGGUUUUGGAUAUAGGAUUUUAAUCAUGCUUUUAGAAGCCUUGAUGAUAUUAUUUUGGUCUUUAGGCCUUCCCCCAAAGUGAUUUAAAAUCCUAUGUAUAUGUAUAUAUGGUUUUAAUGUGAUGUUUGAAUUGAGAGCAUGACUCACAUGAAAUCCCUUUUUUGAUAUGAUUUAUCCCAUUUUUCAUAUGAUAUGGAUUGUUUUGAAAUGCAUCUUGAAAAGCAUGAUACGAAAUGUAUUGAUUUAAACUAUGAUAUGAAUAUAAUUUUUGAAUUAAAAAAGAGGGUUGUUUGUAUUGAUAAAUAUUGAAUAUAAAUAUCUAAUGGAAAGAGUCGCAUGGUUUGACAAAGAUUUUAGGACCACUACAUUGUUAUUGAAAGAAUGAUAAUCCUUGCAUAGUUUUGACUUAUGCUUUCGGAACAUGAAAUCUCUUAUAUUAUUUGCAUAUUUGGGUGGUCUGAAUUGAGUUUUAAUGAAAGAAUCAUGCUUGAUAUAAUAUGGCUCAAAAAUAGGACUUGCAAGUCUUGGUGUGACGACACCAACUCAGAUAAUGCCAUGGUAAUUCAGAACAAAGUACAAUGCAUGUUUGAAAUCAGAUUUUCAGAUUUUGAAACUAGAAUGAUGUAUGUUUCGGAACAGGCUAAAAUUGGGCAUAAAGAGAGUUUAGGUGGUUCCCCGAAUAAGGCAUAAGUUCAGACAACUCAUUGCCCAAAAUUGUGUUGUGCCAUUACGGGUAUAUUAUUGUACGCUGGCGAUGACCCUGUGGUGUAGUAGAUUCAGAGACUCCAACCCUUGCGGCAAACUUGGGUUAGGGGCUUCCCCACUGAGGUAAUGGCGGAUUCCAUAUAGCCCAUGGAAUAUCAGACUUGUAGGGUAGUGCCACCUAACUCAGAAGUAAUAUAAAGAUUAGAAAACUGCAUUGACAGAAAGGUUUAUGAUUAUAAAAAAUGUCCGUCUGUUUUGAAAUUAUAUCUUUCAUGAUGUUUAUAACUAACUCUCAAUUAUUAUAUACAAGUUAUAUUUUGGAUUUCUAUACAUAUCAGUACAUUUGUAUUGACCCUCCUACCUACCAGGGUCUAAAGCUCAGUUUAGAGGUCCUACUAAGCCGUAGAGUUUUUAGACAGUAGUGAAGUGUGCACUUGGUGAGCCUUCUUUAUUUUAGAAGGCCUAUGUCUUUCAGAUUAUGUUAUUUAUUUUGGUUUAGGUCCACUGAGGGCCUUGUCCCAGUUUUAGACAGUUAUUGUUUUCAGAUGUAGUAGAGAUUUCGCAGACUGAAUCGGAUAUGGUCUCGAUGUUGGAUUUCUUUCCUUAUAGUUAAAUUAAAAUCAGAGUAUGACCAUGUUUCCGUAAUGAUUUACAAUUCUGAAUAUUCUUUUAUUGUAUGAAUAUUGUGCAUGAUUACCAGAUGUAGAAGGGCAUCCAGGCCUUCACGGUUCGGGAUGCUCGUUACGGCCAGGGCCUCGGUUUGGGUCAUGACAAAUUUCUCAUUUGAUGACUUAGUUGAUGGCCCGUCAACCCAUUGAUGACUCAUUAACUCAGGUCAUUAUCUAUGGAGAUUUUUUGUUCUUACUAGUUAAGGUUGAUGACUUUAGUUGACCGGUCAUCAACCAGUUGACGAGCCGUCAAUCUUUGGCAAACAAACACCCUCAGGUAAAAUGAGCAUAACUUUCUACUCUGAUAUAAAAUUAAGGUAAGAUCAUAUGUGUUGGAAAGAAGACUUAAAGAUCUUUUAUUUGGUGAGUAUUUUUCUACAAAAAGUUUCAUAUUAAAGGUGUUAUGAUUGUUUGAAGUUGACUCAAAAAAAUAAUCUUACACUAGAACUUAGCUAAAAAGGGAGCUUUUGAUUUAACUAUAUAUUAGGGACUUCUCAUGACCCUAAAACACAUAGUAACCCAUUACAAACAUGCAUGAACUUUUUUUAUCACCCCAAGACUACCUUCUAGACACUAUAUGAUGCUUAGAGUUACAAAUAGCCCCAAAGCUAUCCCAUAGUGCGCCCUCAACAUGGAAUGCCAAAUAUUAGUAUGGAAAUAAGCAGAAAUCUUAACUUAUAAGUUGAAUUGUACUUGAAAUAAAUCAGUCUCAAUAAAAGAAGGAUAAACCCAAUCGCAACUACAAGUAUGAAUACCCUAGUGAAAUAAAUAACUGACAGGUUCAGACAAGCCUCUACUAAACUUGAGAGUCACUAGGACAGACCCCAGCUGACAUGAAAGAGAACAUAUGAUCUAAACAAUAGCUUAUUAAGUGAACAUUAAAAGUAAACAUAAUUUUAGACCAUAAAGAAGGAGGAUCUCCAAUUGACAGGAUAUAAAAAAUGAUGAUCGUGGCUAAUCGUACUACUGAGUAUGAACACCAAAACCUACAUUAUGAAAUAAUAUAUCCACAUAGAAAUAUAUGUGGUCAGUACUUCUAGAAUAUACUGAGUAUGUAGGGGUGAAUGCAAUAAAUAAAAAUUAAAGCUCACAUACUUAUAAAACAUGCAUGCUAAGUGUAAAUACGCUCACCUUGAUCAUGGGUAAAUUGAGAGCUAAAAUUUUAUAACUCAUAAAUCAUAAACAACAUUUGAAUAAGUUUUUGAGUCACUAUACCUAGUUUCUAAAAUCUUCUUUACUUUUCUUAUGGGAGAUUCUUAUAACUGAUAUAAAUCAUGUGAGCUAGCAUGGAGUCCAAUGUCUUACCCAUAUUGAGGAUAUCUGUUCUACCCUUGCUAUAGAAAUAGAACCUAACUUAGAGUGAUCACUAAACUUAGCCCCUUGGGUGAGGAGACACUCUCUAUAAAGGACUCUUAAACCUACGGUGGCAAGUAAUUUCUGUAAAAUAGGAUGCUCUAAACCCACAUUUCUCUCUUGGUGCUAAAUACUACUCCCAAAAUAUAUACUUAUACACUCAAACUUAUGAAUUUCACCUUAAAGUAUCAUGUGGUUUUAUAAAACUGAAAAAAACCAACCAUGCUUCUCUCGCUUAAAUCAUUCUUAUAAAAAACUUGUGAAUUUCAUAUCUUAUCUAAGAUCAUAAGAUCAAAAUUGAAGCUUUAAUCAUGUUGUAAUACUUUAUUAGUUGAACUGGUAAACUUGAACUUCUUGUAAACUGAGAAAUCAUGCUAAAUCAUAUAUGCACUUUUACACUAAUAGAAGAUCAUGUCAAAAUGCUAAAAACUUCUCUCAUAAUAUCGAUUAUAUAUAAUAAAACAUGGAUAAAUGUAAAAUCUUAUGUUUACUGAACUUCAAAAUCACAUAGAAACAUUAUAAUUUCAAAAGCAUAAAGUGGGUAUAACCCCUAAUCAUGAAAUCCUUACAAAUAUAUCUAAAAACUUAACCUUUGUUCACAAGGAUGAAAGAAUAUCGUUGUUCAAAUCCCACAUACCUAGACUUAGUGAAUUGCUUGAAGAAAACUUGAAUUGGAACCUUGAAAGCUUGAAUUUUGGAGAAGAACCCUUACUAGUUAUUCUUGAGAGUUUGGAGAGGAGAUGAAUCGUGUAUUAUGAAUUAUGAGGGUGGGAAUCAAAUUUAUUAUAGUUGGGAAAUCAUUUAAGAGGUAAAAGACAAAAAAUUCCGCAAAAUAUUUUUAAGAAAAACCAAUAUCUAGUGUUUCUGCACACAUGUGCAUGGCAUACUCUUAUCAUGCCACACCAAGGGCGUGGCACGCCCUUAUCGCAUCAGGCUACUAGUUUUUAUGUAAGGGUGUGCCAUACCUCCUUAGAACGCCCUAAACAUGAAUCCUUAAUACUUUAGGGUCCCAAAAUAUCCCAAAACGCAUUUCAAAAAUUCAGAAACACCUCCUAAUGGUCCCGUUAAUAUUCCUUAUAAUUAUUCAACUCAAAAAGCAUAAUAAAAUAUGAGGGAGAUAUAAAAAUAAAAUCUUAGAAAUCUUGGAGCCAACACUUUUAGGAGUCCACAUUCACUCCUAAAAAUAUAUAAACCACAUUCUUCCCUAUCAAUCCCCUUCAACCUUCUAUUGUAUAGGUCCUAAAAACACAAAAUUUAGGAUAAAAGGAAACAAAGUAAGAUAGAUGUCUUAUAAUCUUGGAUACAAACAAUAAUUUCAACUUGAAAUCAAGCACAUAUAGCACAUAUUUGUAGCUUCAUCCUUGAAAAUAAGUGUCUCUCCAAACUGUGAUAUGGUUGUCUUUGAUCUGUUAAAAGGGUGUUCUUGGUUUUUUACGAUUGCACUACAAUGUGUUUCCUUGUGAAAACAUCUUUAUUAUUGUAAUGUGAUGUGUAAAACUAAAAUCUUCUAUCCAAUUUUAUGAAAAAACAUGAGAUAAUGAGAAAGUAGGUAUACCUACCAUGUUAACCUACUUUGUAUCCUUUGUGUAUUUCUGUAAUAAAAAACAUUAUCUAUUUGUUUUCUUCAACAAUAUAUCUUUGUCCCUUUGUCAUACCAACAUUGUUUACUUCAUAAAUAGUUGAAGCAACUUGACUUGCAUCACCAUGAGAGUUUCUUUUGACAUUGUGUAUUGAAUUGGAAGCUUAGUCUGAUUCUCAUACUGGUUUCCAAACCUUCCAUGGUCUUGAUUAUUGUAGCCUCUAAAAUAUAAUUGUUGACCUGAUCCUUUUUAUGCUCCAUUUGUGUAGUCGGGCUUCUCUUUCUAUUUCUAAUCCAUAGGAUAACCUAUCAGCUUGUAAUAAUUCUCUCUAGUUUAACCAGUAAACUGACAGUAAUCAUACUUCUUACCUUUAUAAUUUUGAUUUUGACUUUCAUGACUGAAUUCCUGUCUUCUAUUCACUUAUAUGGCCAUUAGAUCAGAUUUCUCACUUAUAGAAACCACACAAGCUAACUGAUAUAUCUCAUCUUUUAUGAUCAUAGCAUAUGUCUGGUUAAGAGUUGGAGUCACUUCUUUCAACAAUAUUUUCCUUGGUUCUUGAUCAUACGAUUCAUUUAAGCCACUAAGGAACUAAAUUAGUCUUAGCUAAUACAAGUGAUUAGCAUAAUCCUUUGAUUUAGGAUAAGCACGGCUUGUGGCUGGUACUACAACAUCAUAUUCUCCUUAGAGGUUCUUCAAUCUUUUGAAAUAAGUUAGAUUGGAUCUGUACCUUGUGAAAUAUUGUUUAUUUCUCUAUGUAAUUAAUACAACCUCAUGCGAUUCACCUUAUCAAAUUGUUCCUUCAGAUCUUCCCGUAUCUCAAACACACUGUUAAUAUACAUGAUUUUUUUAAAAGUUCUUCAUUGGUGGUGCUCAUAAUCCAGGAUAGCAUAAUUCCAUCAGACUUCUCCCAAUGAUCAUGCAAUUCAUCCCUAUAAAAAGUUCUGCUACAAGCUCCAGUAACAAUCAUACUAUCUCUUUCUCAAUAGGGAAAUUUUCAUUGAUCGAUUCCAAACUCCAUAGUUUUCAGCACCUGUUAACUUGAUGGGAAUCAAUGCAAAGCAUGAUACAUUUGAUGGACCUAUAUAUAGAGGAUCACCUGGAUUGAUACGAUUCAUCAUCAUUUCUAGGUUUUCUAAGAAACAAUUCUAUAGAAUCUAAGCUCCUUUUGUGGAUUUGAACCUCGCCUAUGAUUUUUCUCUAUAAAACUAGUAUCACUGCUCUAAUACCAUAAUAAAAUCUACUAUAAAAGUUCUUAAUGAUGCUAAAAAGGAAAGAUCUUGGUGAAAGGGGGAAUAAUGGGUGAUGGAGAAAACUAGAAAAUAAAACUGGUGAUACGGGAAACUGAUUGUUGGUGAAAGAAGGAAUUGGAGAUACCUUGAUAUGAAACUUUUCUUGGUAAAUGUAGAAAGUUUUUGUCAUCAUAAAAAGGGGAAUAUUGAUGUAUAUGUUGAUUUGAUGAUUGACAAAUCUCAUGAAGGGGCCUAGUAUUGAUGAAGAUCAUGGCGACAGGAGAAACUGGCAUAGAAGUGUUGAAUUGGUACAUGGGAUAUGUGGUUUUGAUAAUUAAAAAAACUAAUGAGAGGACGUGGAACCAGAAAUGCUUAAGUGCAAGAUUAAUUGGUUUUUGGUAACAUUGCAACAGAGAAUUAGAGUACGUUCAUGAAGUCUUAUUUGUGCAGAUAGUAUUCACACCUAAUUUUUUCCCUAUCUGACUAGGUUUAAUCCUUAAUUGCUUCAAUUUUAAAUAAAAUUAAAAUAUUUAUAUUUAUUUGGAUAAGAAUUUCUAAAAUAUUUAUUUGAGUCAAUUUUUUCAUUUAAGUAAUUACAUUUUAUGUGUUCCUAUAUACGAGAUGGUAUAAUUUUUUGUUACUUAAAUGAUUACUUUUACCAAAAUUGAAUUUUUAUUGAGACACAUCUUGAAAACAGAUUCAAAUGAGUAAAUCCCAAUUUAAAUGUAUUUGUUCUUAAAAAUAAAUUAUUCAAAAAAUACUUAUUUGAUUUAAUCAAACCAAGAAAAUCAAAAUUAAAUCAGGUAUUAAUCCAUAUCAAAUUGUGAUUCAAUUUAGUCAAUUUAUAUAUUUGACCGUAAUGAAAUUAAUAGUAGUUUCACACAAAACUAACAACUUUUUUUUGUGGAUGUAGGGAUCAAUUCACAAAAAUGAGAUCUUCUUCAAAAAUCUCCUAAGCGAAUAGGGAACUGUGCGAAAGCAUAUGGGACUCAAGAACAGUUUUUAGGGUGGCCCCAAAGAUGGGUUUAGUUACCUAUUUAUCAAGGACCUUCUGACUUGUCUAUCUCAUUUCAUAAGAACAUGGAUGACAAACAAAAAUGUCUUAUCCUCAUUAUGAAUAUUUUAUUUAGAAUUUUUUCUAAAAAUAAUCGCUAGCAUAGGUACAUUAAAAAAAGUUGGUGCAAUAAGGACAAAGUCAAAAGGAUCACUCAGUAGAAGGAAGAGUAGAAACGUUCUCCUAAGAUUUUCCAUGAAGUGAAACAUAUGGUAUUCAAUUGGUCCUCAAGAAAGGAUUUCACCCAUUUGUGUAUGUCAAGUGGACUUGCUGUUUACAUAUUCCCUCUAAAAGAGAAGAUUAAUAGCGGACUUAGUCAUUCGUAUUAUGAUACUUUUUUCAUUUAAGCUUUCAUAAAUUUUGGCUGUGGUCUCCAACAAUAGCAAAAAUGUGUCUUCUAACCAUCUAUAUUGAGUACAAGUACAUGCAAAAAGACAACACACCGGUAACAAACUCAGGUAAAUCUUCUCUUUAAAUUGCCGAGAGGGAAUUUUAUCCCAUUACAUACUAUUUCAUCCCAUCGAAUUCCAUCACAUACCAUUGUAUCCCAUUAUAUUUCAUUGAAUACCACUGUAUCCCAUUAUAUUCCAUUGCACUGCAUCCCAUUACAUUCUAUUGCAUUGCAUCCCAUUACAUUCCAUCCCAUAUCCUUGCAUCCAUUUGUAUUUUAUUACACACCAUUGCAUCCCAUUACAUUAUAUUACAUUGCAUCCCAUUAUAUUAUAUUGUAUUACAAACAUUAAAUUUCAUUAGACACCAUUAAAUAUUAUUGUAUUUCAUUGCAUUCUAUUUUAUUCCAUGCCAAUAGGACCAUCUCAUCCUAUGGUCCUACAAGAAGGCUAUUUCAUUUUGUUGUUGAGAGGGCCAUGCUGAGAGGGACAUUACAUUCCAUUAUCUAGAGGAUCAUGCUGAGAGGAUCAUUAUAUUCCAUUAUCACGAGGGCCAUUUCAUACCAUUGCUGAAGUGGCCAUUCUAUUUCAUUGUAGAGAGGGUCAUUUCAUUCUAUCUUCAAGAGGGCCAUUUCAUACCAUUGUUAAGAGGUCCAUUUUAUUUCAUGUCAAGAGAGAUGCUAUGUUUCAUCACCGAGAGGGCCAUUUUAUUUAAUUCCAAUAGGUCUAUUUCAUUCAAUUAUUGAUAUGUCCAUAUUAAGAGGGUUAUACGGAUAGUGCCAUUACAUUUUAUGUCAAAUAAGUCUCUAUAGCUUCUCACCAUGUAAGAUGAUAGGGCCUAGAUUUGAAUGAUUCUUUAGAGCACAUAUAUCCAUUGACCAUGCAAAGAUAGCAUAAUUUGGCAUCGAGGAUAUCUCAAUAUUUUAUAUGUAUUGACCAUGCAAAAGGCAAUGUAACCCUCCAUUGAGGAUAUUUUAGCAUUUUAUGUAUCAGUAUUUUAAUGCAUUAAUAUAUAAAGUUGAAAAAGUACAUGAUCCGAAGGGAUGUCUUUAAGUCACUAUCUAAAGGCAGACGUCAUAUUAGAUUUCCAAAAAUUUGACAAUCUGAGGGUCAUCCAGAAGCUAUAAUAUUUCAGAUAUGAUAGUGUGUGAGAUUACCUGCAUUUAAUAGUCCAUGGAUCAUUCGUAAGUCACGAAAAUAUUCUAAUUGGAUAUUAGGCGAGAUUACCCCAAAAUUGAUAGCUCGAAUAUUAUCUAUAAGCCACAGCUAAAUCCUUAUUAGUUGAUGUACAAGAUCACUAAAAUUUUUGACCCAAGGGUUCUCUAUAACCCACAACUUAUUCAAGAUGAUUAUGUGCAAUAUUAUCCAAAGACUGAUAAUUUGAGGGAUAUUCAUAAGUUCCAUCGCACCCAAGGACAAAAAAUAUGCAAGAUUACUCAGAAAAUUAUCGAUACGAGAGAUAUAUAUAACCCAUCUAUUAUCCAAGAUCAGAUAAUGUGUAUGAUUACCUAUAAGACGAUCAACUCAAAAGACGUCUGUAAGUCAUAUCAUAUCCAAUAUCGGAUAACAUGCAAUACUAUUCAAAGAUUAAAAUAUUUGAGGAAUAUCUAUAAGUGGUACUGAUAUGAAAGAUGACCAAGACUUACCAGAUGAUCGCAUACAAAAUAUCUAUAUUGAUAGCCAAAGAGGUUAUCAAGAAGCAUUACAGGUGACCAAGAGGGUUACAAUAUCAACAUAAGAUUAUUCAGUUGCAGGGAUCGUUCUAGACAAAGUGUCAUCAGUGUCCAAAAGGGCCACCCACUUUGAAGAAAAUUUCAAUCAUAAAAAAAUCUAUUUUAUCCAACAAUCAAGAAAGAUGUUAUGUCUGUUAUUGCAAAAAUUAUUGCCCUCCAAAAAGGUUCAUGAGAGGACGACUUCACUUUUUAGAUAACAAUUCAUGAAGAGAUAUGGUAAAAUACUAUAUUCCUUAUCCCUAAUAAUUUUUAUUUUGGGAUAUUUCCAAGAGAAUACGAGAGGAUAAAAAUCUCAAACCAAAACCAUAGGUGUGGACGACUCCAAAUGGACGCAAUACAACAUGAAACUUUUUCUAGAAAAAACUUGGGACAUAGUCCGAAGAGGAAUAUCAAAAUCUUUGGAUGUGAGCUAAAGGUUGACUUCCACAACCCUCAAACACAACCCUAUUAGAAGGCAAGACAUGUAUGUAUGUAUGUAUUAAUAACACCCUGCAUUUUUGAGCUAGUCUUUGAACUGUCGUUCCUAUGUGUAUAAGCUAUAAUCCAAAUUAUUCCUAUGUGAAAAUAAGUUUCAAGAUAUUUAUCCUUGUUUUUAAUGUGCUUUUGAAGUGAAAAAUAUUCAUAAGAACCACUUAGAACAAAGUUAAGCUUAGAGCCUUUGAUUCAUUCAAAGUUUGGUAUUUGAUUCUACGAGGAUCUACUUUGAACGUGUAUAACUUUUUAUAUAUGUAGACUUUUAUAUCGCAAGACCCACCAAAUUUUAGAUAAUUGAAUUAGCUUUCUAACGAUACUAAUUUUGCCUUAAUUCGAUACCCGAGUGAAACGUUAUGGCAUUUCUAUAUGAGGUAGUAAGCCGACGUGAUUGGGGUGUGGCACGCCAGUCCUUGGUGCGAUGAGCGACGUGAUGUAUUGUUGUCCCUGAUGUGAUGGCUAAUGCGAUACAGAGUUAUUUCACCUGCUGUUUCAGUUCCUAAAGGGUCUGGGACACUUUGGUCACUUUGCCUCACCUAAAACUGUCCAAAACACAUAAUUCAGCCCCAAAUAGCAUAGAUACAUCAUUAUUCAUAAUUUUCCUCUCCAAGAAAAAAAACCUAGAUCUAAGAAAUCAAGAAUAAUUCUAUUACCCCUUCUCCAAGAUACAAGAAAUCUAAGUUCUGAGUUCAAGAACUUCAAGAAAACCAUUAGAGAUUCAAAAGUUCAAGAUUUUACAUUAAAUCCAAACUAUUAAGGUAUGUGGGAGUUCAUCCACGGGUCUCCUUUCACCCAUGGAGCCAAAGAACCCUUUUUGAAUUUAAAAUUAUGAGUUUUACAUGUUUCAUGUUCAAAGUUAUGAUCGUUACAUGUUAAUAUGAAUUAUAUCCAUGAAAUUUCAUGAAUUUUGAUUAUGUAUCAUGUUUACAAAUGGUUUUCAUUGAAAUUGCCUAGAUAUGUUUGAAUGGUGAUUUUCACUUGUUAAAUCCUUAAUCCAAGUUGCUAAUGUUGAAAUUAUGUAAUUUUCUGAGCUGCAUAUUAAGAAUGUUAUGAUCUUCAUAUCAAAUCCCUAAGUUGUGAAUUGAUUCAUUUGGCCAUGAUAUUUUCGCAUGCUUUCUCAUUCCCAUGCAUAAAUUUAGGGUCUCCACAUGUUGAUGAAAUUCCCAUUUCAUGAUCAAUUAAUUUCAAGAUGAAAUACCCAAGUUAUGAAUGUUGCUAAGUAAAUCUAUUGUUCCCUCAUGUUUAAGACAUUCUUUUGUCAAGCGAUGAUCUUUACAUAUUUUGAUGAAAUGUCAUGUCCUAUUUCAAGAAAAUUUCUUAUAAAUCUUCUAAUUAAUGAUUUUAGUUAUGUAACCAUGCUAUGCUCCCAUGUUUAAGAUAUUACUAUGUACAAGUUUAUGCUUUCCAUAUGUUUGAUAAAAUGUACAGAUGAAUGAGUUUUGGAAUAGUACCUUCUUAUUAUGUUGCUAAUGUUGUUGUAUAGUGUCCUAUUGUAAAUGCUAUCGAGUUUUGGGGGUUAUGAAUACCCAAAAUUGAUCUUUUUACUUAUUCUCCAUCUUUUUAAAAGGGUUUCAAACAUGUAUGAACAUUAUCAGUUCAGUCAGUUAUAAUACUAGUUAAACUUAGGUUAAUUCAGUAAUCCAGGUCAGUUCUGUUGGGAGUAGGAUUCAACACCGAGUGAACCCAGGGAUGGGGGCAUUCCUACCAGUAUAGGGUUUGAACCUUAGUAGCAAUCCCUGAGUUACAGAACUAUGUAGCUAGCAUAGGUUGAGAUGUCUUCCUGCUAGAUUAGGGUUGACAUGCACAUAUAUCCCAUGAGUCUUUAUUCUAGAUUAGGGUUGACAUUCACAUAUAUCCCAUGGGUCUUUUUGCCAGAUUAGGGUUGACACAACCAUUUUUAGUACCCAUGGCACAGUACUAAUACCCUUCCAACUGGGGUUAUAAGUUAGACCCCAACCAGCUCAGAUUGGGGCAUGUUGGUUAGAUGAUACCUCCCACAAUUCGAGUUUCAGUAUUCAGUUAAGAACUCAGUUCAAUUCUACUUGACCAUAACAUAUAGUUAUCAGUCAUUCAGUUAUCAAAUUUCAGUAUUCUAGUUUACAGACUAUUUUAGAAUCAUAUGAUAUGCUUGGUCAUGCAUCCUCAGAAUUUAUAAGUUUUCAUGCAUUUGCGUGCAACAAUAUCAUGUUGUUCAGUUGUCCGCAUUCAUAUAUUAGUGACUCAGUAUGUAUACACUAGUUAUUCCUUUUUCCUUAGAUUUUACUUAUUUCGUUACCCAGGCAUCAGUGAUUUAGUUAAUCAGAUUAGUUAGUAUAUAUGUGUUUGUUCUUGAACGUUCACGUCUUUAUGUUUUACUGUAUCCCGGCUUUAGUUCUACUUAUAUUAUAAAAGGAAAGUUUUAAAAAACUAAGUAUUGUAAUUCACCAACUUAUCAGAUCAUGUUUGUUACUCAUGUUUUAAGAUAUUUCAGUUUUCAGUUUAUUUCAGUCUCUUGGUAAGUUUGCUUACACCUAGUCAUGCAUGUUUUAAGAUUUUGUAUGAAACCAGUUUUACUUACUAUAUUCACCCUUGCUUACUCAGUAUAUUCCAGAAGUACUGAUCCAUAUAUACGUCUGUAUGGCUACAUUAUUUCAUAAUGUAGAUACCAUUUGUAUCCCACAUAUCAUGAUCAGUCAGUUGUAGUUCCCAGCCAGCAGGUGAUGAGUUCUCUUAUUUUGGGAACUCCAGAUAGUUUUAGUUCAUGUACAGUUCAUUUAGUUUUCAUAUGUAUUGAUUAGUGGUAGUUGAAGGCAUGUCCCAACUACCUAUAGUCAGUAUAGUAGAGACUUUAUAUAUGUCAGUCAGAUUCUAUCAUGUAAUUUGAGUUCUUUCUCAAUUUUAUCAGACUGUAAAUCUUAUCAGUAUUGUAACUAUUUAGAUUAAGCAAAGAUUGUGUUUCUGCAUAGUAAACUCAGUUAUUUUAUACAUUAUAAAUCAGUUGCUAAUAGUAUGCCAGUUCAUGGGUUAGCUUGGGAUCACUUGUGGUUCAAAUCAUCAUGUGAUGACUAGGGGGUUGGUAUUGGUUCAUUACAAACUUAGUAGUAGAGCACAAGGUUCAAGCGUUCUAGGGUGUCUAUGAAGUCGUGUCCAGUAGAGUCUUGCAAAAUGGUAUGGAGACAUCUGUACUUUUCUUUGAAAGGUUAUAGGGCAUUUAGGAAAUGUUUUCCUUCUUUCAAGUCUCAAAGCGUGCAGUUGAAGUGUCCUCUAAGAAACUUAUACAGAUUUUCAUCUCACUUUAUUCAUGCCAUCUCUGCCUUAUUUUUGAGGUAACAGAAAUAGUCAAGUUCAAACUCCUACAAACGGAGGUUUCUCAGACAUUCCUCACAGAAAGUUAUGGGAUUACACGCAGGCUCAAAUAUCCCAUUAGUUCCCUUAUGUUCUAAACUUUGAAAAUAUUCAUUCAUGUUGAUGAAAAAUCGUGCAUUGAGCCAAAUUCAGACGUCCUUUCAGAUCCCUUCUCAAAAUUCUUUGAUAGCAUGUGAUCUAGAGUUAGAAGCAUGGUCCCAGAAGUUUAGCAGUAGUGGAGCUGGGAUAGUGUUAUCUGGAUUAAGUAGAUUAUGUAUCCAUGGGGCUAGUUGUAUGAGAGGUAAAACAGUAGGCUUGAAAUGGUGUAUACAUGAAUUUAUGUAUGUUGGUUUAAAUUUAUAUGUUGUUGACAUUGGGUAUGUUGGUAUAGUGAUGCUCUUGAAGAUUCUAAGUUAGUUAGUGUUUAAGUUAUUAUAUCAUGACUAUUAGGGGCUAUAGAAAGUAAAGAGUUCUAUCUCAGAAGGAAGUAUUAGCAGUAGAUUUUACACUUUCAGGUGUAGUCUUUCAGGGUGAGGUAAUUAUUCAUGUGUGUUGAUAUCUCAGGAUUGAGAGUAAAGUGGUUGUAGUUCAGUUUAGAUUUAUUAAAAGUGGUUCACAGACUUAGAAUGAUGGCUUAAAGAUAAGGGGAAGAUAAUAGAACAAGUAACCAAGUCAGGCUCUCAGAUCUUAGUAAUGGUGCCAGUAUAUAUAGAAAAGCAAUAAGGAAGGAUGAUUCCCAACCCAUUCCUAUCUCAGUGCAUAUUUUUUCAAUCAUCACGACAUCUACUCAUGCCUUACAUGUCAGCUUCAUGAUUAUAACUUAUAUUCAUGCACUUUCUAUAGAAUCAUAUACGCUUCUAGUCCCUAGAAUAAGGAGUUCUAGUUUUCUCAGCAAUACGAGUCAUGUUCCAUAAAAUCAUGAACUCCAAACCCACGUCACAUAGAUCAUGACUCAUGUACUCAUGCUUUACAGUACGUUCAGUUCCAGGCCUCAGUAAAGUGUCAAGUUAUGCAUAAUAUCUUGUCGUGUUUCAGGUCCUCAUGUUCUAACCUUUUAUUGACCUUUUCGUAUGUUAAGAUAGUGAUGAUGAGCAGUUGUUUAGAUGAGAGAGAGAGUAAAAUUUUAUUAUUGAUGAAAGAUUGUUGUAUGCUUAUUUUAUGUAAGUCUAUAAGUUUGAAGAAAUAUUAAGGUGAAGCUUUUGGUGUAUGUCUUGGUUAGUUGAGAAUUUUUAUGCGUGUCUUUCUAAGAAUAGUGCAUGGAAAUUGUUAUUGAUAGGGGUUUAUAGGAUAUGAGAAAUACGAUUUUGUGGUUGUUUGCCUAUAAGUUCAUGUGUGGUUAUAAAGAUAGGCUUGAAUGUCAUGUUGGUGUAUAAGUGGAUGAAUGUUUUGUGCGUUAGUGAAUGUCUAGUAAGAGGUUGAAUGUAGUUGUUGAAGUGGUAAUAAAAAUUACUCAUGAAAUGAGGAGUUGUGAAAAUACAGGGUGUAUUGAAUUCAUAGUUCAGUCUAGUAUUAUAGUGUUAUGGGUUCACUUAGUAGAUUCGAGUAGGCUUAAACAUGGUGAGAGAAUUCAGUUCAGCUUAGACUUUAGUAGGUAAAGUUGUCAGUGCCCAUGUGAAUAUUUUUAGUAGCCUCAAGUGACGUGUAGUUUUGAAGUGGAAUGUAUAUUUGAGUUUAGGCUUUUCGUAUAAUUCCGUUCGUAUAGCCAGCAAUCUAGUCUAGCAGUUAGGAAGACAAGUUUCUAUGGUUUUCCAUCUUUCCAUCUAGUCUUAUAUCCUACGUUUCAUGAGUUUGACUACUCCAUGAGAUAGUUCAGCUACUCCCAUGCAAGAUACGAAUUUAGUUUAAUUCAUGCAUCAUGUUUCAGAUUCAGAUAUUCAGUCAAGAUUCUAUUUAUAAGUGUCAUGUGCAUCAUCCCAGUGUUUCCUUAGUAUUUCACAACAUCAUUUGGUGAAUGAAUGAUCCCAAGGGAGGAUGUUAUAAUACUCUGAGUUUUCAAGUCCUAAACCUAUCAUCUGUUCCUCAAAAAAUUAGUUCCAUCUUGAGCUAAUAGUUACUCAUAAGUUAACUCUCUCGUCCUAUCUAAGCCUUAUAGUCAUUCUCAUAUCAUUGCAUGUAUCCAAGAAAUUAGUUCAGUUCAUGAUAUUUAGUUUAUAUAUCAUGUUUCUGAAUCAGUCAUGCAGUUAUGUUUUUAGUCAUACAUGUUUAGAAUAUGAUCUCAGUUACCUUCAUAUAGUACUCUCAGUCUAACCAGUCUCAUUCAAGGACGAAUGUUUCCAAGGGAGAGAUAAUGUAACACCCUAUAUUUUUGGGCUAGUCUUUGAAUAAUCGUUCCUACGUGUAUAAGAUAUAAUCCAAAUGAUUUCCAUGUGAAAAUAAGUUCCAUGAUCUUUAUCCUCGUGUUUGAUAUGCUUUCAAGGUGAAAAAUAUCCAUAAGAAUCACUUAGAACAAAGUUAAGCUUAGAGCCUUUGAAUCAUCCAAAGUUUGAUAUUCGAUUCUACAAGGGUCUACUUUGAACAUGUAUAACUUUUUAUAUAUGUAGAAUUCAUGACCCACCAAAUUUUUGAUAACUGAAUUAGCUUUCCAACAAUACCAAUUUAUCCUUAAUCUGAUACCCGAGUGAAAAGUUAUGGCAUUUUCUGUGUGAGGCAUUAAGCUGAAUAGAUUGGGGUGCGGUGCGCCGGUCCUUGAUGUGAUGAGCGACGUGAUGUAUUUCUGUCCCCAACACGAUGAUCAACGUGAUACAGAGCUAUUUCACCCGUUGUUUUAGUUUCUAAAGGGUCUCAGGGCACUUUGGUCACUUUCCCUUACCCAAAAUCAUCUAAAACACAUAAUUUUAGCCCCAAAUAGCAUAGAUACAUCAUUAUUCAUAUUCUUCCUCUCCAAGAAAAAAAACCCUAGAUCUAAUAAAACAAGAACAAAGCUAUUACCCUUUCUCCAAGAUAAUCAAGAAAUCUAAUUUUCGAGUUCGAGAACUUCAAGAAGAAGCUUCAAAAACAUCAUUAGACAUUCAAAAGUUCAAGCUUUUACAUCAAAUCCAAACUAUUAAGGUAUGUGGGAGUUCAUCCAUUGAUCUCCUUUCACCUAUGGAGCCCAAGAACCCUUUUUGAAUUUAAAGUUAUGAGUUUUACAAGUUUCAAGUUCAAAGUUAUGAUCUUUACAUGUUAAUAUGAAUUAUAUCCAUGAAAUUUCAUGAAUUUUGAUUAUGUAUCAUGUUUACAAAUGGUUUUCAUUAAAAUUGGCUUGAUAUGUUUGAAUGGUGUUUUUCACAUUUUAAAUCCUUAAUCCAAGCUGCUAAUGUUGAAAUAAUGUGAUUUUCAUGGUUUAAUUACUCUCAUGUUUUAACUCAUGAUCCUCAUGUGUUUGAUUUUAAGUUAAGAGUAUAUGUGUUUUCAAGUGGAAUGAGCCAAUACAUAUUUAGAAUGUUGUGAUCUUCAUAUCAAAUCCCUACGUUGUGAAUUGAUUCAUGUAGCCAUGAUAUUUUCGCAUACUUGCUCAUUCCCAUGCAUAAGUUUUGGGUCCACUACUAGAAAAAUAACCUCAAGGGAAGGGAAUUCCUGUCCCUAAAAGUUAGUUGUGUGCUUAGAGCCAUGUCUUGUUUUCACAAUACUCUCAGUAAAGACAUGAUGCUUAGACUUCAGACAGUCUUAUGACUCAGGAAAUCUCAAUGAUCUAAUGAACUUAGUCAGUUGUCAGGUAUCAGUAGUAUUUCGUCAGUCAACGAGAUUCAGUAACUCAAUCCAUGUUCAGAUCAAUUAAUCAUGUUCAGUUUCUAUUCAGAUGGGAGUAGAAAUUAGCACCGAGUGAACCCAAGGAUGGGAACUCACCUGCCAGUAGAGGGUGUGAUUCUUAGAAGUAGUCCUUGUGUUCCAGAACCACGUAGCCAGCGUAGGUUGAAACAUCAUACCUAUUAGUUGAGGGCCGAUGGGGUGGCUUAACCUGUUAGUUAAGGGUUCCCAACAUUCUCAUUAGAGUAACCUGCUAGUUGAGGGUCACACACGUGUUGCCUUACCAGUGGCACGGUAUUCACACCCUUCUAAUUAGGGCACUUAUUAGACACCAACUCAACUAUUAUAGUGCAAUUUGGGGCAUGACAAUUAGAUAACUACUUCCCAUAAUUUUAGUAUCAGUCUUAGUAAAAGAACUCAGAUAGUUCUUCAGAUUUUAGGACUAUCAGAUAUAGUCAACUCAGAUACAGUAUGAAACUCAGAUAGUUCUAUCAGAUUCAGGACUAUCAGAUACAGUCGAUCAUAUUAUUAGUAUUCAGAUUCAGUAAUCAUGUUAUCACGAUAUUAGUAUCAGUUAUUAUGUGUCAUGCAUAUAUUCUCACACUCAUGAUAGUCAGUCUGUUAUUAUUAUUGUUCAUGCAUAUGAAACCCAUGCAUUUAACCUACCUCACAUGCAUACUAGUAUAUUCAGUCAUACUGACAGAUUCACACUAUGGUGUUUUAUACCAUAGGUUUAGAGACACGAGCUCCAGAGCACCAAUAGUAUUCCAAUCUCAGUAGUCAGAGUUAGAAGUGAGUCCUCAUCUUUCGAGGACAUGAUCAUUACUUUACUAUUUCAUUAAUUUGCUUAUUAGUUGGAUUUAGUUGGGGACAUGUCCUAUCGACUCCUUAUUUAGACAACUCAGUAAGUUAAAGGCUUUUCAGACUAUCAUAUUCAGUUAGUUUAUUUUAGUUGUUUUAGGUUUUUCAUACCCCAUUCAGAUGUUAUACUUUUUAUCAGAUAUUAUUCCUUAAUUUGAACCUUAUGGCCUUUCAGUUCAUGUUUCCACAUUUUACAGUAUAUUAUAUAGUAUACAGGUACAUAUAUCAGUCAUGGGUUAGCUUGUGGUCCUUCGAGGUCAUGAGCACCGUGUAGCAUUCUGGGUCCCAGAUUUGGGGCGUUACAAACUUGGUAUCAGAUCCUAAGGUUCAAUAAAGUCCUAGGAAGUAUGAAAGCCACAUCUAGUAGAGUCUUGUGCAUGGGUGUAUUGCACGCCACGUUUAUGUGCAGGAGGCUAUAAGAUGUUUUAUGAAUAGUUUCCCUUCUUUCAGUACUCAGGCAUACCAGUGAGCAUAAUCUUAAGUCAAUCUCUCAGUCUAAUCCAUUUCUCCUUUUCUUCUACUGAAUAUGCCUCCUAAAAUAAGAAAUGGAAAUCAGUCAGCCCCUCAGCCCAAAGAACCUUUGGGCGAAUAUGUUUCUCAUAUGGAGUUUAGGGUCAUAUUCACUACUCUUGCUCAACUAGUUGCUGCUCCGAAUGAACGACUAGAUAUUGUUCUAGCUAACCUAGUGUCCAAUUCAGCCGUAGCCAGGAUUCAGGACUACACCCGAAUGAAUCCUCCAUUCUUUCUCAGGUCUAAGUCAGACGAGGACCCUUAGGAAUUCCUAGAUCAGGUGCAAAAAGUUACAAAAAUAAUGGGGGUUAUUUAUAGAGAGAGUGCUGAGCUAGAUACAUACCAGUUGUAGGAUGUUGCUCACACUUGGUUCAAACAGUGGAAGUCUGAGAGGGCAGAUGAUGCAGGGUCAGUCUAGUGGGAGGAUUUUUCUUCUGCUUUCCUUGAUAGAUUCUUUCCCCUAGAGCUUAGAGAAGCUAAGGUGCUAGAAUUCAUCAACCUCAGAACAUGACGAUGAAAGAGUAUUCUCUUAAGUUUACUCAAUUAGCCAGAUAUACCCCUCAUGUGGUUGUUGAUAGCAGGGCCAAGAUGAGUAAGUUCACUUCAAGGAAGAAUGAUAGCGUGGUUAAUACGUGUAGAUCCGCCAUGCUGAAUAGUGACAUAAAUUUAGCCAGGAUUAUUACUCAUGCUCAGUAGAUAGAGGAGCAAAAGAUUAAGAUCCAGGAGAAGCAGAAUAAGAGAGCAAGGACAGGUAGUUUCAACUUUGCUCAACCCAAGUCAGUAGGAGGAAACCAUUCUCAGUUUCAUCCUAAGUUAUCAGUUCAAGUUCCCUCCUUAGCUAGUGCUCCUAUACCUAAGUUCAAAGAUAGAAUGCCAAGAUCUAAGUCUCAGGGUAGUGUUAGCAGUGCUCACACCUAUCCUCUUUGUUAGACUUGUGGCAAGAACCACCAGGGUACUUGCAGAGCUGGUAGUGAUACCUAUUUUGGUUAUGGCAAGCUAGGCCACAGUGUUAGAGAUUAUCUACAGUCAGGUCCGCGGGGUCAACAAAACUGCUCCUCAGCUCAGUCCGAUCACCUAAAUCAAUAGGGCGGCACCUCCAGUUCUACUAGUGGGCAAUGCCCAAACAGACUCUAUGCUCUCUAGUCCCGGUAAGAUCAGGAAAAUUCUCCUGAUGUGUUACUGGUACAUUAUAGAUUUUUGAUGUGAAUGUUUACGCUUUGCUAGAUCCAAGUGCUUCUUUGUCUUUUGUUACUCCUUAUAUAGCAGGCGAUUUCAGAACCAGUCCUGAAAUUCUAGCAGAGCCCUUUUCAUGUUUUACCCCAGUGGGUAAAACCAUCAUAGUCCGGCGGGUAUAUAGAAACUUCCUGGUUAUGAUAUUUCAGAAAGUCACUUCAGCAGACUUGGUCGACUUAGAGAUGUAUGAUUUUGAUGUCAUCCUCAGAAUGGAUUGGUUUCAUUUCUUCUAUGCUAUAGUCGACCGCAGAAAUAGAAUAGUCUAGUUUUAGUUUCUGAAUGAGCCCGUCCUUGAGUAAAAGGGUAGUGUAUCCGCUUUUAGAGGUUCGCUUGUUCCCUACCUUCGGGUAAGAAAAAUAGUAUCUAAGGGAUGUUUCUAUCAUCUUGUUCGUGUUAAGGACUCUAGCUUCAAAAAUCCCAGUUUUGAUUUAGUCCCAGUCGUGAAUGAAUAUUCAAAUAUCUUUCCCAAAGAUCUUCCAGGGAUUCCUCUUGAAAGGGAAAUAGACUUUGGUAUUGAUAUUCUUCCAGAUACUCAGCCUAUAUCUAUUCCGCCAUACAAGAUGGCAUUAGAAGAACUCAGAGUAUUGAAAGAACAGUUGAAGGAUCUCUUAGAUAAGGGAUUCAUCAGGACCUAUGUGUCCCCGUGGGGCGCACCAGUCUUAUUCAUGUGCAAGAAAGACGAUUCUCUCAGAAUGUGCAUUGAUUACCGUCAGCUCAAUAAAGUCACGAUAAAAAAUAAGUAUCCUCAUCCCAGAAUCGAUGACUUUUUUGGACAACUUUAGGGUGCUAGCUAUUUCUCUAAGAUAAACCUCAGAUCAACUUAUCAUCAGCUUAGAUUUACAGAAUGUGACAUUCUGAAAAAAGCUUUCCAUACUCAAUAUGGUCACUUCAAAUUUCUAGUCAUAUCCUUUAGUCUUACAAUGCUCCAGCUGCUUUCAUGAACUUGAUGAAUCAUGUGUUCAAGCAGUACUUGGACAUGUUCAUCAUAGUCUUCAUAGAUGAUAUUCUGGUCUAUUCUCGCAGUGAGCGAGAUCAUACAGACUAUCUCAGAACAGUACUUCAGACUCUCAGAGAUCAUCAGAUGUUCACGAAAUUCAGUAAAUAUGAAUUCUAGCUAAGGUCGGUAGCCUUCCUUGGUCAUAUCAUUUUUGGUGAUGGCAUUAGAGUAGAUCCUCAAAAGACCAAAGCAGUAAGAAACUUUCCUCGCCCUAUCUCUCCAUUAUAUAUCAGGAGUUUCUUGGGUUUGGCUGGCUAUUAUAGAUUGUUUGUUGAGGUAUUUUCGUCUCUUGCAUCCCCUAUGGAGAGAUUUCAGUCGAAAUCCUAGACUAUCAGACUCGUUGACUGAGGAACAAAGAAGUCCCUCUAGUCAAAGUUCUUUAGUGAAAUCAAUUCGUUGAGGGAGCUACUUGGGAAGAAGAAGCAGACAUACAUACAAAGUAUCCUCACCUCUUUUCCGUAAACUCAGAUCAAGCUCAAGGUAAUAGUUCUCCUUAAGCUUUUUAGUUUCAUGUUGAGACUUCAGUUACAAGCUUAGUAUUCAAUUCAUGUUCAAAAUCCCGUUAUAAACUUGGUAUUUAAUACCAUUGCAUAGUUCAGUAAUGCAUUCAUGUAUAGUUCAGUUAUAUAAUUGUGCAUUAGACAUGCAUUCUCAUUGAGAGAAACUUAGCUCCACAGAACACUCAGCCAUGCAUUCAUGAAUCAGUUACCCAUGCACCAGAUAUGCAUGUUUAGUAUGAUAUGUUCAUCUUAUCAGUCAUGUCAGUCAUGAGAUCAUGUUUCAGUUAUUCAUGUUCAGUAUGUACGUUAGUUUAUGUUCUUCUCCUCACUCUCAGUCUCAAUUGAGGAUGAAUGUUCUCAAGGGGGAGAUAUUGUAAUACCCCAUACCAUUUCCUAGCUUGAAAUCAUCUCAAGAAUGUUAGAACUUGCUUUGAAGUAUGAAUCUACUUUUGUAUAAAUAGUAUUUUUAAUAUUUUCACUUUUUGUCAUGUGGUAAAUUGAAUAAGCUUUCCAUCAAUACCAAUUUCAUCAAAAUCUAACAUUGGACGAGGAAGUUAUGAACGUUUUACUCAGGCAGUCAAAACCGCCCAGAUGUGACGGUGAAGGCGGACGGACCGUCAGACUAGCGAUGGGCCAUCGUACCCCACUGUUGCAUCGAGGUAGUAAGUCUACUCUUUGGAUGAGUACGAGGGAGAGGUCAGAUAGACCAUCGAGCUAGCGACGGACCAUCGCACCAAGGCAUUAGGUCCCAGUUCUGGUUCCAAUUCGAUGGUGAGUCCGAUGGAUCGUUGUAUCCCACUAUUGUAUGUCCCACUCAAUAUUUUUAAGUCAUUUUUAAAGGGGUAUUUUGGUCUUUUACCACCUAUUUAUAUACCCAGUUAAAUUUGACCUCAGCUUAUUUGUUCAUUAUUAUUUCACAACAACAAAAUUAGGAUUUUCUCUCUAACAUUAAUCUCCAAGAAUAAAAUCUAAAUCUUCUCCAAGAACUAAGAGAUUCACAUUCUUCAAGUUCAAGAACUUCAAGAAACUCAUUACCAGGUAUGGAUACUGUUCAUUCAUGGACUCUUUUCGUCCAUUAAGCCCAAAAAUCUCUUUUCUAAGUUCAUGAAUUUCAUGUUGGGUUUCUUUUCUUCAUGCUGAUAAUGACUAAUUGAAUUCUAAUCCGUGUUCGGUGAUUAAUUUCAUGUGGAAUUAAUUAGUAUAGGUGUAGCUUUAUGUAAACCUAUGAUUCAAACCUUUGAAUGAUGAAAUUGGAGGUGAAUCAUGAUGUUUGUUUGUUACAUAAUGUUAUCUACAUAUACUAUGCCUACCAUGUGUUUGAUUAAAUUCCUAUGUAAAAGAAAAUUUCCCAACUAGGAUGAUAUUAUGAAAUCUCCAUUUAUGUACAAGUUUAUGCAUAUCACAUGUUUGAUGAAAUUCCUCAAAAAAUGAAUUAUGGAUUGUGAUGUUGGUCAUGUAUUCAAGAAAACCAUGCUUUGUCAGUUUCUUUCUAUCGAGUCUUGGGGUUACUUGUACCCAAAAUAUUAGCUGUGUGCCUAGAGCCAUUUCAUGUUUUCAUGAUACUCUCAGUCAAUCCAUGAUCCUUAGACUUCAGACAAUCUUAUGACUUAGGAAAUCUCAAUGUUCUUAUGAACUCAGUCAGUUGUUAGGUAUCAGUAGUAUUCCAUCAGUCAACGGGAUUCAGUAACUCAGUCCAUGUUUAGAUCAGUUAACAUGUUCAGUGUCUAUUCAGAUGGGAGUAGAAAUUAGCACUGAGUGACCCAAGGAUGGGAACUCACUUGCCAGUAGAGGGUGUGAUGCUUAGAAGCAGUCCUUGCAUUCCAGAACUACGUAGCUAGCAUAGGUUGAGACAUCAUACCUACUAGUGAGGGUAGAUGAGGUGGCUUAACCUGCUAGUUGAGGGUUCCCACCGUUCUCAUUGGAGUAACUUGCUAGUUGAGGGUCACUCAUGUGUUGUCCUUACUAGUGGCACGGUAUUGACACCCUUUUAAUCAGGCACAGAUUGGACCCCAGCUCAGCUAUUAUAGCACAAUUUAGGGCAUGUCAGUUAGAUAACUACUUUCCACAGUUUGAGUAUCAGUCCCAGUAAAAGAACUCAGAUAGUUUUUUAGAUUUUAGGACUAUCAGAUACAGUCAACUCAGAUAUAGUACGAAACUUAGAUAAUUCUAUCAGAUUUAGGUCUGUCAGAUCCAGUUACUCAUAUUAUCAGUAUUCAGAUUUAGUAAUCAUGUUAUCAUGGUAUCAGUGCCAGUUAUUAUGUCUCAUGCAUGUAUUCUCACGCUCAUGAUAGUCAGUCUAUUAUUAUUAUUAUUCAUGCAUAUGAACCCCAUGCAUUUUGCCUACCUCACAUGCAUUCUAGUACAUUCAAUUGUACUGAUGCAUUCGCUCUAAGGUGUUUUAUACCAUAGGUUCAGAGACACGAGCACCAGUAGCAUUCCAGUCUCAGCAGCCAUAGUUAGAAGUGUGUCCUUAUCUUUCGAGGACAUGAUCAUUACUUUACUAUUUCAUUAAUUAGUUUAUUAGUUGGAGUUAGUUGGGGAUAUGUCCCAUCAACUCCUUAUUCAGACAGAUCAGUAAGUUAGAGGCUUUUCAGAUUAUCAUAUUCAGUUAGUUUAUUUCAGUUGUUUUGGGUAUUUCAUACCCCAUUCAGAUGUUAUACUUUUUAUUAGAUAUUAUGCCUCAGUUUUAACCUUAUGUCCUUUAAGUUUAUGUUUUUGCAUUUUAUAGUAUAUUAUGCAGUAUAUAGGUACAAAUAUUAGUCAUGGGUUAGCUUGUGGUCCUGCGGGGUUAUGAGCAUCGGGUAGCAUUCUGGGUAACAGAUUCGGGGCAUUUCAGAAAUACAUCUUCAAAUUCCUGCAAAACACUAGAAAUAGAAGAAGGGAUAGGGAAAGUGGAUGAGUUAAUGUCAAAAACAUGAGCCAAAAGUAACAUAGGAGCGGUAUUAUCAUACUCCGUGUAAAGGACUCCCUUCUGAGCCAACAUUAUCAUAGAAUCCCUACCCUUUAAGGCCGAAACUCCCUCUUCUUCCUCACUCCUUCUACUCUCGGGUUCAACACCUCUACCCUUGAGUUCCUUCUCCUUUCUUUUCUUUCUUUUUAAGCCCUUCAAUUGUUGGUGAGACUCACAUACUUAUGAUGGUAAAAGUGGUUGGAGGUUGUACUCUCGACCCUUGAACUCAAAAGAAUAGUAAUUGGUUCGGCUAUCAUGCUUGGUCGACCUAUCAUAUUGCCAUGGCCGACCCAACAAGAAGUGACAAGCUUGAAUUGGAAUGAUGCCACAAAGUACCUCAUCUUCAUAGUUUCCAACUUUUAACCAAAUCACUAUUUGACGGGUUACUUUCAAUUCUCCAUAUUCAUUCAACCAUUGGAGCUUAUACGGACUUACAUGUGGAGUAGUUGGCAACUUCAACUGUUUCACCAACGUGGUACUAGCCACAUUGGAACAACUUCCACUAUCAACAAUCAAGGAACACACACUCUCCUUAAUAAGACAUUUAUUAUGAAAGAGGUUUUCCCGUUGGCUUGGAUCAUCCAACACCUUGUUAAUCAUAACUCUCUAUACAACAUAAAUAAGUACUAAAAGUUCACCCUCUUGAGGCCAAACUUUUUUCUCAUCAUUGUCAUUAGGCCUCUCGGCUUGCCCCCUCUCUCCUCUUGAGAGACUCAUUAUUCUAAACCGCUUCAAGUCCCACUUCUUCCCCUAAGAAAUAUAAUUUUCCCUUCCUUAGGAUCACAUUUCUCCGAUUAGGACACUCACUAGACUUGUGUCCCCACCCGUGGUAUUUGAAAUAUUAGAAUCCCUUGGAAUUGGAGUAGUACCUAUUUUAUCUUCAUGUCUUGGAGGUUGAUGUUGGGAAGCCCUGUGCAUGGAUUGAGGAGAAUUUGAUGGAGGAGGAUUGGACUUGUUCCACCCCGUAGUUGAUGGAAUCACCUCUUUGUUAUUGGUCCAACCCAUGGACCCUUGGUAACUCUUGGUCUUGUAUAUAGACCUCUAUUCAUUCUCUCUUUCAAUCUCUAAUGCCACUUGAAAGAUCCCUUCAAUAGUCUCAAACUUAUGAAGUGUCAUGUGCGUAGAAAUUUCUUUGUUUAGGCCAACCUUGAACUAAAUGAUGUCGUGGCUCACUUUCUUCCCUCUAUGAUCAAGUUUCAAAAUGACUUGUUGAAACUCAUCACAGUUAUCCAUUACACUCUAGUUUCCUUGCUUCAAAUUGUACAAUUUAGCAAGGAGUUCAUGUUGGUAACUUUUGGGAAGAUAUCUUUGCCUCAUAAGAUACCUUGUGGAAACCAAGGAGAGGGUUGCCCUUCAAUCAAGACAUUUCUAAAAUAUUUAACAUACUCCAACCAUGUGUUAUCAUAUCUCUCAAAAUGAGCAAUUACAUAACAACUAUUCUUCUCCUCCAUAAGAUCACUCACUUGGAAAACCCUCUCACAUGUGAAUUCACAUGCAAGAAACUCUUCGGGAUCACUUUCUCCUCUGAAGAUUGGAAGUCCCAUUUUGAUAGUGUUAAGGCCUACAUCCCUAUCUCUAGCACCUUGUACAACUCUACCUUCAAUCCCAUGGUUUCCCCUAGGCUCCAUCCUUCUACCUCUAAUCCCAUCUUCCAUCAAGUAAGGAUCAUCAUACACUCCAUACCCUUUCCUGUGGUUCUCUCUACCGUACCCCUCUUAUUGAAUGGGUGGAUUUUGGAAAAUUAGAAUUUGGUAAGUUGGUUUGCAUUUAGUGGAGGAGGUCUUUGAAUUAGAGGAUUUUAGAGUGGGAAAAUUUGGGUUUAAGGGUGGUAUUUGGGUUUGAAGUCCUUCUUGUGGGAAUUAGUUGAGUGAGAAAUGGCUAGGUCCAUCUUGUUCAUGGCUUUGGGAGUAUAGGUUGACUUGGUUUGUAGUACUUAGUGGGUACAACCUUUGGUGCAAGGCUUCGGGAGUAAUUUUAGGUGAGGAGUUUUGAGGGGUAGAUGGUUGAGAACUCCUUUGGCUUUCCACCCUCUCCAACCUCCUUCUUGUGGAGAUCACAUCCGAUCUCAACUUCUCAACAUUUGCACUCACCCUAGCCAAGUCUCAAGACUAAGUUUUAAGACUAUCCAAGACAACAUUUAUGACAUUAUUGUCCACAGUUAGAGCAUUGGAAGUUUUGGGUUCCAUUUACACUUGUACCUACAAAACAAACAAACGUUAGUUCAAAUCACUCUCACACACUCUUCACACUCUGCUUCCUUAGACUUGGUUCUUCAAGUGUUGUAAAUCGGCUAUCAACUUGUGAGAACUUGGGAAUGAGUCUACUCUUAGGUUGGUUUGAAGGCUCAACAAAGUUUUGUACGUACUUGAAUAAAUAUCAACUACGAGUUAUAAAUGAACAAAGCACCACAAGUAAAGCUAACAUGAAAGAAGUACUCAAAAUCUAGUUCACAACUUAGUAGAUUAUUACUAGCUUCCAACUAGUAUAGGAGUCAAUAAAAAUGAAACUAUUGGAGACAAGGAAAGAAACUAGGAAUUUCCAAGAACUUAAGUCUUGUUGUUGAUGUGGCCUACAAUGUUUGGCCGUUGACUAUUGUUGUUGAAGUUGAAGUGUGUUAGUUCAAGAUGUGAGUUGUUCAAUCUUACUCCUUUGAUGAUGAAUUUUCGGGUUUUGGUGUUAGUGGACAAGACUUUGGAUACUCUUUUCAAGAGUCAAAAGGCUCCUAUCAACUUUUCACCAACUUACACCUUUUUGGCAAAACAACUUUUUGAGGUAGCUUUGUCUCUUUCUUCUUUUGGCUAUCCUUGAAAAGUGUUCUACUCCCUUUUAGUAUGUUUGCUUUUUGAACAUCUCUUUUUAUUUUACCAAUUUGGUGUUGUCUUGAAAGUGUUUUCAAGACAAACACAAAGUCUUGUCUUCCUUUUCUCUUUUAAAAAUCAAACAACUUUUUUUUUAACACCACUUCAACAACAACAUGAACUACAACAACUUUUAGCCGUCUAACCUUUCAACAACACUUUGUGAAGAGCUCAAAUAUUGGACUUAGACUCAAGGGGUGUUAGUGAACAAUAACCUAACACAAUAAACCACUAAUACAAACAACAACACACCUAAAUCUAGAAACUAUUCUCGGCCAAACAACAACAACACCAAGAACACUUGGCCAAGAACAAGAACACUUCAAUUGUUUUUAUUUUUAUUUUUUUCUUAUAUUUCGACUUAGAGAGCCCAAUAUUGGUAGUGUAGGAACACAACCAGCCUUAUCUCUAAUCUCACAACAGUCCACAUGUACAAGACACCAAACGGAAACAACAAACACCAAUUAACUUAAGAGAUAAAGGAUAAAUAACUUGACAUAUAGAGAACAUGUAAGGUAAGAACUAUAGAGUAUAUUAAACUAUAAAACCCCUACAAACAUGUAAACUAACACCAAGUUCUUACGUAAACCCAAGAGGAGCUCAGUUCACUCAAGAACUCACGUUUCUAGCUAAUACACAACACAAGAGGAACCUUUACUUGUGAUGUUAGGUUCGGGUGGUCUACUCUCUCUUAAGAGGAUGAUGUUUCAAGAUAGUACAACUUUAAAAAUGAAAUAACUGGCAACAAAAGACUAAGAGAAUCCUUUAUAUAGUCUAGUACAAAAAGUGAUACAAAAGACUCCUCUACCCUUAAUGAGGAGGGGGGGGGGGUUUGGAGUGCAACCUAGGCAGCCUUGGGUGUAUUUUAGAGCACCUAAGGCAAGCCCUCACAUGUCAAUGCAUAUACUCCUUUGGGCAGAUUCACAACAUGCUCAAACAUGUCUAUUUUCAUAAACAUUCCUUGAAGCCUUUGUAGUUACCGAGCUUGGCUCCUAGUGAUAGGUCUCGAGCCCAUGAUACUCGUAUCAAAGAAUUGGAACACACUUUUGCGGAACACUAUACCUUUCUAUAUGUUAUUGGGUCUUCUGAGUAGAAAGAGGGAUAACCAAUGAGCAUCUCAUACAUGAUGUCUCUAAGUGACAACCUGAAUGAAGCCAAAAAAAGAAGAAAGAGGAUAAUGAAUUAAGCCUACAGCCUUUACUUUGGUUAAUCAAGGUUAUUAUACCUAAAAGAAAGAAUAUAAAGUGAAACAUGUGCGAUAUGUUCAGUAACCAGUACAUGAUGUUUAAACUAUGAAAAGGAAAGCAAUCAAAAGUUUUAAAAAACCAACUAAUCAAAAUCCACAUCAAUCAUAAAUAAGAAAAAUAACUAAUCACAUUCCACUCCAUAACCUUUCUUCAGUAAAAACUUUGGAGCAAUAUAGUCAGGAGUGCGCACUAUUGGAAAUGCUUGCCAGAGAAACAGGUAGCAUUAAAGGUUCUGCAAAAAAGGUAGUCCGAUGUACUAAAGCAACUGCUAUGCACAGGGUCCGGGGAAGGGUUCGACCACAAGGAUCUAUUAAAGGUUCUGGGAACUAAUUAACAAAUAUGUUAUGGAAUUAAGGUAGCAACAAAAGGUCAUUUCUUGGAAUAGUAAAUGAUUUUUCUAGUUCAUUUCCAUUACUCAUGUGAAGCUAUAAUAUGCAAGUCCAGAUCCUAAACUUAUGGAGAGAAGUAUGUUAUUCUCCUAGAACCAAUUGUUCUAGUACUACAUAUAAUUGUUCUGGUGCUACAUAUUACUUUUUUCCAAUUUUUAAUUUUUAUUCUGCACAUCUAUGAUCCUUGAGAAAUAAACCAAAAUAAGGAUUCUGGAUUUAAGUUCAUAAUUUAUGAGAUAAGCUGUGUUUCUGUUAUUAAUUACUAAUUUUCUCCUAUUUAUUUGCCAAUGCUGCAGUUGUUCAAGGGAGCUAUUCCAACCAGUUCACUUGUUAGCAGAUCCCCUUUUCUCAACAUCCAUCAUUUUAUUUUCAGUUAUAGGCUAUAAAUUCGAACAGUCAAGGGGCUUGCAUAGACCAAAAUCAAAGAGCCUCACGUGGCCAUGUUUGUCCAAAAGAAGAUUAUCAGGUUUAAUAUCCCUGCAAAAAAGCAUUAUGUAAAAAACAUAAUCCAUUGAGAUGAUUUCAGAUCUUUCGUAGAGGUCUCUAGUGUAUACCACUAUUGUUUACCAAGUACAGAUUAACUACCUGUGAAUGUAGUUAUGCUUAUGAAUAGACUCUAUGGCCAAAACACUUUGAGCAAUGUAAAAUCUUAUGACUGUCUCAGUUAAUGUCUCCUUCCUCAUCAACAGUGUCAUCAUAUUACCACCAGGAAGAUAUUCCAUUACUAAAUAUAAGUAGUCAGCAUCUUGGAAAGAAUAAAAAAGUUUUACAAUAAACUGGAUCGCUACUUCAGCAAGCAAAUUCCUUUCGGCCCUAACAUGUUCAACCUGUAAUGCAAAGAUGUUGAAACUUAUUAUGAAGUUAGUAGGUUCAUAUUAGUUGGUUAUUAUCACAAUUUUCUGUUAUAAGCAGUUAGUUAGUAUUGACACUGUUACAUUGAUUUGUUGGUUUAUUAGUCGAAGUUGUUAGCUGAUUGUAGAGUUAGUUAGGGAGAUGUUAGUGAGCUGUCAGGAAGCAUCUAGAUGCUCAUAUACUGAGCAUGUAAGUGAGUCUAUAAAUAGAAGAGAUUAACUCACAUUGUAACUAACUUUUCAUAUAUACAAUUCCCAUCUUAGCUUCUCUCCUCUUCUUUUCUUCCUCUCUUCUCUCUGAACUCAGUAGCUGCUACAAUAGAAGUUAUGUAUGAGUGUGUGAGUUUAUAAUAGAUAUUUCAAUAUGGUAUCAGAGCUAUGAAGAUCAUGGAACUAUAUAAAUAAUAAUCGAGUGUGAAUACAUCAUCAAUACAGUGAGUUUUUUGUUUGUGAUUUCUGUUUGUGAGCUAAUAAGAUGAGAAGAGAUAGAUCUUCAUUUCUGAGUCAUAGAUAUUUGAUUACAAGUUUCAAACCUUGAAUUUUGUGAUUGUUUCUGAUUUAUACUUAGUCGUAACCUGUAAAGUAUACAUGACACCUAAAAUUGAUCCUAGUGAUCUUCUAUUUCUGGGAGCAUCAGAUGUAGCAGGAGCUGCACCAAUUCCCAUUAAGUUGAUUGAUUCAGAGAAUUAUGGAAUUUGGUGUAGAUCUAUGAAAAAUGCCCUUUUGGGAAAGAGGAAAUAUGGUUUUGUAAUUGGUACUUUCUGUAAGGAUAUAUAUAGAGAAGAGUUACUUGAUCAGUGGGAGAUAUGUGAUGCAGUGGUUCUAUCAUGGCUAAUGAGCUCAGUCAGUGUAGAGUUACUUAGUGGUAUUAUGUAUGCAACAAAUACCUAUAAGGUAUGGAAAGAUCUUAAGGAGAGAUUUGAAAAAGUGAAUCAUAUGAGAUUAUAUCAGUUACACAGGGAAAUCAACAACUUAUACCAAGGCACUGAUUCAGUUUCAACCUACUUCACUAAGCUGAAGAACCUGUGGAGUGAACAUGAUACUGUGAUACCAACUCCCUCAUGUAAUUGUCCUAAGUCUAAGGAGUAUUCAGAACACUUGUAUCAGUUUAGGUUGAUACAAUUCCUAAAUGGACUAAAUGACACUUAUGAUCAAGCAAAGAGGCAGAUACUAUUGAAGGGAACAAAACCUACACUUAACCAAGCAUAUGCAAUGAUCAUUGAGGAUGAGAUACAACAACUUGCUUGUGCUGGAACUAUUAGUGAUAGAACUGAGCCUAUUGAUAUGCAAGUAUAUAAAAAUUAUACAGACUCUGGACAUGGAAGAAGAAAUCAGGCAUCAACCAGUUAUGGAGGACAAAGGUAUAAUGAUAAGAGGUGUGAUUAUUGCAACUUUACUGGGCACACAAGAGAAAACUGCUACAUGCUACAUGGAUAUCCAAGUGAUUGGAAAAAAAAAAAGAAGAGUGAUUAUAAAAAUCCAAGAGAAGUGUCAAACCAAACUUUCUAUAAUAGUGUAGGUAGAGGUGGUGGAUAUGGAUAUGGAUAGCUAGCUGCUAGUCAAAGCAAUAGCCAAUUAUUAGCUCAUAAUUUCAUUGGACCUUAAGCAGAGAAAACAUAUUUGGCUGAUCAAUCAAGUAACCAGGGAAGCAAGGACAAUAAUAAUGUCGGUCUGGCAAAGGGACAAGGAUUCUCAGAAGAUGAAUACAAGCAGAUCAUAGCAUUGAUCAAGAAAGAUACACAUGACUCUGAGCUAACUAAUAUGAUAGGUACUAUUACUUAUCUUUUUAGUCAUGUUGUUCCAUAUGAAUGGAUAGUGGACUCUAGAGCCACACACCAUGUGACUGCGCACAAGGAUGUACUAUCACACUAUCACAAAAUAAACAGCACAGUAUGUGAUAAAGUAAACCUGCCUAUUGGAGAUAAGGUAAAUAUAUCACAUGUAGGAGAAGCACAGGUGCUAAAGAAUGAGGUUGUAAGGGAUGUAUUGUAUGUUCUUAAUUUCAAACUGAACUUAUUGUCAGUAUCUAAGAUAACUAAAUAACUCUCUUGUUUUGUGUUAUUUUAUCCUGACUUUUGUGUGUUUUAGGACCUUCACAGUGGCAAGAUGAAGAGUAUUGGUAAGGAAAAGGGAGGAUUGUACAUCCUCAAGAGUGUAAGUGGAAUGAAUGGACUACUUAAUAAUGUGGCUCAUCAAAAUCAGGUUGCAGAAGUAGAGAUGCAUGAGUGCAGUUUGUGGCAUAUGAGGCUGGGACAUCCCUAUUCCCAGGUAUUAAGAACACUCAAUUUGUUACGACACAAUGUUGAUGUAGAUAUUCUUAAUAAGUGUAAUGUUUGCCCAUUAGCAAAACAAACUAGACAAAUCUUUCAUGUUAGUAUAUCUAGAGCUGUAAAGUGUUUUGAUAUUAUGCAUAUGGAUCUAUGGGGGCCAUAUAAGAAACCUACUUUUGAAAAGAAAUACUACUUCUUGACUGUUUUUGAUGAUCAUAGGAGAUAUACAUGGUUGCAUUUGCUAUAAUUAAAGUCUGAAUGUGUUGUAGCCAUAAAAUUUUUUUUUACAUUAAUUCAGAAUCAAUUUGGUGCUUAAGUGAAAGUACUGAGGUCAGAUAAUGGUACAGAGUUCAUUAAUUCUAAGUGUAAAGAGUUGUUUCAGUCUUUAGGUAUAAUACAUCAAAGUAGAUGCCCAUACAAACCAUAACAAAAUAGUGAGGUUGAGAGAAAACAUAGGCAGAUAUUGAAUGUUGCAAGAGACACCAGGUUUUAAUCACAGAUGCCUAUUAAGUUUUGGGGUUUGAAUGUUAAGGCUGCGGUGUAUCUUAUUAAUAGGUUACCAUCUUCAGCUAUUGAGGGUAAAAUUCCUUAUGAAGUGUUAUUUUGCAAGGUCCCAUCAUUGACACACCUGAGAGUUAUUGGUUGCAAGUGCUAUGCCUCAGUACUACCAAAAGCUGAUAAGCUCUUAGAAAGAGCUAAGGUUGCAGUCUUACUGGGUUAUUCUACUACUUAAAAGGGUUGCAUCUUGCUGGAUUGGUGUACUAACAAGUUUUUCACCACAAGAGAUGUGGUGUUCAAAGAAGAUUCAUUCCCUUUUGUAGAGGAUCCCACCUCAAAAUCAUCUGCAGAUUUCCUUAAGAUGAAUUUUCCCAUUCAUGUUGAGGUAGAAACGGAAGCUUACACAGAUGUAGAUAAUCAAUCAUAUGAACCACAAGAGGAAGGUACACUAUCAUAUCCUCAUGAUGAUAAUCAUGAUGAAGAUACAACUUAUCCAGUAUAGAUGAGUCAUCUUCAUCACCAAUAGUUGCUCUAAGAAGAUCAUCAAGAGUCAUCAAACAACCUGCUUGGUUGCUGGACUAUGCAUCACCAGAGAAAAGAAGGGGAACUAGAUAUCUUAUGUCAAACUAUCUCUUUUAUGAAAAUACUAGUUCAAAAUACCAGAGUUAUGUGUCUAGUUUGUCAGUAGAAGUUGAACCACAAUCUUACAAUGAGGCUAGUAAAGAUAAGAGAUGGAUUAAAGCUAUGGAACAGGAAGUUAGAGCCCUUGAAGACAAUCACACUUGGGAAGUACUUGAUAUUUCUCUAGAUAAGAAUAUAAUUGGAUCAAAAUGGGUGUACAAGAUCAAGUACAAAUCCAAUGGAGAGAUAGAAAGGUUUAAGGCAAGGCUAGAGGCCAAAGGUUAUAGCCAAUAAGAGAGACUGGACUGGCACUUUUUCUCUAGUGGCCAAAAUGGUUACAGUGAGAAGUGUCAUUUAUUUGGCAGUAUCAAGAGGAUGGUGCAUGUACCAGAUGGAUGUUUACAAUGCAUUUUUACAAGUUAAUCUAGAAGAGGAAGUAUAUAUGGAGAUGCCAGAUGGUUUCAAGGAGGGCAGGAAACAAAAAGUUUACAGACUGAUUAAGUCACUAUAUAGAAUUAAGCAAGCAUCAAGGUAGUGUAAUAUAAAGCUUAUUAAAGCAUUGCUCAAGGCAGAAUUUACUCAAAGUAGCUAUGAAUAUUCAAUCUUUACCCUAAAGAAGUUAGAAGGAAUGGUUGAAGUUUUGGUUUAUGUAGAUGAUCUUCUAAUAAUAGGUGACAAUGUAGACAUGAUAAAUGUAGCAAAAGGCACUCUCCAUUAGCAGUUCAAACUAAAGGAUCUUGGUGAGCUUAAGUAAUUCUUAGGCAUUGAAAUUUUGAGGUUUGCAAGUGGAGUUAUAUUGAAUCAAAGAAAGUAUAUAUUGGAGCUUAUAUCUGACAUAGGACUAGCUGGUGCUAAGCCAACUCUCACUCCAUUAGAGAUUAAUAUCAAGUUAGCUUUUGUUGAAGUGGAUGAGGCUACAAGUAUUAAAGGAGAUAUAGUUUUAAGGGUUAUGACAUCAUACCAAAGACUGAUUGGAAAGCUGAUGUAUGCAACCAUAACAAGACCUGAUAUUAGUUAUGCAGUACAAAAACUUAGUUAGUUUAUGCAAUAUCCUAAAAAGUCACAUCUAGAAGCUGCAAAUAGGGUGAUAAGUUAUCUAAAAGGUACUGUAGGACAAGGUAUAUGGCUCAAGGCACAAUCCACUGCAGAAUUGGUUUGCUAGUGUGACUCAGAUUGGGUUGCAUAUCCAAAUACUAGGAGAUCGAUAACAGGUUAUGUAAUGCAAUUUAGUGGAUCAUUGAUAUCUUGGAAGUCUAAGAAAUAACAUACUGUUUCAAAAAGCUCAGCUGAGGUUAAAUAUAGGAACAUGGCCUCAACUUUGGCAGAAGUAACAUGGUUGGAAGGACUAUUUACAGAACUAGGGGUCCCUAUUGCUAAGUCUAUUACCGUCUAUAGUGAUAGAAAAUUAGCUAUCCAACUGGCUGCAAAUCCUAUAUUUUAUGAGAUGACCAAACAUAUUGAAGUGGACGAUCACUUUAUUAGAGACAAGAUCAAGGAGGGGUUGAUUUAGAGACAAGAUCAAGGAGGGGUUGAUUCAACCCAUGUAUGUGCAGAGUUGUCAACAGAUUGUAGCAUUCUCACCAAGAGCUUGAGCCAUGAUCAGCACUCACAUUUACAAAACAAGCUUGGUGUACUUAAUAUUUUGCAUCCUGCAAUUUGAGGGAGAGUGUUGAAACUUAUUAUGAAGUUAGUAGGUUCAUAUUAGUUGGUUAUUUUCAUAUUUUUCUAUUAUAAGCAGUUAGUUAGCAUUGACACUGUUACAUUGAUUUGUUGGUUUAUUAGUAAAAGUUGUUAGAUGAUUGUAGAGUUAGUUAGUAAGCUGUUAGUGAGCUAUCAAGAAGAUUCUAGAUGCUCAUGUGCUGGGCAUGUGAGUGAUUCUAUAAAUAUAAGAGAUCACCUCACAUUGUAACUAACUUUUCAUAUAUACAAUUCCCAUCUUAGCUAAUCUUUCUCUCCCAUCUUAGCUAAUCUUUCUCUCCUCUUCUCUUCUUUCUCUCUUCUCUCUGAACUCAGUAGCUGCUAUAAUGGCAGCUCUAUAUGAGUAUGUGAGUUUAUCAUAGCUAUUUCAACAAAAGAGAUGGUAAGAAAUCAGAUCACUUCUUAAAACAAAGAGUAGAGCUUGUUAUUUCAUGCACAAAACUGACGUCUAGAAAGUUCAGGACCAAAAUACGUUGUGAAACUAAAAAAGUAUCAAAAUAUGUCAUAUAUUUAAAAUGUUACCAUAAUAUGCUUAACUCUCUUUUAAGAGAGUUGUAUGCAUUAUUUUUAACAGAAGUUCAGAAACAGAGUUAAAAAUUUCAGAAAAGUACAUAACUCUCUUUUUAAGGGAGUUAUGCAUGUACAUAACUCUCUUUUUAAGGGAGUUAUGCAUUUCUUUUACAUAACUCACUUAAAAAGAGAGUUAUGUAAUAGAAGUUACAUAACUCUCUUUUUAAGUGAGCUAUGCAUUUUUUUUACCUCACUUAAAGAACAAAAUUAAUGCAUAGCAAAGGCCUUAUAAAUAGAACUAUCGUCGUCUAAUUUUUUUCAUGUGUUGUAGACUUAUUAAAGUGAAUUGGCCUUUGCUUAUAUUAAUUAUGAGAAAUAAUUGAACUAUUGCUGUCUAGUUUUUUUCAUGUAUGGUCUAGUUUUUUUCAUGUGUUGUAGACAUAUAAAAGAGAGCUAUGCAUUUUGUUCUCUUUUUAAGUGAGUUAUGUAAAAAAAAUGUAUAACUCACUUAAAAAGAGAGUUAUGUAACUUCUAUUACAUAACUCUCUUUUUAAGUGAGUUAUGUAAAGAAAAAUGCACAACUCCCUUAAAAAAAGAGUUAUGUACUUUUCUAAAAUUUUAACUCCGUUUCUGAACUUUCGUUAAAAAUAAUACAUAUAACUCUCUUAAGAGAGUUAAGCAUAUUAUGGUAACAUUUUAAAUACAUGGCAUAUUUUGGUACUUUUUUUAGUUUCAUGGCAUAUUUUAGUUCCGGACUCACGUCUAGACAAUUGUAGUUGUUCUCGAAUGCUUUUAUUGGUUAUGGUGGGGUGAGGUCUGAGGAAGGAUUGUAGAAGAUAAGGUUUCAUGUCUUCUCAUUGUUCCAGUUUGGAAAUUAUUUAGAUAAAGAAAGAGGUUUAAUGUAAACUGAAAAUUAUUUAAAUAGAGAAAGAGGUUCAAUGUAUUACAUAAGGGAGUACAGAAAUUCAUAUUUUAACAUUAAUGACUUGAAAUUUGGAGGGGAUAUACUUAAAUUAAAAGCAAAGAGCCUUCUACUGAAAAGCAGUUGCUCUGUAACAUUGGGAGAGUUUAGAGAAAUCAGCCGUGUCACAUAUUUAGCUGGAUUUCCACAAGAGAAGGAGAAGGGUAUGUUGCAUUUCCUUGCAAAUAUUGAUAUAAGGAGCAGAGAAAAGUACAAGGAAUAAACUCUUGUUGAGCAAAGUGGUAAUUGGCUCCUUAGGAAGGAUAUGGUCUCACCUGCCCCCUACUUAGCAUUUUCGACUUCUUCAUUGCAUAUAUAUUUCCAGAUACUUUAUCUCGGCACAACCUGACCUGCAAAACAGAUUUGAAUAAGAAUCAACAACUUAUUAUCAGGGCUGGUAAACAGGAAACACAUUCUGUGUGACUAUGAGGUCACGGAUUUAAGAUGUGGAAACAACCUCUUGCAGAAAUAUAAGAUAAGAUUAUGUACAAUAGAUGCAAUAUGAUCCAUCCCUUCCCCAGAACCAAUGCAUAACAGGAGUUUAAUGCACCACAUUGCCCUUAAUGUCCAAUAGAAGGACCAAAGGAAAUUUAUCUUCCAAGAGCAGUAAUUUACCUGAAUACUACAGAAGCCUUGGGAAGCAAUUAAGACUUUCACACUUUGGGUGCCCCAAUAACAGAAAUUAUUAUAACACCAAGCUACAUAAGAAUAGUGAGAGAUACCAAAAGAAAAGCAUCAUCAGUGACUCCAAUUAAAUUAUGCAUGGUCUAAUAAUUAAAUAUUGUUGCUGUUGCAUCUUGAGAAUGUAAAAAAUGAUUGUAAAUUUUGCAUGAGAAUGGAAUGAAUUCAUCGAACAUGCUCCUUCUGGUUAAGUAUAUGAAACAGUUGAUCAUUGAAACGUAUGGGGUAAAAACCAACUCAAUAGUAAGAUUUUAUUAUUUCAUAACAUAUAAUUCAGUCCUGAAGGUCGAACGGUCCAGCUAACAAAACAUAAUCCCUGGAGAAUGAUAUUUUUCAAUAUAAAGAGAGACAGGAUCUCAAACCUUUCCAAAAGAUCUUCUUCCUAUGAUUGUCAAAAGCUCAAAAUCAUCAACAGAUAUCUUGUGACGCUUUAGUCAGAUAUACUCUGUAUUUUUUCUCCAAUUUCUUUAGAAGGUUCAUUUGUUCUUCCUCUGGUACACCAGAGCUUUCCAAUUUCCUUUCUAUCAGUAAUCGCCUAUAGUUCAUAGACAAAAAUACAUGAGAGAUACAGAAACGAAGUGGCUAGAAUUAUAAUACAGUUAUUUAGUUGCACUAGAAUUAGUUAAAGUGCUCACCGCAAAAGAAGUGGAUAAUGUUAAAAAUAAUAAAAAAAUAUAAAAACUGAGGUAUAUCAAUUCUAUUACUAACUGCAGUGGUACUAUAGAAAAUAGAGACAUUCAUGCAAAGUGGCACAAACUAAACCUGACUGCUAACUUUAUUCUUUAUUUAACAUGUAAAUGGCUAAAAGCUUACUUCUGACUACAUAACUAAUAUACAGCUUCUUUGUAAAUAUCUUUCAGAACUUACCUAUCAUCAAUAACGAUGGUAUAUACAUUAUAGGUGGUCCCUGCAAACAACACUCUGAUCUAUUUCUAUUUCAUGGAGUUUCCAAAUUCCACCUCCUUACAUCCACAAGAAACUCAAAGUUGAUGCAAAGGGCAGAUUUACAUGCACAGAAUAAAAUUAGAGCUGUCGGUUUUAGCUUCAUCAUCAAUUUGUCAGAAGGUUAGCAGACAAGCUUAAAAUGUGUAGCUAAAUAAACCAUCAAACCAUACUCGUGUGUGUGUAUAUAAUGGUAAAAAAAAGAUACAAAUAUGAUAAACCUCUACCAUAAACCUCCAAGCUAAGAGAGAUCUAAACUUCCUAAGCCUACCUUUUCUGUAACAAGAUUAUCUAUCUAAGGACUGGAAAUAAGAAUCGUGUUUUCCGCUUUUCAUAUGAAGCAAAUAACUAUAGAUACAAAGCAUGAUUUUUUCCAACACGAGUAGGGAGUUAGCCUCACAAAGGCAAACGGAAACAGAGUCGUUCAUGAUCAAGUUACAACCUAAAAAUUAAUUAUCUCAAACAUUAAUUAUGACCACAUUAUGCUUAACCUGAAUGAGAGUGAACAGGCAGCUACUUUCCCAGCCCACAAAUUUUAGUGGAAAAGAAUUACAUGCCAAAAUAUUCGUACCAUUCUAUGCUUAACCAAUCAACAGAGGAGAUGCAAAAGGUCAUACAUCCAAAUAUGACAUUAAUUUAACUGAUAAGAAUAAGAUCAAGCAGAAAAGUUGCAUAACAAACACUCUAUUUUCACACAGCAAUCACAAUUAUCCAUCUAUGAACUAAAAUUCCAUCCAUAAUUACAGAUAUUUUACUUGAUAGAAAAUAACUAACUGUAAUGCACAAAGGACAAAAAGUUGACAAACAAAAGGCAAGUAAAAAUGUAAUAUAUAAUUUCUUCAAUCACCACUCAACAAUAUCAUAACCUGGUGCCAUGUUAACAAUCCAGAGCUUGAAGAAACUGAGAACAUGUUUAGGGUGUCUUUUACGUUCAAACAUUAAAAGUAUAGUUUUGCAACCAAGUUAUCUGAACAAGAGGCCAACACAUGAAUAUCAAACUAGAAUCAUUCGACAAUAGGAAAACUUUUGGGUUUAAUAGGUGUGAAUGGAAAAUGGAGGAACACAACCUUUGAGGAAAAGACAUAUUGUUUUGAAAAAAGAGUGACUAUUUAGAUAGUUGUGUCUGUUCAGAAAAAGACACAAUAUUUCGAAUGAACAGACAUGACUCUUCCAAAGGAUACACCUUUUCGGAUGAACCAUUGCCACCUUUCGAAAAGGGUACUUAAUGGCUAUAUAAACUUGCAUUUAUCCACAGGUUUUAAAAUAAAAAUUUUUUUUGAAAUACAAACUCUUCUUAUCUUCAAAACAUUCCUUGUGAUCAAUCAAAUAGUUAAGUGAGUUUGACGAAUCCAAUUAUUUGAGGUACCACUAUAAUUGGAUUGAAAGCCAUUUUAUCCUGGAAGAAAGAUUUUAAAACCUCGGGUAUAGUGAGGGAAAUUAUUCCUUAAGGACACUCCAUGAAGUCGGAAGACUUGGCUUUACAUUUCUGUUUCAUCUUAAUUUCUGAAAAAAUAAAACACACUUCUUAAAAAGAUCACUUUGAUCUUGUGUUUAGGGUGUUGUUGUACUUCAUAGUGUUAUUGUUUUAAACUUGAACUAGUGUUGAAGUUAUUGUAUCAAAUUACAAAUUCUUGUACCCGAAAAUGUUGAAAAAUAAUAAUCUUAAGGAAUAAUUUUUUGGAAAAAAAAUUUUUUUUUGGUUGUUUGGUGAAAUUUUCUUUUCACUAAAUUUUUUUUUUUGGAAUCUGUAUUACUUGGUUUAUGGAGAUUAAAGCUAUAAGCCUUCUACUCUGUUUGAACUUAACUAAUGGUUUGAAGAAAUAAAAUUUUCAUCACAAAUUAAAGAUCACUCGGUUGAUGAUUGAAAGUCAUUGAAACGUCAUCGUUAAACUAGAAACAAGAGGUGUUUAAAGAUGUUGCAACUUUAUUAAUAGUAUUUUGAUAUACUAAAGGUUCUGUCUUGUUGUGACUGGAAAAUGACUAACGAUAGUCAAGUGCAAGGUACUUCAACGACUAUGGCAGCGGCUAGUACUGCCACAACGAGUCGUACUAAUGCUCCACUGGCAAUGGCACCAGCGGAGAAAUCUAGAAAGUUUGUGGGUAUUGACUUCAAGAGGUGGCAGCAAAAAAUGUUUUUCUACCUCACUGCUCUUUGUCUUCAAAGGUUCAUAUUUGAGGAAGCUCCAGAGGUACCCAAGGGAACCUAUGAACAAGGGCAGUUUGUGAUUGUGGAGGCUUGGAAACACUUCGAUUUUCUUUGCAGGAACUACAUUUUGAGUGGUCUACAAUAUGUAUAGUGGAACAAAGACAGCUAAAGAGUUAUAGGGAGUGCUAGAAUAGAAGUACAAGACAGAGGAUGUCAGAACUAAAAAGUUCUUCAUCGCAAGAUUCCUGGAAUAUAAGAUGAUAGACAGUAAGUCUACUGUUUUCCAAGUACAGGAACUGCAAGUGAUCAUCCAUGAUCUCCUUGCGGAAGGUAUGAUUUUGACAAAUACCUUUGUUGAACAGUUUGAAAAUGUUCUUAGUAUUCACAUAACCUUUAUUGUAGGUUUGAUCAUGAAUAAAGCAUUUCAAGUAGCAGCAAUAAUAGAGAAGCUACCACCUAUGUAGAAGGACUUCAAGACUAUUUGAAACACAAACGUAAGGAGAUGUCUGUAGAAGAUCUAAUCAUAAGAUUUUGCAUUGAAGAAGAUAAUAAGACUACGGAAAGAAGGUCAAGAGAAAAUUCUACAAUGAAUGGAGAAAAUAUUAUAGAAGAUGACUACAACUCCAAAAAGCGAAAGAAAGCUGGAAAUGAAAGAAAUCAACCCAAGAAGAAAUUUAAGAGAAGAUACUUCAACUAUGGAAAGAUUGACCACAAAUCAAUAGAUUAUCGGACCUUAAGAAAGGCAAGAAAAAAGACCAAGCAAAUAUGGCUGAGUCCAAGAAAAAAAUGGAUGAUCUGUGUGCCAUGCUUUCCGAAUGCAACUUAGUGGGAAAUUCUCAUAAAUGGUGCAUGGAUUUUGAUUCCACCCGCCAUGUUUAUGAUAAUAAGGAGUUGUUUUCAAUGUUUGCUCUGGAUUAAGGAGAAGAAAAGAUCUUCAUGGUUAACUCUGCUACUGUAAAAGUAGAAGGAACAGGAAAAGUAUGCUUGAAAAUGACUUCAAGCAAAGUGUUGACACUAAAUAAUAUCCUGUACGUACCGGAGUUAAGAAAAAACUUGAUUUCUAUACCACUUCUAGAUAAAAAUAGAUUCAAAUGUGUAAUUAUUUCUGAAAAAAUUGUAAUUAGCAAAGGAGAAGUGUAUGUAGGAAAAGGCUAUCUCACUGAGGGCCUAUAUAAGAUGAAUGUAUUGACUAUUGAAAUCAAUAUAAGUUCUUCUUCUUCUUACUUGCUUGAGUCUUAUGAUUUGUGGCAUGACCUAUUAGGCCAUGUUAAUUACAAAUUAUUAUGAAAACUGAUUAACUUAGAAGUUUUACCAAACUUUGAGUGUAAUAAAUCAAAAUGUCAAACGUGAUGGAAUCAAAGUAUGCUAAGCAUCCGUAUAAAUCCGUUGAAAGGAAUUCCAAUUCCUUAGAUUUAAUCCACAAUGAUAUUUGUGAUAUGAAGUCAACAUCAUCUCGUGGUGGGAAAAAGUAUUUUAUAACUUUUAUUGAUGAUUGCACUAAAUAUUGUUAUGUUUAUUUGCUAAAUAGUAAGGAUAAAGCAAUAGAUGCGUUUAGGCAAUAUAAUACUGAAGUUGAAAAUCAAUUAGAGAAAAAGAUCAAAAUGAUAAUAAAUAAUGGAUGCAGAGAAUAUUAAUCUCUCUUUACACAAAUAUGUGUAGAGAAUGAAAUUUUUCAUCAAAAUACAGCCUUGUAUUCACCUCAAUAUAAUUAAAUUGAAAAAAAAAAUCAAACUUUGAAGGAAAUGAUGAAUGUAUUACUUAUAAGUUCAGGUUUACUACAAAAGUUGUGGGGGGAGGGUAUCCUUAUAGCCAAUCGAAUACUCAAUAGAGUUUCUCAUAGUAAGACACAAUCAAUUCCAUAUGAAAAAUUGAAAUAAAGGAAACCCAACUUGAAAUAUUUGAAAGUGUGGGGUGUCUAGCGAAGGUCCAAGUUCCUAUGCCUAAAAGAGUAAGGAUAAGACCUAAGACGCUGGACUGCGUGUUCAUAGGAUAUGCUAAAAGUAGUAAAGCAUGUUGAUUUUUGAUUCAUAAAUCUGAACAUCUAAAUAUUAAUGAAAAUACGGUAAUUGAAUCAAAUAAUUUUGAAUUCUUUGAACACAUUUAUCCAUAUAAAACUAGACAUGAAGAGUCUAGUGGGGAUCUAAAUGACCUCAAAAUGAACCAAGUGAGGAUGUACAUAAUUAUGAUAAUCCAAGACGUAGUACACAUCAAAGAAUGUCCACUUCGUUUGGAUCGGAUUUUGUAACAUUUCUCUUAGAAAAUGAGUCUCAAACAUUUAAAGAAGUGAUGUGGUAUUUGGACAAAUCCUUUUGGAAAGAGGCAGUCAAUAGUGAAAUUGAUUCAAUCUUACGCAACCAUAUGUGGGAGUUGGUUGAUCUUACUCCAGAAAAUAAACCUUUAGGUUCUAAAUAGAUCUUCAAAAGAAAAAUGAAAGUUGAUGGCACUAUUGAUAAGUACAAGGCAAGACUUAUUGUAAAAGUCUUCAAAUAAAAGGAAUACCUUGAUUACUUUGAUACAUACUCUCCAGUAACGUGGAUAACAUCAAUUUGGAUGUUAAUUGCCUUGGCGGCAGUAUAUGAUCUUGAAAUCCAUCAAAUGGAUGUGAAAACAGUAUUUCUAAAUGGAGAAUUAAAGGAAAAAAUUAACAUAGAGUAUCCUGAGGGUUUUGUAAUUCCAGGAAAAGAAAAUAAGGUGUGUAAACUUGUUAAGUCACUUUAUGGACUAAAACAAGCACCUAAGCAAUGACAUGCAAGUUUGACCAAACAAUGUUGGAAAAAUAGAUUUAAAAUUAAUGAAUGUGAUAAAUAUAUUUAUAUUAAAGACACUCCAAAUCACCAAGUCAUUGUGUGUUUAUAUGUGGAUGAUAUGUUGAUCAUCAAUAGAGAUAUUUUAGACAUAAAUGCAACGAAAUGAAUGCUCGAGAGCAAGGUCGAUAUGAAAAAUGUUGAAGUUGCGGAUGUGAUCUUAGGGAUAAGAAUCCAUAGAACUCCACAAGGUUUGGUAUUGUCAUAGUCUCAUUACAUCGAAAAGGUACUUGACAAAUUCAAUUAUAUGGAAUUUGGUACUGCCAAGACUCCAUUGGAUGUGAGCUUUGUAUUUUGAAAAAAUGAAGGUAAAAGUGACUCACAAUUGGAGUACGCAAGAGUAUUUGGAUGUCUAAUGUAUAUAAUGAAUUAUACACGACCAGUCAUAGCAUGCGCUAUUAGUAAGUUAAGUCGGUACACGAGUAAUCCCAAUCAAAUUCAUUGGUUGGUAAUGAAAAAAGUUUUGGGGUAUCUCAAAUACACUCAAGACUACGCUUUGCAUUAUAAUAAAUAUCCCGCGGUACUUGAAGGAUAUAGUGAUCUAAAUUGGAUCACCAGAUCAAAUGAAGUAAAAUCCAUGAGUGGAUAUCUAUUUACUAUCGGUGGAGGAGCAAUCUCUUGGAAAUCAUCCAAAUAGACUUGUAUUGCUUGCUCUACAAUGUAAUCUAAAUUUAUUGCAUUGGAUAAGGCCGGUGAAGAACUAGAAUGGCUCCGGAAUUUCUUAGAAGAUAUACCUUAUAGGCCCAAACCAAUGGCACCAGUAUGUAUACACUAUGAUAACCAAGCAGCGAUAGGUAGGGCAGGGAGCAUAAUGUACAAUGAUAAAUCUCAUCAUAUAAGAUAGAGACAUAAUACCGUUAGAGAACUUCUCUUUAGUGGAAUUAUCAUUGUUGACUAUAUGAAGUCAAAGGAUAAUAUGUCGGAUCCAUUUACAAAAGGCCUAACUAGAGAGAGAGUUGAGAGAAUAUCCAAGAGAAUCGGUUUAAGGCCUAGGACAAGUUAGUAUGGAGGUAACUCUACCUAGCAGACUGGAGAUCCCAAGAGCUAGGUUCAAGGAUAUCAAACAAAGUUGUGUCUGACAGGUUCAACAUUGUCAAAAUACCAACUCAUUCUCAUGAUGUAGACAAUGUUUAGUAUAUAAGGAUAAGACUUAAGGUGAAAAUUCUUUUAAUGAUUAUCUAAAUUGACAGAUUUGACCAAAUAGUUUAAUCUAUAGGAUUGAAUGUUUAGAAAUCACCUAUGUGAGGGAGAAGUGGAAGCCACUUCAAGGAGAAUGUUAGUAAAGGCCUAUUCUCUAAGCUCUCAUAAAAUCGGGACGUGUUCAUGGCUAAAAAGAACAAAACCAUGAGAACCAUAAAUGGUAAAAGUCUGGUUGUGUGACAUGUCUUGUCUAGGUGUACAUUAAAGCUCAACGGUUCAAAUAUAUCAAAUCUACCGAUUGACCGCGUGCAUUCGAUGCAUGUUCACUAUGGAAAGUUUAAAGGAAAAUUGACUUAUCCUGAUGCAAUCAGUAUUUCCUUAAUGAUCAUAUAUUUGUUCGUAAAGUUUUACAAAAAAUAGUCAUUCCCCAUUCAUAUGGGGGAUUGUUGGGUUCAAUAGGUGUGAAUGGAAAAUGGAGGGGCACAACCUUUGAGGAAAAGACAUAUUGUUUUGGAAAAGGAGGGACUAUUCAGAUAGUUAUGUCUGUUUAGAAAAAGACACAAUGUUUCAAAUGAAUAGACACGACCCUUCUAAAGGAUACACCUUCUCAGAUGAACCAUUGACACCUUUUGGAAGGGACACUUGAUGGCUAUAUAAACCUGUAUUUAUCCACAGGUUUUAAAAUAAUUUUUUUUUUUUGAAAUACAAACUCUUCUUAUCUUCAAAACAUUCCUUGUGAUCAAUCAAAUUGUUGAGUGAGUUCGACGAAUCCAAUUAUUUGAGGUACCACUAUAGUUGAAUUGAAAGCCAUUUUAUCCUGGGGGAAGAUUCCAAAACCUCGUGUAUAGUGAGGGGAAUUAUUCCUUAAGGACACUCUGUGAAGUAGGGAGACUUGGCUUAACAUUUCUGUUUCAUCUUAAUUUCUAAAAAAAUAAAACACACUUCUUAAAAAGAUUACUUUGAUCUUGUGUUGAGGGUAUUGUUGUACUUCAUAGUGUUCUUGUUUUAAAAUUGAACUAGUGUUGAAUUUAUUGUGUAAAAUUAUAGAUUCUUGUACUCGAAAACAUUGAAAAACAAUAAAAACUACCAAAGCAAAGAGAUGCAUUGUAAUACCCCAAAAAAAUCCAAACCAAUAUUAGAGCCAUGUACCAAGCUCAUGCAUAUUACAUCAUGGUUCUUUUAUAGUUUUAUGAGUAGGUUAGAUGUAUAUUAAGGCUUCAAAUAACUCCCAGCUAUCAGAUGAAUCAAAAUAUUCCUUACCGAUUGAAUUCUUGAAAAGGAUAUUGGUAUAGUUAACUUUAAAUGAGCAUAUCUCUUAUUAUACUUGGAAUUUUUGAGCUCAUAACCUAUCAACAAAUAGAUAAUUGAAUUAUCUUUCCAACUAUACCAAAUUUGCCUAAAUAUGAUAUCAGAGCAAAGAGUUAUUCUUAUUUUACUCCAGCAUGUCAGGCUGGAAACAGUGUGACGACAUUCGUGGUAGCUUACCACAUUUGUGAUGCCCUACCACGAAGGUCGUCAUCCUUAAGCAGAAACCAGCUCCCAAGUGAUGAAAUUUGUGGUAGCUUACCAUAUUUGUGAUGCCUUACCACGAAGGUAGUCAGCCUUAGACAGAAAUCAGCUCCUAAGUGACGACAUUCGUAGUGGCUUACCACAUUUGUGAUGCCCUACCACGAAGGUCAUCAGCCUUAGGCAGAAUCCAGAUCCUGUGUGACGAAAUUCAUGGUAGCUUACCAUAUUUUUGACGCCCUAACACGAAGGUCAUCAGACUAAGGCAGAAACCAUCAAUUCUAGCUUCUGUGUGAUGACAUUUUUGACGGCUUACCAUAUUUUUGAUGUCUUGUCACAAAUGUCGUCAGUUAUUAUUUUCAACAACUGGGAAUUAUUUCGUAAGGGUAUUUUGGUCUUUUUACUUUACUUACCAUGACUUAUAACCCUCAAGGAAUGUAUUAUCUUUCAUUCUCUUUAGUUAAAAUAUUUCAAAAAGCUCUCUCAUACACUUUCAACCACAAGAUUAGGGUUUCUUAUCAAGAUCAUCUCCUCAGGAACAAGAGCAUUCUUUCCUAAAGGGGUUAAACCCUAGUCAAGAAAAAUCAAGGGCAAGCCUAAGGAAUUCUUCAAGAACCUUUAGAAACAUUAGAUCUUUUUCAAGAUUCAAUCACUAAGGUAUGCAUAAUGUUUAUCUAUGGAUCCAAUCCGUUCAUAGAGCUCAAAAACCAUGUUUUAAAUAUUAUUUUGUAAACUUUUUGUGGUGAUCUGAGUAUGUACAUGUUGACGAUUGUUGUCUAAGUUUCAAUGUGAUGUCUAAAGGUGUUUUCAUGGAAUAUAUAUGUUUGUUAAUUGAAAAUCAUAAACUUUAGGUUGUUUAAUAUUGUGCAAGUAUGAAACCCACCUAUGCCUUAAAGAAUACAUGCAAGGUGUUUGAUAAAAUGCUUAGGAUGCUAGAAAUUCAUGUUUGUAUGGUUCUAUGAUGUCUAAAUGACAAUUUCAUGUUAGCUAUAUACUUAAAUAGGAAUUCCAUGUUUUUUAUGUGUUGCUAUUGUGGUGGUAUGAAGUAUGCAAGAUAAUGGAGAUAUACAAUAUGUACACGAAAUAUAUCCAUUCAUUCCCUACAAUGUUUAAGAUAUUGAAUAACUAUAUGAAAUAUGAUAUCCCCUACUUAUGAUAUUAUGAAUUGUGGACUCAAAUCUUGUAAUCAAGUCAUGUCAUUAGUGUCAGUUUCCUUCUAUCGAGUCCUGGGGGUAUUCGUACCCAAAAAACAUAGUUGUGCGCCUAGAUCCAUGUCAUGUAGUCAUGAUAAUCUCAGUCAAGAUAUAAUCUAUAGAACUCAGUCAGUCAUAUGACUCAGGAAACCUUAGAAAUCUCAUGAUCUCAGUUAACUCUCAGAUAAUAGUACUACUCCGUCAGUCAACGAAAGUCACUUAAUCUGUCCAUGUACAGUCAGUUCAAUCAUGUUUAUUCUCUUCAGAUGGGAGUAGAAGUUAGUACCGAGUGAAAGCAAGGAUGGAGACUCACGUACCAGUUUAGGGUGUGUUUCUUAGCAGUCAUCCUUGUGUUCCAGGUGGCUUAACCUGUCAGUUUAGGGUUCACCAUUCCCACUUUGAGUACCUGCCAGAUAAGGGUCAGUCACAACUGUCCUUACCAGUGGCGCGAUAUUUACACCCCUCCAGUCGAGGCAGAGAUUGGACCCCAGCUUAGCCGUAAUGGUAUACAUGAGGCAUGUUGGUUAAAUAACUACCUCCCACAGUUUCAGUAUAGUCUCAGUAAAAGAACUCAGAUAGUUCUUCAAAUAUAAAUAUACCAGGACUAUUAGAUACGGUCAAAUUUAAUUAUAGCACAGAACUCAGAGAGAUCAACCAGAUUCAGGGUUGUCAGAUACAGUCAUCCAUGUUAUCAGAACUACGGUUCCAGCCAUGUAUUAGUGUAUAGAUUUAGCCAUUAAGUACUCAUGAUCUUAGUUACUAUGUAUAUAUAUUUGUACACUUACGUUCAUAUCAGUCAAUCAGUAGUAUUAUUCAGGCAUGUAAACCCUUUGCAUUAGGCUACCUCACUCGUAUACUUAGUACUCCAGUUGUACUGACGCACUUGUGCUAUGGUGCUUUCUUUUCAUGUUACACCAUAGGUUCAGAGACACGAGUCCCAGACCAGCAGUAGCAGUCGCAUUCAACAUACAGAGUUGUGGUGAGUCCUCUUCAUUUGAGGACGACAUUAUUUAAUUUAUUCAUUUAUUUCUUCAGUUCAGUUUUACGGAGUUAGUUGGAGACAUGUUCCUUCAACUCCUUAUUUCAGACAGUACUUACAGGCUUUCAGAUUUAUGCUCAGCUUUAGCUUUCAGAUUUAGUUUUCAUUUAUUUUGGGUAUUUUUUGCCCAUAUGGAUGUUAUAUUAUUUCAGUUGAACCUUAUGGCCUAUUGUGCACGUUUUCCGUAUUAUUAUGUCAUGAAUUUUAAUAUACAGGUACAAAUAUUAGUUAGGGGUUAGCUUGUGGUCCCUUGAGGUCAUAAGCACCGUGUAGCAUUCCGGUUUAGAAAAUUGGGGCGUUACAUGCAUUCACUAGGAAAUCAUUCACUCAGAAUAAAGAAUAAAACAUUUCUAUGAACAUAGUAGAAACAUGAGUUAAGACUUCACCAAAACUCAAUCAUCACCUGUUCCAACAAAUAUUGCACUAUGUUCACCUAUUUGCCUAUGGUCUGGAAAAUUACUAAGCAAAAACAAAUUAAUAAUCCUCAAUACUUCCUUCUUCGGAGCUGCUCACCCAGUUAUACUUUUAUGUGGACAGGAGGUCAUACCUAGGAGCAGUUGGACUGUUCAUGAAAGAAGUCACUAGGUAUAAAACAACUUUCCAGAAAAAAAUGAGGGAUAACUGAGUUAGCUAUAACCCUAUCGAGAAUAGUAGAAUGAAAAAGCCACCCCCAUCAGUGAAAAUUAUAAGGACAUAACUAUGAAGAAGGCAACAUAGUUAUAGGUAUGCUCAAGAAGAAUCUAACAACAUAAGUCAACUUACACUAUAGCAUUUUUCUUUCCACAUAGCAAAUUGUUAAUGAAGCUUUACCUUUAGCCGUUGUAGCAGCCUUCCAUGUUCUUUGUCCUGACUAUGUUCAUUCCAAUAAUGAAAGGCAACUUAUAAAAAGCACAUUGUGUAGUAUUUACAACAAUGAACUCAAAACUAUGAUAUAUGUAUGGAAUACUUUAACACAGAUUAAUUUCAUUAAAAUUAAGGAUUAUGUUAAAGUAUAAACUAAGUCUCAUAGAGCUAGUUAAUCUGUUUUCGCUAAGUUAGUUAAUACUGUUAAAGUUAGUUAGGAAGUUAGCAUUAUUAGAGUUUUUUAGAAAGAUAACUAACUUAUGAGGAAGAGAAUCACAUUCUGUUAUCUAUAUAUAGAAGCUAAUGUAUCACGUCAAAAACACUUCUUGUGAAUAAAAUCAACAACUUCCAUUAUUAAGUUGCAUUUCAAGUGCUUCUUCUUCCUCUUUUAUUCUUCUUCUUAUUCUUCUUCUUCUUCUUCUUCUUCUUCUUCUUCUUCUUCUUCUUCUUCUUCUUCUUCUUCUUCUUCUUCUUCUUUCUUUCUUUCUUUCUUUCUUUUCUUCAUAUUUUGUGUAUGAAUCUAUGAUUCAUAUCCUGAAUUACUACAUGGUACCAGAGCCAAUCAAUCACCUAUCUUGCAUAGUUAAUUAUGAAGUGGUUCAUCUUCACUGCUAUUGAUCCAAUUCCUGAGAUCACCUAUUAUGAUUUUGCUAUAGUUCUGGAGCUUUCUUUGAAAGAAAUUGAAAGAUAAUGGAGCAUCAAACUGAUACAAUACCAAAUCAAGUCCCAAGAGCAGCUAUAAAUAGAACAACUAGGAAUUCAUCUUUAUUUCAGGUUCCUGGUAUUGAUUACAACCAUCCCUUAUUCUUGCAUUCAUAUGAUAUGAGUGGAGUGCAAAUAAUUUCUUUUUAAUUGACUGGUAUUGAAAAUUACACCAUUUAGGCUAGGUCUAUGUGUAUUGCACUCCUAGGUAGAAAUAAGAUGGGGUUAGUUGAUGGUUCUUUUACAAAAGAAAAUUUUCCUAAAACUAUGUGGAACCACUGGGAAAGGGUCAAUGCAAUAGUUUUUUCCUGGAUAAUGAAUUCUAUUUCUAGUAGUCUUCUUGGCGGGAUCAUGUAUGCAUCUAGUGCUCAGGAAAUUUGGCAAGAUCUAUUUGAAAGAUUUAACAAGAUUGAUGGUUGCAGAGUAUAUAGUGUUCAUAAAGAAAUUGCUAUAUUGAUGCAAGGAAUUCUAUUUAUUUCUGUCUAUUUCUCAAGAUUAAAGGAUCUGUGGGAAGAAUUUGAGUCCCUAGUGCCACCAUCUAGGUGUGAUUGUGAAAAAUCUAAGGAUUUUGUAUUACAUUUGCAAAUACUCAAACUUUUUCAAUUUUUAAUGGUCUUAAAUGAUAAUUAUGGACAGGCAUGAAGUCAAAUUUUGAUGAUGAGUCCAUUACCCUCUGUGAACAUGGCAUAUGCCAUAAUUCUGGGUGAUGAAUGUCAGAAAAUAGUGGCUGCUACAGCUGGUGUCUUAGGUCCUAGUCCCAGUACCAUUAAUUUUGAGACUACUUUGUACUCCAAAUCUUAUAGAGGGGGAGGUUCUUAUCAUUAAGGAAGCAGUCAUAACACUAACUAUCUUGGACAUGCCACUUCCACUAAUACCUUUUCUGCUGUCUAUCAGAAGUAUAAAAGAAACUCUAAUAUGAUAUGUGACUACUGCAAAUGGAAUGAACACACCAUGGAAGUAUGUUACAAAUUGGUUGGUUAUCCAAGUGAAUUCUGAAACAAGAAAAAGGUAUUGCCAUCUCAUAGUAAUGGUCAUGCUGCAUGUAAUGUGAAUGCAGAUCUUGGUCCUGAGUGUUACACUUCAAUACUUAGUCAAAACUUGAAUCCAAACAUUACUAGUGUGAGGUAUCAAACUCAAGACUUAUUUUAUCAUGAAUUACCUGGACAACUUGGUCAGCCUGUAGUGUAUUCUAUUCCCUUUACAAGGAGUCAGUAUGAAGAGGUUGUGCAAAUUCUCCAACACAACCACAAUGAGUCUACAUCUUCAGUGCUUGUAGUUGGUGAUAACGCUAAAGCUAAUGCAAGCACUGCAGGUAUGAGUUUAUACUUGUCUUUACUGGCUCCUAGUAUACCUGAAUGGAUCAUAGAUACAGGAGCCACAAAUCACAUGGUUUCUGAUCUUGAUAUAUUAGAUAAAACUACUAUCAAGAAGUCUGAUAUACCAAAAGAGUUAUACUUACCUAAUGGUGACAUUUCCUUGGUCACAUAUACUGGUAAUAGGUCAAUAUCAGACAUGAGAACAAUAUCUAAUGUCUUCUUUGUGCCUCAGAUUAAAUAUAAUUUAUUGUCAGUAGCCAAACUAACAAGAGAAUUAUAAUGUGUUGCUUCCUUUUUUCCUGACUUUCGUAUAUUUCAGGAUCUCUUCACUGGGAAGGUGAAGGAGAUUAGUAAGCUUGAUGAUGGAUUAUAUGUGUUAAUGAACAAGCUGCCAACUAAUAGAAAGGAAGAAGGCAACAACAACACUAGUCUUGCUACACCAAAGUAUGACACUACCAGGCUGGAUUUCUAUCUUUGGCACAAAAGAUUUGGACAUAGUUUCUCUAUAGCUUUACAUGAAUUGUUUUCUCCAAGUAUUCUACAAUGCAUUACUGAGUCUAUUCAUGACUGUUCUAUCUGUUUGUGUGCUAAACAAACUAGAAAUAUUUUUCUUUCAAGUAGUAUUAAGACUUAAGCUGUGUUGGAUAUGAUUCAUGUAGACAUAUAGGGUACUUACAAAACCCCUACUCUUGAUGGACACAAAUAUUUUAUUACCUUAGUAGAUGAUUUCUCUAGAUUUGCAUGGUUAUUUUUGCUUAGACAAAAAACUGAUGUAUAUCUCAUAUUAAAACAGUUCUGUGUGCAUAUCAAAACAAAGUUUGAUAAAACCAUAAGGAUUUUUAGAUCUGAUAAUGGGUCAGUAUUAACUAAUAAACUAUAUCAAAAUUUGUUUAGUGAACUAGGUAUGGUUCUGUAAUGGCCUGAGCCUGGUGCCCAGAAUGCUACACGGUGCUCAUGACCCCAAAGGACCACAAGAUGACCCAUGACUGAUAUAUGUACCUGUACACUGCAUAAUACGUGUAUAUAAAUACGGAAAUAAAGGAUUAUAGGCAAUAAGGUUCAAAACUGAAAUAAAACUGAUAAAUCAUAACAUCCUAAUAGGGUAUCAAUUACCCAAAACAAUUGAAAUAAUUGUCUAGAACAUGAUAGUCUAAAUAAUACGGUAGUCUGGAAAGCCUCUAACUGUCUAAAUAAGGAGUUGAUGGUAUGGGUCCCCAACUAACUCCGACUACUGAAAGAAACUGAAUACUGUAAUGAUAAUAUAAUAAUCCUAUCCUCGAAUAAUGAGGAUUCACUGUUAAAACUCUAACUGCUGAAUACUAGAUGGCUACUGAGGAUCUGGAGCUCAUGCGUCUGAACCUAUGGUAUAAAACACCAUAGCGAGAAUGCAUCAGUAUAACUGAAUGUACUAUUAUGCAUGUGAGGUAGGCUGAAUGCAUGGGGUUCAUAUGUAUGAACAAUAAUAAUAACAGACUGACUAUCAUGAGCGUGAGAAUAUAUGUAUAAGACAUAAUAACUGACAUUGAUACCGUGAUAACAUAAUUAUUGAAUCUGAAUACUGAUAACAUGAGUGACUGUAUCUGACAGUCCUGAUUCUGAUGAAACUAUUUGAGUUCUUUUACUGAUACUGAUACUGAUACUAAAACUGUGGGAAGUAUUCAUCUAACCAACAUGCCCAAAUUAAGCAAAUAAUGUUGGAUUGAGGUCCAAUCUGUAACCCCAAUUGGAAGGGUGUCAAUACUGCACCACUGGUAAGGACAUUGUGAGAACCCUAUACUAGCAGGUACUCAAAAUGAGAAUGGUGGGAACCCUAUACUAACAGGUUAAGCCACCUCAUUAACCCUAAAAUGACAGAUUAGAUAUCUCAACCUACACUAGCUACUUAGUUCUGGAACACAAGGAUUACUUCUAAGAAUCACACCCUAAAUUGGCAAGUGAGUUUCCAUUCUUGGGUUCGCUCAGUGAUAACUCCUACUCCCAUCUGAAUAGACACUGAACAUGAUUAAACUAAACUGAAUUGAACUGAAUUAAUUGGGUUCUACUGACUGGUGGAAUAGUAGUUGAGAUUACUAAAUUACUAAACUUUCCUAAGUCACUUGACUGACUGAGUUCCAUGGAUCGUGGGAUGACUAAGGGUAUCAUCGAAACAUGACACUGGCUCUAGGCACACAGCUAUAUUUUUUUGGUACAAGUACCCCCAAGACUAGAUAGAAGGAAACUGACACAGCAUGACUUUAUUGAGUGCAUGACCACAAUCAUCAAUUCAAAAUACCAUAAGUUGGAGAUUUCAGGGAGUACAUGGUCAUCAUAAAGUUGUACAUGGGUAGGAACACAACAUUCAUAUCAUAAUUUCACACUUUAAGAUCAUGGAAUUUCAACAAAACAUACAUUACCUAACCAUAACAUGGAAACUUGGUGAACAUAAAAGAAUGACAUGCAUAUAUCUCUUAGGUCAUAAUUUAGCUAAUGUGCAUGAUUUCUAAGUUCUUAGGCAUUUUGUCAAACACCUUGCAUGCACAACUUAAGGCAUAGGUAGAAUUAUCAAAUUUCACAAAUCAUAACCCACUGAAUUCAUGAAUUUCAAUUGACAUGCUAAUGCAGUUUCAUAAUUUCACCCAAAGAUCCCAACUGGGAAUCAUACUACAAUAAUCACAUGAACUUGAACAACCCACAACAAGAUAACAUAAUUCAUAAUUUAAAAUAAGGUUUUUGAGUUUUAUGGAUGGAAGAAGUCCAUAAAUCAACCCAUUGCAUACCUUAGUUCUUGAUUUCACCAAGUUUGACGGUUGAAUUUCUUGAACUUAAAUCCCCAAUAAAAGCCCUAAGGCGUUCUUGAUAGGAUUUUGAGAAAUAUGGAUGUAUUUGGGUUCAUAAUGGGAUAAAUCCCGUGUUUAUGAGUAUAUAUAGUGUGGGGAAAAAGGUCAAUUUUACCCUCAAAGCGCUAAGCUGGAAGCUGGAAAUUUUGCCAGCAUUCGAUGAAGUGUACGUCGCAUGCUCUAGUCCUCCACACUAGAGCAUGCGUUGCAUGCUCUAUUGUAUGCUAGGACCUAUAAAAUAGAGCAUGCGUCGCAUGCUAAUCACAUGACCUUACUAUUUUGAAAUCCAAACAUGCCCUAAAUGGAUUUCAAAAAUUCCGAAACUCACUCGGGAUGUAUGAUUAGCUUGCCCCAUCGUAAUGCAACAUUAAAAUUGCAAAAUAAAGGUCGUGAAGGUAGUCAAAUAAAUUCCUAAAGUUCGGAGGCUAAAAAAAUGAAACUAAGAGUGGAACUCAUAGCUAAAAUAUUCUAAGAGUUGGACCUUCUAAAGAGCUUUUAGGAGCUAAAAGAGUUGAUUAUCAACUUAGGAUGUUGCGUUAUUACACUAUCUCCCCCUUGAAAACAUUCAUCCUCGAAUGGGACUAAUUGAGAGGGAAGAAAAGACAACUGACAUGAACACCUAGCAUGAACAACUGAACAUGAUUUCAUGACUGACAUGAUUGGUAACUGAAUAUACCAUACUGUACAUGCAUAUCUGAUGCAUGGAUAACUAAUUCAUGAAUACAUGACUAAGCGUUCUGAUAAAAUGAGGUUCUCACAAUGAGGAUGCAUGUCUGAUUCAUAAUUAUAUAACUGAAUUGAUACAUGAAUGCGUGACUGAGAUACGAUGGCACUUAGUACCUAGUUUAUAAGGAACUGUGAAUAGGAAAUUGAAUGAGAUUUAAAACAACUAUUACCUUAAGCUUGGUCUGAGUUAACGGAGAAGAGGUUAGGGUACUUGGUUCGCAUAUCUGCUUCCACUUCCCAAGUAUCUCUCUCAACGGACUGAUUUUGCCAAAGAACUUUGACUAGAGGGACUUCUUUGUUCCUUAGUCUACCAGUCUGAUAGUCAAGAAUUUCAAACGGAAUCUCUUUAUAAGAGAGGCUGUUCUGAACAUCAAUGCUCUGAAUAGGGACUACGACUGAUAGGUCACCUAUGCACUUCUUGAUCAAAGAGAAAUGGAAGACUGGAUGAACUGAGGCUAAAUCUGAAGGCAACUCGAGAUCGUAAGCUACCUUGCCGAAUCGACUGAGAAUCUUGAAGGGACCAAUAUAUCGGGGACUGAGUUUCCCUUUCUUGCCAAAUCUCUUCACUCCUUUUAUGGGAGAGAUCUUUAGGAUACAAAUUCACCAAUCUCGAACUUGAGAUCUUUUCUGCGAACAUCAGCAUAAGACUUCUAUCAGCUCUAAGCAGCCCAAAGUCUCUCUUUGAUCAAUUGGACUUUGUCUAAGGCAUCGUAUACUAAGUUAGGCCCAAUAAUUGAGGCCUUACUAACUUUGAACCAACCAACUGUAGAUCUGUAUCUCCUACCAUAGAGAGCUUUAAAUGGAGCCAUCUGAAUACUGGAAUGAUAGCUAUUAUUGUAUGUAAAUUCAAUCAAAGGUAAGUGGUCGUCCCAACUACCCUUGAAAUCAAUUGCACACGCCGUUAGAAUAUUUUAUAGAGUCUGAAUGGUCCUUUCUGCUUGACCAUCUAUCUGGGGAUGAAAGGCUGUACUGAGAUAAACUUAGGUACCAAGACCCUUUUGGGUUGCUUUCCAAAAGUGAGAGGUGAACUGGGUAACUCUAUCAGAGAUAAUAGAUAAUGGAAUACCAUGCGAUCUGACCGACUCCCUGAUAUAGAGUUUGGCAUAAUCCUGUGUUGAAUAAGAGGUAUGAACUGGAAGGAAAUGAGCUAAUUUGGUCAUUCUGUCUACAAUGACCCAAACUGAAUCAUAUUGGUGGCGAGUUAAAGGAAAACCCAUUACAAAGUCUCUGUUCACUUCUUCCCACUUCCAAGUAGGAAUGGUGAACUCUUGAAUGGAACCACUAGGCUUCUGAUGCUCUAUCUUAACCUACUGAUAUGUAGAGCACUUAGCCACAAACUCUGCAAUAUCUCUCUUCAUCCCACUCCACCAAUAGAUCUCCCACAAGUCACGAUAUAUCUUAGUAGCCCCUAGAUAAAUAGAGUAGCGUGCACCAUUCGCUUCUGCAAGAAUUUGCUGCCUCAAGUCAUCUACACCUGGAACACACAGACGACCUUGACAACGCAUAACACCAUCUCCUCCUUAGGAGAAAACAUCUAAUUUCUGACCUUUGAAUGACUCUUUCAACUUGACUAGGCUGGGAUCUCUAUCUUUCUUUUCUUUCACCUCAAAAACUAGAGAUGAUUAUGAACUACUCUGAACCCAUACAUCACCCUCUCCUAUUUCGACUAUGCAAAUACCUAGUCUGGCAAGCUGAUGGACUUCCUGAGAUAACUUCUUCUUACUCUCCUUCACAUGAGAAACACUACCCAUAAACAGUUUACUGAGAGUGUCGGCCACUUUAUUGGCCUUACCCGGAUGGUAGAGAACACUCAUGUCAUAAUCUUUCAAGAGCUCUAACCACCUUCUCUGAUGAAGAUUGAGAUCUUUCUGAGAAAAGACAUACUGAAGGCUCUUAUGAUCAGUGAAGACAUCUACAUGAACUCGGUAGAGAUAAUGCCUCCAAAUCUUCAAGGAAAAUACUACGGCUGCUAACUCAAGAUCAUGAGUAGGAUAAUUCUUCUCAUGGGGCUUUAACUAUCUGAGGGCGUAGGAUAUAACCUAACCAUUCUUCAUGAGGACACAACCUAAACCUACCCUGGAUGCAUCACAAUACACUAUGAACCCAUCUAGACCAUCUGGUAAUGCUAGAAAUAGAGUUGAGGUGAGUUGAGUCUUCAGCUCCUGAAAACUCUUCUCGUAAGGAUUUGACCACUAAAACUUGACCUUCUUCUGAGUCAAUCUGGACAUAGGGGAUGCAAUAGAAGAAAAUCCCUCAAUAAACCAUUUUUAAAAGCUGGCCAAACCCAAGAAACUCCUAAUAUCCGAUGGAGAGACAGGGCGAGGCCAGUUUCUUACUGCUUUGAUCUUCUGAGGAUCUACUCUAAUGCCAUCAGCGGAAAUGAUGUGACCAAGGAAUGCUACUUACCUUAGCCAAAAUUCGCACUUACUAAAUUUGGCAAAUAAUUAAUGAUUUUUGAGAGUCUGCAAUACUAUCCUGAGAUGGUCUAAAUGAUUUUGCUCACUGCGGGAGUAAACAAGGAUGUCAUCUAUGAAGACUAUGACAAAUAUUUCUAGGUACUGCUUGAAUACCUGAUUUAUCAAGUCCAUAAAAGCUACAGGGGCAUUGGUAAGACCAAAGGACAUGACUAAGAAUUCAAAGUGACCAUACCGAGUCCGGAAAGCUAUCUUCAAGAGUCACAUUCUCUGAAUCUGAGCUGAUGAUAAACUGAUCUGAGGUCUAUCUUAGAGAAAUAGGUUGCACCUUAAAGUUGGUCGAACAAUUCAUCAAUUCUGGGGAGUGGAUAAUUGUUCUUGAUCAUGACUUUAUUGAGUUGAAGGUAAUCAAUACACUUUCUGAGAGAACCAUCUAUUUAUUUCACACGAAUAAAACUUGUGCACCCCAUGGGGAAACACUGGGUCUGAUGAAUCCCUUAUCUAAGAGAUCCCUCAAUUGUUCUUUCAGUUCCUUGAUCUCUACUAGUGCCAUUCUAUAUAGAGGAAUAGAGAUAGGUCAAGUGUCUGGAAGAAGAUCAAUGCUGAAGUCUAUUUCCCUUUCGGGAGAAAUCCCUGAAAGAUUUUUGGGAAAGACAUCUGAAUAUUCAUUUACAACUGGGACUGAUUCAAGAUUGGGAGUUUUAGAAUGAGAGUCCUUAACAUGAACAAGAUGAUAGACACACCCUUAGAUAUCAUUUUCCUUGCCAGUAGGUAGGAAAUAAGUUGACCUCUGAAAGCUGAAAUACUCCCCCUCCACUCUAAGAUGGGUUCAUUCGGAAAUUGAAACUGGAUUCUACAGUCAAUUGAGGCAUAGCAUAAGUGGAGAUAAUCCAUACCAAGAAUGACAUCAAAAUCAGUCAUCUUUAAUUUGACUAAAUCUGUUGAAGUGACUUUCUGGAAUAUUAUAAUCGAACAGUUCUUGUAUACCUACCAGGCUAUGAUGGUUUUACCCACUGGGGUAGAGACUGAAAAGGGAUUUACUAGGGUUUCGAGGCUGGCUCUAAAAUCACCUGUUAUGUAAGGAGUAACAAAAGACAGGGAAGCACCUGGAUCUAGAAAAGCAUAAACAUGCACAUGAAAGAUCUGUAAUGUACCAGUAACUACAUCAGGAGAAUUUUCUUGAUCUUUCUGGGACUAGAAAGCAUAAAGUCUGUUUGGGCGCUGCCCACUAGUAGCACUAGAGGUGGUGCCCUGCUUGUUUGGGAAACCUUACUGAGCUGAGGGACAGUUCUGCUGACCUUGAGGUCUAAGGGUAAUUUCUAAUUCUGUGUCCUGGCUUACCACAACCAAAAUAGGUAUCACUACCCGAUCUGCAAACACUCGGAUAAUGCUUACCGCAAGUUUGACAAAGAGGAUAUGAGCAAGCACUACUAGCACUAUCCUGGGACUUAGAUCCUGGCACUCUAUCUUUAAACUUAGGGGCUGGAGCACUGGCUGAAGAAAAAUAUGGAGCUGAUGACUUAGGACGAAACUGGGAAUGGUUUCCUCCUUCUGAUUUGGGCUAAGCAAAGUUGAAACUGCCUGACCUUGCUCUCUUAUUUUCCCUCUCCCUUACCUUAAUAUUUUACUCUUCUAUCUACUGAGCAUGAGUUAUGAGUCUGGCUAAAGUCAUGUCACUAUUCAGCAUCACAGAUCUACACUCAUUUACCACACUAUCAUUUACCCUUAACACGAAUUUACUCAUCUUGGCCCUGCUAUCCACAACCACAUGAGGGGCAUAUCUGGAUAAUUGAGUAAACUUAACAGAAUACUCUUUCACCAUCAUGUUGACCUGCCUGAGGUUGAUGAAUUCUUGCACCUUAGCCUCUCUCAGCUCUUGGGGAAAGAACCUUUCUAAGAAUGCCGCUACAAACUUCUCCCACUCUAUAGGACCUGCAUCAUCUGACCUUUCUGACUUCCACUACUUGUACCAAGUAUGAGCUAUAUCCUGUAAUUGAUAUGCAACUAGCUCAGCACUCUCUACUGCAGUAACCCCCAUGAUAUCUGUAACCUUUAAAACCUAAUCAAUGAAUUCUUAAGGGUCCUCAUCAAACUUAGACCCGAAGAAGGAUGGAGGAUUCAUUUGGGUAAAGUCCACAAUCUUGGCUAUAGCUAAAUUAGCCACUGGGUUGGCUGAAAUGACUGCUGGUCAUUCAUUCUGAGCUGUGACUAACUGAACAAGAGUAGUGAAUGUGUCCCUAAACUCCGCAUGAGAAACAUGUUCGCCCAAAGGAUCUUCGGGCUGAGGGGCUAGCUGAUUUCUUCUCUUAAGAGGCAUGUUCUGAAAUCAAGAUGAGAAAUGGAUUAGACUGAGAGAUUAACUUGAUAUUAUGCUUACUGGCACGACAUGAGUACUGAAAGAAUGGGAAACUAUUCCUAAACAUCUCAUAGCCUCCUGUACAUAAAUGUGGCACGCAACACACCCAUGUACAAGACUCUACUAGAUGCGGGUUUUAGACUUCCUAGGACACUAUUGAACCUUAGACUUUGAUAUCAAGUUUGUAACGCCCCAAGCCUGGUUCCCAGAACUCUACACGGUGCUCAUGGACCUGAAGGACCACAAUCUAACCCAUGACUGAUAUCUGUACCUGUACACUGUAUAAAAAGUGUAUAUAAAUGCAGAAAUUAAGGUUGAUAGGCCAUAAGGUUCAAAACUGAAAUAGAGCUGAUAAAUCAUAACAUCUGAGUGGGGUAUCAAAUACCCAAAACAACUGAAAUAACUUUCUGGAACAUAGUAGUCUAAAUAAUACGAUAGUCUGGAAAGCCUCUAACUGUCUGAAUAAGGAGUUGAUAGGACAGGUCCCCAACUAACUCUGACUACUGAAAGAAACUGAAUACUAUAAUGAUAAUAUACUAAUCCUGUCCGUAGAUAAUGAGGAAUCACUACUUAAACUCUAAAUGCUGAAUACUAGAUGGCUACUGAGGAUCUGGAGGUCAUAUGUCUGAACCUAUGGUAUAAAACACCAUAACGCAAAUUCAUCAGUACGACUAAAUAUACUGGUAUGCAUAUGAUGUAGGCUGAAUGCAUGGGGUUCUUAUGCAUGAAUAAUAAUAAUAGACUGACUAUAUUGAGCACAAAAAUACAUGUAUGAGACACAAUAACUGAUAUUGAUACCUUGAUAACAUGAUUAUUGAGUCUGAAUACUGAUAAAAUGAGUGACUAUAUCUGACAGUCCUGAUUCUGAUGGAACUAUCUAAGUUAUUUUACUGAUACUGAUACUGAAAUUGUGGGAGGUAGUCAUAUAACCAACAUGCCCCAAUUAAGCGAAUAAUGCUGGAUUGGGGUCCAAUUUGUAACCCCAAUUGGAAUGGUGUCAAUACCACACCACUAGUAAAGACACUGUGAGAACCCUAUACUGACAGGUACUCAAAAUGAGAAUGGUGGGAACCCUAUACUGACAGGUUAAGCCACCUCAUCAACCCAAAAUUGACAGGUUAGAUGUCCUAACCUACGCUAGCUGCAUAGUUCUGGAACACAAGGAUUGCUUCUAAGAAUCACACCCUAAACUGGCAGGUGAGUUUCUAUCCUAGGGUUCACUCGGUGUUAACUUCUACUCCCAUCUUAAUAGACACUAAACAUGAUUAAACUAGACUGAAUUGAACAGAAUUAACUGGGUUCUGCUGAUUGAUGGAAUAGUACUUGAGAUUACUGAAUUACUGAGCUUUCCUGAGUCACUUGACUGACUGAGUUCUAUGGAUUCUGGCAUGACUAAGAGUAUCGUGGAAACAUGACACUGGUUCUAGGCACCCAUCUAUAUUGAGUGCAUGACUAUAAUCAUCAAUUCAAAAUACCAUAAGUUGGGGAUUUUAGGGAGUACAUGGUCGUUAUAAUGUUGUACAUGGGUAGGAACACAACAUUCAUAUCAUAAUUUCACACUCUAAGAUCAUGGCAUUUCAACAAAACAUAUAUUGCCUAACCAUAACAUGUAAACUAGGUGAACAUAAAAGAAUGACGUGCAUAUAUCUCUUAGGUCAUAAUUUAGCUAAUGUGCAUGAUUUCUAAGUUCUUAGGCAUUUUGUCAAACACCUAUCAUGAACAACUUAAGGCAUAGGUAGAAUUAUCAAAUUUCACAAAUCAUAACCCAUCGAAUUCAGGGAUUUCAAUUGACAUGCUAACGUAGUUUCAUAAUUUCACCCAAAGAUCCCAACUGGGGAAUCAUACUACAAUAAUCAUAUGAACUUGAACAACCCACAAAAAGAUAACAUAAUUCAUAAUUUAAAAUAAGGUUUUUGAGCUUUAUGGAAGGAAGAAGUUCAUAAAUCAACAAUUUCAUACCUUAGUUCGUGAUUUCACCAAGUUUGACGGUUGAAUUUCUUAAACUUGAAUCCCCAAUAAAAGCCCUAAGGUGUUCUUGAGAGGAUUUUGAGAAAUAUGGAUGUAUUUCAGUUCACAAUAGGUUAAAUCUCAUGUUUAUGAGUAUAUAUAGUGUGGGGAAAAAGGUUAAUUUUACCCUCAAAGUGAUGAGUUGGAAGCUAGAAAUUUUGCCAGCUUGUGAUGAAGUGUGUGUUGCAUGCUCUAGUCCUCCGCACUGGAGCAUGCAUCGCAUGCUCCAUCAUAUGCUAGGACCUGUGAGAUGGAGCAUGCAUCGCAUGCUAAUCGUAUGACCUUACUGUUUCGAAAUCCAAACAUGCCCUAAACAAAUUCCAAAAAUUUUAAAACUAACCUGGGAUGUACUAUUACCUUGCCCCAUCAUAACACAUCUUUAAAAUCACAAAAUGGAGGUUAGGAAGGUCGUCAAAUAAAUCCUCGAAGUUUGGAGGCUUACAAAAAUGAAACUAAGGGUGGAAAUCAUAGCUAAAAUAUUCUAAGAGUUGGACCUUCUAAAGAGCUUUUAGGAGCUAAAAGAGUUGAUUAUCAACAUAGGAUGUUGCGGGGUCUUAUAGGUUCAUCAAAGGUCGUCUGCUUAUACUCCUCAGCAAAAUGGAGUUGCUGAGAGAACAUAUACUUGAAAUAAUAAGAUCUAUAAGGAUGCAAGCUCAUAUACCUAUAAAGUUUUGGGGACUUUUUAUUUUAGCUGCAGGUUACCUAAUCAACAGACUACCUAGUGCAACUCUGGCCAAUAAUUCUUCAUAUGAAGUAUUCUACAAUCGAAAACCUUCUAUUAAUCACCUAAGAAUUAUAAGAUGCUUAUGUUUUGCUAAAGAUGUAACUCAAUUUGAUAAACUAGAAUCCAGGUCUAAACCUGUUGUUCAUAUAGGAUAUUUAGAGGUUCAAAAAGGUUACAUUCUUUAUGAUUUACAAACUAAUAAAUUCUUUGUCAAUAGGGAUGUCAUAUUUAAAGAAAUCAUGUUUCCCUUUGCUUCUCAAUCAUCUACUAACAAUUUUCUUUUUCCAAGAAACUCUAUUUAUUUAGAGGAAUGGUCAGAUGGCUCAGUUAUUCCAUUUUAUCAAACAGGCAAUGGUCAACAGUGUAAUAAUUCAGUGGUAAACAAUGAACUUCUGCAGCCAUCACAACACCAUCAAGUGCCUAUACAUGAGCCUGCAGCUCUAUCUCAACUUCAACAACAGGGACAAGAGCCUGUAAUUCUAGCACCGGUGGUUGUUCCACCACCAACACCUAUUACAUAUAGAAGACCCCUAGAGAAAAACAACCUCUUAUCUGUUUAAAGGACUUUGUGUCUCUAAAUAUCCAUCAGGAGCCUUUAUAUGGACUUAACAAAUAUAUAUCUUAUGUUGGCUUAUCUAUAUCCUAUCAAUCUUAUCUUACUACUUUCUCAUCUGUUACAGAACCUACUGCAUAUAAUGAACUAACAAAGAUCCAAGAUGUAUACAAGGUAUGAGGAAAGAGAUCACAGUACUGGGAAACAACAACACUUGGGAAGUUAUUCAACUACCUCCAAAAAAGCCUAUCAUAGGUUUUAAAUGGGUGUACAAAGUGAAGUUCAAAGUAAAUGGUGAGGUUGAAAGGUUUAAGGCUAUACUUGUAGCCAAAGGAUAUAGUUAAAGGGAGGGUAUUGAUUUCAAAGAAAUCUUCUCUCCAGUGGUUAAAAUGGUAACUGUGAGAAUAGUUUUAUCACUACCUGCAGCAAAACAAUGGCAUAUAAAUCAAAUGGAUGUAUAUAAUGCCUUUCUUUAGGGUGAUCUCAAUGAUGAGAUCUAUAUGUAACUACCACAAGGAUUCACUAGUCAGGGGGAGAACAUGGUAUAUAGACUAGUCAAAUCCUUGUAUGGAUUGAAAGAAGCACCUACACAAUAGAACACCAAGGUGACAGAAGCACUAUCUAGGUUUGGUUUUGCUCAAAGUCAUUAUGAUCACUCCUUGUUUAUCAAAGAUUCAGAUCAAGGAUUCACCCUAAUCUUAGUGUAUGUGGAUGACAUGCUUAUAACUGGGGAUAGUCUGGAACUGAUAUAGCAAACCAAAGAAGAUUUGCAGUGUGCUUUCAAGAUAAAAGAUUUGGAAGAACUCAAAUAUUUUCUUGGAAUUGAAUUUUCAAGAUCCAGGUCAGGAAUUACUAUGCAUUAGAGAAAUAUGCAUUAGAGUUAAUAUCUAAAACAGGACUAGUAGGAGCAAAACCUGCUAUCACACCAGUUGAUACAAACACAAAACUCACUAUAAGAGAAUAUGAAGAGUGUACAAAAGAUAAUUAUGAUACAAAAGAAGACCCUCCAGCUGAUUAAAAUGCCUAUCAAAGACUUGUAGGAAAAUUUCUAUACUUGACAAUAACAGAACUGAUAUCUUCUUUGUUGUACAAACACUAAGCCAGUUCCUACAGGCUUCUAAAGUGUCACACAUGGAGGCUGCUUUGAGGAUUGUAAUGUAUAUUAAACAACAACCUGGACAAGGACUUUUGUUAUCAAGUAGUCAUAAAAAUGAGGUUACUGCAUACUGUGAUGCAGACUAGGCAGCAUGUCCAAACACUAGGAGGUCAGUCACUGGCAUCAUAAUCAAGUUUGGGAACUCACUUGUGUCAUGGAAAUCAAAGAAACAGGUUGUGGUGUUAAGGAGUUCAACAGAAUCAGAAUAUAGAAGCAUGGUUUCUACCAUUGCAGAGUUAACUUGGUUGUUAGGAUUAUUAAAGGAAAUUGGAGAGGAAAUUAUUCAACCAGUAAAGGUGCUAGUGAUAGCAGGUCAGCAUUGCAGAUAGCAGCAAACCCUGUUUAUCAUGAAAGGACCAAACAUAUAGAGAUUGAUUUCUAUUUCAUAAGGGAGAAAAUUCAACAAGGAUUUGUCACUACUCACUACAUUAUCACUACGGAUCAACCAGCUGGUAUCUUUACCAAGGGUCUUACAAGGGUCCAACAUGAAUACUUGAAGUCCAAGCUAGGUGUACUAGACAUAUUUCACCCAACCUAGCUUGAGGAGGAGUGUUAAAGUAUAAACUAAGUCUCACAGAGUUAGUUAAUCUAUUUUCACUAAGUUAGUUAAUACUGUUAAAGUUAGUUAGGAAGUUAGCAUUAUUAGAGUUUGUUAGAAAGCUAACUAACUUAUGAGGAAGAGCAUCACAUUCUGUUAUCUAUGUAUAGAAGCUAAUGUAUCACAUCAAAAACACUUCUUAUGAAUAAAAUCAACAACUUCCAUUAUUAUGUUGCAUUUCAAGAGCUUCUUCUUCCUCUCUUAUUCUUCUGAUUCUUCUUCUUCUUUCUUUUCUUUCAUGUUUUGUGUAUGAAUCUAUGAUUCAUAUUCUGAAUUACUACAGAUUAAGUGUAGAUAAUUCAUCAAGAAAGCAAUUGCAGCUCAACAACUAUUGCAAAAAGAAAAUGUGAAAAGGAACAAUAUAGCAAUAUUCCUUCGUAAGAGUACUUUGCCAUGGAUUCUUAGUAAAACUACUCAAAUAAUUAUUCAAAGGCUAAUCAUAUCAAGUCUAUAAUCAUAUUUGUACUCGUAGUUUAGGAUUUCAUAAUUUAUUCUCUUUAAUUUAACUUAUUAAACUCAUCUCUAAUUAAAGGGAUGUAAUCCAAUACAACACCAAAUCAUAAAAUUCAUCUAAACUCAAAAAGUUGUAAUUAAAGUAGAGGAGCAUAUGUCAAAACUUGUACCAUAAGAAUCAACAGUAAAUUCAAUCAUUUUAAUGACAAAAUAAGAACUAAAUUACUCACAUUUAGAGAAAUAAUUAAGAUGUAGUUAACAAAUUAUGAGUAAUGAUAACUUCUGGCUAACACCUUUGAGUAAAAUUUUGUGCUUUCAAUAAAAUUUGAGGUCAAUAUAUUUAUUGAGAUGUACCCAUUUGUGACGGUAUAAAAAUAAUCAACAAAUAAAAUUUUUUAAAAACAAUGUAUCCCAGAUGAUAAAACUUUACAUUUGAAAAAAUAAAAUAUUUAAUUAAAUAAUCAAAUUAAGUUUCAAUUCGAUAUAUAAAAAGAAUGAAUAUCUGAGAAUCAUAAGUGCAAAAGUUAAUAUUUUGAGAGAAAAAGAUAAUGAAUACCUUUCGGGUUGAUUGAAGGAGAAGAUGCUAUCAAAUAAUUUCAUAUUUAUUUAAGAGUUGGAAACAUUUAACUCCAAAUUUAAAUUAAUUACGUUGUCAAAUGAAGUUUGCAAAGAGAUUCCUGGGCCUUUGGGCUCUAGGUGACAAAAGAGUUUUAAAAUGAGGUGUGGGUGACACAAGUCUUAAUAAUUGAGUGGAGGUGACAAUUACUUUAUAAAUGAUUAAGAAAGUAAGAAAAAUUUAAAAAUAACCCACAAGUUUUUUUAAUUUACACUUUGAUCCAAUGUAAAACCUAAUAUAACUAUAAAUGGAGGGGAAAAAGGCACGUGUCUCUCUCUUCUCAUUUAUUGGAGUUUUCUUUCUCUUCGUGAUUUUUGUCGUUCAUUGUUGUUGUUGCUUUAUUCAUCAUCUUCUUCUUCAUUAUCAUUAUCUUGUUCUUCAUUAUCAUCUCUUCUUGUUUAUCAUCAUCAUCUUCUUAUUGUUGAACAUUGUUGUUACCACUGCUAUUGUUACUUGAUCAAAUUCUUCUAGGUUAAAUUUUAUUCGUAUAUCACUUGGGAAUUACUUAUAGGUAAUUUUAGUAAGUAAAAUUAUAAUUUUUAGUUGAAUUUCUCAUCUGGGUGUAUCUGCUACUGUUGUUUCAAUAAUAGAUAAAACAUGUAACGUGAAUCCAACAUAUGAGUAAUCUGUUGCACAGAUGAGUAAUCUGUUGCAAAAUAUAUGACUAAUCUGUUGCACAGAUGAGUAAUUUGUUGCAACAUAUUGAUUAAUCUGUUGCAAUAUAUUGACUAAUUUGUUGCAACAUAUUGACUAAUCUGGUGAAACAGAUGAGUAAUCUUUUGCAAUGUAUAUGACUAAUAUGUUGCAACAGAUUACUCAUCUAUUGGAUUAGUAUUAUAGUGUUGUAAUAUGAAUCCAACAUAUGGGUCAUCUGUUGCAACAGAUUAUCAUAUGUUGCAACAAAUGACUCAUAUAUUAGAUUCAUGUUUCAGGUUAUAUCCAUUGUAGCAGUUGCAGAUACACCAACUAAAAAAUUCAAUAAAAAUCAUAAUUAUACUUACAAAAUCACCUAUGAAGUAAUAUCCAAGUGAUAUACGAACAAAAUUUGACCUAAAAAAAUUUCAAAAAUUUCAACAAGGGCACAAGAAUAAGUGAAACACAUGAAAAAUUUCAUGAAACAGGUAAAGAAGACAAAAAUAGUGUGUCAUACAUCAAAUGCAAAAGGAUCAAGGGGACAAACGUUUGAGUUCUCCUAAAAACAUUUAAGUUCCCUAGUAUUUUAAUUGCUUUCUAAUGGAUGACCUAUCUAUUAUAACAAAUUUUCUAUCUAUUUGAUAAUUUCCAACAGGUGAAUCAUCAGUUACAACAUGUUAGUCAUCUGUUGGUUUAAAUUAAGCAAUUAUUAGUAAUAACUAAAUUAAUUUAGCUAAAAUUAAAGACAAGUCUUUAAGACAAUGGGACAAACAUUUGAGUUCUCCUAAAAAUGUUUGAGUUCCCUAGUAUUUUAAUUAUUUUCUAACAGAUCACCUAUUUGUUGCAACAAGUUAGUCAUCUNNNNNNNNNNNNNNNNNNNNNNNNNNNNNNNNNNNNNNNNNNNNNNNNNNNNNNNNNNNNNNNNNNNNNNNNNNNNNNNNNNNNNNNNNNNNNNNNNNNNNNNNNNNNNNNNNNNNNNNNNNNNNNNNNNNNNNNNNNNNNNNNNNNNNNNNNNNNNNNNNNNNNNNNNNNNNNNNNNNNNNNNNNNNNNNNNNNNNNNNNNNNNNNNNNNNNNNNNNNNNNNNNNNNNNNNNNNNNNNNNNNNNNNNNNNNNNNNNNNNNNNNNNNNNNNNNNNNNNNNNNNNNNNNNNNNNNNNNNNNNNNNNNNNNNNNNNNNNNNNNNNNNNNNNNNNNNNNNNNNNNNNNNNNNNNNNNNNNNNNNNNNNNNNNNNNNNNNNNNNNNNNNNNNNNNNNNNNNNNNNNNNNNNNNNNNNNNNNNNNNNNNNNNNNNNNNNNNNNNNNNNNNNNNNNNNNNNNNNNNNNNNNNNNNAUUGACCAAUUUUAUUUGAAAUGAAUCAAAUUAAGCUAUUAUUCGUAAUAACUAAAUUGAUAGAACUAAAAUUAAAGAUGAAUUGAUAAGUUCACUUACAAUUUCAAUUAAUCUCAUAGUAAUUACAUGAUCAAUUAAGUGUUUCGUACUGGGUAGAAUGAUUAAUUGACCAAUUUUAUGUGAAAUAAUUCAAAUUAAAUCAUUAUUAUAAAUAACUAUAUUGAUUUAACUAAAAUUAAAAAUGAAUUAGUAAGUUCAAUCACGAUUUCAAUUAGUCUCAGUAAUUACAUGAUCAAUUAAGUGUUUCAUCCUUAGUAGAAUAAUUAAUUGACCAAUUUUAUUUUAAAUGAUUCAAAUUAAGCCAUUAUUAGUAAUAAAUAUGUUGAUUUAACUAAAAUUAAACAUGAAUUAAUGAGUUUACUUACAAUUUCAAUUAGUAUCAUCGUAAUUACAUGAUUAACUAAGUGUAUUCGUCCAGAGCAGAGUGAUCAAAUGACCAAUUUUAUUUGAAAUAAUUCAAAUUAAGUCAUUAUUAGUAAUAACUAAAUUGAUUUAACUAAAAUUAAACAUGAAUUAAUGAGUUUACUUACAAUUUCAAUUAGUAUCAUCGUAAUUACAUGAUUAACUAAGUGUAUUCGUCCAGAGCAGAGUGAUCAAAUGACCAAUUUUAUUUGAAAUGAAUCAAAUUAAGCCAUUAUUCGUAAGAACUAAAUUGAUAGAACUAAAAUUAAAGAUGAAUUUAUAAGUUCAAUUACAAUUUUAAUUAAUCUCAUAGUAAUUACACGAUCAACUAUGUGUAUUUGUCUCGAGAAGAGUGAUCAAUCGACUAAUUUUAUUUGAAAUGAUUCAAAUUAAGUCAUUAUUAGUAAUAACCAAAUUGAUUUUGACUAAAUUAAAGAUGAAUUGAUAAGUCCACUUACAAUUUUAAUUAAUGUAUCCGUCUUUAAUAGAAUGAUCAAUUGAUAAAUUUCAUUUAAAAUGAUUCAAAUUAAGCAAUUAUUAGUAAUAACUAAAUUGAUUUAACUAAAAUUAAAGACAAGACCUUAGACAAGGGGACAAACAUUUGAGUUCUCUUAAAAACAUUUGAGCUUUAGUAUUUUAAAUUGUUUUUCAACAUAUAUCCUAUAUGUUUGAUAAUUUUUAACAGAUGAGUCAUCUGUUGCAACAACUUAGUCAUCUUUUGCAAUAGAUGUCUAUAUUUGUUUGAUAAUUUUUAAUAAAUGAAUCAUUUAUUGCAACAGGUUAGUCAUCUGUUGCAACAUAUGUCUAUAUUUUUUUGGUCAUUUUCAACAGAUGUCUUUAUCUGUUUGGUCAUUUCCAGCAGAUAUCUUUAUCUGUUUAGUCAUUUUCAAUAGAUUACUUAUCUUUUGCAACAUGUUAGUCAUCUAUUGAUUCAUAUUAAGCCAUUAUAUUAGUAAUAACUAGAUUUAUUUAACUAGAAUUAAACAUGAAUUAAUAAGUUCAAUUACAGUUUCAAUUAAUCUCAUGGUAAUUACACUAUCAACUAAGNNNNNNNNNNNNNNNNNNNNNNNNNNNNNNNNNNNNNNNNNNNNNNNNNNNNNNNNNNNNNNNNNNNNNNNNNNNNNNNNNNNNNNNNNNNNNNNNNNNNNNNNNNNNNNNNNNNNNNNNNNNNNNNNNNNNNNNNNNNNNNNNNNNNNNNNNNNNNNNNNNNNNNNNNNNNNNNNNNNNNNNNNNNNNNNNNNNNNNNNNNNNNNNNNNNNNNNNNNNNNNNNNNNNNNNNNNNNNNNNNNNNNNNNNNNNNNNNNNNNNNNNNNNNNNNNNNNNNNNNNNNNNNNNNNNNNNNNNNNNNNNNNNNNNNNNNNNNNNNNNNNNNNNNNNNNNNNNNNNNNNNNUACAAUGAUUUAACUAAAAUUAAAGAUGAAUUGAUAAGUUCAAUUACGAUUUCAAUUAUUAUCAUAUUAAUUACACGGUCAUCUUAGUGUGUUCGUUCUGAGUAGAGUGAUCAAUUGAAUAAUUUUAUUUGAAGUGAUUCAAAUUAAGCCAUUAUUAGUAAUAGCUAAAUUGAUUUAAUAAUUACAAUUUAAAUUAAUCUCAUAGUAAUUACUUGAUCAUUUAAGUGUAUAACCUAUUGCAACAGAUUUAAUCUGUUGCAACAGACAAGUCAUCUGUUGAAAAUAAUCAAACAGAUAUACACAUAUGUUGCAAUAGAUUAGUCAUCUGUUGUAACAAAUGUCUUUAUUUGUUGGUCAUUUCCAACAGAUGACCAAUCUGUUGCAACAUAUGACUUUAUCUGUUUGUUAUUUUCAACAGAUUACUAGUCUGUUGAAAUAGCUGACCACUCUAUUGCAACAGAUGUCUUUAUCUGUUUGGUCAUUUUCAACAGAUUACUCAUAUUGUGCAACAUCUUAGUCAUCUAUUGAUUCAUAUGAAGCCAUUAUAUUAGUAAUAACUAAAUUAAUUUAACUAGUAUUAAUAAGUUCAAUUACUGUUUCAAUUAAUCUCAGGGUAAUUACACGAUCAACUAAGUAUGUUUAUCCUAAGUAGAGUGAUCAAUUGACCAAUUUUAUUUGAAAUAAUUCAAACCAGGCCAUAAUUAGAAAUAACUAUAUUGAUUUAACUAAAAUCAAAGAUAAAUUAGUAAGUUCACUUACAAUUUUAAUUAAUUUUAUAGUAAUUUAAUUUGAUAGUAAUUACAUGAUCAACUAAGUGUUUCGUCUUAAGUAGAAUGAUCAAUUGACCAAUUUGAUUUGAAAUAAUUAAAAUUAAGUAAUUAUUAGUAAUAACUAAAUUGAUUUAACUAAAAUUAAAGAUGAAUUGAUAAUUUAAUUACUAUUUAAAUUAAUCUUAUAGUAAUUACAUGAUCAUCUAAGUGUAUUCGUUUUGAGUAAAGUGUUAAUUGACCAAUUUUAUUUGAAAUGAUUCAAAUUAAGACAUUAUUAGUAAUAACUACAUUGAUUUAACUAAAAUUAAAGAUGAAUUGAUAAGUUCAAUUACGAUUUCAUUAUUCUCAUAUUAAUUACACGAUCAUCUUAGUGUAUUCGUUUUGAGUAGAGUGAUCAAUUGAUUAAUUUUAUUUGAAAUGAUUCAAAUUAUGUCAUUAUUAGUAAUAGCUAAAUUGAUUUAACAAUUACAAUUUCAAUUAAUCUCAUAGUAAUUACAUGAUCUUUUUAGUAUAUAACCUAUUGCAGUAGAUUUAACCUGUUGCAACAGAUAAGUCAUCUGUUGAAAAUUAUCAAACAAAUAUACACAUAUGUUGCAAUAGAUUGGUCAUCUGUUGUAAUAAAUGACUUUAUCUAUUGUUCAUUUCAACAGAUGACCAAUCUGUUGUAAUAUAUGACUUUAACUGUUUGUCAUUUCCAACAGAUUACUAAUUUAUUGCAAUAGAUGACUAAUCUGCUACAACAUAUAUUUUUAUAUGUCUAGUCAUUUUCAACAUAUUACUAAUUUGUUGCAACAGACGAUCAAGUUGUUGCAGUAUAUGUCUUUAUCUACUUGGUCAUUUUCAAUAGAUUACCUAUCUGUUGCAAUAGAUGGGCCAUCUGUUAUCAAUCUAUUUUUAAUUUUGUUGUAAUAGUAAAUUAUCUUGUGUUGUUAUUUAAUUUUAGUCUAUGACCUUGCUCUCAACCAAACACUUUUUUUCUUGUAAUUGACUCUUUCCACUCCGGAAUGCUAAAAAACCUACACCUCUCAACAUUUUUAAAAAAUAGGCAGAAUGAAAAAAGAUAAAAAUAAACUCAGUCGAUCAAAUAAAGAUUUUCUCGUUCAUUACAUAAAAAAUAUUUACAACAUUAGGUAGAUCUGAUAAAAUAAAUUACAAAUGAUAAAAAAAAAUAUACCUAAUAAUAAUAAUAAUAAUAAUAAUAAUUAUUAUUAUUAUUAUUUAUUGGGCAGUAGACCCCUCAGCCUUCGAAUCCCAUGAAGCACCCUUACUGUCGCAGCGCCCAACUCUCACUCGAGUUCAUAAACCAGCCUUUCAAGUUCCUACACAGUAUCAAGUAGAAUCGUCAUGUACCAAAUCAGAUCAGUCAUAUCUAGAACAUUCAUAAACAAAUAACGUAAAACACUAAACCACAUAUAGUAUCAACUGGUAGUUUAACCAAAAAAAUAUGAAACUUAACUAGAAAAUAGAUGCAUGUUAAUAAUUUUCAUAUUAGAACAAGAAAAUAAAACAUACCUCAACGGACGAAUAAUAAAUUUAUUUUUGAAAGAGAAGUGAUUGAAGAUAUAAUGGCGGUUUUAUGCAAGACAAAAUGCAAGAGAUAGAGCUGAGGAGACCUAUUUAUAAAAGAUUGAAUUAGUGAGUAGUGUAGUGUAGUGUAGUGUGUUAGGCAAAAAAGCACGAUCGUUCACCUCUUUUUUAAUAAUUAUAUCUCUUAAUUAAAUCGAACUUGGUGACCUUUCGAUUAUUUAAAUUAAAAAAAUAGAUUUAAAUACAAAAAAGGUGAAAAGUCAUAACUUUUAAUCUUUUUGGUAUUUUAGUUAUUUAAAUUAAAUUGCUACAAAAUUGUGUUUAUCAUAUUUUUUUCAUAUUAUUUAUUUACGAAUCAUUUUUUUAAUUAAAUGAUCGAAAAGUCAUGACCCUUGAGUUCUUCCAACAGAUGAUCUGCUUGUUGCAACAUACGGUUCAUCUGUUACAACAGAUGACCCUUCUGUUGUAAUAUAUGACUCAUCUGUUGGAGUAAUCGAUUCAUUUUUUUAACAUAUGGUUCAUAUGUUACAACAGCUUGUUCAUUUGUUGCAACAGAUUGUUUAUUUGUUGAAAAAAUAAAUCAAUAGCAAGAUUUAUUCAAUAGAAAUAAUAACAAAUCAUCAUUUAUCAAUGCACCAUUUUUACCAUGAGAUUGAUUGAAAUCGUAAUUGAACUUACUAAUUCAUCUUUAAUUUUAGUUAAAUCAAUAUAGUUAUUUCUAAUGAUGAAUUAGUUUGAAUCAUCUCAAAUAAAAUUGGUCAAUUGAUCACUCUACUCAGGAUGAACAUACUUAGCUGAUCGUGUAAUUACCAUGAGAUUAAUUGAAACUGUAAUUGAACUUAUUAAUUCAUAUUUUAUUUUAGUUAAAUCAAUUAGUUAUUACUAAUAAUGGCUUAUAGAUGAAUAACAUGUUGCAAUAGAUGAGUAAUCUGUUGGAAAAGACCAAACAGUUAUAGAUAUUUGUUGAAAAUGACCAAACAGAUGUAGACAUCUGUUGCAACAGAUGACUAAACAGAUGACUAACCUGUUGCAAUAGCUAACUCAUAGAUUGAAAAUUAUCAAACAAAUAUAGACAUCUGUUGCAACAUAUGACUUAUCUAUUAGAAAUUAUUAAAUAGACAAGCUAUAUGUUGAAAAGUAAUUUAAAAUACUAAAGCUCAAAUAUUUUUAGGAGAAUUCAAACAUUUGUCCCCUUGUCUAAGGUCUUGUAUUAAAGUCUCAUCUUUAAUUUUAAUUAAAUUAAUUUAGUUAUUAUUAAUAAUUGUUUAAUUUGAAUAAACAAAUGACUAACCUGUUAUAAACAUCUGUUGCAAUAGAUGACUAACUUGUUGCAACAAAUAGAUAAUCUGUUGGAAAAUAAUUAAAAUACUAGGGAACUCAAAUAUUUUUAGGAGAACACAAAUGUUUUUUCCAUUGUCAUAGAGACAUCUUUAAUUUUAGCUAAAUCAAUUUAGUUAUUACUAAUAAUUGCUUAAUUUAAAUCAACAGAUGACUAACAUGUUGCAUCAGAUGAUUCAUCUACUGAAAAUUAUCAAACAGAUAUAAAAUCUGUUGUAACAGAUGGGUCAACUAUUAGAAAGUAAUUAAAAUACUAGGGAACUUGAACGUUUUUAAGAGAAAUCAAACGUUUGUCCCUUUGAUCCUUUUGCAUUUGAUGUAUGGUAUAUUAUUUUUAUCUUCUUUACCUAUUUCAUGAAAUUUUUCAUGUGUUUUACUUAUUCGUUGUGCCCUUAUUGAAAUUUUUGAAAAAAAUUUUAGGUCAAAUUUUAUUCGUAUAUCACUUGAACAUUACUUCAUAGCUUAUUUUGUAAGUAAAAUUAUGAUUUUUGUUGAAUUUCUUAUUUAGUGUAUCUUCUUCUACUACAAUGAAUAGAACUUGCAACAUGAAUCCAACAUAUGAAUCAUCUAUUGCAACAAGUGAGCAAUCUGUUGCAAUAUAUGACUAAUCUGUUGCAACAAAUGAGCCAUAUGUUGGAUUCAUGUUACAACACUAUAAAACGAAUCCAACAGAUGAGUAAUCUGUUGCAACAGAAUAGUCAUAUAUGUUGCAACAGAUUACUCAUUUUUUGUAAUAAAUUAGUCUUAUAUAUUGCAACAAAUUAGUCAUAUAUGUUGCAACAAAUUGUCAUAUACAUUGCAACAUAUUACUAAUCUGCGCAAUAGAUUAGUCAUAUAUGUUGCAAUAGAUUACUAAUCUGUGCAACAAAUUAGUCAUAUAUGUUGCAACAAAUUACUCAUAUGUUAGAUUCACGUUACACAUUUUAUCCAUUGUUAAAAAACAGUUGUAGCAGAUACAUCCAGAUGAGAAAUUCAACUAAAAAAUAACAAACAUUAAAAAAAUAACAAAAAAUAUAUAAAAAAAUAAAAUAACAAACACUAACAAAUCAAGUUCGUCUUUUUCAUCAUAAAUUAAAAGCCCUAAUUUUUUACCGGUGAAAAUGAAGAACUCGAAGUUGUUGUCGCCGGAGAAAGUUGUCACGUCGAUUAAAGGUUGAAAGUCUAAAAAGAACGGGCAAGAACUCAAAACUAUUUAUUUCCAGAGGUUGAAGUUGCACAAGAUUGAAGGGAGAAAUUUGAAAAGUUGUUGGCUGGAAGAAGUUAGGGAGAGAAACUAUCGAGAGAAAGAGAGAAGAGAGAUUGAUUUGCAGAGAGAGGGAAGUUUUGUGGGUGUGGGCUAAUUUAUAUUUUUGAAAAGAUUAAAAAGUUUGGAAAAUAUUAAUCAAGUCCACAAUUAACCUAAUCAAUUUUUUUUAAUUAUGUUUGACCCUUUAAGUUGGUCAAUGUCACCAAUCCUUCACUCAAAACUUAAAAGACACCUUUCCUUCAAUUUUCUCGAGAUUCCUUUCUUGAAAAUGAAUGAUUGACUGAUGUUCAAGAAGAAAAAUAUGAUAAAUUAAAAGAUUUAAUUAUGAUGAUAGUUAUGUAUGAUUUUCAGAUUUUAAAAUUUGAAAUUUUUUUAAUUUUAUGUUUCAAAAUAAUUUGUGUUGAAAUUUUUUUUGCAAAAUUUAUGUUAUCAGUUUAUAUUAAAAAUUUUUAAUGCAAAUAUUGUUGUGAAAGUAAAUUGACAAAUAACGUGACGUGGGGAGGUGGCAGGGUGCAUGAAGUGGAGUUAGUGGAGUAAUGGGGCAGUUUAGUUAUUUUUUCUUCUGAAAAAAAACACGAUUGAGUUUCAAAUGUCGGUAUUUGAAGUUUUUAGAAGUUCUUAUUUCAAUAUUUUUAUAUAUCAAAUAUCAAUUUAUUUUAUUUUAUCAGUUUUAUUUAAAAAAUGUUUAUCUCUUAGUUUAAUUUCAAACCGACAGAAAAAUUCAUCUAAACGUUUUCAUUUCAAAAUUAAUUUAUGUUAUAAAAAGUGAUAUAUAUUUUGAAUUUCUUUCAUAAACAUUACCUUUCUAGUUUUGAAUUUGAAUUUAAGAAUUCAUAUUAAAAACUUUAUAUAAAAACAUUUUCAUUUGUUUUUAAAAUAGGGCAUUUGCUAUUUAGUGUAUAUAUAUAUAUGUGCGCGCGCGCUUAAUUCAAAGAACUAUAAUUUUUGCUUAGAUUAUAUUAUGAUCGACACUCACCUCCAUGUCCAUUUCUCUCUCAAAAUCCAUAAGUUUCUAAGAAAGAAAAGUUUAUUUAUAAUCCAUGUCGAAGUCUUAUAAACAUAGAAACACGUGAAAUUAUAUAAGUUAUGAGACGAAUAGGCAGAUAAUAUUGACGAAUGAAUUCACUGAGAAGUUUAUUCGUAAUCAAAUACAUCAAUUCCUCUCUCAAUAGCCGAAAAUAUAAACGCUGUUCGGCUUGACACUGAUCAUAAAGAUGAAUUUUCAAAGCAUUGGAAAUAACAUAAAUGUUGAAGAACAAUAUGGUUAAAUAUACGUAAAUAUAUAUCCAACCCAACUCUGUCGACAUUCCACUCCCCAUAUGUAGAACACUUCAUUGGGGAGUUGUUUUUCAAUUAAAAAAGUUUAACUGCCCUGAAUUCGAAAGUAUAAUUAAUCUUUCCUUUUUAGUUUAAAAAAUUAAUGUAAACAAUUUGCAAUUUUUUCGCUACAAUAAAGGAUUAGUUGCAAGACGUGAGCUUAUUAUUAUGAACUGCAUGCAAUUAGAUAAGUGAUGAUCCUAUUAUUUAAAAAGUUUAUAUAUGUUCCAACGAUAGCAGAAUAUGAAGUAACUAAAACAAUAUAUUUUAUUUUCAUUAUUCAACUCUGAAUUUUCUAGUUAUAAUUCAAAUGUGAUAUUUUUUACAAUAUGACUUGUCAUAAUUCAAAAUAAAUUCUCAUAUUAAAUUCAAGUAUUUUUAUCUUUCAAUCAAAUAAAAUAGUUUUUCAAUUCAUUUUUUUAUUUUAUCAUUUUUAUUAGUCAAUAUAUAUUCUAGAAGCAUAGCUUUAUUGGCGAGGUUUAUUAAGGAUCUAUAAUCAUAGAUUACAUUAUAGAAAUGCUACUAAAUAAGAAUAUCUUUGAUCUGAUCUAUAAAUUAUUUUUUUUCCCGAAACAUACAGACAACACGCAUGCUCCAGUCAAAUUUCAUUUCAUAUGACUAAAGUAUAAAUUGAUUAAUUCUUUAUGUAUAUGUGCGCAAGAAUAGAAAUGUACUUAUUAUUUGGCAUGGAACUGAUGUUGAAACAUGCGCAUUUGCAUAAAAACUUUGAAAUAUUGCAGAAGCCACAUUUUUUUUAAUAUCUGCAAGCUUGUUAUAAAAAAAAAAAAGUUAAGAAUUAAAAGAUAUAUAUCAAAAAAUGUUAGAUAACAAAAAAGUAAUACUCUCUAAAAUUUGCUCUACAUAAAUGGACAUUAGAAAACAAGUAGAGACGAUGCAUUUUAUAGUGGUUUAUGAAGAAUGAAGACAGUGCUGGUGAAGGUUUAAUGUGAAAAGUAUGUAGCAAAAUUUUACGUGUUGUAAGCAGUUGAGAAAUAAGGAAGGGGGUGUAUAGUUGGUGGUUUUUAAGUUUAUAUUAUUUUCUUUGUUUUAAAAAUAGUGAAUUUUUUAGUUCGUUUUAAAAAGAAUGACUUUUUCCUUUUUUGAAAAUACUUUAAUUCUAAUUUUUCAAAUGAAAUGUUUAAGACUACAAGAUUCAAAAACAUUUUGAUAGAAUUGACACAACUUCAAUUUAAUACCACAAGAUUCAAAAAAUUUCUAAAGUCACAUUCAAAUAUCUUCCUAAUAUGAAUUUAAAUUUACUUGAUUACAUAUUCUAAUAUUAUAUAGUAUUUGUUUAACGUUUUUGCUACAUGUUUAUGAACUUAAAUCAUAUAAAUUCAAGUUUUGAGCAUGUUCUAUUUGUAGUGAAUUUAAAUUUAUUUAAUUAGAAAUUUACAUGUAUUUCCUUUUUUUAAAAAAAAAAAUACAUGGAGAAGAAAAAAACUAACAACGCACAUUUCUUUCCUUUUCUGUCAAAAUUGUAGUAAAAUAUUUUUCAUUUUUCUUAAUAAAUUUCUAGAAGUAUAAAAUCUCUAUGACUAGAUUCGGCAGUUUCGAAAAUUAGUGGACAUUUUUAUUUUUAAAAGAUAAACCAUAAAUAUAUGAAGACGUCGGUCCUAUGUAAUGUGUAUAUAAGAAUUUUGUUGGUAACCUAUUUUUGAAAUUCACGUUUUAAAUUUCAAAAAGAAUUGUUUACCAUUUUUUUUCAAAAUAAACGUAAAAAAAUAAAGUAACCAUCAAUAUUUGAAUUUUUCAAAAAUAAUACCCAUAUAUUCCUUUCUAUUUCUUUUAAUUUUAAAAGUGAAAAUAUUUUUAAUUCCAUCUUUAAAUUUUUUUCCACUUGGAAAAUUCUGACUUAAAAAUAAUUGUAAAAAGUUAUUCUCAACACAAUUAUUAAAAAAAGAAAAAAUUUAAAGUAAGUAUAAAAUUUGAAUAUUUUAAUAACAUCAAAAUCAAAAGCAAUUAUAAAGCAAUUAUUAAUUACAGUGUUCAUGAUUCCAACGCGAAAUUGGUUAUUUUCUAGAUAACUUAUUUACAUUAACUAAAAGUAAACUAUAUAAAAAUGAAUGAAAUAGAUAACCAUCUGUAUAAUUAUUAAAUUGUUAAAAUAUAAUUUUUUUAAGAAAUAAAAGAUUUACUAUCAAAUUUAAAUUUUUUUAAAAAGUUGUACAAACUAAAAAGUAACUACUAACUAAUUUUUACCUAAUUAACUAAAUUAUCCUAAAAAUAACACAUUUCAAUAUCUUCCACUUGGCAACAAUCUAAGCAAGACUUUCUUGCUAUUUAGUAUAAAUAUAGAUAUUUUUUACUUCCAUCUUUAAAUUUUUUGCCACUUGGAAAAUUCUGACUUAGAAAUCUAUAUCUAUAAUUUAUAAUCUAUAUCUAUAAUAUAUUAAAAGUGUGAAGACCCCUAAAAAAGUGAUUUGACUUUUUGCCCUUAAUUAAAAUAUCUCGCUUUAGACAAAAUUAUUUUUUUACUAUUUUUCUUAAUUUAUUAUUUAAUUAAAUUAAAGACUCCUACAAUAUAUGAAAAAAAAUUACGGACUCCAAAAAGAUAUGGAAAGAAAUUUAUAUAUAUUUGUAAAAAAAUAGUUGUAUAUAUUUGAUAAGAAUCGAUAUAACUGAUGCUUCUAUUAGAAUAGGAGUUCCUGAAUGGUGUCUUGUACGUUGGCUCUUCGAUAUCAUAAAGAAGAUAUUUAUUGGGCAAGAGGUCGCAAAGAGUUACAAAAACAAAGCUUUUAAGUUGGACUUUACAUUACGUGAUACCUCUGGAUACUACCUCUGCUCAUAUAUCUUCUCCAUUAUAUUAUGUUUAUACAAAAUCAAGUGAAUAAUUAUAAUCGUCGUCCAUCAGAGAAGCAUCACUUUACCACUAGAUAACUAUGUGAACGAUGAAUUUACUAUGACGAGGAACAAUAAAAGCACUAUACUUCAUGCGGUCGUAACCCCCAAGUACUAUUGUAAGUGAUAUACCCUUUCUGAAGAUUUUUACUUAUUUUGAACAAGUAUUUAUUGUUGUUUCAGUUUAAAUCUUUUAAUUGGUGCAUAAAACAUUCUGUAUUUUAAAAUAAAAUUGUUGUCAUGUUUUCCAACAAAUCUUUGGCUAGGUUCAUGACACGUAUCUAAUAGAAAUUACUUUUAAAAUUUUUAUAUAUACUUAAUAGAUUUUGAAGCUAAGAUUAGAGGUUGACUUAGUGAUUGAAGGGGUUAAAUAUUCAUCUUUAGGUUCAAGUUCAAUCUCAGACACUAUCUUUUUAUUAUUUAAACGUGAAAAUUCUAAAUACGUCAUUAAACAUUACUACAGUUUCAUCAAUACAAAGUUAUAGCAUCUAGGAUAUAGCAAAGAAGCGAACUGGCGGACAGGGUGCCAGUGAACUUCGUCACUGUUAGGACGUUAGAAAAAUCACUUAUUCCUUAAGCUACAAUUAUUUCUCCUAAUAUUCUUCUUGGCUUUCUGUUCGUUUCCCAAGUUUUUGCUUUCUAUUCCUCUAUAUAGUUUGAAGAAAGGGAAAGGCUGGGUGUGUCAUGUGUGAUGGUAGGGUGUAGAAAAUAGGUUAUGUUUACAUCAUCUAUAAUUUAUCUAUAUCUAUAUCUAUAAUCUAUAAUAUAUUAAAAGUGUGAAGUUCUUAUAAAAGUGAUUUGAACUUUUUUGUCCAUCAUUAAAGGACUGUGCAAUAGAUAAAAUUAUCUUUUCACUUAUUUUUUUUUAAUUAUUAUUUAUUUUUAUAAUAUUUAUAAUUAAGGAGUCCUAAAAUAUUUUGGUAAGAGAGUAGUGUAUUUUAAAAAUUUCAAACCAAAUAAUAUUCUUUUUACAAGACUUUUCUAUUCAACGUUAAAAACUAGAUUUACAAUUGAAUACUAUCCAAUACUCAUCAUACUGUAAGAAGAGAAAUAAUCAUGUCAUCGAUUAAUGAACACUUGUUAUUGUAGUUUUAAGAAAAUAUGUCAAAACCAUAAUAAUUUGUUCCUUUUAUAUUCAAAGAUUAUAGUUAACGUGAUAUACACGUGCAAAACACGUACACUUAACUAUUAAUUGUAAAAAGAAGAGAAGAUGACUUAAAAAUAUUUUUUAAUUCCAUCUUUAAAUUUUUUGCCACUUGAAAAAUUAUGACUUAAAAAUAAUUGUAAAAAUUUAUUCUCAACACGACUAUUAAAAAAAAAUUAAAGUAUAUAUAAAAUUUGAAUAUUUUAAUAACAGCAAAAUCAAAAGCAAUUAUUAAUUACAGUGUUCAUGAUUCCAACACGAAAUUGGUUAUUUUCUAGAUGACUUGUUUAUAUUAAAUAAAAAUAAACUAUAUAAAAAUGAAUGAAAUAAAUAACCAUCUGUACAAUUAUUAAAUUGUAAAAAUAUAAAUUUUUUAAAAAAUAAAAGAUUAACUAUCAUAUUUAAAUUUUUUUAAAAAGUUGUAGAAAUUAAAAGGUAACUACUAACUAAUUUUAACCUAAUUAAAUAAAUUGUCCUAAAGACUAACACAUCAAUUUUCUAUUCUUCAAUUUGGCAACAAUCUAAGCAAGAUUUUCUUGCUAUUUAGUAUAUAUAGAUUAUAUUCUUAAGAGAAGAUGGAGAGUUUUUUUAAUUGUUAUAUAAAGAAAUAUUUUUUAUGGCACCUUAUUAUGUGUUUUGUUAAUUAUUAGCCAAAAUGAAUUUUAUUUUUAAUAAAAAUUUUACUAGAGUUUUGGCGGUAUUUCUUUCCCGCUAAAGAAUCUAAAUUAUUAAUAGAGACUAGUUAAAAUUUAUUUUUAGGAUUAGAUUUUAUAAAUUCGCAAUAAAUUGCAUAAUUAGUGACCAGAAUAUAAUCUCGUCUUAAUAAAUACACUUUUAGAGAUGAGAUUAUAUUCUGAUCCUUAAAUGUUGGUCUUAAAUAAACCUUUUUGUUGUAGUAGUCACAUGUUUGAUGAAAUUCCAUGACACGUUCAAUCAAUUUCAAGAUGAAAUCCCCAAAUUAUGAAUGUUUCCAAGUAACUCUAUUGUUCCCUCAUGUUUAAGAUAUUCUUAUGUCAAGUGAUGAUCUUUACAUAUUUUGAUGAAACACCCAUGUCCUAUUUCAAGCAAAUUUCAUGUAAAUCCACCAAUUCAUGAUUUUUAUGUAAUCAUGCUAUGCUCCCAUGUUUAAGAUAUUCACAUGUACAAGUUUAAGCUUUCCAUAUGGUUUAUAAAAUGUCCAGAUGAAUGAGUUUUGGAACAGUGCCUACUUGUUAUGUUUCUAAUGUUGUAGUAUGGUGUCCUAUUGUAAAUGCUAUUGAGUCCUUGGGGUUAUGAAUACACGAAAUUUAGUUGUUUACUUAGUCUCCAUAUUUUUAGAAGGGUUUCAGACAUGUAUGAGCAUUAACAGUUCAGUCAGUUAUAAUACCAGUCAAACUUAGGUUAAUUCAGUAAUCCAGGUCAGUUCAGUUAGGAGUAGGAUUCAACACCGAGCGAACCCAGGAAUGGGGGCAUUCCUUCUAGUAUAGGGUUUGAACCUUAGUAGAAAUCUCUGAGUUAUAGAACUAUGUAGUUAGCGUAGUUUGAGAUGUCUUCCUGCCAGAUUAGGGUUGACAUACACAUAUGUCCCAUGAGUCUUCCUACAAGAUUAGGAUUGACAAGGCCAUUGUUAGUACGCGUGGUACGGUACUAACACCCUUCUAACUGGGAUUAUAGGUUGGACCCCGAUUAUAUCAGAUUGGGGCAUGUUGGUUAGAUGAUACCUCCUAUAGUUUCAGUUUUAGUAUUCAGUUUAGUUCUGCUUGACCAUAGCAUACAAUUUUCAGUCAUUCAAUUAUCAUAUUUUAGUAUUCUAGUUUACAAACUAUUUCAGAAUCAUAUUAUAUGCUUGGUCAUGCAUUCUCAGAAUUUAUAAGUUUUCAUGCAUUUGUGCUCAGCUAUCUCAUGUUGUUUAGUUGUCCGCGUUCAUAUAUUAGUCACUCAGUACAUAUACGCUAGUUAUUCUUUUUUUCUUUGAUUUCACUCAUUCCGUUACCCAAGCAUCAGUGAUUCAUUUAAUCAGAUUAGUUAGUACAUAUGUGUUUAUUCUCGAAUAUUCACGUAUUCAUGUUUUGCCGUAUCCCAGCUUCAGUUCUACUUAUAUUAUAAAAGGAAAGUUUUAAUAAGCUAAGUGUAGUGAUCCACCAGCUUAUCAGAUCAUAUUUGUUACUCAUGUUUUAUGAUAUUUAAGUUUUCAAUUUAUUUCAGUUUUUUAGUGAGUCUUCUUACACCUAGUCAUGCAUGUUUUAAUAUUUCGUAUGAAACCAGUUUUACUUACUGCAUUCAUCCCCGCUUACUUAGUACAUUCUAGAAGUACUGAUCUAUAUAUACAUUUAUGUGGCUACGUUGUUUCAUUAUGUAGGUACCAUUUGUAGCCCAUACAUCAUGAUCAGACAGUUGCAGUUCCCAACCAAUAGGUGAUGAAUUCUCUUAUUUUAGGAACUCCAGUUAGUUUUAGUUCAUGUACAGUUCAUUUAUUUUUCAUAUGUAUUGAUUAGUGGUAGCGGGAGGCAUAUGUCAACUACCUAUAGUCAGUAUAGUAGAGGCUUCAUAGAUGUCAGUCAGAGUCAGUCAUGUAAUUUGAGUUCUUUCUCAAUCUUAUCAGAUUGUAAACCUUAUCAGUAUUGUAACUAUUCAGAAUAUGCCAUGAUUAUGUUUCUGCACAGUAAACUCAGUUAUUUUAUAUAUUAUAAAUCAGAUGCUCAAUAGUAUGCCAGUUCAUGGGUUAGCUUGGGAUCACUUGUGGUUCCAAGCAUCGUAUGAUGACUAGGCGGUAGGUUUCGGGUCGUUACAAUAUUUAGGAUUUUUGGUUUCAGUUACACUUGAGUGUACUUCUAAACUAUCCUUGAAAGCAACUUUUCUUUCUAUUUGAAUUCGAGUGACAAUGUACCUAGAGCUUUGAAAAUUAUGUCCAGGUAAAUUCUUACCUAUGGAUGUGAAGAGAUCCAUAUUAUGGUUAAGUGGUUACAAUUAUCUUUUCUGUAUCUCAUAUUACUUGUCGUACAUCCCGAGCCACAGGUUGUUUGUAAAUAAAAAAUUAACUCUUCUAUUGAUCGAGUCAAACUACAAGCAAUAUGGUACCCUGAGCUUCGAGGAUAUGUAGAAUGGACUCUAUUUUAAAAAAUCAACUGCACUUUCCCCCCAAUAUCCUCUUAUGCCCAAGCGUUCUAGUUUCAUCAAAAUUCAAUAUCAAUGUGACUUAUAAAUUCUUUGAUAAUAAUGCUUAAAUUCAAGCUUUAUGAACUAAAAAUGAACUAGUUCUCAAGCAAUCUGAGUUAUGUAGGAAACCCGAUACUUGGGUCUGACCAUACCUCCUUGAAAUUCAUGCAAAAACCAAUCUCUUUGAGAAGUGAAUUUUUGAUCGAAGAAACUUAGGAAUUUCAAACUCCCUUUGCCCAGGGUUACUUGAAUUUAUCCUACCCAAAGAGAGGGCAGUUUUUAACACCUAAGUUUUACCCUCAAAGACUAGGUUUAGUCCUAAUUGGUUCGGUUUUAAAUAAAAUCAAAGUAUUUAUAUUUAUCCAAUAAGAGUUUCUAAAAUAUUUAUUUGAGUGAAUUUUGUCAUUGAAGUGUCAAUUGUACAUUUUUGUGUUCAUAUAAAGGAGAUGGUAUAACUUUUUUUUAGUUAAUGAUUAUUCUCACCAUAAUCAAAUUUUUAUCGAGACUCAUCUUGAAAAUUAAUUCAAAUGAAGAAAUCUCAAUCUAAAAGUAUUUGUUCUUAAAAAAAUUAUUUGGAAAAUACUUAUUUGAUUUUAUUAAACCAAAGAACUCAGGAUUAAAUUAGGUAUUAAUUCAUAUCAAAUUAUGAUUCAAUUCAGUCAAUUUAUUAGAUUUAGCCAUGAUUAAAAUCAAAUUAAUCACAACUGCAAUGCAAUUGACCAAUUAAUUUUUCAUUUUGCUAAAAUUUAAAUAAGAUUGACUAAGUCCAAAUCUAAUAUGGUUAUUUGAUAAAUAGCUUAAAUCUACCCAACCUCAUUUCCUAUUAAAUCUAUUGACCCAACCCGUUCCCUUUCAAUUUCAGUCGAAUUAGCCCAAUAACAGCAGUAACUCGAACUGGACAAUCCCUAUUUAUUCUUCUCCACUUAACUUGAUAUAACGACGACAUAAACAACAACUUCAAUGGUAAUACUCGAACAACAACAAAAACGACAAGAACAAUCAAAAUUGCAAUCAGCGAUGUCCCCGAAUUAUGUUAAAUUCUUAAACAGCAUCAACAUACUUCGUAAAGCUUCUAUAAGAAAUACAAUUCUUCCUACAACAUUCAAAUAACAUAGAAAUCAACUAAUUUUCCUCGAAUUUGUACUAUCAUGGUACAUAUUCGUCCAAUUGCUAUUGGUGGAUGAACACCUUUCCCCCAAAAAAUCCCCUCUGAAUUUGACCUUAAUCUUGUUUAAGUUCAAUGAAGAGCUGCUACGUUAUUUCAAUUUUGAAGUUCAAAAAUUUCAAACCUGAAUCCCUAAAAUACCCUCUAUUUUCUCCUUAUUUUCACCCCAAUUCCUCUAUAAAUAGAUAGUAGAGGGUGAGGGCUGAGGAGAGAUUUUGGGGAUAAAUUUGGAGAUUCUGGAGGUUCAUGCUUCUAAUAACACAUAACCAAGAAUUCUAGAAGAAAUAUACUGCACGAAAACAGGUGAAGGCUUUGUCCCUUUUGCAAUUUUUGUUUCAUUCUUGAGUAUACAGUAAAGAAUCUGGGCAAUGUUUUUGAGAUUUCAUUAUUUUGGAGUUCUUUUUCUUUCGAUGAAAAGAUUUGUGUAACAAAAAUCACAUCUGUGUAGUUAUUCUCUCUAAAUGUGAUACGUGGAUUGGUCUUAUUUGAAAACCUGUUGCUUCCAGUAGGAUUUUUGAAAUUAAGAGCAGUGAUAUGUUCAACUUGGUCAUAACAUAUGUUUUUUGAACAAGUGUAAAAUAAAAUGCUUGGAAGAUUCAUGAUUCUUGUUCCAUGUGUUUGCAUUAGUGGAUGGUAAAUAAUUUUCUUGUAUAUGUGCAUCUCUGAUUGAAGUUUAUUUAGACCGUUAUACCUAAUGAGCGGAUUAGAUUGAAUUUGGAUGGAUUAAAUAUGGGUCAAAUAAAAAAAUUUGGAUUGCAAUCCGCUCAUAUAAAUAUAGGUAAAAUAUAGAUUUGAUCAAAUAUGGAUUGGAUAAAAAUAGUUCUAACCCACUUUAACUCUUAAAAUCAAAACCUUAAAACUUCUAUAUCAUAUCAACUUGAUUUUUUUUCUGUUUUUUUUUUAGUUUUUCCUUUUAAUUUUUUUUUCUCUCUCUUCUAUAUGUAGCCUCUAGUUUUAUUUUUUAUUAUUUUUUUUUUCUCUUUCUUCUAUCUCUACCCUUGCUUCUCUUUCUUUUUAUUUUUUUUGCUUUUCCUUUUUUAGUCUCGUUUUUUUAUAUUUUUUAUUUUAUUUUAUUUUUACUUCUUUCUCAUUUUUUUGAUUGUAUUUUAUGUUUUAUAUAUUUUUUUAUUUUCAAAAAACUUGGUUAAGACGAGUAUAAAUUAUGGAUGAUGACUGAAAUAUCAUAAUCACUCAUUAUGAAAAAGGGGAAAACAGAAAUACAAAAAAAAUGCGAAGAAAAAAGAAAUAAAAUUGAGAAAGAAAAAAAUUGAUGAAAUAGAAGAAAGAAAAAAGUGUAAGAAACGAGUAAAAAAUAAGUGGAAAAAAAUGAAAAAGAAAAAAAAAUAAAUUAAUGGAAAAAAGAAAGAAAAAAUAGUAAAUCAAAAGAAAAAGAAAGAAAAAAAAAAAAACUGAAAAAAAGAAAGAAAAGAAAGAGAAAUAAAAGAUAAAAAAAAAUAAUAAUAAAAGAAUGAGACUAUGGAUUAUAUUUAAUUGAUAAGAGACGCUAUAAAUUGUAUAAGCUAAAUGAAAUAAUUAGAAGCUUAAAUUAAUUAACCCAUGUAGGUCUCAAGCGAAUAUGAAUGAUCAAAUAAGAAUGAGAAAGGGAAAAACGAAAAAAAAUAUAAAAAAAAAGAAAAAAAUAUAAAAAUAGAUGAAAAAUGAGAAAGAAUUUUUUUUUUUAUAAGAAAUGAGUAAAAAAUGAAAAAGCAAAAAAAUAAAUUAAAGGAAAAAGAAAGAAAAAACAAAAAAAAAAAAGAAAAGAAAAAAAGAAAAAAAAUUAAAAUCUUAAGCAUAGGUGGGUGAUCUCUGUGUUUAAAUGAUACCCAUAUUUUACCCAUUUUGUCCAUAUUUCCAUAAGCUUUUAAAAUGAGUUAAAGUCCAUAUUUACCAAUUUAAAAUAUGAGUGAUCCAAUUCAAUAAAUAUGAGUUAAAUGGACCCUUUUAACAAAUAUGGGCUGAAAUUGCCAGCCCUAGUUGUACCUCUAGGAAACUCUCUUGCUCUCUCAUUUUAUUCUCGAAACCAUUUUCAUAGGAUAGAGGGAGGGGGAGGGGGGGGCGAGUGACAAUAGCCUUUAUUUCACAACUGGGAUUUGUUCUUUCAAAGCUUUUCAAGUAGUUGCUGCAUGUUGCGAUCUGUUUGCAUGCUUCUUUUUCUUUAUUUCUUUAUUUUUUAAGCUAUUUCUUCUUUCUAUUCUUGGAAAAACGAAAGAUCAAAACAACUAUUUAAAGUGAUAAAUGGAUUGUGAUGGUCUGACGCCUUCAUGGUCUAUAAUACUAUGAAAGGCCUAAGAAUCAUUAUGGGUUGGAACAGCUCUGUAGUUGCACUUAAAUGUAAAUCAGGAGGGAAUGGACUUUUUUUGCUUUUCCUAUUAAAUAGACUUCAUUUGCUUUCACUACCUUUACUAAAUACUAACAUGUUUAUCAAUUCAUUUAAGGUCACGUCUCCUAAAGAACUCGGAUCCAUCUUCUCUUAUUAUUUGGGGUUCCAAAAGGAGAGCGGCGAUUACUAUUAUUCCUUAAUUCUUCCUAAACAGGAAGAUUUAGCAGAAAAUGACUCGAUAUAAAUCCCCUCUUUGAUUCAUGUCUAAAAAUUCUUAUUUUGUCAUCCUAACAUUCAAGGAGUUACAAAGUGUUUUUAUUUUAUUGUGAAACUAGAAUAAUUAGUAUCUUGGUUGAGCAUCAAUAUUAUUUCCUUCGAUCUUGCUUUCCUUUGCCUGUUCAUCUUUUACUUGGUAAAUGUCUUCUUUAUUUUAUAUUCUUUGUUGACUAAAUGAGGUGUCAUGUCUUUUCUUAGAUUCUGGUGUGACUAUAGUUAAAGUGUAGACUUUGAAUUUUGACUUGUGUGUUUGCGUUGAUUUUUCCUGAUCCAUUGCUCUCUUCUUAAAAUAAUUUCCUUUGCAAAACUCUUUAUAAGCCUUUGAUAAAAUGGUCUAGCCUUAAUGAUUUUUGUUCUGGACAUUACCUUGAUAGUAUGCUCUUUUUCAAAAUGAUCACUUUUCCUAUUUUUAUCAACCUCCUUCCUUCUAACUUUACUUUGUCUUUUAGGCAGCUUCUUGACCUUUGGUGUCUUCACAGUUAGAUUAUUUGAUGUUGGACACAUUUUCAUGUUGUUCAUUGGCAAAAUAAAAUGGAGCACAUUUGUUGAGGUAUCCUUGUGAUAACAACUAGCCAUAAAAUUUAUGAGCUCAUAUUCCUUAUAACGAAGGGCAGCAACACUAUGAGGACGAGAAAUAUCCCUAAGCUAUCAAGCUCUGCAACUACAACUCCUACUAAUAAUGUCCAUAGUAUGUGUUAAACCUCUAUGUUUAAUCUCAAAACCCAUUUCCCCAUUCCAAGAAAAGUUGCACUGCAUUGACUUGUCAAUAUUUUCUCGGAGAAUCGUAAAAGCCAUAAGAGAAAUAUCAGUAAUCCAAGUGAUUGAAAAAUGUCUCAGCUCACCAAUUCUUUUCAUCAUCUUCACUCUAAUCUCCUCAAGAAUGGUAAUGAUUGUUUUGAACCUUAAAGAUAGUAUUAUCACGACCCGAGCUGAGGCCUUGUCUGCGUUGGGCAUCCUGAACCACGAAGGACCGAGAGACCCCUUAGCAUACUAUCAUAAGAAUAAUCCAUACAUAAAUUAAAGUGCGGAAGAUAUGAUAACAUUCAAGAAGUUAUGACAAUACAAUAUUUAAAUCUUGUCUACGAAGCCUUUACUGAAAACUAAUUGUCUUGGCCGGGACAGGCCCUCGACUGGACCAUAAACUGAAAGAGUCAACAUAUGAAUACAUUGCCUUCCAAAAGAUGGAUAGCUCACCAACUAUGUCAUAUCUCAAAUGUUAUACUGAUGUGAUGGACCAUAGAACUAUACCGCAGAACCUGAAAUAUUGGGGGGGAGGGGGGGGGGGGGGGGGGUCAAUACUUGGAAAGUAUUGAUAUGUGGAACAAUCCAAAAAUAACGUAUAUUUUAUGUAAAAUAGUCGAGAGGAUUGUGAAAAAGAAUUAUCAUAAUAUAUAUAUAUAUAUAACACAUGGGCAUAAUUUAAAGAGCUUCAAUUCAUGCUUGUAAAACAUUGACUCAACUCUUUGCUUUAGUUCUGAGCUAGAUAGUAUACCCUGGAAAUAUAGUACCCAGGGCUAUAUGGGUAUGCCAUUAAAUCGUCGGACCAACCCCCAAUCCGAGUUUUUCGUAAGGAUUGGCGUAUAAUAAAAAGUAUGUCCACUUUCCGACAUACCAUGUUAUCCCACUUGCCGAAUAACAUACCAUAAAACCCGUAUCGAUAAAACAUUGUUUUAGGCUAUUAGUUAUCUGAACUCGUGUCUUCUUCGGGUAAUUAUUUAGCUCUCUUUGAGCCCAUUGUCAGCCUCUUAAAAUCAUGCUUCAUACUUAAAACAUUCUUUUCUUUUAUGUUAUAGGCAUUUCGUGGUAGGUAUCGUCAUACCUUGACUUGAAAGUCAUAGCCCUUUUUAUUCAAAAGCAUGUUAAUGACCACCCAAAAGAUUUACAUAUCACAUGAGAGUUCUUAUUUCAAAUAGCAUGUGAAACUUAUGCAAAACACUCUCUUUUCAAUACAUUAACUUAUGGUGGCCAAUUCUUACAUAAAACACAUGAAAUUCUUAACUAGGAAAGCAUGUGGUGGCUUUAAUUUGAUAUAUAAUGGGUGACAUAACUCCUCAUAUUCUAGGGGUAAUGGUCAUUGGAAGUUGACCUAAUAAAAAUCAUCAACUAAAACUCAACUGGUAGGAAAGCGUUCAACUUAACUUUGAGCUAGGAGGUUUUUAUGACUUAUACUAAUCUCCAAAGAUGUUACCAUGACAAAUAAUUGUUAUUCACAAUAGUAUAUAAAUAAAAAUCAUCAGGUUUAUAUAUUUAGGAAGGACAAUUUAAGUUCUAGCCCGAUAAUUAUGGGAUGUUACAUUAUCUCUCCCUUGGAAUUAUUCAUCCUAGAUUGAUGGGUAGAAACUUGUUGAAGCUAUAAAAGUAUGGGAUGAAGGAAGUAACGUCCCAUUAGGAAUUUUCCUCAACAAAUCAUGCAAAGUCAUCAAAAGAGUUGCUUGAUAACCCUUAGUAAACCAUGUAAGCACGAAGCAUGAGAUAAUGAAUUGACAUAGAGAUGGCUUUAUGCAUGAGUUCUAUGGAUCAUAAUCAUCUCAACAUAAGGCAUGCAUUUAUUUGGUGAUCAUGGGUUUUGAUUUAAAUUCUACAUGACAUGAAUUAAGGUUUUUCGGGACAUAGGAAUAGAGGUAUCCUCCACCUUACACUCCUAACUACAAUAGUCCAAGUCCCACUGCAUAGUACUUCCACGUUGAAGCCUAACCCAACGUUAAAAAAAGGUGCUAGCUUAAGCUAUGAGACCCUAUACUAUACGCCCAUUUAAGAAUAUUACUUCACCUUAUCACUAUAGUCAAACAACCUCAGGUAUUAAGUCAAGGAGUAUUAACCACAUAGCGCAUUGGUUUGUGUUUUCAUCAAUCACAACUGUAACACCGCGGGAGUACACCCUGAAUGCCACACAGUGCUUACAGUCCCGACAGACUACAAGCUAACCCAUGAGCUGGUACAUGCUAUGAGCACUGAAUAAUAUACUAAUUAUGAAUAUGUGUGGAAACAACUAAAUAUGCCAGAAGAUUUCAAUACUGAAAACAAUAUAACUGAAAUCCACAAGUCUGAAACAUAAGACAAAAUGCUGAAAACUGAUUGAUAAAACUGACAACUAACUGAUUUUUUGAAAUAUCUAAAAGCCUCUAAAACUAACUGAAUGAGAGUUGAUGGGAAAGGACCUAACUAACUACAACUGACUACUGAACUGAAAUAACAUAAUCGGUCCUCGGAAUAUGAGGACUCACCACUGCUACUGCUGCUGAUGUGCUGGGAGGUCUAGGUGCGGUCGGGAACCUGAGCAUCUGAACCUAUGAUAUGAUACAUUAUAGCACAAUAAAUGAGUAUGCGGUCAUUACUUUGAAUGUACUGAUAUGCUAAAUGAGGUUAGGCUGAUGUGCAUGGGCUCAUGUGCAUGAAUAAUAACUGACUGAAUGAAUAUCAUGAGAUAACUGGUGCAUAGUAUGCAUGAAAACUGUAAAAUCUAGGAUGCAUGACCAAUCAUAUAACAGAUACUAAAAUAGCAUGUAAAGUAAAGUACCAAAAUACUGAUACUGAAUAACUGGUAACUGUAUGCUAUGGUCAAACAAACCUGAAACUAAACUCUGUAUUGAAUACUGAACUGAGACUGUGGGAACUAGCUAUAACUGAUAUGCUCUAAUGUACUAUCAGGGUCCAACCUGUAACCCCAGUUGGAAGGGUGUCAGUAUUGUUCCACGGGUACUAACAAUGGCUAUGUGGAUCUACUAAUCUGAUAUCCCGAAGAAUAAGGAUGACAUGCCUAACUGAUGGAGGACCCCUUUAAGUAUAUGGUGGUGAUGUAGGUCUGGAACAUGGGGACUGCUACUAAAAUCUCAUGCCUACUGACGGGGGAGAUGUCAUCCCUACAUUCACUCGGUGCUAAGUCGUUACUCCCAACUGAAGGACACUAAUUACUGGAUUUAACUAAGUUUGAUUCAUAUGAUAACUGACUGAACUGACGAUACUCUAAUAUAUAUGAAACCAUUCUGAAAAUACUAAGACUAAGUAAACAACAAAGUUUUCAAGUAUUAAUAACUCCCAGGACUCGAUAACAAUACCAGUAGAAACAUCUUAAAGCCUCAAAAGCAUGGUAUGUAGUCAUUGUUCAAAAUUCAUCUCUUAGGCAUUUCAUCAAACACAUGGGGGUCAUAAAGUUAAAGCAUGAGAAUAGUUAAAUCAUGGCAUAAUAACAUAAUUUCAAUAAAAAAAAAUUAUGGGUUAAGGAUUUAACAUGCAAAUAUCAUCCUUCAAAUGGGUCAAAGGCUAAUUCCAACAAAAACACAUGUAAACAUGAUAUAAAAAUAAAAAAUCAUGAAAUUUCAUGUAUAAAAUUCAUGAAAACAUGUAAAGGUCAUGAUUUUAAACUUUAAAAUGGUUUCAUGGACUCCAUGGGUAAAAAGGACACAUGAAUGAACAUCUAGCAUACCUUACUGAUGAAUUUUUGUGAGUUCAUGGUGAUUUCUUGAAGCUUGAACUUGGAUUUGAAAAAGCUAGGGUUUUGUUCUUGAGAGAGUUUGUGAAAAGAUGAGUGAUUUUGCCCUUUUGGGACCUUAAUCUCAUGUUAUGGGUGAGGCAAAGUAAGAAAAAAAUGACUCAAAUACCUCCAUAUACCCAAAAAUAAUUAAACUGAAUGUGGCUAGUGACGCGAUAAGCGAUGCAUCGACUGUUAGACGAUGCGCUGUGUUGCACCCCACCAAUGUGAUAAGUGGUGCGUCGCAGCCAUAUCGCACUGACUCGCUAGUUUAAACAUCCAAACAAGCCUCAAACCUCGUCCGAAAAAUCCAAAACUUACCCAAGAUAUGCUGUCAACCACCCCGAUCAUGAAUCAACUUAAAAAUCGAUGUUCUAAAGCCAGUAAUGUUGGAAUUAAAAUCAUCAAAGUUUAAGAGGCUUUAGAAAUAACUAAGUCUUAACACUUAAUGAAAAUUUUUAAGUCUUUGAACACUUAGUGAAAUUUUCUAAGUCUUGGACCCCUUUAGCAUGCAAGAGUAAGCUGAAACGAGCUAGUAUCUUACGGGGUCUUACAAUAUCUCCCCUUGAUAACAUUCGUCCUUGAAUAAGACUAUUUUAGCUGAGAAUUAUUGACGUACUGAGAUUACAUGCUGAAUAUGCACAACUAAAACAUAAUUACAUGACUGAGUCUGAACAUGGUGACUAACUGAACCGAUUUGUAAAUGCAUGCAAUGAGAUGAAUAUGAUCAUAUGGCUGGAACUGAGAAUGGAAAAAAGGUAAUCUAAGGGAAAACUAUUACCUUGAACUGAAUUUGAGUUUGCAGAGAAAAAGUGAGGGUACUUGGUUCGUAUAUCUGCUUUUGCUUCCCAAGUGUCUCCCUCAACGGACCAAUUCCACCAAAGAACUUUGACCAAGGGAACUUAUUUAUUCCUUAGUUUGCGAAUCUGGCAAUCUAAGAUUUCGACUAGGACUUUUUCAUAAGAAAGGCUAUCCUGAACAUCUAAGCUUUCUAAAGGAACAAUGAUAGCUGGAUCACCAAUACACUUUUUCAACAGAGAAACGUGAAACACUGGGUGCACUGAUGUCAAAUCUGCAGGCAACUCAAGCUCUUAAGCUACUUUUCCAAAGCGAUUCAAGAUCCUCUAAGGACCAAUAUAUUGGGGACUUAGCUUUCCCUUUUUUCCAAACCUCUUCACUCCCUUCAUAGGAGAGAUUUUCAAAUAAACCAAAUCUCCAACUGCGAACUCAAGAUCCCUCAUACGCACAUCUGGAUAGAAUUUUUGAUAGCUUUGGGCUAUCUUAAAACUUUCUCUGAUUACCUAAACUUUCUCCAAUGCAUCAAAUACUAAAUCUGGUCCUAUUAUCGCGGUCUCACCUACCCCAAACCAACCAAUAGGAGAUCUACAUUUCCUCCCAUACAGAGCCUCAAAUAGAGCCAUCUGAAUACUGGAAUAAUAACUAUUAUUGUAGGAAAACUUAAUCAAUGGCAAGUGAUCAUCCGAACUGCCCUUAAAAUCAAUAACACAAGCUCUCAACAUGUCCUCUAGGGUCUGAAUGGUCUUUUCUGCCUGGCCAUCUAUCUGAGAGUGAAAGGCUGUACUGAGAUAAACUUGAGUACCAAGACCCUUCUAAAAAGCUUUCCAAAAGUGAAGGUAAACUGAGUACCCCUAUCUAAAAUGAUGGACAACGGGAUUACAUGCAACCUAACCAACUCUCUAAUAUAUAGCUUGGCAUAAUCCUUGUCAAAAGAAGAAGUAUAGAUUGGCAAGAAAUGGGCUGAUUUGGUCAUUCUAUCCACGAUAACUUAAAUCAAAUCAUGCUGACGACAUGAACGAGGUAACCCUGUCACAAAGUCCAUGUUCACCUCUUCCCAAUUCUAAGUGGGGAUGCUGAACUCCUGCAUAGUGCCACUAAUUUUUUGGUGCUCAACCUUAACUUAUUGACAAUUAGCACACUUAUCUACAAACUCUGCAAUACCUUCUUCAUACCACUCCACCAAUAAAUUUCCCAUAAAUCACGGUAUAUCUUAAUGGGUCCUAGGUGAAUAGAGUAACGUGCAUUAUGCACUUUUACUAGAAUUCGCUGUCUCAGACCAUCUACACAUUGCACACACACUUUACACUAGAAACAAAACACACUGUCUCCCCAUUGGGAAAAAACCUCUACAUUCUGAUCUCUGACUGACUCCUUCCACUUCGCUAGAAUGGGUCCCCUAUCUUUAUUUUCUUUCACUUUGGCAACCAAAGAAGAUUCUGAACUAUUCUGAACCCAAACACUACCCUCAACUGAGUCAACAAAAUGUAUGCUUAACCUAGACUACUGAUGAACCUCCUGAACCAGCUUCUUCUUAUCAUUCUCAACAUGAGCCACACUACCCAUAAACAAUCGACUAAGGGCAUUUUCCACUAUAUUGGCCUUGCCAAGAUGAUACAAAACACUUAUAUCAUAGUUCUUUAACAAUUCUAACCACCUUCUGUGAUGGAGAUUUAACUCUCUCUAUGAAAACACCUACUACAAACUUUUAUGGUCCGUGAACACAUCAACAUGUACCCCAUACAGAUAAUGCCUCCAAAUUUUUAAGGCAAACACAUUAGCUGCUAACUCAAGAUUAUGGGUAGGAUAAGUCUUCUCAUGGGGUUUAAGCUGUCUAGAGGCAUAGACUAUGACCUUACCUCUCUACAUGAAAACACAACCCAAACCAACUAUAGAAGCAUCAAAGUAAAUAGCAAACCCAUCUGAACAUCUGGCAAGGUAAAAACUGAGGCUGAGGUGAGUCGAGUCUUCAACUCCUAAAAACUCUUCACACAAAGAUCUACCCACUAAAACUUGACUUUCUUCUGAGUCAAUUAGGACAUGGGGGAUGUAUAGACGAUAAACCUUUAAUAAGCCAUGAUAAUAGCCAUCAAAACCAAAGAAACUCCUGAUAUCUGAUAGAGAAAUGGGUCUGGUCUAGUUUCUCACUACUUCAGUCUUUUGAGAGUCAACUCUAAUGCCAUCAUCGAAAAUAAUAUGGCCAAGAAAAGCUACUGAUCUUAGCUGAAUUUGAACUUACUAAACUUGGUGAACAACUGAUAGGCUCUAAGAUUCUCCAAUACUAUUCUGAGGUGGUCGACAUGAUAAUUUUUAUCACAAGAAUAGAAAAGGAUGUCAUCUAUGAAAACUAUGAUAAACAUGUCCAAGUACUGCUUGAACUCUCUGUUCAUCAAGUCCAUGAAAGCUGUUGGGGCAUUUGUUAGACCAAAAGACAUGAUUAGAAAUUCAAAGUGACCAUUUCGAGUUUUAAAAGUUAUUUUUGGAAUGUCACAUACUCUGACUCUGAGCUGAUGAUAGGCAGAUCUAAGGUCUAUCUUAGAGAAAUAACCGGCACCCUGAAGUUUAUCAAACAAGUCAUCAAUCUUGGGGAGUGGAUACUUAUUAUUGAUUGUGACUUUGUUCAACUGAUGGUAAUCAAUGCACAUUCUAAGAGAACUAUUUUUCUUAUGCACGAAAAGAAGUGGAGCGCCCCAUGGGGAAAGCUGGCCUAAUAAAUCAUUUAUCUAAGAGAUCUUUCAACUGCUCUUUCUAAUAUCUAAGCUCAAUUGGAGCUAUUUUGUAGGGCAGAAUAGAGAUGGGCUGGGUAUCUAGAAGAAGGUCUAUUACGAAGUCAAUUUCCCUUUUGAGAGGAACUCCAGGAAGAUCUUCUGGGAAACAUCUAGAAAUUCCCUCACUACUGAAACUGACUCAAGACUGAGAGUCUCUGAACUAGAGUCUUUGACUCGAACAAGAUGGUAAACACACCCCUUGGAUAUCAUUUUUCUCACUCUAAAGUACGAAACAAGCUGACCCCUAAGCGCUGAAGUACUACCCCUCCAUUCAAGGAUUGGUUCAUUCAAAAAUUAAAAAUGAAAAACUUGGUUUCUACAGUCAACUGAAGCAUAGCAUGAGUGGAGCCAAUCUAUAUCGAGAAUGACUUCAAAAUCAGUCAUCUCUAACUCUACAAAAUUAACUAAAGUGACUUUCUGGGAUAUUGUGACCGGGCAGUUCCUGUAUACCUGCCUGGCUAUAAUAGAGACACCUACUGGAGUGGACACUAAGAUGGGUUCUGCUAAAGUCUAAGGAAUAACACCAAAAUUCAAAGUUAUAUAGGGGGUUACAAAAAAAACGAAGCUCUGGGGUCCAACAACGCAUAAACAUGGAGGUGAAAAACCUAUAACAUACUAGUAACCACAUCAGGAUAACUUUUUUGAUCCUUUCGAGACUGAAGUUCAUACAAUCUGUUUUGGCACUGACCGCUGGUGACACUGGAACAUGCUGAGUUGUACAUCCUACUGGUGUUGCUGAAGAGUUAGUCUGACCCUACUGGCAAUUAUUCCUACCUUUAUACAUACCUAUCAGACAUUUUCUCAACCUGUGUCCUGGAUUGUCACAUCCAAAACACACAUUGCUGCCAGCCCUGCAUACACCUUGAUGAUUCCUACCACACGCAAAGGGAAUUAGUCCAACCACUAUUCACACUACCUUGAGUCUUAGAGCCUGGAGACCUAUCUCGAUUAUCCUUUCUAAACUUUGACACUGGAGCACUAGCUGAAGAUAGAGUUGGGGCUAUAGAUUUUUAAUGGAAUUGAGAGAGGUUACCAUCCUCUGACAUCGACUGAGCAAAAUUAAACUACUUGUCCUCGCUCUCUAACUCUCCCUUUCCUUCUACUUAACCUCCUCUUCCUCAAUCUAUUGAUCAUGGACCAUCAACCUAUACAAGUCUAUCUCCUUAAUCAACAUCGUUGUCCUACACUUCUUGAACACGCUAUUGGCUACGCUAGAGACAAACUUACUCAUCCUAGAUUUGUUAUCAGACACCACAUGAGAAGCAUACCUUUCCAAUUGAGUAAACUUAAGCUAAUACUCUUUCACACUCAUAUUACCCUGCUUCAAAUUAAUAAACUCCAGCACCUUAUCUUUCUAUAGCUCCAAAGGAAAGAACCUAUCUAAAAAGGUCAUAGCAAACUCCUCCUAUUCAACAGGCCCUGUAUUUGCACCUGUAUCUUCCUUCCACUACUUAUACUAGGUGUGAGAAACAUCCUGCAACUGGUAAGCACCCAUCAAACUUAAAUCCUUAUCGGUUACCUUCUGAACCAUGUAAAGAAACUCCUGUAGAUCCUCAUCAGACUUGGAUCCCAAAAACAAAAGAGGGUUUAUUCGGGUGAAGUCCUGAAUCCUAGUUGCGGCUGUAUUACCAUUGGAACGGCUGGGAUAGAAGCCUGCUGAUUAUUCUGAGCUACUACUGAGUGAGCUAAUGUAGUGAAUGCAACUUUGAAUUUGGUAUGACAGACAUGCUCGUUUAGGGGAUCUUUCUGAACAGUCGGAGGUGCAGGCUGAUUUCUAUUUCUCCUUUCGUUAUUCUUUUUGGGAGGCAUGUUCUGUAGAUAGAAAGAAGAUUGAAUUAUACAGAGAUUUUAAAUUGAGCUCAUUCUCAUUCGCACAAAUAAAUACUGAAAGAAGGGAAAAUUUUCCUAAAAUGUCUCAUAGCCUCUUGCCCAAAAGUGUGGCAUGUGUCACACUCAUGCAUAGGACUCUACUUAACAUGGAUUUCAGACUACAUAGGACACUUUGAAACCUUAGGCUCUGAUACUAUGUUUGUAAUGUCCCGGGAGUACACCUUGGAUGCCACACGGUGCUUAUAGUCUCGAGAGACUACAAGCUAACCCAUGGGAUAGUACCUGCUGUGAGCACUAAAUAAUAUACUGAUAAUGAAUAUGUGCAGAAAUAACUAAAUAUGCCAUAUGGUUUCAAUACUAAAAACAAUACAACUGAAAUCCACAAGUCUGAAAUAGAAAUGAAAAUGCUGAACACAUACUGAAAAAUUGAUAACUAACUGAUCGCCUGAAAUGUCCGAAAGCUUCUAAACUGAUUGAAUGGGAGUUUAUGGGAAAGACCCCAACUAACUUCCAACUGGCUACUGAACUGAAAUACUAAAAUAACAUAAUUGGUCCUCAAAAUAUGAUGACUCACCACUGUUACUGUUGCUGAUGCACUGGGAGUCUAGGUGCGGUCGGGAACCUGAGCAUCCAGACCUAUGAUAUGAUACAUUAUAUAGCAAAUAAUGAGUAUGCGAUCAGUACUUUGAAUGUAAUGUUAUGCAAAAUAAGGUUAGGCUGAUAUGCAUGGGAUCAUGUGCAUGAAUAAUAACUGACUGAAUAAAUAGCAUGCGAUAACUGAUGCUAUAGUAUGCAUGAAAGCUGUAAAAUCUGAGGAUGCAUGACCAAGCAUAUAACAUGAUACUGAAAUAGCUUGUAAACUGAAGUACUAAAAUACUGAUACUGAAUAACUGAUAACUGUAUGCUAUGGUCAAACAAACCUGAAACUAAACUCUGUACUGAAUACUAAACUGAGACUGUGGGAGCUAGCUAUAACUGAUAUGCCCUAAUGUAAUAUCAGGGUCCAACCUGUAACCCCAGUUGAAAGAGUGUCAAUACUGGCUAUGUGGAUCCACUAAUCUGAUAUCUCAAAGAACGAGGAUGUUAUGCCUAACUGACGAAGGACCCCUCUAAGUCUAUGGUGGCACCGUAGGUCUGGAACAUAAGGAAUGCUACUAAUGUCUUAUGCCUUGAUAUGGGAGUGACCAAGAAGACACAAAAAAUACACUAAAACAGUCCACAAGUUUAAAGAAACGAGGACCCCUUUGGUGACCACUCUCGGAUUCACUACCAACAACAAGAAUACAAAAUAUAAUGGUGUCUUUGACACCAAAACAGCCAACCUAAACUAAUGUAACAACAAGAAGAAGAUGAACAACACAAUAAGAUUUCAAUAAUAGAACGAUUACAAGGUUACACAACAAGAUCACUACCAAAGGUUACAAUAAAAUAAAGAUAGAAAGAUAGACAAAUAGAGGUAUAAUCUUAAGAACCCAAGAACAUAUGAUACUCUUGAACCCUUAACACUACACACUACAAUCACCUAUCUCUUAUAAUUAACACAAGAGAGGCGUCCACUACCCAAACACAAAUAUAUCAAGAAUGCAACACACAAGUGAUUCCACACUUGUAUAUGGCCCUAGUUAUAGUUUUGGGACUCUCUCUCUAAGAGGAGUGUUAUCUCAAUAUCAUUAAGCAACUAAAGAAAUAAACCUACAAUGUUCUAUUUUUACUACAUUACAAUAAUAGACAAAAUGAUAAAAGGGCCCUUUAGUGACUAGUCUACAAAAAUACUUAAAAAGUGUCAUGAUCAUGAUCAUACUUGUAUUAUCCUCUCCGUCUUGAGAGGAAUUUGACCACAAAUUCACGGGCUCACCUCUUUUACAAAGGCACUUCACAAUCUCCUUCUUUCGGCCACACAUCUUCUCCAUACUCUUCAUUUUGCACUUUGGCUUCUUCUUGCUCUCCAUCUUGUGGUUAGCCAUCAUUCUUAACCAAUUCAAUGCCCACCUCUUCUCCAAUAUAGUACAAUCUACCCUCUCUUGGAUUAUAUUUCUCCGGUUUGGGCACUCACUAGACUUGUGCCCCCAUCCCUGACACUUGAAGCUUUAAAACCCCUUGGGAUUAAAAGUAGAAUUCAAUUUACCUUCAUACCUUAGAGGAUGUUUUUGGACAGCCUUGGUGGCCUCGGGUUGGGCAGCCAUGAAUAAGUUCUCUUUGAGCUCCCUCUCAACCUCUAAAUCCACAUGGAAGAUGCCAUCUAUGGUGUCAAAUUUUUAAAGCGUUAUGCGAGUGGAGAUGUCCUUGUUUAACCUAACCUUGAAGUGCACAAAGUCAUGACAUACUUGCUCGUCUCGGUGGUCAAGUUUCAACAUCAAUUGUUGAAAUUCAUCGUAGUAAGCCAUGACACUCUUGCUCCCUUGUCUCAAAUUGUACAAUUUGUCAACUAGCUCAUGCCUAUAAGUCUCGAGCAAGUACCUUUGCCACAUAAUGUUCUUCAACCAAAACCAAGGAGGAGGUUGUCCCCCAAUCAUCUCAUUCCCAAAUCGUUUAUCAUACUCCCACCAUGUAUUAGCAUACCCUUCAAAGUGAGCUAUAGCCUAGCAACUUUACUUUUCUUUGGUGAGAUCAUUAAGUUGGAAGAUACUAUCAUAAGACGAAUCACAUGCAAGGUAGGCUUGGGGAUCAUUCUCACCUUUGAAAAUGGGAAGGCUCACUUUGAUGGAAUUGAGACAUAUAUCUCGAUUUGGGUGGCCAUUUAAGACCUCUUGGCCUAAAUCCCCAUAUAUAUCCCUCAUUAUUUCUUUCUUCAAGAAAAAAUCAUCAUACGGUCCAUAAUCAUCAUGUUUUCCUCCCCUACCAUAGCCAUGAAUGGGUCUAUUUAGGUUAAGUGGAGCUUGUAGUGGCGGGAUUGGAUUUGUUUAUUAAGGUCUUUGGUCAAGUGGAGUUUGGAUGAGAGGGUUCGGGUUUGUGGUAGUAUUUGGGUUCCAAGCCCUUUUUGUUGGACUUGGUGGAGUGGAGUUGGUUUGAUCUAUCUUGUUCUCAGCUUCGGGAAUAAAGAUUGGUUAGAUUUGUGGCAAUUGGUGGAUAUAGCAUUUGGUGCAAGGUCUCGGGAGUACUAGUUGGGGAAUUGUUUUGAAGGGUGGAAGGUCGACUACUUUGGCUUUCCACACGUUCUAGUCUCCCACUCAUUGAUGCCACAUCCGUAUCUAAUUUCUCAAGACCCACAUUCAACCUAGCCACAUCUCGGGACAUUAUUUCAAGGCGAGCCAAAAUGAGAUUGAUUACAUUAUUGUCCAUUGUUUGAGCAUUUGAAGCCUCGGGUUCCAUUGUGGUUGUACCAAAAAUAACCCUUCAAGUUACGGUCCAACAAGGCACCCAAUUAGUCCACAACGUCAAACACAACAAUACAACACAAAUUCUACAAAACAAAACACACAUUAGUUCAAAACAACCUCCCACAAUGAGAUCCCACCUUCAAGUUUCUUCAAACUCAAGCUCACAAUGGUGGAUGGUUCAAAUCACCUCCAAUUUAGCUCAAAUUCGAACCCUAUACUACUAUAGUGUUAGAGAACAGAAAUCUAACACUAAAAACACAAGAAAAACACAAAAUCAAAAACUUAAAAUUUGACCUAGGGUCAAAAACGGGUUUGGUAUUUUUUUUUUUUGGGAUUUUCGAUUUGACACUUCUUUUUUGUUGGGAUUUUCAAUUUCUAAACUCUAAUAGUGUUAGGGAACAAGGAUAUAACACUAGAAACACAUAAAACACACAAAAAUUAAGUCUCAAAAAUUGAAAAACCCUAAAAACAUGAACAAUAACUUUUUUCUUUUUCUUUUUUUUUUUUUUUUUUUUUUUUAUUUUUUUUUUUUUUUUUUUAAUUUUCAAGAUACCAAUCCCAAGAUUGAUUUUGUUGGAACAAAAUCAAACCUUGCUGUGAUACCAAAUGAUAUGGGAGUGACCAAUAAGACAUGAAACAUACACCAAAAUAGUUCCCAAGUUUAAAGAACCGAGGACCCCUUUGGUGACCACUCUCGGAUUCACUACCAACAAUAAGAAUACAAGAUAUAAUGGUGAAUUUGACACCAAAACAGCCAACCCAAACUAAUGUAACAAGAAGAAGAAGAUGAACAACAUAAUAAGAUUUCAACAAUAGAAUGAUUAUAAGGUUACACAACAAGAACACUACAAAUGGUUACAACAAAAUAAAAAUAGAAAGAUAGACAAAUGGAGGUAUAAUCUUAAGAACCCAAGAACAUAUGACACUCUUGGACCCUUAACACUACACACUACAAUCACCUAUAUCUUACAAUUGAUAUAAGAGAGGCGUCCACCACCCAAACACUAAUGUAUCAAGCAAUGCAACACACAAGUGAUUCCACACUUGUAUAUGGCCCUAGUUACGGUUUUCUCUUUCUCUCUAAGAGGAGUGUUCUCUCAAUAUCAUUAAGUAACUAAAGAAAUAAACCCUACAAUAUUCUAUUUAUACUACAUUACAAUAAUAGACAAAAUGACAAAAGAGCCCUUUAUUAACUAGUCUACAAAAAUACUCAAAAAGUGUCAUGAUCAUGAUUAUACUUGUAUCAUGCGUACUAAUGGGGAAGACGCCAUCACUACAUUCACUCGGUGCUAAGUCUUUACUCUCAAUUGAAGGACACUGAUUACUGGACUGAACUAAGUUUAAUUGGUAUGAUAACUGAUUGAACUGACGAUACUCUAAUAUAUACGAAACCAUUCUAAAAAUAUUGAGACUAAGUAAACAACAAAGUUUUUGGGUAUCCAAAACUCCCAGGACUCGAUAACAUUACCAGUAGAAACAUACUAAAGUCUUAAAAUCAUGGUAAGUAGUCAUUGUUCUAAAUUAAUCUCUUAGGCAUUUCAUCAAAAACAUGGGGGUCAUAAAAUUAAAGAAUGGGAAUAGUUAAAUGAUGGCAUAUUAACAUAAUUUUAAUUCUAAAAUAAUGGGUUAAGAAUUUAACACGCCAAUAUCAUCCUUCAAAUGGGUCAAAGGAUAAUUCCAACAAAAAUAUAUGUAAACAUGAUAUAAAAAUCAAAAUUCAUGAAAGUUCAUGAAUAAAAUUCAUGAAAACAUGUAAAGGUCACGAUUUUAAACUUUAAUAAGGAUUCUUGGACUCUAUGGGUAAAAAGGACCAAUGAAUGAACAUCUAAUAUACCUCAACUGAUGAGUUUUUUUUGAGUUAUUGGUGAUUUCUUAAAGCUUGAACUUGGAUUUGAAGAAGCUAAGGUUUUGUUCUUGAGAGAGUUUGUGAAAAGAUGAGUGAUUUUGCCCUUUGGGGACCUUAAUCUUGUGUUAUGGGUGAGGCAAAGAAAGGAAAAAAUGACUCAAAUACCUCUACAUACCUAAAAAUAAUUAAACUAAACAUGGCUAGUGACGCAGUAAGCGACACAUUGUGUCGCUCAGUCAACACGUUAGGCAACGUGCCACGUUUCCGUGGCCAUAUCACGCUGACUCACUGGUUUGAACAUCCAAACAAGCCUCAAACCUCAUCCAAAAAAAUCCAAACAAGCCUCAAACCUCAUCCAAAAAAUCCAAAACUUACCCGAUACAUGUUGUCGACCACCCUGAUUAUUAAUCAACUUAAAAAUCUAUGUUCUAAGGCUGAGAAGGUCAGAGUUAAAAUCAUCAAAGUUUAAGAGGCUUUGGAAAUAACUAAUGUCUUAAUACUUAGUGAAAUUUUUUAAGUCUUGGACCCGUUUAGCAUGCAAGAGUGAGAUGAAACGAGCUAGGAUCUUACGGGUUCUUACAACAAUAUUCAAGCCUAUCUUUACUAUACCAACUUUAUGGAUCUACCUAUUAAAACCAACAACUUCACUCACUGUCACAAAGAUUCUUGCUACAUAUUCACCCUUCCUAACCAGUUCACAUAACAAAAGCUCAUCUCUUUCAUCCCUGUUCAACUAUAACCUUAGCUUGAGUAAUCACACUAAAAAUUUUCAAAAUCCAGAAUAUCUACUCCCUUAUUUAAAGAGUUACUAUGCUUCCAUAACCAAUAUCAUCCUAACAUAAGGAAGGUCAUUGAGGGACUAGAGAAAAAGCAUCACAAAUAGGAGUAGCACUAUCCAAUUAUAACUUAUAUCAGUGAUCCACUCAAGGUAGGGCCCAAGAUGUAAGAUACGAUACAAUAGACAUGAAGUGUUUCAUAUAACUACCACCUAUAUUAUAAAUAGAGGGUCGUUCGGGAAUCAACAUAACAUAACACAAGUUCCUAGGACUGGGCAAAGUGUGAAAACAUGAGUGUAUAUCAUGAGUUGUAUAACAUAAAGUCGACAUUCAUAAAUUUAAGGAAUAUAAUUAUGAUUAUUUCUUGAAGCUUUUAAAUUUCAUUCUGGUAUUGACCAUGGGUUUUCAUAGACCUUAUCUCUCUAGGCCAGACCUGACAUAGAAUGAAUCAAUAACAUAUAGAUAGCAUAAAUUUUUAAAACUAAGCAUGAUAUGAGAUAUGGAUUUAUGGAUCAUGAACAUCAUAACAUAGAGCUUGAAUACUUAAAAAGUUGGAUUACUGAGACAUCAUUGCUUCUAGUUUGGAGGUCAGAACUAGACAUAAGUUGCAUAGAUAAUUCAGACCUUAGGCAUAGGCAUGACUUGAAUAUAUAAGACAUUAGUAGAUGUCAUCUUAGAUUGAAGUAUGAGGAUUUUUCUUGAAUAGGAAUAGAUUUAUCAUAACUCUUCCCUGUAACUUGCCAACAUGAGAAAUUCAAGAACUACUUUAGUCCAUCAUCUUCUCCUUAGAUCAAAACCACAAUCCUAGACUUACGAACAUAUCAUCUCAUUAAAUCUAUAACCACAACUCUCACCACAAAGGGGGGUACAACUAUACACAUGAAUUCCAGGCUCUCCUAAAUAUACGCUUAUAUGAAUAAUGUAAUAUCCCAUAUUUUUGGGCUAGUAUCUGAACCGUUAUUCCUACGUGUAUAAGCUAUGAUCUGAAUGAUUACCAUGCAAAUAUGAGUUUCAUUAUCUUUAUCCUCAUUUUUUAUUUGAUUUUGAGGUGAAAAAUGUUCAUAAGAAUCACUUAGAACAAAGUUAAGCUUAGAGCCUUUGAUUCGUCCAAAGUUUGGCAUUUGAUUCUACAAGGGUCUACUUUAAAUAUGUAUAACUUUUUAUAUACAUAUAAUUUUGCAGCUAUUGACCCACCAAAUUGUAUUUAAUUGAAUUAUCUUUCCAACGAUACCAAUUUUGCCAAAAUCCGAUACCCAAGCAAAAAGUCAUGGCAUUUCAGUGUGAGGCAGUAAGCCAAUGCGAUAGCGAUGUGACGCGUCGGCCUGCGCAUUACUGAACUAUUUCACAUGCUAAUUCAGUUUUUAAAGGGUCUAGGGGCACUUUGGUCACUUCUCCUCACCCAAAUCUGCUCAUAACACUUAAUUUCAGCCCACAAAAGCAAUAUAGACUCAAUUAUUCAUUUUUUCUCUCAAAGAAAAAUCCUAGCCUCGUCAAGAACACCAAGAACUUCAUUAAUUUUUCUUUAAGAAAAGCAAGAACUCAAGUUUUCUAAUUCAAUAAUGCUUUAAAGAUUGUGUUUCUCCUUCAAGAUUAAAGCUUUAAGGUAUGUGGGAGUUCAUCCAUGGGUGGUCUUUCACCCAUGUAGCCCAAAAACUCUUUUCUUUUAAUUAAAGAAUGAAUUUUCCAUUACUAGGUAUUUUAUAUGUUCAAGAAAGAUUGAACUUCAUGUUUUCAUGAUAUUUUUAAUUCAAUUCUGCCCAUGUAUGAACCUAUGCAAGAUUUUGAAUUCCUCAUGCUAUGAAUUUGAGUUUUCUAUGUUUUAUUCAAGUAAAUUCCAUGAUAGAUCCGAAAUUUAUGAUGUUUAGUAAUAUCCCCAUGUUUUAAAUGAAUGCCUUCCACAUGUUUGAUGAAAUUCCCAUAUCAUGUUUAAUCAAUUUCAAGAUGAAUCCCCAAGUUAUGAAUUUUGCCAUGGAACCCUAUUGUUCCCUCAUAUUUAAGACAUUCUAACAUUCAAGCUAUGAACUUUACAUGUUUUGAUGAAACGUUCAUGUCCUAUUUCAAGCGAAUUACAUGUGAAUUUCCCAAUUCAUGAUUUUAGUUAUGUAAUCAUGCUAUGCUCCCAUGUUUAAGAUAUUCCUGUGUUCAAGUUCAUGAUCAUGAUAUAUUAUCAUGUGGUCCUAUUCAUGUACAAGUUCAUGCCUCUCAAGUGUUUGACAAAAUGUCUAAAUGAAAGAGUUGUUAACAAGCUCCUAUUGUUAUGCUAUUAUUAUCAUGCCAUGUUUUACUUUCAAUGCUAUCGAGUCCUGGGGUAUCUAAUACCUGACAAUCUAGCUGUUUACCUAGAUUUACAACAGUCAGUUAACAAAAUUCAGCGUACUCAGUCAGUUAAUAGAACUUAGUGAACUCAGUUUAGUUUAGUUGGACAACACAAUCAGUAAUAGUUCAAUUAAGCCUAGUACAGUCUAGAAAUCAGUUCAGUGUCUAUUUCGGUUUGGAGUAUGAAUCAACACCGAGUGAACCCAAGGAUGGGGGUAUUCUCGUCAGUAACGUGUUUGAUCCUUAGUAGCAAUCCCUGUGUUACAAAACUACAUAGCCAGCAUGGGUUAAGAUGUCUUUCUUCCAGUCUAAGGUUGAUACAUCUCGUAUGAGUUUUCCUACCAGUGAAAGUUGGUGAAAGGGUUUUCUUUCAGAGAGGGUUAACUCAUAGCCAUUAUUAGUAUCCGCUGGCAAGGUGCUAACACCCUUCCAACUAGGGUCACAGGUUGGACCCCAAUUAGUUCUGAUUGGGGUAUGUCGGUUAAAUGAACGCUCCUAUAGUUUCAGUUUCAAACUCAGUGUAAAAACUCAGUUAAGUUUUAAAAUUAGGACUGUCAGAUACAGCUACCAAGCUCAGUAUGGAACUCAAUUUAGUUCUACAAAAUUAGGAUUGUCAGAAAUAGUCACACAGUUAUUAGUACCUCAGUUAUUAAUAAUCACAGCUAUCAGUAACUCAGUUAUCAGAACUCAAUAUUCAAUCUCAAUUACAGUCUCAGUUACAGCUUCAGUUAUAGUCUUAAUUACAGUCUCAGUUACAGCCUCAGUUACAAUCACACUUAUAGUCUCAGUUACCAUCUUAGUUAUAAUCUCAGUAACAGUCUCAGUCUAGUAAUCAGAUUAGUAACUCAGUUUAGUUUUAGGUUUACUUGAUCAUAGCAUACAAUUAUCAGUUAUUUAGUUAUAAGUAUUUUAGUACCUCAGUUUACAGACUAUUUCAGAAUUAUGUUAUAUGCUUGGCUUGCAUUCUAAGAUAAUAUAGUUUUCACGAAUUCAUACUCAGUUAUCUCAUGUUACUUAGUCAGUCCCAUUUUCAUAUGCAUAAUACUCUACAGUUUUAGUCCUAUUAUUCAGAUUAAGUAUAAUUCAAUCUUACAUGCCCAGUAUUCAAUAAUUAGACAUUCAGUUAAUCAGAUAAGUUAGUAUAUUUCUGCAUUCGUGCUCAGUGUGAUUGUAUAUUCAGAUCCUCAAUUUAUGUUAGUCUCCAUCACGUAGUUUCAGACCCAGUAUUCAUACAAUAUCCAUGUCUUAUCAUAUUCUAGCUUCAGUUAUACUUUUAUCAUUAAAGUAAGUUUACAGAAACUACGUGUAGAGAUUCACCAUCUUAUCAGAAAAUUUUUGUCACCCAUGUUUUAAGAUAUUUUAGUUUUCAGUUUAUUCCAGCCUAUUGGUGAGUCUACUUACACUCAGCAUGCAUGUUUUAUGAUUACAUAUGAAAUUAAUUUUACUUACUGCAUUCACCUCUGCAUACUCAGCACAUUCUAGAAAUACUGAUCCAUAUAUACGUAUGCGUGGCUACAUUAUUUCAUAAUGUAGGUAUCAGUUGUAUCCUGCACAUCACAAUCAGACAGUUGCAGAUUUUACCCAGUAGGUGAUGAGUUCUCCUACUUUGGAAACUCCAGACAGUUUUAGUUCAUGUACAGUUCAUUUACUUUCAUGUGUAUUGAUUAGUGGUAGUUGGAGGCAUGUCUCAUCUAUCUAUAGUCAGUAUAGUAGAGGCUUCAUAGAUGUCAGUCAUGUAAUUUCAGUUUUAUUCUUCAGAUUUAUCAGAUUGUAAAGCUUUAUCAGUAUUGCAUCUAUUUUAGACUUUCAGUAUGAUUAUGUUUCCGCACAGCAGAACAACUGUUUACUAUGUUAUAAUUCAGUUGCUUAAUAGUAUGCCAUUUCAUGGGUUAGCUUGGGAUCACUUGUGGUUCCAAGCACUGUGUGACGACUAGGGGGUAGUCUCGGGUCGUUACAAAUAGUAAUAACUUAUUUCUAUGACAUCCUCCCAAAGGGGCACUACUCUUAACUUCCUCUAGCCUCUAAGUUUGAACUCUAACCUCACCACCUUUCAACCUUAGUUUUUGAAUGAAGAGUGACCCUCUUGAGAUAAUACGAAAGUUUUAAGACUUAAAAAUGGGUUAUAAAAAGAUUGGAUGGUCUAUAGGACAUAAAAUACCAAUAUAACCUUAAAACACUCUUAAAAUGAAGUCCUAUUGAUGAAAGAAGAAAGGUCCAUAGCGCAAGGCCUAAGGCUUCUAGCUCUGCGGUACAAUACUCAAUGUAAAGAAUCAGCUUUGCGGCACAUAGCCCAUCACGAAUCUGAGGCAGUGAGCCUUUUCGGCUCCCUCAUGGCGCGAAGCCAAUGUAAACUCACCUCUUUGUGAUGUACAACCUAUUUACCAUGUCCAAACUUUCCACAGUGCAUUAAAAACUAUCUCGGGACAACCUAUACUUAAUCUAUGGAUGACGUAAGCUCAUUUUUAGCCCAAUUUAGGCUCCACAAACACUCGAGAUGUUACAAACUCAUUGCUCCAACACUAAUCCUCAUAUACACAUAUACAUCACAAUUUUUUUCCACUUAAACUUUUCAUAAGUUAUCAACCUAGGCUCUUUCACACAUUACAUUAAGCCUACUAAUUCAUUCCAACCAAGCAUGCAUCAUUAAUCUUAAGCUACUAUUAUUACCAUCACAAUCCAUUUCUAAAGUUUAAAUCUAUAGUCUAGCAUCAACCAUGUACCACCGAUGAAGCAUGCCACAUACUAUACUAGCCCAUUAAAUUAGAAAAUCAACCCAAAUUCCUCAUUUCACUUAACUAUGACCUAUAAUCACAUCCCUUCCAUGACAACGCCUAAGAAUCUACUACGUACCUUCUUACAUGUUGUAGUAGCUUACAACUACUAGAGAAGAAAUCAAAAGGGUAAAGUCAUAUAAUAAGGAUAGUCGAUUUUAAUCUUAUAAUAUAACCCAUUACGAUCUUAUUAGCAUAUUCUACUUUCUCAAAUUAAAUCUACUUACCCAUGUAUACAUUUAGACUACUUUCAAAAUUCCAUAAAUAUUUACUAAGUUUUUCCCAAGUUAGUCUAAACUUAUAAAUUAUUAGCUAAUCUACCCUUGUCCAUUCACAACCUAUAAAUGAUUUUUCUACUACAACAAGCAUCCAUUUUGAGAUCCUCACCUAUUACCAAUAGGUUCUAAUCAUUAUAACUAAUCACAUUCUCUUCUAGCUACCCUAAAUCUUUAAGUCGUGCUACAACUUUAGCCAAUCAUAAUGAAAGGGCAUACCACCCUCUACUCAAAGGUUACACAACUACAAUAACAUUUUUUGCUCAAAAGUUACCUUUACUCUAAAUUUCAAACUUAUGGCUUCAUAUCACUAAUGUUAGGAUCAUCUUACUAUUCAUAGAUUGCAAUACUUUAAAUUAUACUACUACUCGGGUGGAAAUACUGUUUCAACACUCUUCUAUAUAUCUUUACCCUUAAGCAUGACAUCUACUAUAAAGAUUCUGAAAGGAAUUGAAUAUACUUCAUAACUCAGGCUGAAAAGCAUGAUUUCAUUAGGAUAGAAGUAUACAUUUGAAUCAAUACACUUUGAAGCACUAAUGGACUCCUCUUAAGUCCCUAUUCUAUUUUUUAACCUUUUUGAUGACUCAAUCAGAAAGGGCCACAUCCCUUAGACUCUAAGAUUUUGCACUUGUAUCAUCUCAAUAAUGAGACUUAGCUUAAAAUAAUUAGAGCAAGGAAGAAAUUUGGAUGACUUUCAUAUGGACGAAACUAUGGCAUAAACUAGAGUAUGAAAGAAUAGGAAACAUCUCCUAAAUGCCCGAUAGCCUCCUGAUUAUAAGUAUGGUGCAUAAUACACCCAUAAGCAAGACUCUACAAGACAUGACUUUGUAGAUACCCUGGGACCAUGAACUAUUCUCUAAUACCAAACUUGUUACAACCCAAGUUGAGGCCCUAGCCACGACAGGAAUCCCAAACCACGAAGGCUUGAGAGACCCCUUAGCAUACUAUCAUAAGCAUAAUCUAUACAUAAAUCAAAGUGUGUAAGCUAGGAUAACAUUCAAAGAAAACUCAUAAUCAAAUCAUGUCAACAAUUUAUGAUAAUACAAUACUUAAAUCUCAUCUACUAAGCCUCUACUGAAAACUAAUUGUCUAGGCUGAGAAAAGGCCUCCGUUUGGACCAUAAAUUGAAAGAGUCAACAUAUGAAUAUAUUGCCUUCCAAAAGAUGGAUGGCUCACCAAAUCUAUCAUAUCCUAAAUAUUCUACUAAUGUGAGAAACCAUGGGACUAUACCUCAAAACCUGAAAUAUGGGGAGUCAAUACUUGAAAAGUAUUGGUAUACGGAACAUUCCAAAAAUAACGUAUAUUUCAUGUAAAAUAAUUGAGAGCAUUGUGAAAACAAUUUAUAAUAAUAUAUAUGAAACACAUAGGCAUAAUUUAAAGAGUUUUAAUUCAUGCUUGUAAAACAUUGACUCAACUCUUUUCUUUAGUACUGAGUUAGAUGGUACACCUUACAAAUAUAGUACCCAUGGGCUAUAUGGAUCCGCUAUUAACUCGUCGGUCAGUCCCCAAAUUUGAGUUUUCUACAAGGAUUGGAGUAUCAUAAAAGUAUGCCCACUUAUUGACUUACAAUGUUAUUCCACUUGCUGAAUAACAUACCAUAAAACCUAUAUCGGCAAAAUAUUUUUUUGAGCUAUGAGUUAUCUGAACCCGUGCCUUCUUCGGGUAACCAUUUAGCUCUCUUUGAGCUCAUUGUUGGACUCUUAAAACCAUGCUUUAUACUUAAAAUAUUCUUUUCUUUCAUGUUAAGGGAAUUUCGUGGUAGGUAUCGUCAUACCUAGACUUGCAAGCCAUAUCAUUUCAAAUCAUGUCCAUAGCUUUUUUUUAUUCAAAAGCAUGUUAAUGAACACCCAAAAUAUUUACAUAUCACAUGAGAGUUCUCAUUUUAAAUAGCAUAUGAAACUUAUGCAUAACACUCUCUUUUCAACACUAUAACAUGUGGUGGUCAAUUCUUACGUAAAACACAUGCAAUUCUUCAUUUGGAAAAAAGAGCAUUUAGAAUAAUAAUCAUCUCUUUGUAAAACAUGUAAAACAACCAUGCAUAAUAGAUAAAGAGGAAUUUAAAACUCUUGAAGUAUCAUCAUUCAUAAGAAAAACCCCAACACUAGUCAAUCAUAAUCUCAUGAUUGAAGAAAGGACUUAUAGUUCAUGCUCUCAAACCCAUUUCAUAAUUCAUAACACGUUAAGACUAUAUAUUUCAUCAUGUGAGGGGGAUUUCAUAAAUCAUGCCCUUAAAUCACUUUUCAAAACCCACAGCAUAUUUACACAUGACUAUAACUCAAGUUAAUGAAAACCCCCUAGUAAUUUCAUAAUUUCAUCAAACAUGGGUUCAUGAUGCAUGCUCUUCAAACGGUUUCCAAAAUCCAUUACAUAUACAUAUAUAUAUAUAUACAUUUUUAAAACUUGAUAAAAACAUUAAACUUAUUCCCAUGAAAGUAAGGAUAGUCCCAAAUACCUUGAAAACGAUGAGAACGUGGAGCAAUUUGACCCUUUGGAAAUUAGAAUCCUCAAACCCUAGGUAUCUUCUCCUCUUUUGCUUAUGGAAUGAUGUUUAUGGAUUUACCAAGGUUAAAUAAUGUGUUUUAAGACCCUAUAUUUGUCCAUAAGGAGUUGGGAAUGGUUUAGGGAUACUAAAACACCUCAAUGCCUUUAAAAUAAAUCAAAACAAAGCACUUUUUAUGCAUGAAAGGGGGGUCCAGAUCCAUCGUAAACCUCAGGGUGUGUGGUGCGGAACCAACAUAAACCUCGGGGUUUGUGGUGCCGUCCCAACGCGUACCUACGGUAGUGCCUCACUAAAACACUCAUAACUCUUGAUUCAAAACUCAGAUUAACGAACGGUCAGUUAUGUUGGAAAGAGGAUCAACGGGCAUUAAUUUUGAUAUAUAAUGAUCCACAUAACUACUCAUAUUAUAGGAGUAAUUUUCACUAGAAUUUGACCCAAGAAAAAUCGUAAACUACAGCUCAACCUGUAGGAAAGUGUUUAACUUAAUUUUGAGCUAGGAGGUUUUUAUGACUUAUACUCAUCUCCAAAGAUGUUUCCAUGAUAAAUAAUUGUUAUUCACACUAGUAGAUAAAUAAAAAUCAUUGGAUUUGGUUUUAUAUACUUAAGAAGGUUGAUUCAAGUUGUAGCCCAAAAAUUGUGAGGUGUUAUAAGUAUUUAUGCAUUAAACCUCUAUGCCAUAUUGUUGUCCGCAAAAUCACAUUUUAUAUGCUCUUCAAAGUGCCUUUUGCACCAUGUAUCCAACUUGUACCAUAGAAGAUCAUCUAAAUAAUCCUUUUCCAACUGUGCCAUUUCUUCUAUAUGCUCCUUUAAUUCUACUGCAGAUGUGGAUUUUGCAAUUCUCUAAAAUAGCCUUCUUCUUUCUAUCCCUUUCUAGGUUUUGCACCAAUUAGAAAGAAUAUAUAUAGCACAUUUUCUAUGUUAGACAGUGCCAAUAUCUCUUUAACAGUAAUUUUUAGUCCCUAAAAAGUAAGAUAGCAUAUUAAACUGCAAAACUAAAGAAAAAAAUAGUACACACUUAUUAAGAAUAGAGUCAUACCUUUUGUCAAUCACUAAUGAUGCUUAGUUGAUGGUAUUCUCCAAGCUUAAGGUCAUUCCUUAAUAGUUCAAGGAACUAUACCCAAGCAAACUGAUUUUCAACCUCAAUAACUACCCAAGCAAUAGACAAUAUUUGGUUGUUUCUAUCUCUGCAAACAGCCACCAACAAUUGAACUUUUCACACAUCUUUGAGGAAACAUCUAUCUAAACUAAUCAACCUCUAGCACCUCUAAAGAAUGCUUUAUUUAAAGCAAUAAAGCACAUAUAAAAACCUUUAAAUAUUAACUGUAUAGUUUUAUCAGCUUCUCCAACCUUAAUAACACUAGUGCUACUUGUAUUACUCCUAAAAUCUCAUCUUUGUAAUAAAAAUCCUAUUAAACUCCACAAUGUGACCACCCAUAAUCUCUUGGAACACUCUGGUCCCUAGAUCUUCUUACUAUUGUCCUACAAACAUGGAUAUCCAACUCCUAUCUAAUAAUCUCAUGUAACUAAAUAAUCCUGAUGUUUUAUUAUUAAGUUAUUCUGUCUUUGUAUUUACUGACAAGAAACAUUGAUUUGCAAAGACAGUUAAAAGUUAAUGUCAAACAAAUAUGGUGUCAUGAUCCAAAAAUAAGGUCAUCAUGGCACUUGUUGAAACCCAGUCUUAACAAGUAAUCCAAUCACCAACAAAGGAAAACAAACUUAACAAUUUAAUAGAUUUAGAAAAGUGAGACUUCUAGAAUGAAGUUUGGGCUAACACAGAAUAUAAAUACCACCCAAAAUUGGAAUCAUAGUGUACGAGCAUCUAGUACAAUAUCUAAAAACUAAAAUAUGAUAUUUGUCUCUAAAACCAAAAUAAUGAUAAGAUAAAUGACAGUCCAAGAUCUGGAAUCCACCCUAAACACUAGGAUGAUCUUGUACCUCAAAUUUGAUCAAACUCUACAUUUAACCUCAACCACCACACAUAGUACUUGAACUAAAAUUUGUACUGAAAGAAAAAAUUAGGUAUGAGUACGAUCCACUUGUACUCAGUAAGAAUCAUAAGUCGACUGACCAAAGUAGUAAAAUAAGUAAAUUAACAUAUGAGCACGUAACCUGUAAGCAGAAAAGUCCUAAAUAAAAGCUCACUUCGUCUCCAUUAAUAGUUCUAAUAUAUAUCCAAAAAUGAAAAUAACAUAGAUAUACAUGAAGAAUAUACUGAAACUACAUUAAAAACAAGGAAACUAAGGAAAUCAUGAAAGGAGCAUAUGCAAAUGCAAUGCAAAGCAAAGUGGAUAAUAUGAAUGGUGAAAUCCGUCGCAUGACUUUCUAUAUACAAAAAUGAUUAAAGACAUAAUGCUCAAAAUCAACUCAUUAUGAAGAUAUCUAAUUCAUCCAAUAUGUAUGUAAGUGAGCCAAGAAAUUAACUCAAUAUAUUCACAAUUCAUGAUAAUAUACUCUAAUUAGGCACCAUCGAAAUAAAUAUGCAUAUAAGAUAUUUUUAUAUCAUAUCAACCCCCAACUCAGGUGUUUCUAUCAUGAUAAGGGAAAUCAAUGCUCAAAAAGACCUAAAAUAAUAAUACAAUCCCCCUACAAAUAUUAUAUCUAGAAUAAAGACAUUUAAAUACACAUAAUUGAGGAAAUAAUGUCAAAUAAAACUCUUCAUAUGGGAAAACACCAAUACUAGAUAUCACAAGUCAACAAUAGAAUAUAAGCCUCGACACGACACACGAUAGUUAUGGUAAUUCUCAAAAUACAAAUUCCAUAGUUAUUUCUCCAACUCAUAGCAUGCUUUAGUUAUUUAUUAACUAUCCAUCUCACUUAGAUAGAAGUUAAGCCAUAACUUGACUCAAAAUAAUGAAAUUCAAGUAUAAAGUUCUUCAACAUGGAGCCUUCCCCUUAUGAUGGACUCACAAUCAACUAUAUAUUCAAAAAUAACAUCUACAUAUUAAAAGAAAGCUACUGAUACCCAUAUUGCCCAUAUUUGAAAAAUGAAAGGGGUAAACUAGAAUUUUAUUUUAAAAUAUAUUCUCCAAGGUUAUAGGGGACUAUAGGUGAAAAACCAUGCAAAAAUGGGUUAAAAAGAAGGUCCAAAUUGAAGAAAAUCCAUUUUACAUCUUUAACGACAAAAAACUCAAAAUUUUGUUUCAAAAUAAUGAUUAAAAGGUGUAUUUUUGAAGAUGUAAACAACAAAAAUAAUAAAAAUAUGAUUUAUGAGUUUACCCAAGCAAGAAUGAUGAGAAAAUCCUCCUCUUCCCGAAGCUUGGAGGUCAAAAAUAGUUAAAAUCAUGAAAAAAAUGAGGUAUAUACAGUGGCUGUCAUUUAAGUGGCUACUGCUUAAGCGGUGACUGGUGCUAAAUCUCUACUUUUUAAGUGAUCUUGGGCCACUAAAGAAGUUAUCACUUAAGCAAACCAUGGCCGGUUAAGCGGCUGCACCAGAUAUUAACAAAUAUUGAUUUUGGUGCAGGCCUACCAAGCUUCGAAUAGACCCUCGGGAUUUGAUUGAGAUCCUACAUAGACAAAUCAUAUUGCUACCAGGAUAUUUUAGAUGUUCAGGACUCAAUGUAGAUAACAAAUUUCUGAAAAAAAGACUAUUUUCAAUAAGUUAACCCUCGGGAUUGCUUUUUCACUACUCUCCAAACAAAGGAUCAAAAUAUAAAUAAAGGUCCUGAACCCAAACUAUUGAGGAAUAAGUAUAAAGUAAAGAGGAAAAGGAGGGAAAGUUAGUAGCUUUUAGAAGUUAGUUACAUCAUCACUUUCAAGAAGUUAGUUAUAUGGUUGUAAGUAGUUAAUAAACUGGGCUCCUCAUAUAUACUCAUCAUCUAAUCACUAUAUAUAUAUAUAUCAUGUAAAUACAUAAUUAAAAUCAAUAAUAUUGAAUACAACUCUAACUUACAAUAGUUCUUCUCCCUUCUUCCUCUUUUACUUCUCUGCUUCUCUGAUCACUCCUCAUAUUGCUUGUUCUUCUUUGUUCAAGUUUUAUAACUUUGUUAAUCUUUAUGGUAUCAGAGCCAAUACUGAAUUGAAUCGAUACUUAAGACUCGAUCCUAGUUCUCAGUUAAAAACUGCAUUGGUUCUUGAACUCCAAAACUACAGAAUUUGAUAAGUUUUUUUUGUCAAUCUUUUGUAAUCAAGUGCAAUGGCGACUAGUAUUGAUAGAAUUGGUACUUCAAAUAUACCUCCAGUAAUAAUGCAAAUUCCAACUCUUCUUUUAAGUUUAUAGCAACUACUCUAGAUAUCAAUCACCCCCUGCAUCUCUCAACUGCAGAUAUCUCAGGUACUUCAGUUGUUUCAUUUAAGUUAAAUAGAAGUAAAAAUUAUGUUGUGUGGAGUAAAGAAUUUAGGAUUGCAUUGCUAGGUCGAAAUAAGAUUGGAAUAGUUGAUGGUUCUUGGAAAAAACAAACCUUCUCUACUAAUUUAUCUAAUGAAUAAGAGAGAGUUAAUGCAAUAGUAUUGUCAUGACUGAUGAAUUUAGUGUCAAGUAACCUUCUUGGAGGGGUAGUGCAUGCAUCGAAGGCUUGUGAUGUGUGGAUGGAUCUUAAAGAAAGAUUUGAUAAAAUAGAUGGAUCAAGAACUUAAAAUUUACAUCAAGAAAUUGCAACUAUAUCUCAAGGUGUUCAAUUUGUUUUUGUCUAUUUCACUAAGUUGAAGACUUAUAGGAUGGGUUUGAGUCUUUAGUCCCAUCACCUGAUUGUAACUAUGAAAAAUCAAUAGAAUUCGUCGCUCACCUUUAAAUACAAAAGCUAUACCAGUGCUUAAUGGGCUUGAAUGACUCAUACUCUCAAGCAUGAAGCCAAAUCUUAUUGAUGAUACCACUACCAACUAUCAACAUGUCUUAUUCAAUGAUUAUGAGUGAUGAGAAUCAGAAGUAUGUGGCUCAAGUUGUGCAUGCCACAGUAUUUUUUGGUGCUGCACCUAAAACAAUUGAAGCAGUUGCAAUAUACUCUAAGUACUCUAAAUCUGGAUAUCCAAGUGGUUAUCAGAAGGGAAAAAUAAAUUAUGUUUCCAACUACAAUCCUAAUGUUGUUAAGAUGAAAGGCCAUGUUAAAAUGGAUUGCUACAAGCUGGUUGGAUAUCCACUAGGUCAUCCUAAACAUGGAGAUCAAAGAAUGCACAAUGAGAUCAGAAGUAACUAUGAUAACAAAUUUAAACAAAUAAAGGUUGUUUCUAGUGCUCAUAAUGUUGUUGUUGAAGACUGGCAGAUGCAGCCUCAACAGACUCAAUCCAAUGAUAAAUAUCAAACCUCACAAAUUGUGCACAAUGAUGGGAUUUUCACACCAAGGUUUACACCUGUACAAUAUACCAAAUUUGCAAGCUGUUGGAGCAACAAAAUCAAGCCACAAUACCGUCUACAAGUUCAGCUAACAUGUCAAGUAUUGGUAAUGCCCUGUUGGUCUAUAAUAAACCAUAACAGUGGAUUAUUGAAACAAGUACUAUAUAUCACAUGGUUACAGAUCUUGACCUCCUUGAUAAAGGUUCAACAUCUGAGGUAGUGCAUUCUUAAAAAGUCAUAUUACCUAAUGGUGACAUGUCACUUGUUACACACACUGGUUCUAGCAGUAUCUCUGAGCAUUAUACAAAAUAUUUUCCAUUUAUCUCAAUUAAAUAUAACUUACUAUCAGUUUCAUAGGCCACUAAACAACUUAACUGCUUUGCUACUUUCUUCCCUAACUUUUGUGUAUUUCAGGAUCUUUGGAGUGGGGAGGUGAAGGAGUUUGGUAGACAAAAGAAUGGACUAUAUUUUCUAUUGAGGAAAAGACUACCAGGACAUAGCAAAGUAGCUGACUGUGUACUCAAUGUAGAGAUAACAAAUAAAAUAGACCUUACACUAUGACACAAUAGACUUGGACAUGUUCCAUAUAAGAUACUAUGUAAAUUUUUUCCUACUAGAAAGGGUUCUCUAGAUGGUAUUAUAAAUAAAUGUAGUGUGUGUCCAUUAGCUAAGCAAGUCAGAUUGCCAUUCCCUACUAGUGUUACCUCCAGUCUUAGACCUUUUGAUCUACUACAUAUAGAUCUUUGGGGUCCAUACAAAGUUCCUACUUAUGAUGGUCACAAAUCAUUCUUAACUGUUGUAGAUGACUUUACUAGAAUGACAUGGAUAUUUCUGCUUAAACUGAAAUCUGAUGUUGUGGUUACUCUGAAGCAUUUCCUAGAAAUGUGCAUAAUUAAUUUGACACUGAAUUUGUUAACAACCUAUGUGGUGAAUUAUUUGCAAGUUUAGGUAUAAAGCAUCAAACCUCCGACUCUUAUACACCCCAACAAAAUGGUAUGGUUGAAAGAAAACACAAACACCUAUUAGAAGUGACAAGAGCUCUAAGGUUUCAAGCUAAUAUACCUUUGAAAUUUUGGGGUCACUGUGUACAAGCAACAUCAUACCUGAUUAAUAGGCUUCCAUCUUCUAUGUUAGUUUCCAUGACACCUUAUGAGAAAUUAUAUAAUAAAAAACCCUCUCUGGACUAUCUGAAGGUAUUAGGGUGCCUCUGUUAUGCUAAAGUUGUCAAUGAAUCAGAUAAACUAAUACCUAGAUCUAGAAAGGUGGUGCAUAUGGGAUAUUCAGACACAAAAAAGGGUUACAUACUCUAUGAUCUUACUAACAAAAUUUUCUUCGUCAACAGGGAUGUUGUGCUUAGGGAAGACACAUUUUCGUUCAUGGCUGAUAUAGGAAAACCUACACGACAUUUGUUUCCUCCAUAUGAUCUUGCAGUUGAGCCAAUGGAUACUAUUGGUGUGACUAUCAUACAACCUAGUCAUGAUCUUCAACUUGAAUCAACAAGCAACACCACUGAAGAUCAACAAGUAUUUCACAUAAUCAACCUAUAUAGCAAACUAAUCAGGAAGAACAUGUACAACAAAUACUAGUUCCUACUACUACAACAAGAAGAAUAACGAGGAUCAAUAACAAGACAAUAGAUCGUAGAACAACCUGUUACAAUAAGGAUGGCUACUAAAAUACAAACAACUACUCAAAAGGAACAAAAAAAGUCUACCAGGGGUUUAAAUCCACAUGGAUGGAUGAAAGGCUUUGUCUCAUUAACUAUCAAUGAUAAUAUUUCAUACCCUCUAUCUAACUAUGUAUCUUAUAAUAAUAUAUCUGCUAUGUAUCAAUGUUACUUAUCUCAUUUCUCUAAUCUUGUGGAACCUAUAUCCUAUGUAGAACCUGUGAAAGAUCCUAGGUGGGUGAAUGCAAGCUGAGGUGGCUGCACUUGAAAGCAACAAUACUUGGAAGGUGGUUGAUCUUCCAGUAGACAAGCAACCUAUAGGAUACAAGUGGAUUUACAAUUUUAAGUAUAAAGCUUCAAGGGAGGUAGAAAGGUUCAAGGCAAGGUUGGUUGCAAAAGGUUUCAGUUAAAAAGAAGGAAUAGACUACUAUGAAACCUUCAGUCCAGCAGUUAAAUAGUCACACUAAGAAUAGUUUUUGCAAUAGCUGCUAUAGACCCUGGGACAUCCAUCAAAUGGAUGUGUUCAAUGCUUUCUUACAAGGAUAUUUAGAGGAUGAGAUCUACAUGUAAAUCCCAUAAGGAUUCAAAAGUCAUAGGGAAAAUAGACAGGUAUGCAGACUUACUAAAUCCUUGUAUGGGAUGAAACAAGCACCAAGGUAGUGUAAUGCAAAAUUAUCGCAAGCCUUAUACGAAUUCAAGUUUAGAUAAAGUCAAUAUGAUUACUCAAUAUAUAUUAAGCAAACUAAUGAUGGAAUGGUGGUUAUACUAGUAAAUGUUAAUGACAUACUACUAAUUGGAAAUAGGCUGGAUCAAAUAGUUGAAACAAAGGAAGCUCUUCACAAAGAAUUUAAGAUGAAAGACCUAGGAGAAUUAAAAUAUUUCCUAAGAAUUAAGUUUUCAAGGUCUAAAGAAGGAAUUGUGAAGCACCAAAGGAAGUAUGCACUUGAAUUAAGUUCAAAAACAGGUUUUAGUGCUGCAAAACCAGCUCCAAUACCAUUUUCCAUAUUCUUCUGAUAUGGAAAAUAAAAAACUGCAUCAACCAUUCUUCUAAUUCCAACUAUUCCACCCCCAGCUUCACCUCCUUCUCUUAAGGUCUAUUUUUGAUGACCCAGCCUCCUCCCAAACCUGUUAUUACAGUUAGUACUUUCAACUCUGAUAUGGGUACACAAAACAUUCUUGGUGACUCAUUACCUACUCAAACAAUGUCUUAUGAGCACUCAUCAGAUGAUCUUCUUACUACUCUUUGCAAAGGUACUAAAUCUACUGCCAAUCAAUCUCUUAUUUAUACUUAUUUAAGCUAUCAUCAUUUGUCACCUUCAUAUCAUGCCUUUAUUACUAGAUUAUCCACUGUUAAAGUUCCUAAAAUUGUGGCAGAAAUAUUAGUUCAUCUAAGUUGGUGUCAAGCUAUGAUUGAAGAAAUGACUGCUUUGCAUGAUAAUGGAACUUGAGAGCUUGCUCCUUUAACAAAAAGCAAAAGCAUGGUUGGUUUUCGUUGUGUAUUCACAGUUAAAGUAGGAUCGGAUGGAGUUAUCGAUCGUCUUAAAAACGAGACUGGUUCCUAAGGGAUACACUCAGAUUUAUGGCAUUAACUAUGCAGAUACUUUCUCACCGAUUGCCAAGAUGGCUUCAGUUCAUCUUCUCAUAUCUAUGGGAUCAAUGAAACAUUGACCCCUUUUUCCAGAUAAACAUAAAAACACACAUUCCUUUAUGAAGAACUUGCUGAAGAGGUUUAUAUGGAGCAACCACCACGGUUUGUUGCUCAGGGGGAAUCUGGACUAGUAUGUAUACUUCACCAAUAUUUUUAUAGUCUCAAGAAAUCUCCUAGAACAUGGUUUGGUCAUUUUUAAGUUGUUGUCCAAAAGUUUGGAAUGAUUCUAACAUAAGCUAAUCACUCUAUUUUUUAUUGGCAUCCAACUUAUAGCAAACGUAUCUUUUUAAUUGUUUUUGUUGAUGAUAUUGUUAUCACAGGUGAUGAUCAUGAAGCUAUUUCUCAACUCAAAUAACAUUUAACCUAGUAAUGGCUCUUUGUUUAAUCAGCUAUUUCCUUCAAAAAAAUCGACCAAGAAAGUUCCUAAAUUACCUACACUACACUCUUAAUCAUCAGUCGAGAAACAAAAGAGAGAGAAAACUAAGAGAGUAAAGUGAGAGAAAUUGAAAAGAAAGAAAAGAAAAAGAGGAAAAUAUCAGAUUAAGUAGUAGGUGAAAGUUUGGGUCGGGAUAAACCUGCCCUUGAUCCAUGAUUUUUAUCUAAUUAUUUAAUUAAAAGAAAAAGUGAGGAAUAUCUUUAGAACGAGAUUGAUGAUAAAAUUGGUCAAAAUGGUCUAUUUACAAUGGUCCAUACAAUUUUUGUGGGUAAUAGGUCCUCCGUAAAGUUAUCUUUUACCAAAUUGGAGACAACUUCAGUGGUGACUAUAUGUCUUUUCUUUAAGAACUGAUAAUUUAAUCUUUUGUGUAUAAACUAAAAUCUAUACACAAAAUCAUCUAUCAAUAUAUCUAUAUCUAUAAUAUAUUAAAAGUGUAAAGACCCUUAGAAAAGUGAUUUGAACUUUUUACCCUUCAUUAAAAAUUUAUGUUUUAGACAAAAUCGUCAUUUUACAAUUUUUCUUCAAUUAUUAUAUUAUAAUAUUUAAAAUUAAAGAGUCCUAUGUAUAAAAAGAAAAUAUCUUUUGAAAACUUUUCCUUAAAAAACACAAAAACAAACUAACUACCAUAAAGUUAAAAAAAAAAACACCUUAUUUAAAUUUUUGAAAAAAAAAUUGAAGACACGUUUUGUUAAAUUUUGAGAGGAAACAAAUCAAAAUUAACACGUUUUGUUAUUUUAAAAAAAAAAUGUUCUUUCAGUUUUAAAGGAAAAGUUUCCUUAUAAAUCAAAAAGUCAUGCUUUUUAUAAAACCUAAGUAGCUAUUAAGUUUUAGAUUAUUUAGUUUUGAAUCAUUUUUAAGUAAGGAUUUCUUUAACUAAUUAAUUAAUGAUAGUUGUCUCUCUUUGUUUACAUUAUUUUAUAAAAUUUUCUUACUAAUUGAAAUCUUGAUAGUAUCUAUGAUUAAAAAGAUAAAUCUACUUGGUAUUUGAGGUAAGCUUUUUAAAAUAUUUUAGUAUUAGUAUGUUCUUGAAGUUUACAAUGAACAAAUUAUCAUGUAUUCUUGAUAACAAUUGCUAAUUGAGAAGCUGUCUUUUUGUGUGUAUGUGAAAUUUGAGAUAUUUUAUGAUUGUAGAGAAAAAUUUGCUUGUGAUUUGAGGCAAGUUUUCUAAAGUUCUUAGUAUGUUCGUAAUAUUUACAAUCUUGAUGUAUCUAUGAUUAAAGAGAUAAUUUUUUGUAUGAUUUGAUAUAAAUUUUAAAAUUUUAAUAUGUUCUUGAAGUUUACAAUAAUAGACUAUCAUAUAUUUGUGAUGGAUAAUUGUUAAUUAACAAGUUUUUUAGUUUAAUAUUGAGAAUAAUCAUGAUUGAAGAGAUAAAUUAGCUUGUGAUUUGAGGUAAGUUUUAUAAGAUUUUAGUAUAUUUUUUUAUGUUUAUAAAAAUAAAUUAUCAUGUAUUUUAAUUGACAUUUGCUAAUUGAGAAGUUUUCUUCAGUAAUUUUAGUAUGUUUUUGAAGUUUAAAAUAAGAAAUUAUCAUGUAUUCUCGAUAGAUAAUUGUUGAUUGAGAAUUUUCUUGUGAUUUUUGGUCAUAUUGAGUUAUUUAAAAUUUUAACCAGAUUCCUUGGAUCUUAAAUUCCAUCACAAUUAAUUGGUUAGUCAUUCAAAUUCUAUAUGAAUUCUUUUUUAAAAUUUAAUAAUAUGCAAUUGUUUCAAUUGUCAGUAAACGCAUAUCGUCAUUAUUUUUAAUAUUCUUUUUUAGGUACAAGCUACAUCAUUUAAAUAAAUAUAAAACUUAAAGAUAAAAAUCUACUAUAAUGUCUAAAACAAUUGCAGCGAUAUAUUUUUUUAUAGUAUCAAAGUGAUUUUAUAAAACUGAAUUCACUGAAGUGAGGUACACGCGCAAGGCGCGUAUCCUAAACUAGUGUGUGUGUAUAUAUACAUAUAAAGGAGACUCUUAGAAAAUCCUAUGUGGCAUGUCUUAGAGGUCUCCAAAACUAUUUAUCUUUUUUUGUAAUUUUUUAACCUUUUUUUAAUUUUAAAAUAUCAAAAAUUCACCUUAAUAUUAUAUACAUAACAUUAAAGAUAGUCAUAUUAAAUUCCGGUCAAUAUUGGCUCUUCACAUUUUUAACUCUCAGGUUUUUGCCCUUCCAACUUACUAAGAUUUAACUUUCAAACCUUUGACAUACUAAUCCAAUAUAUUAUAUACUUAACUUUUGUAGUCAUUUCACCUUUCAGUAAUUUUUAAUCUUAAAGCCGAUGAAGUUUCUUCUUUUCUUGAGCUAUAUCAGGUAUUAUUUUUUUCUUAUUUCUAUUAGAGAAAAUUUGUUUGCUAUUGAUUCUUAUAAUUUUCCAGGAUAAAUUAUUAUACAGAAAUUUGUAACUCUGCAAUUACUACAGGAUAAAAUAAUAAACAAAUUAAUGAAUAUAUCUUACGAAAAAAGUAAAUCAUUAAAAGAUAUUGAAACAAAAUUUAAAAAAUAUCCACCCACAAAGAAAAAUAGAUUCACUAGAUACCUAAUAAAUCUAUUCCUAAUAAAUCUAUUUCAUAUCCGCACCCCCCUACAAUUGGUAUCAGAGCCCAGUAAUUCAAAAAAUACAAGAGUGAGAUAUAUGUUAGAGUUAUUAGAAUUUACCUAUAAAUUAUUAAAUUAAUUAUGCGAAGACCAUUUAAAAAUAGAGAAGCUUUUAAAAAAAUUAAAGAAUCUUUAAUUAGCAAUUAUUCAGAAUAUAUAAGUCUAAAUAAAACAAAAGAAAACCCACAAAGAUUAGCCUACUUAAUUACAUUAAUAUCUAGUAUUGAAUCAAAAUUAAUAAUCCAUUUAAAAUCUAGGAGAAUGAAACACAUACUACCUAAUUAUGAUAAAAUAAGAUUUAGAUAUCCGCCAAGAUAUUAUAAAUAUAAUUUAAAAUGAAUAAAGUACAACAAUACAAAGAAUUAAAACAAAUUAUUUCUGAAAAACGUAAAGAAUUAAAAAUAAGAAUAAAAAGACUACAUUAUAAUAUAUUUGCCGGAGUUAGUAAAAAAACUCAAUAGAUACACAAAAAGAUGAAAUAUCAAAAUUAGAAUCACAAAUAGAUAGUUUAGAAUAUAUAUAUCAACAUGAACUAUUCACAAUAAAAUGAACAAAGAAGAAUUUAUAAUAGAUGAAAAAAUAUAUGAAAACCACGAAGGAUCAAAAAUAAAAAUAGUAUUUUCUAAUCUAGGAAGAAGAUAUAAGAAAAUAGGUGAACAUUUAUAUCUAAUGUUAGAAAAAGAAGAAUUAAAAUUAGAAGAUAAAUUAACAGCAAUGGUAAGAAUAGAAAAAGAAAAUGAAGAGAUAGAUAGGAAAAAAGAAAUAGAAAAAAUAAAACAACAAACUACGGAAGAAAUACGAAAAAUAGAAGAAACCAAAAAUAGUAGAAUUGCUGAAUUAGAAAAAGAAUUACAAAUGUUAAAAGAACUGUAUGAACAAAGACAAAAAGAAAAAGAAGAAAAAGAUAGAGAACAGAAAUUACUAAAUGAGAUAAAUCAAUUUAAGGAAAAAUUAGAAAUAAAAAAUGAAGAAUUAGAAAUAAAUAAUAUAGAUAUUGAAGAGACAGAUAAUUAUGAGUCCGAAGAUAGUGAAACAUACACAGAAAUAUUAACAAAUACAAAAAAUUUAGAAAUCAAUGAAGAACAAAAAAUUAAUGAGGAAAACUUAGAAAAUACCCACACAGAAAUAAAUACUCUUGAUAAAAAAGAAAAUGAAAAUAUAAUACCUAAAACAACAGAAAUAAGAAAACCUAUAUACCAUAAGAAUAAGUUUAAAAAAUAUAAUGAAUAUGAUAAAUGGAUACCAAAACAAAUAGUGAAUAAAAAUUAUAACUUUUUAGAUCUAGACUGUGUAAUAGAUACAGAAAAAACAAUACAAUUAUGGAUAGGAUAUAUGACAAAACAAUUAUUAGAUAAUAAUAUAAAUAUAACAGAUGCACCGGAAUAUAUAGAAAAAACACUAAUAGGAUCAGUAAAACUAUGGUUUGCAAAUCUAACCGAAAAUAGCAAAAAAGUAUUAAGAACUAAUAAACCUAUAGAAGGAACAUCAUCGACAACAACUAAACUAACACCUAUAGAAUUAUUAAAAAAAUAUGAAACAGCUAUAAAAGAUGAAUUUGGUAGUACGACAACAAUCGAAGAAGAACAAAAUGAAGAAAAAGAUACAAAUAGAAAUUUAAUGUUAAAAUUAGCAAUAUGUAAUAUGUGUUAUAUAGAUGAAUAUACUUGCGCAUUUAAAGAAUAUUAUUACAAAGGAGCAUAUAGUAUAGAAGAAAGUAAAGAAAUAAGAAAAUUAUAUUUUAAUAAAUUACCCGAGCCAUUUAGUUCGAAAAUAAUAAAAAGUUGGGAAGAAGCAAAAAUAGUAGAUACGUUAGGAGCAAGAAUAAAAUAUUUACAACAAUGGUAUAGAAACUUAUGUGAAAAAUAUAGAGAAGAAUUAAAAAUGGAAAAAACAUUAAUAAGAAAUUUAGCUUGUUGCAAAAAUAAAAUAGCACCCCAAUUUGGAUGCGAAGAAAGAUAUUAUAAGAAAAGAAAAAGACAUAAGAAAUAUAAGAAAUAUAAAAAAUCAAAAUAUAAAUAUAAAAAACCAAGAAAAAGAUACUAUGUAAAAAAUUAUAAACAUAAAAGACCAUAUAGAAAAAAGAAAUCUAUAAAAGAAUGUACUUGUUAUAAUUGUGGAAAGUUAGGACAUUUAGCUAGAGAUUGUAAAUUACCUAAAAAUCCAAAAAAUAAACAAAUAUCAGAAAUAAAAAUAGAAAAUACCGAAUACAUGCAGAUAGAUUAUAUAGAUUAUGAAUUAGAAAGUGAAGAUAGUAUAUAUGAAAUUUCAGAAAACGAAACAGAUAAUGAAAUAGAUAGCGAAAUAGAUGAAUCAAAUGACUGAAGAAGAUAUAAAAAUAAUAACAAAGGAAGAAUAUUUAAAUGAUGAAGGAACGGAACAAAAAAUAAUAUUUGACAGUAAUAUAUUUGAUGAAAUAAAAGGAAAAGAAUUAGAUUUAAGUGUAGACAAAAUAUUUAAAAUACCAACAAUAAAAAAUAUUUUUACUAGGAAAAAAGAUGAAUAUUAUGUAGUAUGCCAAAAAGAACAUGUAAUAGAUUGCAGAUAUGCAAAAGGAAAAGCUAGUAUACCACUAGUAACAAAAAGAAUAAUUAAUAAAGAAAUAAAUGAUAUAAAAAGUAAAGGAGAUCCAAUAAAAUAUGUACACCUUGGAGGUACAGAGAUAUUAAUAAAAGCAUGUUUUAGAGAAGGAAUAGAUACACCAAUAGAAUUAUAUUUAGCAGACGAUAGAAUUAUAAAACCUAUAGAAAAAAGCAUAAUAACUGCCGUAAAAGGAAAUCUAAUAUACCAAAAAUUUAAAUUUAUAAUAAGUGCAAAUUAUUCAGUAGCAGUAACAGAUAGGAAUAUAGAUAAAUCAUUAGUAUUAUAUUGGAAAAUAUCAGGAAUAGAGUUAACCCCAGGAAGUAAAAUAUUUACAGCAAGAUGUAAAAAUCUAUAUGUAUUAACAACAAAACAUAAAAUAACAGGAAAAAAUAAGAUUAACAAAAUACAAAUAGAAAGCCCAUUCGAACAAAUAGUAAAAACAAUAGAUUAUAAUGAUUAUACCUAUAGAGACAUAGAUACAGAAGAAAAUUUAGAAAUAGUAAAUGAUAGAAUAAGUACAACGAAAAGAAUAGCUAAUGAAAAGCCAGAAUCAUCAAGCUCAUCAAAAAGAACAAGUUAUGAAACAAACUCAAUAAGUAAUUUAAACCAAUAUUACAUAACGGGAAAAAUAAAUGAAAAAGAAUAUUUAAUACUUUUGAACACAGGACAAGAAGAAAAUUAUAUAGCAAGAUAUCUAGUAAAAAAUGAAGAAAUAAAAACCGACAAUAAUAUAUGCCCAGACUUACCAAGAAGUUUAAUAAAUAAUAAAAAUCUAGCAGAAAAAGAAAUAAUAUUAGGAGUUAGAAAAAUAAAAAUAGAAUUCGAAGUAAAAGAAGAAAUGCAAAAAGCAGAUAUAAUAUUAGGAAUAAAAUGGUUAGAACAAGUAAAACCAUAUAAUAUAGAACAUACACAAUUAACCUUAACAUAUAACCAAGAAAAGUUAUUCUUAAAAAGAGCCUUAACAUGAAAUGAAGAUACAUGUAUUAAUGAAGAUAGUAGUAGAAGGAUAUUACAGUAGAUAUUAUACGCCUAUGAUAGAUACAGGAGCAGAAGCUAAUUUAUGUAGAUAUAAUUGCUUACCAGAAAGCAAAUGGGAUAAACUAAAAACACCAAUAAUAGUUAAAGGAUUUAAUAAUGAAGGAAGCUUAAUUACUUAUAAAGCUAGGAAUGUAAAAAUACAAGUAUGGGAUAAGAUAUUAACAAUAGAAGAAAUUUAUAACUAUGAAUUAACAUCAAAAGAUAUACUUUUAGGAAUGCCAUUUUUAGAUAAAUUAUACCCACAUAUAAUAACUAAAACAGACUGGUGGUUUACAACACCAUGCAAACAAAAAGUAAGAGCAAAAAGAGUUAAUAAUAAAAUAAGAAAGAAAACUGAUUGGAUAAAAGGAAGUGAAAAAAUUACACAAAAGUUAGAAAAUAUAAAAAAUACUGAAGAUACAGUAGAACUAGUAGUAUUUUCGAUAAAUAAAACAGAAAUAACUAUAUUUUCAAUAAAUAAAAUAGAAAUAAUUCAGAAAAAAUUAGAACAAUUAUAUAGUGAAGAUCCAUUAAAAGGAUGGGAAAAACACAAAACUACUAUAAAAAUUGAAUUAAUAGAUAAGAAUAGCAUAAUAACACAAAAACCAUUAACAUAUAAUUUUGAUGAUUUAAAAGAAUUUAAAAUGCACAUAGAUGAAUUAUUAGAAAAACAAUAUAUACAAAAAAGUAAUAGUAAACAUAAUAGUCCAGCAUUUAUAGUAAAUAAACAUAGUGAACAAAAAAGAGGAAAAAGUAGGAUGGUUAUUGACUAUAGAAAUUUAAAUGCAAAAACUAUAACAUAUAAUUAUCCGAUACCAAAUAAGAUAUUAAAAAUAAGACAAAUCCAAGGAUAUAAUUAUUUUAGCAAAUUUGAUUGUAAAUCAGGAUUUUACCACCUAAAGCUAGAAGAAGAAUCUAAAGAAUUAACCGCAUUUACGGUACCACAAGGAUUUUAUGAAUGGAACGUGUUACCAUUUGGAUAUAAAAAUGCACCAGGUAGAUAUCAACAUUUUAUGGAUAAUUAUUUUAAACAAUUAUCUAAUUGUAUAGUAUACAUAGAUGAUAUAUUAUUAUACACCAAAACCAAAGAAGAACAUUUAAAAUUAUUAGAACAAUUCACAGAUAUAAUAGAAAAAUCAGGAAUAAGUCUAAGCAAAAAGAAAGCUGAAAUUAUGAAAAACCAGAUAGAAUUUUUAGGAAUACAAAUAGAUAAAAGUGGAGUAAAAAUGCAACAACAUAUAGUACAAAAAAUAAUAAAUUCGAAAGAAGAAUUAGAUACAAAAAAGAAAUUACAAUCAUUUUUAGGAUUAGUAAACCAAGUAAGAGAAUAUAUUCCAAAAUUAGCAGAAACCUUAAAACCACUGCAGAAAAAAUUAAAAAAGGAUAUAGAAUAUAAUUAUGAUGAAAAAGAUAAAAAACAAGUUCAAAAAAUAAAAUUACUUUGUAGAGAAUUACCAAAAUUGCAAUUUCCAGAUGAAAAUAGAAAAUUUAUAUAUAUAGUAGAAGCAGAUGCAAGUGAAUAUAGUUACGGAGGAGUACUUAAAUAUCGAUAUGAAGCAGAAAAAAUAGAACACCAUUGUAGAUACUACUCAGGUACGUUCAACGAGACAGAAAUAAAAUGGGAAAUAAAUAGGAAAGAAUUAUGUUCAUUAUAUAAAUGUUUAUUAGCAUUUGAGCCAUAUAUUGUAUAUAACAAAUUUAUUGUACGAACAGAUAAUACACAGGUACGCUGGUGGUUAACAAAGAAAAUACAAAAUUCAGUUACAACAAAAGAGAUUCGAAGACUAGUUUUAAAUAUAUUAAAUUUCACAUUUACAAUUGAAGUGAUCAGUACUAACAAAAAUGUUAUUGCAGAUUACAUAUCAAGACAAAGCUACACAGACUGAAAUAGUAGAGGAAGAUACUCUAGAAAAAAUACUUAACACCCUAACUACGCUUUCAAUGAAAGUGGACAGUAUGGGUAAUGAGAUAGAAAAGCUAAAGACUAAUGAAGAUAAACUGAAGUCUAUAGCUACAAAUCAGCUAACUCAGCAGUGUGCAGAGCUAUGUCGACCGGAAGACAUUAAAAAUCCAGAGCUAGAAGGAGACGUUGGGACACUCCAUAAAACCCAUAACAUUUAUCAAUCUACUUCUGCAGGUACAAGCAAAGGAGUUAAUAGACCAAGAUACCAGAAUGUAAAUAUGAACAAAAUAUUUGAAAAACCAUUUACCCCAAAAGCACAAAAAGACCAUUUAUUCAUACCCCCACAAGUUAACACAUACCGAGACAGCCUAAACCAAGACAAGAAAAUAUACAACUACACAGCCCAAAAAUACAUAGAAAAUAUAUAUAGAGUCCAAACCUUUCUAAACCAUAACCCCAGAGCUACAAAUAUCCAAGAACCAAAUACCAAUUAUAUAACCCAAAAACUACAAGGAUACAAUAAACUGAUAGCACUACCCAAAACUAACCCAAGCCUAGUUAAAACCUGUUUUGACUAUGGACUACUAAAUACCAUAUACACCCAAGACGGAGAAGAGCUAACAGCUAUGGAGGAAUUAUACAAGAUAUUCACUACCUACAAAAGAAUAAAAAAAGGAAAUUUAUUUUAUAUAAAGUGUUAUACUGCACCAGCAGAGAUAUUAUAUGAUGAAAUAAAACCAGUGAUACAGGUUGUAAAGAUAGGACUGACAAGAGAUAUGAUUAUACCAGAAGAUAUUUCGCAACAACCAGAGAUACCUAGAAUCGAGAUACCAGAUUUUUAUGCAAAUAAAAGACUUAUUGGACUAGCUACGAUCAUACAAGAACUAGCAAAUAACUACGCUAACGGAAAUCCAAUAUGGAGCUACUAUUCAAGAGAUCACCAAAUGAUAUAUUCAAAUUCGAAAGAACUAAGACAAGCAGAUAUGGAAGACGUAAGACAAUGGAUACUGACGCUACUUAACCCAGAAAAACAAUCUACCGCGCGAGCAAUAAGAAAAGGAUUUAUUUCAGACGGACUGCUAACAAGAUACUGUAAGAUAAUCGGACAUAAAUAUCCAGACCACCAAUGUUCGAGGUGCAAUGGAGAAGAUAAUAUUAUUCCAGAGGUACAUCUAGAAUAAAAGAAGAUAAAAUGNNNNNNNNNNNNNNNNNNNNNNNNNNNNNNNNNNNNNNNNNNNNNNNNNNNNNNNNNNNNNNNNNNNNNNNNNNNNNNNNNNNNNNNNNNNNNNNNNNNNNNNNNNNNNNNNNNNNNNNNNNNNNNNNNNNNNNNNNNNNNNNNNNNNNNNNNNNNNNNNNNNNNNNNNNNNNNNNNNNNNNNNNNNNNNNNNNNNNNNNNNNNNNNNNNNNNNNNNNNNNNNNNNNNNNNNNNNNNNNNNNNNNNNNNNNNNNNNNNNNNNNNNNNNNNNNNNNNNNNNNNNNNNNNNNNNNNNNNNNNNNNNNNNNNNNNNNNNNNNNNNNNNNNNNNNNNNNNNNNNNNNNNNNNNNNNNNNNNNNNNNNNNNNNNNNNNNNNNNNNNNNNNNNNNNNNNNNNNNNNNNNNNNNNNNNNNNNNNNNNNNNNNNNNNNNNNNNNNNNNNNNNNNNNNNNNNNNNNNNNNNNNNNNNNNNNNNNNNNNNNNNNNNNNNNNNNNNNNNNNNNNNNNNNNNNNNNNNNNNNNNNNNNNNNNNNNNNNNNNNNNNNNNNNNNNNNNNNNNNNNNNNNNNNNNNNNNNNNNNNNNNNNNNNNNNNNNNNNNNNNNNNNNNNNNNNNNNNNNNNNNNNNNNNNNNNNNNNNNNNNNNNNNNNNNNNNNNNNNNNNNNNNNNNNNNNNNNNNNNNNNNNNNNNNNNNNNNNNNNNNNNNNNAAAAUAAUGGAAAAUCUAAAAGAAAAAUUAAUAUGGAUAGAAGAAACCUUAGAAAAUUUAGAAAAAAGUACAUGUGAUAGUUUAUAUAAUUUAAAAAACUCACUACGAAAAGAACAACACAAGAUAAUAAAUAACAUUGAAAAUCUAAAAUUAGAUAUACAUUACAGUACAGUUAUUCAAGAUGUAAUGGAGAAGAUAACAUUAUUCCAGAAGUACAUCUAGAAUAAAAGAAGAUAAAAUGCCAGCUGGAAAGAUAAGAUAAGAAGCAAUAAUGGAGAUAUAGCAGAUACGACAACAUCAACGGAGACAAGAUAUUGAAUUAUUUAUGAUCAUUGUAUAGACUUUUUAGUCUUUACGUAAAAGUUGUAAUUAUUGUAGACUUUUUAGACUUGUAGAAUUUUUUUAAAGGCUAUAGGUCUAGGUAGUAGCCUUUUUAACUUUUUGAUUAGUAGCCUUUUUUUUUAGCAUUUUAAAAUAAAAUGUGUAAAGAUGAUUGUAGAGAUUUCAUUCUAUAAAUAAAGGAAGCCGAAGGCAUUGCAAGGCAAGCCUUCAUGCAUUGAAACAAAUACUCUCUCCAUUCCACAACAAAUAUUUUACUCAGUUAAUUAAAAAAAAGACAUAUUUCAAUGGAAAAAGCUAUGGAGAAACAAACUUCAGAAACUUUCUCCAUCUUUGACCUGUCAGGCUUUAAAAGGAAUCUUCUUUUUUAGCUAUUAAUUUUUUUCUUUUGUUAUUGAUAAAAUAUGUUUGCUUCAUCGCAUAUGGAAUUGAUUUGUGUUUUCAUUUACUAUAUUGCAUUGGAAUAUAUGUUCUCUGUUUGACAAAGAAUGAUUUUCCUUUCUGUUUUGUUGAUGGUAUACAGAUAAUCUUAAUUAUUUUUCUGAAGAAAAAUAAUGUUACACCUUUUCUGUAGUAAAACAUGGAAUAGGAGCCGCGAGAGAGUAAGGGUGCAUUUGUUUUUUUAAAGAUUAAGACGUUUGAAUCUGAAUGGAUAUCUAAAUGAUUAAGAUGUUGUAUCUAGUUUUGAAUACUAAAUGAUUAAGACUGUUUAUUUUUUAACAUCUGAAUGUACGUAAUUUAUUUAUUUGUAAUAAAUAUGCAAUUCAAAUUUAAAAAGUAAUAAAAUAUUAUAUUAUAUGAAAAAAAUUACAUAAAGUUAAAGUAUUAACUUAAGCAACAAAAUUAUUAUUUGAUUAUUAUUUGAGUGAUAAUUAAAAUAUUUAAAGAUAAAUAUAUUAUGUUAAAUAUAAUUAUUGAAUUAUUUAAAUUAUUAAAAAAAGAUAUAUCGAUUAAAAAUUAUUGUGAUAUGAUAUAAUUAUAAAAAAUUAAAUUCAACAUAAAGUAAUCUGUCAAUUAAACUGAUCCAACAAAGUAAAAUAACUAGUCAGAUAUAAUUUUGACUUAGAUGCAUAAAUAUUAAAGUAUUUGAAUAACUAAUUAAUGCAAGAACGGACACAUGUUUAUUUGUUAACCAUGAAAUCUGAGUGAAAAUAUCAUUAGUAAAUUCAAUGUUACGUUAUGAACAGGCACACAUAAGAUUCUAUUUUUCAAAGAACUACAAAUUUUAUAAUCAAAAUAAAAAAUUGCAAGCAGAAAUUUAGAGUUUAGCAAAUAAUGAAUAUACAAAUUGAUAACUAAAAUAUUUGUAAAAAAUUUUGGUGAAUCAAACCUAAAAGAGAACGAAAACAAGUGAAGAGGAAGAGAGAGAGAAAUGUGAAGAGAGGGAGAGAUAACGUGAAAAGAGAGGGAGAGAGAUAACCUGAAAAUAGAGAGGAAAUAAUGAAGUGAGAGAGUUAGGGAUUAUGUUCUAAAAAGAGUCUGAAUGUUAUUCAGACUUCCAUUCAGAUGUUUUCAGAUACAUUAAGUGGCACUUUUAAAAAAAAACAAAUGCAUUUAAUGGGCCGAAACUAUUCAGAUUUAUACCUCCAUUUAAGUGCAAACAAAUAGCCCUAACUAAGUUACUUUUUGCAUGUAUCAUUAUAACUUAAGUUUUUUUCUUUAUAACUAUUGUGAAUUUUUAUUUUAUUUCUGUGCCAUUGAUUAGCAAGUUUGUAUCAAACAUACUAAGCAGAUCUCGAUGUUAAAAUCUCAAUUUUGAUACAGUUUAUGUAAGUUUUAUAAGUUAUCUAUAUAUGCCAAAGAACAGAAAGUAAUCUCCUUAUGUUUUGUUUCUUUCAUGCAUUUUUGAAAGUAAUUGAUUAGAAUGAGGAAUUGAAAUAUAAUUAGUUUGCUUUUAUGCAUUUUCGAAAGUUGAUUAGAAUCAGGAAUUGAAAUAUAAUUAUUUUCUUAUGCAAGACUUUGAUCUCACUGAAAUAACCUUUUUAGUUAGAUAUUAUAUGUAUAACAUGAUCCGUUAAAAAUAAAGUGAUAAAAGAGUUGGAUUGAAUACGCCCUAUCUUCCUCUUGACAUGGGUAACGUUCAACCUAAAAUAAUAUAUUUUUCUCUUCUUUUUAAUCAAUAUUUGUAGUGUCGACAUGUUGUGCUAAGUGGGAACCACAAUGAUAUAACCAACUAUAGGAAACUGCAAUAGUCCUCCAUGGAUAUAGAUCAAUCAUCCCUGAACUUUCACCCCAAAACCCUCUAAAUUUGGAUGUAAAUACCCCUGUAAAUUAUUCUUCUAUUCCUAUCUUUGCUCAAAAGUUACUCCAACAUCGAUGACCUUUUCCCAAAUAUGGUUGAUGCUCCGAUGGCAGACACAGAACAUCAAGACGAAGUUACCCCCACAAUUUCUAAGGAAAACUUCUUCCCUUUAUCAACAGCAACAGACAAAGCAAGGCUAUAUUUGCCCUGGUAGACCUCUUUAAUUGGUAAGUUAGUGGGUAAAAAAUUGGGCUACCAAGUCCUCAGGAAGAAACCUUCUGAGGAAUUAAAUCUGAUAGACUUGGGCUACGAUUUCUUUUUGAUGAAAUUUAACCAAGAGUAAAAUAUGCUCCAUGCUCUACAUGAUGGACCAUGGUUCAUCUACAACAGCUUUCUCUCCGUUUAAAAAUGGGAACCCAAAUUUGUGGCAUUCAAAGCUCAACUUGCUCACACCGCUAUUUGGGUUCGUCUGCCGGAAUUACCUACAAAAUUUUACGACAUGGAAAUUCUUCACAAGGUUGGUGCUAAAAUUGGAAUCCUUUUAAAGAUAGACACUUAUACCUCCACGACUUCUAGGGGAAGAUAUGCUCGUUUGUGUAUUCAGGUUCCUUUAGAACGGCCCCUUCUUCAUCACUUGUACAUAGGAACUCAUAAACAAGUGAUUCGGUACUAAGUUGCCUCUUACUGUGCACUUUUUGUGGGUGACUUGGGUAUAUCACCCAUUGCCCAUAUAAAACGGUGAAUGAAAUUCCCAACGAAAAAGAUGUUGAUGAAGCACCAAAUUCCACUGUAAUGGGGAAUGAGCAACAUAAAAAUGAAGAAGAUGAUGAAGGUUGGCAGCUGAUUUGUUUCCCUAGGCAGCAACCUCAUCGUUCAGCAGAGAACGGAAGAGUUGACUUUCAACGUUCUGUUAAAAGACCUAGUGGGCCAUUGUGGGUCAGUGGGUUGUCAAUAAAAAGUGUUUCCUAGGUAAAGGGGCUCAAUCUUUCCCUUCCUAUGGGCCCAGGUAAGUCCUCUUUUCCCAUUGAUUUAGAAAUCCCUUGUAAUAACCCUUAUGCCCCCAAAUUCUCUACUAAUGAUUCCAACACAAUUUCUUUAAAUGAUGAUCUUUCUAAAGUGGGGUCCAUGGAGCUCAAUUCAUCUAUUUCAAAUCUGUCCCAUUUAAAGGAUUUAAAAAUGCAUGAAUCACCUCUUUUCUUAACUAAUACCAUGACCCCACUUAAUUCUCAACUGAAGGCUGAUAGGCCACAGAUGGACUUCAUGCAUGAGCACAAAAAUUCACUGCACGUAAACUCAGCGGUUAACAAUUUUGAUGUUCACCCUUAUAAUGAUUACACACCACAUGGUGAUAAUGAUCUGUUAAAUUCUCAAAACUCACCUUCUCUUGUUCACUUUGCCAAAAGCCAUAUUUUUGAACAUACUCCUUUCUCUGUUAUAAAUCAUGGAUCAUUCUCUAACUUGUCCAUUCAAGGGUCUACAUAUCCAUCACAGCCUACCAUACCCAGUUCAUCAACUACACCAGAAAUAUAUUCCGAUGGCACAAGAGAACAAUCAUUUUCCUUACCAAAUUUACACAUCAAUGAAUCCUAGUCAUGGCUGGAGUGGCACUCUCGGGAUAUGCACUCACCUUCACCAUGACAGUGAAUGGUCAAGAAUGUUUUAUACUGAUUCAAAACCCUCGGGACCUGGCGCAAAUCAUAAUGGAGGGGAUGAUGAGAGGAAUGGAGGUUUUCAAUAAUCCACUAGCGACAAGCCAAUCCCUCUCGACAAUUUCAUUUUACCCGCCACCACAAGAGGAGGAAUCAGCCCCGUGGAUUCAACCCCAUGUGAUGGUAGUAGCAAUGAAGUCUAAGUCAUAAGUUCAUCCUAUUCUACUGAGCUCUCUUCCACCUCCGACAACAUCAAAUACGAAAGAAGAGGUGGGGGAAACAUCUACCUUCUUGGGCCAGGUACAGGUAUUCCUCCUCACAGAACUAUUUGAAAAAGAAAUAAACGUAAACUUUCCUCAAAAUAUGUUCAAGUGUUCCAUUCAUGUGAGGCCAACCCUCAACCCCGGUGUGGGGAAGUAUGCCCUAAUUAUGAGUCCCUUUCUGAGGAACAAUGACUUUCUAGACUUCUUCCCCCGAAAGCCUCUAACUUUUAGUCGCCCCGAUGAAUUUUCUAAUUUGGAACUGUAGGGGAUCUUCUUCCCUAAACUUCACUUUAAGGAACUUCUUGACUUGCACAAGACUUUACUUGUAGUCCUCUUAGAAACCCAUAGGAUGAACCAUCAGUCUAUGCCCAAUGGGUUUUACUUCUCAAAUAUUGUUGAUACCAGACUUCAGGACAAGCAAGGGGAAUAGCUAUCCUUUGUCAAGAAGACCUUUUGAAUGUUACGAAUAUCGCUAUGAUUCAUCAAGAAAUUCACUAUAUCAUUCAGGUAUUCCCCCCCCAAAUAAAUGGUUUUUAUCUGCUAUUUAUGCUUAUAAUAAUUUGGAUGACAGAAUGAGUCUUUGGGAGAAUCUUAAGUGGGUUCCCGACUCCUUUAAGGGGCCUUGGCUAAUGGGUGGAGAUUUUAAUGAAAUAUGAAAUUCCAUCAAAAAAAAUUAGGGGAUUACCGAUAGAAAGUUCAAGAGCUGAAAAAUUUUCUCAGUACUUAGAUUACUGUCAUAUGGUUGACUUAGGAUUUUCUGGCAGUAAAUACACUUGGUCAAAUUUUCAUAAAAAUAAUACUCUUAUUUUGGAAUGCCUUGAUAGAUGUGUAGCCAAUACUGAUUGGCUCCAUCUAUUCCCUGAAUCACUUGUUAGGCACUUUCCUCGCACUCAUUCUGAUCACUGUCUCUUACUUCUACAACUAACUACUCCUGUUGUUCUAUCACAUAAGCCUUCAGAAUAGAAACCAUCUGGACAAACCAUCCUCAAUUUCCUUCAGUUAUUAAAAAUUCUUGGCUGAGAAUGAAUAAUGUUCUACUACCGUCCAUAGCCUAUUUUCAGAGUCAAGUAACCGUUUGGAACAAAGAGGCUUUUGGAAAUAUAUUUGGUAAAAAAGACGUAUGCUCACGUGAUUAGGCGGAAUCCAAAAAUACCCUCAUUACCCAACUAGUAGUUUCCUUCAAAAACUAGAAAUUUCUCUCAAUCAAAAUUGGGUUGCUUUAUGCAGAACAUGAAUUUUGGAAACUAAAAUCCCGCAUCCACUGGCUCAAUAAGGGUGACGCGAAUACUAAAUUCUAUCAUAUGUCCAUGGUUCAUAGAAGGCGCAAAAAUAAAAUCUUCACCCUUCGAGACAUAGUAGGAAAUUAGAUUAUGGAUAGGCAUGAUGUGGAGAAUCAUAUCACCUUUUUCUUCUCAAAUUUGUACUCAACAAACCUUAGUUGCUCUAAUAAGCACUUUUAUCAAGCUUCCAACCACUUUAUCUCUGUGGAGGAUGUGGAUCAUCAGGAAGGUCCUAUAUCCUAUAAGCAAAUUGUUGACUCGGUCUUCUCUUUUAAGCCCUACAAGUCCCUAGGUCCGUAUGGCUUCCAUCCUUUCUUUUUCCAAAAAUAUUAGGGGCUUGUGCAAGAUAUCCUGCACCAUCACUAGAAUACCAAAUAUAAGAAAGAAUACAUGUUGGCAAAAAUUAACCUCAAAAAAUCUUUUGACCAAUUAGAAUGGUCUUUUAUUCAUAACACCCUCCUUUACUUCAGAUUCUCUCAAAAGCUGGUAAAACUUAUCAUGUCCUGCAUUUCCACUACCUCUGUUUCACUCCUUAUCAAUGGCUCGGCAAUCCCUUAUUUCAUGACUACUAGAGGCAUCUACCAAGGGGAUCCUCUCUCCCUGUACUUAUUUAUUUUGUGUAUGGAGAGACUCUCUUGGAGAAUGAAAAUAUAUGGGUCUCUUUUAAUUUCCUCAAAAUGUGAAGAUUGUUAUGAAUAAUUGGGGAUUUUGUUGUCUUGAACUGUGUUUCUAUGUUUCCCGUCUUUCUUGAUUUUAUUUUAGAACUUUGCUUCAGAUAUAUGCUUUUUGAUUGAAUAGUUGAGGGUUUAUGCAAUUUCAACAACAACAACAAACCCAGUGUAUUUCUACAAAGAGAGGUUUGGGGAGGGUAGAAUGUACGCAGUCUAUACUGCACCUUCGAAGAAGUAGAGAGGCUGUUUCUGAUAGACCUCGGCUCAAAAUAAUAAAUAGUGAACAAUAUCAUAUCAAAGAUAAAUGAAUUUAAAUAAAAUUUUCAAAGAUAAAGUUCUGCUAAAGCUGAUAAACUACAUUUAGUUUAGUAUAAUAGGUUAAUAUUGUGAACGGAUAAUAGGCAAGGAACCUCGGUUGAGGACAUGUUUUAAAAUUCAGAAAACUAUGUAAUUUGGUUGCUAAAAUGAGGAUGCUUAGAUGGAUAUACGGGCAUACUAGGAGGGAUUGGAUAAAAAGCGAAGAUACAAGGCAAGGUGGGAGUGGCCUAGUGGUGGAUAAGAUAUGGGAAGUGAGACUAAGAUGGUUUGGGCAUAUAAAGAGGAGAAGGACACAUGCCCUAGUGAUGAAGUGUGAAAGGUUGGCAAUGAUUGGUCUUAUGUGAGGUAGAGGUAGACCGAGGAAGAAUUAGGGAGAGGUGAUUAGACAUGGCAUGACACAUCUUGAGCUCAUCAAUGACAUGACCUUAUUACUAUUGUUGUUUCGUAUACUUGGGAUAUCUUUACUAAUUUUGUUGUCAGUAUUCUUUAUGCAGUAUUUCUACCAUAGCUUUUACUCUUUUAUUUGUCAAAAACCUGCUUAUGAUAACAGUUUCUUGAACUGAAGAUCUAUUGAAGCCAUUCUCUCUACCUCACACAAGGUAGAGGUAUGGUCUGUGCAUACUCCAUGCUCCCCAGAACCCACUUAAGGGAUCUCACUGGCUAUGUUAUUGUAGUAGUAAUUUGGUUGUUGCAAUGUAAGUUGCUCGGACUCUUCAAAAUGUUGCAGCACCUGUGUUCGAGCCUAUAAAAUUGCACUACUUUUGAAGGAUCCGACGACAUUUUUGAAGAUUUCAUGCUUCCUAUUAUCAUCUCUUCCCUGCCUUUUCCUUUAUUAGUUUUAUUACUACUUGUGUAACUCCAUAAUUUUACUAGUACUAGUACUAGUACUAAAUUAGAUUUCCCUUAAUUCCCUUCAACUAUCUGUGCUGAUGAUAAUAAUGCUUGAAAUUCCUAUAGACAAGGAUAGCUUAUGACUAUGGAGAUAUCAUUACUUACUAUAUUUAAUUUCUUAUGUAUAGCUAGUAGGUAGGCUAUAUUUUUCCUUUAAUUUUUGGGGAAGAGCACACUAGUUUACAGUUUUGCUCUUUUCUUUUACUUUUUUGGAAGGUGGGAACUAGGGUUCUAUUGCUCUAUUUGAUUGUGCACAAAUUAAAGUGAGGUGUACAACUGAUUUCUAACUUCGUAACUACAAAUAGUUGGGGCUAAUAUACGAGUUUUGUAUACUAUAUACUACUAUAUGAUUUAUUUAUGUAUUGUCACUAUUGCCAUGCCCCUGACCCAUUACCUGCUUCUCCAAUUCCUCUCACAAACUUAAUUUCUCAGUAUUCCUCCUCCUCUUCCUCUUUCUCUUAAACAUACAUGUCAAAUGGGCCGGUCAACCUACUACAAAAGCCUAGUGGGUGAGCCUGGACCAGCCCAACCCCUAUAUAUGUAGGAGGGGGCGACAAAGUUCUGGCUUGUCCAUCCUUUAACAGGAAUAAAGGAAAGAGCAACGUAAAGCUUACCUUUUCUUCAUACUGCAUUUAUAAAUGCCAUUGUUGUGCUUUACUCGGUAACAACUAAUUACUGCUAUAAUGAUUUGAAUUUGAAGCAUGGAGAUACAACUCUCAGUGCUGCUUACUGAAUUAGAUAUCUGUAGGUUUUGUACAUUUUUUAUUUAACAUGUAAUGAAAGAAAAACUAUGAUUGGAGAUUUUGAGGGUUCAAUAUAUGGGCUGACCUUGGCUCACUGUGAUCCUUGCAACUUUGCCCCCUGUUCUAAAAUUAAACCUCCUAGAACUUCCUGCCCCCUGUCACCAGACAUAUCUCCCUACAGUACCAAAUUUUGUUUAGCUAUGAAAAUAUAAUAACUUUUUAAAGUUAGAAUUACGAUCGGAGAGUAAUUAAGUUGAAUUUGGUGUUAUGUUUGAUCGGAGAGUAAGUUGAAUUUGGUGUUAUGUUUGAUCAUAAAUAAGAGAAGUAGUUUUACUACUUUAUUCACUGUCUCAUUUUAAUAACUAUAUAUAGUUAUAUGUAUUAUGAUAUUAUCUAUCUAUAACAUUUAAUUGUGGUAUUUGUUUUUUGUGUUUAUUUAGUCGUGUUUUUUUUCCUUAUAAAUCAUACAUUGCAAAAUACAAUAAGUUUUUGCUUUUAAUGAUCUCGUUACAUUUACUUAUACAAAUUCUUGAUUUGUUAUAAAGUUUUCUUUCUUAAUUUAGAGUUUAACAAUUUUAAUUAUGUGAUUUUGUGUAGAUGGAUCGUAGUUGGAUGUAUAAUAUGACUAAUGUUGGUCGUAUGGGGUUGAUGCCUGAAUUUCUAGCCGGUGUCGGUGGUUUUGUGGAGCAUACAAUGACACUGGAACCUUUUCAACUCGAUGGCUUGGUUAAGUGUCCUUGUAGUAAAUGUAAAUGCAGGAAUUAUGAAAAACUUGAUAUUGUUAAGCUUCAUCUUUAUUGAAAUGGGUUUAAAGAAGAUUAUACAAUGUGGACUAGUCAUGGAGAAGUUGAUAAUAGUUUUGUCAGAUCUCAAAACUAUGUAGCUGGUGGAAGUUGUGGGGUAGUGGAACCUAAUGUCCAAAAUUAUAGAGUGCACUACAUGAUUCGAGAUGCGUAUGGGAUGCAUUCUAAUUUUGAAUCUGGUGAUCAUGUUGAAGAAGCUCCCAAUGAUAAAUCUAAACAUUUAUUUGAAUAGUUGGAAGCUUUUAGUCGGCCUCUGUACGAGGGGAGUCCACACUCUCAAUUGUCUAUUAUUGUUAGGCUAUUAAGUAUCAAAUCAGACUGGAAUAUUCCUCAGGGGGCAAUGGACACUGUGAUUGACCUUAUGCAUGAAUUAGUUGACCUGAAUCUAGAGAUACCUGAUAAUUUCUACAAGGCAAAGAGGUUGGUGUCAAAGUUAGGAUUGUCGUCGAUGAGAAUCAAUUGUUAUGAAAACGGCUGCAUGUACUACAAGGAUGAAAUUGAUCUAGAAUCUUGUAAGAUUUAUCAAAGGGCUCGUUUUAAAAAAGCUCCCAACAUGAAGAAAGUUGUUGUGAAGGCAAUGCAUUACUUACCUUUUAUACCAAGGCUAAAAAGGUUAUAUGCAUCAAAUAGGUCAGCUCCUCACAUGAGAUGACAUCAUAAAAAUAGAAGACCGCCUGGUGUUAUGUGUCAUCCAUCUGAUAGAGAGGCCUGGAAGCAUUUUGAUAGAAAAUAUCCAGAGUUUUCAGCUGAACCACAGAACAUUAGGUUGGGUUUAUGUUCAGAUGGAUUCACUCCAUACUCUAUUUCUGUUGCACCAUAUUCUUGUUAACCUGUAUAUUUGACACCAUAUAAUCUUCCACCUGAGGUGUGCAUGACCAGUCCUUAUAUAUUUCUCAAUUGUAUUAUUCCUGGCCCACGUAAUUCAAAAAUCAUGAUGGAUGUAUACUUGCAACCUUUGAUUGAUGAGUUGAAUCAAUUGUGGAUUCAAGGGGUUGAAAUAUUUGAUGUGUCGCUUAGGCAAAAUUUUAAUUUGUGGGCUAUCUUAAUGUGGACUAUUAGUGAUUUUCCUGCUUAUGGAAUGUUGUCCGGGUAGAUGACAGCUGGAAAGUUAGCCUGUCCUUACUGUAUAGAAAAUACUAAAUCAUUCACUUUUAAAUAUGGCCGAAAAAAUUGUUGGUUUGAUUGUCACCGUCGGUUUUUUUCCAUGGAUCAUGAGUUUAGGAAUAUGAAAAAUGUAUUUAGAAAGAAUACGGUUGAUCGAGACUGUCCACCUCCAAUCUAUACGGGAGAACAAGUUUGGAAGAGGGUUCAACACGAUCCAAAGGUUACAAAAGAACAACCGUUCAAAUUUGAUGGGUAUGGUGUUGUACAUAAUUAGACAAAACAGAGUAUAUUUUGGGAAUUAUCAUAUUGAAAGGAUCAUCUUCUUCGACAUAAUCUUGAUCCCAUGCAUACUAAAAAAAAUUAAAUUGAUAAUUUAUUUAAUACAGUAAUGGAUGUCAAUGGUAAGAAUAAAGACAAUGUUAAAGCUAGAAUGGACUUACCAGAAUAUUGUAGGCGAAAAGAGUUAUGGAUGCAGGAGAAAUCAAAUAAAAAGUUCUUCAACCUAAGGCUAGCUAUUAAUUUACAAUGGAGCAAAAACAUAAGAUAUGUGAAUGGGUUGAGCAGUUCAAAAUGUCUGCUGGUCAUGCUUCAAAUUUGGGGAAGUGUGUUGAUAUGGAGCACAGAAAGUUAUUUGGCAUGAAAAGUCAUGAUUGUCAUGUUUUCAUGGAAACAUUACUCCCCAUAGUAUUUAGUAGCUUGCCUGAAAUAAUCAGGAAACCUAUGACUAAAAUUAGUUUGUUUUUCAAAGACUUGUGUUCCAACACAUUGAUGGAAGAGAACUUAGUUCGGAUGAAACGAAAUAUUCUUGGAAUUAUGAAUAAGCUAGAGAAGAUUCUUCCACCUGGAUUUUGGGAUGUGAUGGAACAUCUUCCUAUGCAUCUUGUGCAUGAAGCUCGUCUUGGAGGUCCGGUUAAUAUCGAUGGAUGUAUCCAUUUGAGAGGUAACUAUUGUAAAUCUUAUUAUAUUCCUCUCCAUUGAUGUUUUUUUUUUAAAAAUUCAUAAUAUAAUAUUAUAUAGGACUAUUGGCAAGAAUAAAUGGAGUAUCAAGAAACAACAUAGAAUUGAAGGCUCAAUGUGUAAAGCCUAUCUUGCUAAGGAAACGACCGAUUUCUGUUCGUAUUACUUUGGAAGUGAUGUUCCAUGUUCACGAAAUAGGCCUAAUCAUCACGACGAUAGUGGUGAGGUUGCUAGAGAGUCGUUAUCAAUUCAAUCAACCUGGCGGAGGUUCAAAAAAGCAUACAAAGAGGCAUCUUAGUUCAUUGGAGUCUAAAUCUGCAUCAAUACAUGUCUUGUUGAACUGCCCUCAAGUUAAACCAUUUCUUGAGUAAGUUGUUAUUAUUUUGCAUUACAUAUGCAAUUACAAGACAAAGUGACGGACUUAAUUUUCAUCCUCUUUGACAGCUACUUUGUGCAGUUGUAUGGCAAUGAUAAAGUGUUUGACUAUUUUUCAACACGGUUUAAAGAUUAUGUGAGUGUUGCAAUAUUUUCAUAAUGAUAUAAUUAUUAGAAAGUCUACAUUUGAUUAAUGCUAAUUUUCUACUCUCAACUAUCUUUAGGUUUAUGAUACAAGAAAUGGUCAAUUUGACCAAUUUUUGAAGGAUUUAUCUUGGGGACCUAUUAAGGCCUAUUCUAUGGAAAAGUAUACAGUGAAUGAUUUUAAAUUCAACACCGAAGAAUGCUCCAAAUAUAAAAAAAAACUAAUAAUAGUAGAGUUUGGGUAAAAGGUGAUGAUGGAGAUCAAAAUGGUGUUGAUUAUUAUGGGGUACUUGAGGAGAUUUUAGAAAUGGAGUAUUCUGGUUGUCCAGAAAAAAGAAUUGUAUUGUUCAGAUGAAAAUGGCUCAACCCACGAGGGAAAUCAAAUAAUAUAAUAUCAUAGGCACGCAAGAGAGUAUAGGGCAUACGAUCCUUUCAUCAUUGCAUAUAAUGCUAAGCAAGUGUAUUAUACUCCUUAUCCCUUGUGUCCAGAUAAAUUGAAUUGGUGGGCGGUAAUCAAAAUCAAGCCUGUGGGUCGAGUGAAAGUUGAAAAUGUAUUAGAUAUUUCAUACCAGGCUGAUGACAUAUCAUGUGUUCACCAACCAGUUGAUGUUGACUUAGAAGAUAAUUUAGAGCAUCCUGAACACAUAGUGGAAAAGGUUGAUAUAAUGAAGUAGAAUUGGCAGCAAAUAAAGAGGUGGAUGAAUCAAAUGAUGAAAAUGUAAUAGUAGAUGAGGAAAAUUGGUUAGAAGAGGAAAGAGGGCCAGAAGAGGAAGAAUAGUCACAAGAGAAAGAAUGGUCAGAAGAAGAAGGAGGGUCAGAAGAGGAGGAUGACGACGAGGAGGAAUGAUAAUUUGAAAUAACACAUCUGCAUUUUUUUGUUUCUUUGUUUGGUUUAGUUUAUUCUUUUUUCCCUAAUUUGAUCAAUGUAGUUUUUGUUAACUUUAUUUCUAUUUUUAACUAAGAAUUGUUGGUUUGAUUUAAUGUUAUUCUUAUUUAAAAGUUUUGUUUGGUGUCUUGAAGUGCUUGCUGCUUUAAUCUCUGAUUGGUAUGUUUCUCAAAAUAUAUUAGUGUCUCUAUGUCUAACUGCGCAUUGGUAGUUGUUCAGGUUUGUUAAUUUCUUUCAUUGAUGUUACAUGUGUUUAACCAUACGUAUGUCAUAGGUUUUGUUUUCCUCACAUACAGUUAUAUGAUCAAAAUAUGUACAUUUAUGGUGUCUCUAAACUAUAAUUUAAGAUAUUAUAUGAAAAUUUGUGUAGAUGGCAGGCGGAAAUAAGGAUAAGGGUACUGCUAAUGCUCUCAAAAAGAAAUUAAAGAAGGCUAGUAUGAUUAACAGGCGAUCGACAAGUAUACAUAUAAGAUUAGACACCACACCAUCUCAUCCAUCACGAGGUGCACCACUAGCAUAUACUCAACAACCCCCAUAUAUGCAUACGAUGAGGCCCACUUUAGGUCAUGCUACGUCACAUGCAUACAGUCAAUUUCCUCGCAUGAUGCAUCAACAAAUAUCUAGUUCCUCUCAUACAGUUACUCUUAACCCCGGUAACUUACAACCUUCAUCAGUAUCUACUCCACAGAUUGGGAUAUCAAGUCUUCCACUUCGAGGCAAUAUCUCUGAACCUGAAAAUCCUACCAUAAACCAUUCUAUUACGCAUGCCAGGUUCAUCCACAAGAUGGCAUGAGGGACAUGCGUAAUAGACUUAUCAUAGGCCUGAUGGCUAUGGGUAUGGUUUUUACAAAAUGUAUUUAGUUUAUGAAUAUCUCAUAAUUGUUUUAGCUUUAACCUAUAAAUAUUUAAAUUUUGAAAUACAGUUUUAAUCCAGAUUCAGCUGUAAGGAUCCUUUCUCAAAUCAUUCAAUAUCUUUAUAGAGGUGCUGUCACGAGUUGGGGAAAGAUGCCAGACAAUCUCAGGAACCAGAUUCUUUUGGAAUUUAGGGUAUAUUCAUUUCCAUGCUCUUCUUUUCCUUACUGAUUUAUCAAAAAAGUUCAUGUGAUAUAGUAGUCGCAUGAUGAGGUGAAUCAAAAUAUAAUAAAAGACAAUCAGAGAAACUAAGUGAAUACAAGUUUUACCAGCACAUACUUAUUGCUAGACCAUUUCUCUAUCAAAAUAAUCACUGCUCUUUAUUUUAAGUAGAAAUAUAAGAGAAAGUUUCUUCUUGAAUCAUUGUUUCCCAUCUUCCAGAAUGUGGUACUAAAUUUCCAGCUUUAAUCAUCUAAUAAUGUAUCAUUUAUAGUGAUCCAUGAUCUAUAUCACCUUCCCUCAACAAUUACCAGCUUAGGUUUUAUCCCCAUUAGGUAAUAGUAAUCAAUAUGUUGCUGUUUGUUGGAUGUUUUUUCCAAAUUGUUUCGAGUGCAGUUCAAUUGAUGUUCUUCAAAAUCUCCAUUCUUGUCAAAAAGUAGAUAGGGCAGGAGUUUAAUAGUAGCCAAAAAUUUGUCCAAAGGUAAAAGAUCAAAGUAUUGAUUAUAAACUAACAAACUAACAAAAGUGGUUCUUUAAGUUCUUGUAUUGAAGGUAUUUCUAUUAAGAUGAGAUAUAACAAAGAAUAUGCUAGGAAAGUUUUGUUUAGAUAAUACUUGGAAUACACUGGUGGAUAUACACUAGUGGAUAUACAUCUACAUCCUUGACCAUUUCCCCAAACCAAAAGGCAAUAUGAGUUCCACAUUAGUUGGAUCAAGAGUUGAUCAGGUUCUGAAUAUUAGGGACAAUAAAGACCUCUUUGAGUUGUCUAAUCUUUCUGGUAUUCUUUACUUCUUGAUCCUAAAUAGUAUUGAAUUUUGGGUUACACUUAAAGGAUACAUUGAUUCUUUUGUUACCAUAUUCUGGCAUUUAAUUCCCUUAAAGACUUUCUGUAUCUUUUAUGCCCCUUUUCCUUCCUGCAAUAAUACCCCUUUUGCUUGAUUCAGUAAUUUCUUUUGUCUCUUUCAACUGUUUAGACAGUUUGGUUUUAGUUGGGAGUACUCCAUGCAAAUAGUUCAAAAUAGAGAUUAUAUGUUUCACCACGUCAAAGACAAGUUCCUAAUAAACUUGGAGUAAUUUUGAACUCAAGACUACCAACUCGGACCUAAGUGUUCUUCUAUUGUUCUAAUCAAGUGGUUCAACUCGGACCUGGUGUGUUUCUUAAAUAAGGAGCAGCUUACCUUUUUAGUGGUAAUAUAUUAAGAAACUAUAAAUCAAUAUACAUAUUAAAGGUUGUGGAUUAUGGUUUUAUUCCUUCCUAUAUGGAUGAAUAAAUGUGAUGUGGCUUGAGUUCUUAAAGCACUUAAUUAUUAAUGUGUAACAGUUUUUUCCCUCCCAAAAAGUAAUGGUAUUAACUGGACGCAUUGUGUUUUGCGCAAUAUUUACGAAGUUGGGGUCAUCAUGUACAUAGAUCAAGGAUGAAAAAGCUUGAGUAUCCAUUGGUUCUCUAUAGGGAAGAUGAUAAAAAAAUAUAGAGACCUAUUGAUGCCAUGAUAUUACUCCUUUCCGUCUAAUGUACUUGGCAAUUUGACCACUAGAAAUCUGAUUAUGUGACAUUUAAUUCAAGCACGCUUGCUAAUUCAAACCUUUCCCCUGUAAUUCCUGUUGAUAGAAAUAAGUUAUCCUCAUAGUCAGAAUCUGCGGCUGUUGCUUCAGGGGAUGUUGUAAGGGAUUCCAAGCCUGCUGCGUCUAUCCUUAGAAGGGAGUCAGAAUUUCCAUUAACACUAAAGAUAAGACCUCGUAAUCAAUCAAUAUGGCGUAGACCAUCUGAUAGGUUUCCAAGAAUCAUUUCUUCCCCUACAGUUAAAAAAAGGGCUGAUCUUUCAGAACUUAAGAAGCAAGUUAAAAGGUUGGUUAAGGACUUGAAACGCACUUCCAUUGAUAUACAGAGAACUAUUACAGCUAAACUCUAGUUACUUUCCAAGAAUAAUAUGGAUAACCGUAUGGUGAUUGCAAAAUGUGGUGCUAUUAGCUUGUUGGUUAACCCACUUUAUUUAGAAGAUGUGAAAAUAUAGGAAGAUGAUGUUACUGCACUUCUCUACUUGUCCAUUAAUGACAAUAAAAAGUGUGUAAUUGCAAAUGCUGAUGCAAUUGAACUUCUGAUUCAUGUCGGUUUGGGAUUAUUUGUUAGCUUUGUUAAGUCUGAUAACUUAAAUCUCAUAUGUUUUGUUUUUCAUAAGUUUGAAUCAAUUUAUACUUGCUUUAUUUAAUUUGAGGGUCUAUUGGGAACAAUAUCUCUAUGUCACUGAGGUAGGGAUAAUUUGUUUCAGUUUAUUUUGUUAUUAUAAAGAAAGUGUUUCAUUAGUAAAUUAAUUUAUCUUAGUUUAUCUUGUCAUUAGAGAGAAAGUGUUUUUGGCGUCCAGAACAUGAAGCCCAGAUUAAAGCAAACUUUAAGUUAAAAUUUGGGUGCAUACUUAAUAGUUGGCUAUCAAAAGCUCAUGAAAAAAAAAUAAGAGGCCUAGGUGGAUUCUACCUGAAAAUUGGCAAAAGUUAGUUGACCAUUGGGAGACAGAUUCGAGGUUAACCAGAUGCGCGAGAUUGGCAAGAAAGCUAGAGCAUCUCUUAAGGGUGGUUCUUUACAUACGAGUGGAGCUCAGAUUUAGGGAAAUGUAAGGAGAAAACUGGUAGGUCAUUAAUGUGAUUUGGCAUUUUUUAUUGAAUUGUGACUGAUUAGUGAUACCUUAUCCUCGGACAACUGAUUAUUAUCCUGAUUAAGCUCAGAGUCUUGGUGAAUAUUCUAUGGUCUAUUGGUACAUGUAUAUUAUCCUGAUUAAGUUUGUGGAAAAAACACAUAUGAGGUCAAUGACAAGCAAUAAUAUCAGUUAGUUCUUUUGGUUAAUAGGUUUUGAAUUGCUUUUUUAGGAGAACUUUCUGUUAUAUAGUUGAAUAGAGUUAGAAUGUUGUAUCAUUAGAGCAUAUCUAUUUCCUGGCUUUAACCAUGAGUUCUAAAGUGGUUGAAGUUCUUCAAUGGUUACCAUAAAAGUGAAUAAACGUUCCUAAUACAACAGGAAUUCAAAUUUUCAUCAUGAUAGAUUAUAUUAGUAGCAUCUACAUAAUUCCUUUAAAUUGUAAAUAGACAAAGUUCAUAGUAAAAUGAAAUGUGAGUGAAAAUUAGAUUCUUCAAUUCUCUUACUUAUCAUUCUCUUAACCAAAUAACCAGCUCCAAACUCUUCUUGAGUUGUUGAACUUGGAGGAGUUUUUACGUGCCAAACUUCAGCACUAGUAGUAUUUUCAAGUAUAUUUAACUGUUAUGGCUUAUUAAUUAAGUAGUUCUCUCUUUUUUGUUUUCUUACUUGUGGCUUUAUGAUCUUGGUUUCCUUGGGGGCCGGAGUUAGGAUAUGUACAGCCAACGAAGACGAGGUCUCUCUGUGUUAAUUUAAUUUAGUUGCAUAUAUAAGUUAUUCACGAAGAAUGCUUUGGAGAAACCAAUUGUCUUAAUAAGAGCUCAUCUUCUUCUUCGAGUUUGAUAUAGAUUCACUCCAUCUUUACAUCUUUCGUUCUAUACUGAUGCAAUGUAGGUAACGGCUUACACCCAUAAUAUUUUUAAUUUGUGUUUGUGCAAUGCAAUUGUACUCUUCUGAGUGUUUCAUUUCUAUUUUUCUCCGAGUUAUAUUAGUAUGAGCUUGAGCCAGAAAUUAAAAAUGGAAAUGCAUAGGCCGUUGCUACAGUACUUUCGUCAGUAAGACACUGAAAUUUUAGUGUAUGAUUUGGUGAUUAUAUUCGAAUGUGUCAUGUGGAAAUGUACAGCUUCUUCUCGUGAGAAUGGGACUUAGACCGGUGACGUCUGAAGAGGAGGAGGAGUACUGGAAUAUUUGCUGGAAGCAUUGAAUUUGAAGGACUGAGCUGACCGUAGGCAGUGAUAGGUUACAGUACAGAAAAACACAGCAGUAGGCCUUGCAAUGUAAGUUAUGGACACGUUCUGAAUUAAGGGAAGUUAUGUAUUUAUAUACUUUUAAGGGGUUGUUUGGUCGGAAAAUAAUUUAUUUCAGAAUUAGUUAUUCCAUCCUUAAGAAAGGAUAAAAAUAGCACUACAAUUUCGGGACAAAUUAUUCCAUGAAUUUUAUCUCAAUCAAACAUAGAAUAAGUUAAACCUUAAAAUUAAUUCUGAUAUAAUUUGUGAACAAUUCCUUCCCAGUCUAGUUGGUUCAACCCUUUCUUAUGAAUCACCAAUUCUUCAUAUAGUAUUUCAAUGAGGAACUCUUUCCAUUGCUUAUUCGCCUUGCGGUGUGGACUGGACAUCCUUCUAUGUAUCUAAUAGGUAGUUAUCUCAAACCUUCUAUUGUGUCAAUGCCUUAAUUUUAGGAUUUUAGGCAUAAGAUCAAUGUUAUGUGAAAUCUCCCAUGCUGUUGUUGACCGUUAUUAACAUGACACAACAUCGGCGUACCAGUGGAAUUGAUAUCGCUAUCCAGUUUCCAAUAUGGAGUAACUUAUAUUUUUCAUUUCUGUAAUAGAAUUGGUUUUUCUUUCCACUUCCAAUGUCUGGUAUAAUGUGCUAGGUUUGGUCUAUUAGGCUCCUUUUUCCAUUAAACUUACCUACUGCUUCUUAUUGGAAUUCUUCUGUUUGUUUUUGUUUGUGUUAUUGUCUGAUGUACUAUUGUCGGACAAACUAAAUAACAUAAUAGAUAAAUCCUUAUAAAAUAUCGAUACUUAACUAAACAAAUAAUAUUUAUUUUGACUUUAUCUUAGCCUAUGUUUGUACUCUGAUUCAUGGGCUUAUGUAUCCAAUCUAGCAAUCUGAAAUGCUUUCUAUCAUAAUGAAAAUUGGAAAGAGGUUAAGCAUUUUCCGAUCCUGCAUUUAAUUGUUUCUUACGAAUGGGGUCUGCAUUUUCUUUCUUGUAUUUACAAUUAUUUAGGUAAAAGUGUUGUGCUGUCUGAUCUCGUAACAUCUUUAUUGCGGCAAUAUGCCAAAAAGAAGUCUGAGAAAUCACUGCUGGCUGUGCUAGAGGGGAAGUUUUGUGAUUGAUGCAGCCACACAAAUUCUUUACCCAUUGGAACUUUCUUCAAAAUGCUAAACCUUGUUUCUGAACCUGCAAUAUGUACCAAAAUUUGAGUACUUAUGUCUUUAUCAUUAAAUUAAUUUAAUUUCAGGAAAAGGAAUUUGGGAGGCCAAUAACUCAAGCUGAGGCAUUCAAGGCUACACACACAAAGAAGAAGAAAACUCCUGAAGAUCCUGAUGUAUGGGUUGAGCCACGAGCUCAGCUGACCUAUGUAAGCCUCUAUUUCUAGUAUUUAUUACUUUAUUUUCUAAAUUUAUAUUCUAAUAUAAUUAUCAUUAAAUUCAGAAUCGAUAUCUACAAUACAUAGAGGAUUUUCGCCAAACUCUACCAGAAGAUAAGUGAGACCUACCACUUAGCCAAGAGCAGAAUGAGAGAAUAUGGUUAGAUGCAGUUAGUGGCCCGAGUAGAUAUGGAUAUGCUUAUGGAUUGCCCCAACGAACAUUCUGUGAAUUUCAUUCGGAACUAGAAGGCCUUGGUAGUUUCCAGGAUGAUGAGUCAAGGGAGACGAUUUUAGAUUUGAAGAGCAAAUAACUAAGCUAUCUAGCGAAGCUAAGGCCUCGCAGGCUAGGGAAAGGCAAAGAGAUAUACAUUAUGCAGGAAUGAAGGCCCAAUUCGAUGCGUUACUCGCUUCUCCCCCUUGCCCCGUUGAUGUAGUGUGCCCUCCUCGACCCCCAUAGUCUCUACCUAUUUCACAUGGAGUAUAUGGUCAAUACAGAGAUGUGACUGAGGAGCCCAGUAGUGAUGAAGAUGAUUACUAUGUGGACUAUGCACCGCCGCGUUGUUAAAGUUGAAUGUUGUCUAGAUAAUCUAAACUAUAUAUUUUAUGGUGGUUUAUUUGAAUUCUUAGGUGAUUUUGAAUGCAUUAAAACUUUAAAGUAGAAGUAUGAACAAUAGUAUUGUUAACUUAUGACUUUUAUGUUUUGUUGUUUCAAUUUCAAGGUAUUUAUAUUUUAUUUUCAUUUUGUGGUUAUUAGAUUAUAUUUACUUGUGUUUGUUGUAGUUUGAUUGAUUGGUGGGAGUUCUUGGAGCUUGAUUUAAUUGAUUAUAUUAUAUUAUUGAAUUAAAAUGGUAGGUAUUUGUAAAAGCUAUUUUUUAGCAAAAAGAGACCUCAUGAGGUUGCUAUUUCACAUUUUUUUUUUUCACAAAUGCACAAAAGCGACUUAAUGAAGUCUCUUUUUCAUGAUUUCAUUUUCUACAUGCUCAAAUAAGAGACUGCAAGAGGUCGCUUAUGUUUUAAAUAAAUUAUUUAGAAUAAAAAAUUAGGAAAUAAUAGUCACUCCAUGAGGUGUCUUUUAAUUAAAAAAUAAAAAUAAAAAAAAUCAAAUAGAGACCUCAUGAGGUCUCUUUUUAAUAAAAUAAUAAUAAUUAUAAAAAAUAAUUUAGAGAUCUCGCGAGGUCUCUUUUUGUAAAAAUCAAGAAAUAACCUAGUGACCUCAUGAGGUUGCUUUUAAGCGACCUCAUGAGGUCUCUUUUUAAUAAAAUAAUAAUAAUUAUAAAAAAUAAUUUAGAGAUCUCGCGAGGUCUCUUUUUGUAAAAAUCAAGAAAUAACCUAGUGACCUCAUGAGGUUGCUUUUAAGCGACCUCAUGAGGUCUCUUUUUUAAGUCUCUUUUUACAGCUUUUUUAGUAGUGAUUAGUAUCUCUUGGUAAGGUGCUAACACCCUUCCAGCUGGGGUCACAGGUUGGGCCCCAACUCAGUUCAUAAUUGGGGUAUGUCGGUUAGAGAACACUCCCACGGUUGCAGUUUCAGACCUAGAAUAAAACCUCAGUUCAGUAUCAAAAUCAGGACUGUCAGAUAUAGUUACCCAACUCAGUUUAGAACUCAGUUCAGUUCUACAGAAUCAGUACUGUCAGAAACAGUGAGUCAGUAAACUCAUAUAUUAGUCAUUCAGUUUUCAAAACUUAUUAUCCAGUAUUAAAUGUGAUCUCAGUUACAGUAUACAUAGUUAUGUGCAUAGCAUUGCAUAAUCAGCAUUUUACAGCAGUUUUAGAUAUACAUAUACUCGCACUCAGUUAUAUACAUGAUUUCUCAGCCAGUUACUGUUUAUGUAUAUGAACCCCUGCAUUUAUCCUUACCUCACCUAGCAUACCAGUACAUUCAAAGUACUGACGCCUACCUUUCUUUUAUGCUAUGAUGUCUUAUAUCAUAGGUUCAGACGCACGGGCUCCUGACCGUACCUAGAUGCCUAGAUUAUCAGCAUCAUAUUUAGUGGUGAGUCCUCAUAGUUUGAGGACAGAGUAUUAUUUCAGUUAUCAGCACUUCAGUAGUCGGAGUUAGUUGGGGGCUUGUCCCAUUAACUCUAUAUUCAGACAGUUCAGUUAGAGGCUCUUCGGACUAGAUUAUUUCAGAUAGUUAUAUAGUUUUCAGUAUUUAUUUAUUAGUAUUCAGUGUUUGGUUUUAGUUACGAACCUUAUGGAAGAUUUAGCCUAAUUUUUAUAUUAUUAUAGAGUUAUUAAUAUUCAGUGAUUGCAGUAGGUACCAGUCAUGGGUUAGCUUGUGAUCUCUCAGGAUUAUGAGCACUGUGUGACGUCCGGGGUGCAGACUCGUGGCGUUACAUAUAGCUGGAGUCUUUAGGAACUGUAAUGGAGCUUGGCUUCUAGGUUUUAUUAAUCAGGUCCCUACGUUAGACCCUUUGGAGACUGAACUUCAUGCUCUCCUUUUAGUCCUAACGGUAGCUUUGGAGCACCGUUUUGGUGUGAUAGAAAUAAAUCUGGAUUGUCUGCAAUUAGUUAAUCUCCUGUAAGAAACAUCAAAUGUUAACUCAUCUUUAAUAUCUGAUUGUAGGUCCCUACUUCUGGCUCUGGGUAAACCAUAGGUAAAGCAUGUUUACAGAGAGGGAAAUACGUUGGCGGACGCGUUAGCAAGAAUGAAUGUACAUACUACUACUACUGUUGGACCUCUGCUGCUUUGGGAUCCUCCUGCAUCCAUAAAGGAUAUUUUGCAAACUGAUAUAACUGGAGGACCAAUUACUAGAAGGAGUAGGAAUAUAAUAAAUGCAGGGUCUUUGUAUAAUAUUAAGUUGAGGAAUGCUACUACAUUUGUUGACGCUUGUAUAGUGGCACUGCCACAAACUACCUCUCUGUAAACUUGGUUUGUUUAUAUAAUAAUAUCGUGUUUGAUAAAAAAAAAGACAUGUUGUGAUAAUUCAAUUUUAUUUAUUUAUAUAAUUUUUUCUUAAGAAAAACGAAGUUUGAAUCAACUAUAAUAAAGGAACAUUGUCUCUUCUUAAAAUUAAUCUUUUGUAGCUUCAAUCUAAAAAAAUGAUUAAAAAUGAAAUUUGUGAUUUAACUAAUCUAUAAUCUAUAUCUAUAUUUCUAAUCUAUCUAUAUCUAUAUCUAUAAUCCAUAUCUGUCAUAUAUUAAAAGUGUGAAGACCCGUAGAAAAGUGAUUUGAACUUUUUACCCUUCAUUAAAAAUCUCCUUAAUAGACAAAAUUGUCUUUUCACUAUUUUUUUAAAUUAUUAUUUAGUUUUAUUAGGUUAACUAAUUUAAUUUAUGAGUCCUUUUAAAUAUAGGAUAUAUUAGGAAUAAAAUUAAUUUAGGUAUAAAAUUCAUGUAAUUUUCUUCAAUUUAGAUAAAUUAAUUUUCCUUACCUGUUUUAACAAGGCAUUAGUUAGUUAGAUUUUUUUUAGGGAGUUGGGGGUCUUUUACUUAUUUUAUUAUUUUCUUACCUAUUUUAGCAUGAGUUUAAGUUCUGUGCACUCUCAGUGCACAAAACUUAAAUUCUUUUAGCAUUGUAGUUAGUUUUUUUUGGUUGGGGUCUUUGCUUUAUUAAUUUCUUUCGUAUUCUAGCAUUAGUUAGUUAGAUUUUAUUUUUAUUUUUUAAAAAAAUUAAGGUAUUUUACUUAUUUUACUUUUUCUUUCCUAUUUAAUAUGAUUACGAUUUUUUAUUGUUGCAACCGACUCUCAAUUCUGAUAUUCAAAUUUGUGAUGGAUUCUAUGAUACAAUUUAUAUAUGUACCUUACAUUGCCUAUGUUUUGUUUAUAUUUAUUUUUGGUUCCUAAUGUAUGUAUUUUGAAUACAAUUUUAUAAUUUGAUUGUGUUGUAAGCAUUAUGUUUAAUCAUAUUUUCUGAUAGCGCGAUCAUAUUAUAAUUUCUGUUAUGUCACUAUCUAGUGUUUUCUGUUUAAUACAAGUGGUAGAUAGAAUAUUUGAUUGACUUUGACGAAAUUUUUAUGUAAACAUAAAGUUUGAUCGUUUGAAUCUUAAAAUUUAAAAAGUACCCCAUAAAUUGGACGAAGAGAGUAUAUUUUUACUUUAUUUUUUUUUCAUAUACUAUAUGUAGAAUCAGAUUUUUAUACCAAGCAUUCGUUCAAAUUAGUCUAUUACUAUUAUGUCUAUCGAUUUUUUUUUACAACAGUUUAAUGUAUAUUGUGUGUAUUAGAAUUUUAGAAAUUAGCAUGGUAGUAUAAUUUUACUUGAAAAUUAUUGCAAGUUAGUGGAUCCCUACACAACAAUAAUGGCAAAAAAAUUGACUAUAUGUUAGUGCAUAUUCUUAACAAAUUCAACAAAUUGAUGGGAUGGUUAGACAGAUAACUUGUGGAUCAUAAAGGAGGAAUGUCGGGGGUAGUCUUCUAUUUUGUGUCUAUUGUAGGUUCAGCUAACACUCUACCUUUAUAUAUUAUUGAUGAAUUCAACAAUUCGACAUUUCUUAUUUGAAUUGAGUUAAAAUGUUAUAUGAACUUGACCAAGUUGUAGUUCCGCACCUUUCUUUCUUACUUGUGCAAAUUUUUGUACAUUCAAAAAUAAUUCCUUCCACGUUUGUUUAAGAAUAUAUUUUUGUUGUAAUUUUUUUCUUUCAUUGUUUUAAAAGUAUCUAUAUCUAUAAUCUAUAAUCUAUAAUCUAUAUCUAUAAUAUAUUAAAAGUUUGAAGGGUCUUAGAAAUAUUGUUUGAACUUUUUGCCCUUCACUAAAAGUCUCUACUUUAGAUAAAAUUGUCUUUUUAUAUUUUUAUAAUUAUUUUUAUGAUACUAAAUAUUUAUCUUGACUAAAAUAAAUAGACAAAUUAAAAUUUCAAUGGAGAAGAUUUUCUUUAAAUCCCUAAAUUAUGUCCAAAAAAAUAGGCCAAAAAAUGUCAAAAAAAGGUAAGAAAAUAUUAUUUUAAAAGAGAAAAUAUAUUAAGACUUCUAAAAUAUAUAAUUCCUAAAACAAAUAGGAAGAAAUUAAAGAUCCUAAAAAAUAGGAUCUUUAAUUUCUAUUUCAAUAUUUUAACAAUUAAAUCUCGCCCAAAAAAUAGGUAACAAAUCUUUUCCCAACUGAAUUUGACCCAAAAAAAUAGGCCCAAAAAAUGCCAAAAAAAAGGUAAGAAAAUAUUAUUCUAAAAGUGAAAAUAUAUUAAGACUUCGAAAAUAUAUGAUUCCUAAAACAAAUAGGAAGAAAUUUAAACUGCUAAAAAAUAGGCAACAAAUAUUUUAACAACUAAAUCUAGCCCAAAAAAAUAGGCAAAAAUCCUUCUAGCCAAACGUCCACAAAUAAAAAUUGGUCAAAAAAUAUUAUAUUUUUGUCCAUCAUUAAAAUUCUCUACUUUAGACAGAAUCAGCUUUUACCUUUUUAUAAUUAUUUCUAUGACGAUAAAUAUUUAUCUUGACUAAAAUAAAUAGAAAAAUUAAAAUUUAAAUGGAGAAGGUUUUCCUUAAAUCCCUAAAUUAUGUCCAAAAAAAAUAGGUAACAAACCUUUUCCCAAUUAAAUUUGACCCAAAAAAUAGGGGGAAAAAAAAGGUCAAAAAAUGGUAAGAAAAUAUUAUGUUAAAAGUAAAAAUAUAUUAAGACUCCUAAAAUAUAUGGUUCCUAAAACAAAUUGAAAGAAAUUAAAGCUCCUAUAAAAUAGGCAACAAGUAUUUUUUAGAAUCAAAUUUGGCCCAAAAAAUUUGCAAAAACCCUCCUAGGCAAACGUCCACAAACAGAAAAUGGUCAAAAAAAUUUUGUAUUAUAAUUUUAUAAAAUAAAUAGCAAGAAGUUAAGAGUUCUAAAAUAUAUGAAAAUAAAUACAUUAUUAAAUUUUACGGUGAUUUUUCUUUCUUGGAUCAACUUCACAUGAUUUUGAAGUGCCAACUCAAACAAACUACUAAUUCAUAAGGACAUUGAACCACACAUCUUAUAACUAUAUGAAGGAGUUUUGUUGCUUCAUUGGAUUCUUCGAUAAUCAAAUUUAGCGCUCUAUCGCGACAUACAUGAAAUUUUAAUUUUUUAGAGGUAAUUCUUUUUAUGUUGUGUGCCUUAAGACACGAUUUAAAUUUCAAUACAUCUUGAUCUUGAAGAACUUACUCUAGAUUUUUCUUUAUUUUGUGUUAGAUGAAUGUUAUUAUGUGGUAUAUGGUCAUCUCGUGAAAAGCUAAUAAGUAUAAGAGCUAUACAUAUGAUUUAUGCAUUACGUUUGGCUAUAGUAGCUGGAAGUAGAUAUUUUGUUAUCUAUUAUGAUGUUGAAAAGUAAUAUAGUUUAAUAUUAUAAAGAUCCACAUGUGAGAGUAUGACAUCCACCAACUUCUAAUAUCUUAAAAUGAUAAAAGUUAUAUAAUUUAUUUUUUGUAUGGUGAAGAUAUUAGAGAAAGUUGAAGGAAAGGUGUCAUUUAAGUCUUGAAUGAAGGAUUGGUGACAUUGACCAACUUAAAGGGUCAAACAUAAUUAGGAAACUUGAUUAAGUUAAUUGUGGACUUGAUAAAUAUUUUUAAAACUUUCUAAUCUUUUCAAAAAAUAUAAAUCAACUCACACCCCUCUCCUCUCCAAAUGAACUGUCUCUCUCCUAUCUCUCUCCCAACCAACAGUUUUGCAAAAUUUCUCCAUUCAAUCCCCGGUGACUUCAACCUCCUGCGAAAAAUAGUUGGGCGAGUUCCUUUUCAACUUUCAAUCGUCAAUCAACGUGACAGUAGUGUUCUCCGGUGACAACAACUUUGAGUUCUUCGUCAUCCCAUUUCUUCUUUCACAUGUAAAAAAUUAUAUUUAUUUAGUUAUGAAGAAAAAUAGGAACUUGAGCAAACUUCUCUUCUAGUAUUGGAUAACAAUUUUAAUAUUUCUUGCUUAAAUUUGAAAUGUGGACUGAACCCUAAUUUCUGGGAUUUCUUCUCUACUCUUUUCGGUGUGAAAUAUAAUUUUUUGUUAUUAUUGUAGUUCUUGUUGUCGAACUAUUGAUUCAAUUUGUUACUGUCUGUUGAGUUUUUUGAAGUUUAAUUUUAGCUAUUUGUGUUUGUACAAACGCAAAACAAUAAUGUUGGUGAUUUUUUGUCACCGUUGAUGUUCUUAGUGUGUGUGUUCUGUUGGUGUUACUGGGUUAAUUUGUUAUUUUUCUUGGUAAAUAUAGUGUAUUUGAUAUUAAAUGGUGAUUGUUCUAUUGUUUUAUUAAAUAAAAUCCUGGUACUAUUUUUUUCUGCAACAGAUGAACCAUCUGAUGCAACAUAUGAAAAUCUAAUAUAACAAAUGAAAAUCUGAUGCAACAAUGAAAAUUUGAUUCAACAGAUUAACAAUCUAACAGAUCAUUCAACUGUUGCGACAGACGAAUCUUCUGUUUAGAAGAAACCUAAACAAUAUUGACAGUUGAUAACAUUCCAACAAAUAACUUAUUUGGCAACAGAUGAGUUAUCUGUUUCAACAUAUGAGUGAUCUAUUUUUAUUAUUUCCAAUGGAUUUUUUAUCCGUUGUAAUAGGUUGGUUAUAUGUUGCAACAGAUAACCUACCUGGUGCAACAGAAGAGUGAUCUAUUUUAAUGGAUGAGUGAUCUUUUUUAUUAUUUCUAACGGAUUACUUAUUUAUUGCAAUAGGUUGGUUAUAUGUUGCAACCGGUAACAUACCUGGUGCAACAGACCAGUCAUCUGUUUCAAUAGAUGAGUAAUUUGUUCUUAUUAUUACAAUAAAUUACUCAUCCAUUGCAACAGAACAGUUAUAUAUUGCAACAGAUUACCUACCUAGUGCAAUAGAUGUGUGAUCUGUUGGAACUUUUAUUUUACUAUUGUCCAUGUCAGGUAUACUGUUAUCCCUUUUUAGCGAUGAAUUAAUCAAGUAGAAUCUAUUUUAUGUUCCUAUUAUUUUUAGAUUAUAUAGCUCCUGAAAGAAAAGAAACUGAAUUAAGUCCAAGUAAAGGAACAAGUAAAGAAACUAGGCUACAUCCAUUACUCUAUGAGCUUACUUUACAAGCGUUAUCUCAAUCAGAAGCAGAAGAUAAUGAACAUAGGGAGAAGGAAUGUUUUAAAAAAGAUGAUCCAAAUGCUAAUAGCCCUUCCACCGAAUAGUUGGUCAAAACCUUCAGCAUUGAUAGUUAUCCUAUGAGAAUGCAGUGUGAUGGUUCCACAGAUUUAACUGGCGAUUUUGUGGUUAAGACAUCCAUGGGAAAAUCUUUUAAUUCCUUCAGAAAAAUACUUCGAGAACAGAAUUUGGAAGCUUAUUUCAGGGACAAUUGCUUUGGGCAAUAUCUUUGUAAUACCCCAUAUUUUCCUAACUUAAUUUAACUGUUAGUAUAUGAGUGAUCCCAUAUAAAAUUUUUGAAAUACUCAGUAUCUUUCAGUUUAGAGUCUGCCAUUGCGUAGGAAAUUAAAUUAGCUUUCCAACGAUAUGAAAUUUGCCUAAAUCAUAUAACUGAGUAAAAAGUUAUGGCUAUUUUAAGUUUCAGUCGUUAAACAUCGUCAUUCAGGCCAGUAGCGUGUUGCGGAGUAUGUCAAAAUGGAAAUUGUCAGUUUUUAGUGAGGUACCGCAAUACCGGUGCAUCGCGCCACAACUUAUUUUCACAAUUGUCAAUUUCCAGUAAAGAAACACGAUUGUACCGCAUCGCGCCAAGCUUUUAGAUCCCAUCCAGUAUUGUAACGCGAUUCCACCGCGUUGCGCCACCAGCCACAUUCCCAGUUGCCAUUUAUCAGUAUCUUGGCAUGAUAGUGGUGCGUCGCGCCAGGGGGUAAUUGUAGAAAUUUUUGACGAAAAUCCAAAAUUUUAUCCAGGGUUAAAUUAGUCUUUUUCCAUAAUUUUAUUACGUCCAUAUAUGGGAUUAAAGUCCUAAAAAUGUUUUAAGUCAUUCAUUAUUCAAUUUUCCCCAAAAUCAAGAGCUUUCUCUCUACAAUACAAAAUCCUAACUUUAAGAAACCAAGAGCAAUCUCAAGAAUCUCACCAAGAACCUUCAAGGAUUAAUCCUCUCAGGUAUGUUAGGUGUUCAUCUAUGAGUUCCUUUCAUCCAUAGAGUCCAAGAAUCUCUUUUUAAACACACAAGAUCUAAGAUUUAUGAUUUCCAUGUUUGAAUUAGAUUGAAUACAUGUUCAUGAUAUUAGUUGGGUUUUAAUCCAUGAUUUAAGAGCAUGUUUCAUGAAAUUGAAUCACAUGUAUUAUGAAUAUGUGAUUAUCUUGAUAAACCCUUGAAUUUACAAAGUGAUUAAUAUGUCUAUGAUGUUAAUUGGAUUUUUAAUCCUUGAUUAUUAUAAGAUUCAUGAAAUUAGAUUAGUAUUUUAUGGGGAAUUAUAUGAAUUGCAUGGUCAACCCAUGAAAUUGUAUGUUUCGGCAUUGUAGUUGCCAUGAUUAUAUGUUAACCAUGAUUUUAUACAUGAAGUUGUGCCCCCCAAGGGUUUGAUAGAAUGUUCAUGUGAAUAAAUUGAUGAAAUCAUGACAUGUUAGUAUAUGUACAAGCUUAUGCCCUACAAGUGUUUGAUAAAAUGUCUCUAUAGAAGAAACAUGAACAUGUGUACAUUGUUAUGCUUUGCAAGAUCAUGUGAUGCUUUACUUUUCAAGCUAUUGAGUCCUGGGGGUAUGUAAUAUCCAAUAAUUUAGCUAUGUAGCUAGAGCCAGUGCCAGUUACAGAGUAAUAUCAGUUAUGUCCCAAUUAGUAGAAUCCAGUCAGUUACAUAACUCAGGAAAAGUUAGUAAACUCAGUAUCAGUCUAGUCCAGUUUAGUAUACUCAGUUCAGUGUCUUUUAGUUGGGAGUAAGAUUCAGCACCGAGCGAACCCAGGGAUGGGGGCAUUUCUGUUAGUAUAGGGUUUGACCCUUAGUAACAAACCCUGAGUUACAGAACUACGUAGCCAGCAUUAGUUGGGAUGACUUUCUGCCAGAUAAGGGUUAAUACAUCUUUUAUGAAUUUUCCUGCCAGUUAAGGGUUGACAAAAAUGUCUUUCUGCCAGUUAGGGUUAAGUUACAGCCAUUGUUUGUACCCGUGGCACGGUACUGACACCCUUCCAAUUGGGCUUACAAAUUGGACCCCAACUCAGUUAUCUUAUCUUCUCUUGGGUAUGUCGGUUAGAUGAUUACCUCCCAUAAUUUUAGUUUCAAUUUUCAGUUUAGAACUCAGUUCAGUUUUACAAAAUCAGGACUGUCAGACGUAGUCAAUCAUUACCAGUAAAUCAGUUAUAAGUUACUUUAGAUAUCAGUUACUCAGUUAUCAAAACUCAGCACUCAGCUUCAAAAAAUCUUAGUUACAGUCUAUACGUAUAUGUACAACAUUGUAUACUCAGUGAUUUUUGUAGUAUCAGUUAUCCAUGUACUCUUGUAUUCAGUUACUCUAUAUCAUUCAGUCAGUUACUGUUCAUACAUAUAAACCCUUGCAUUCAACCUUACCUCAUAUAGCAUACCAGUAUAUUCUAUGUACUGACUCUAUACUUUUUUUUUGCACUAUGAUAUCUCAUAUAAUAGGUUCAGAUGUGCAGGUUCCCGACUGUGCUUAGACAGAUCCAGUCAGCAGUCGUAGAUUUAGUAGUGAGUCCUUGUCUAUCGAGGAUAUAAUUUUAUUUUAGUAUUUUAGUUUAUCAGUAGUUCAGUAGUUUGGAAUUAGUUAGGGAUUAUCCCAUUAACUCCACUUUCAGACAGUUCAUCUAGAGGCUUUCAGACUAGACCAGUUCAGACAUUAUUUACUUGCAGAUAUUUUUAAUAGAUGUUAUAUUUAUCAGUAUUUUAGAUGUUUUGAACCUUAUGGAAUUUCAUUCUAUUUUCAGGAUUUAUUAUAGUAUAUUUAUUCAGCGCUCACAACAAAUAUUAGUCAUAGGUUAGCUUGUGGUCCUUCGAGGUCGUAAGCACCGUGUAGCAUCCGGGGUACAGACUCGGGGUGUUACAAACUUGGUAUUAGAGCCUAAGAUUCAACAGUGUCCUAGGAAGUCUGAAAGACGCAUCAAGUAAAGUCUUGUGCAUGGAUGUGUAGAGCUCCACAUUCAUGGACAGGAGGCUAUGAGAUGUUUUAGGAAAAGUUUCCCUUCUUUCAGUAUUUAUGUCAUGCAAUUGAGCAUGAGCUCCAAUUAAACUCUCAGCCUAAUUUAUUUCUUCCUUUUGUUUACAGAACAUGCCUCCCAAAAAGACUAACAAAAGAAGAACCGAGAAUCAGUUAACACCUCAGCCCGUUCAGGCAGGUCCCCUAGAAGAACAUGUCUCUUAUGUAGAGUUCAGAGCUACAUUCACUAUUCUAGCCAAUUCUAUAGCAUCUCAGAAUGAAUGGCUAGCUGAUGUUCAAGACAACUUAGUGGCCAAUACUGUUGCAGCUAUAAUUCAAUCUUUACCCGAAUGAAUCCUCCCCAAUUCUCAGGAUCUAAGUCAGAAGAGGAUCCACAAGAAUUUCUUGAUCAAGUUCAUAAAGUCACAGAUAUCAUGGGAGUGAAUUCCUGUGAAAGUGCUGAGGUAGCUGCCUAUCAGCUACAAGAUAUAGCUCAUACGUGGUUUAAGCAGUAGAAGGUAGACAGAGGUAUAGAUGCAGAGCCCAUAGAGUGGAAAGAGUUUGCUACUGCUUUUCUAGAUAGAUUCUUUCCCUUAGAGCUUAGAGAAUCCAAGGUGCUAGACUUCAUAAAUAUCAAGCAGGGCAGUAUGAGUGUGAAAGAGUAUUCCCUCAAGUUUACUCAGUUAGCUAGGUAUGCUCCCCAUCUAGUAGUAGAUAAUAGGUCCAGAAUGAGCAAGUUUGUAUCCAGGGUAUCUGAUAGCGUGGUUAAGAAGUGUAGGAUUGGGAUGUUAAUUAAGAAGAUGGACAUAUCUAGGCUUAUGGUCUAUGCUCAAUAGAUUGAGGAGAAGAAGCUUAAGAAGAAGGAGAGAAAGAAUAAGAGAGCCAGAAUGGGUAGCUUUAGUUUUGCUCAGGCUAAGUCAGAAGGCAGUAACCGUUCCUAAUUUUAUCCAAAGUCUUUAGUUCCAUCUCCAUCUUCAGUUUGUGCGCCAGUACCAAAGUUCAGGAAUGACCAUUGGGAUGGGGUGCUAGACUGCAAAACCCAGGGUAGUGUGAGCAAUGGUCGUACCCAUCCACUUUGUAUAGAAUGUGGUAGAAAUAACCUAGGUAUAUGUAAAGCCAGUAGUGAUGUGUAUUUUAGAUGUGGCGAGUUAGGUCACAAAUUUUGAGAAUAUCCUAAGGCUGAUCCACGAAGUCAGCACAGUCAUCCUCCAGUUCUAUUCGGUCAACCGACUCAGCAGGGCACUACUUUCAGUACCACUGGUGAUCAAUGCCAGAAUAGGUUUUAUGCACUCCAGUCUUGCCAUGAUUAGGGAAGUUCUCCUAAUAUAGUUACAGUUACGUUAUGAGUCUUUUAUCCUUAUGUUUAGGCAUUGUUAGAUCUCGAGGCUUUCCUUUCUUUAUAACCCCUAUAUAACCAUCAACUUUGGUGUCAGGCCUAAAAUAAUAGCAGAGCCCUUCUCAAUGUCUAUCCCAGACUCUAGAGUAAAGUGGUGACAGUUCAGUUUAGAGUUAUUGAUUAAGUUGUUCACAACUUUAGAAUAAUGGCUUUAAGCUAAGGGGAGAUGGUAGAACGAGUAACCAAGUUAGGCUUUCAGAUUUUAGUAGUAAUGUCAGUAAUGUUAGUACUCAUUCCUUACAUGUCAGCUCUAUGAUCAUAGCUCAUAUUCGUGAAUAUUAGCGACAAUCAUGUACUCUUCCAGUUCCUAGUAUAAGGAGUUUCAGCUUACUCACUUUUAUGAAUCAUGUUCCAUGUAUACAGAAACUCCAACUCAGGUCAUGCAUAUCAUGACUCAGGUAAUACCUCACAGUAUUCUCAGUUCCCAUGACUCAUGCUACGCUUCUAAUAUUCAGUUAAAUUCGGACUAUGUCAUGUAUAUCUUCAGUUUAGACCUCUUAAUAAAUCUGUGAUGUAAAUAUUCUAUUCCUCAGACCACAGUAGGUAGGGUUAUCAGUGCCCAUAUUACAAAAUUUGUUUAUUCAUAUUGUAGUUUCUUAUUCAGAUGUCUUAUUUAGACCAUGCUAAGAUUCCUUGCCCCCUAAAGUCAUUAGAACCUUAUAGGAAGAGUGUCAAAGAAAUGCUCCAGUUAAGUAUACAUUUUCAGUAUGAGUUAGUCCGUAAAGCCAGCAAUCCAGUUUAGCAGUCAGCCGGACAAAUUCUGAUGGUUUACCAUCUCUUCUUAUAGUCGUCCUAUCCCAAAAUGGAAUAUCCUGGUAGUUGUAAAUUUAGCUCAGUUCAUAUAUCAUGACUCAGUUUUAGAUCUCAAGAUAUUCAAUCAUGAUUUAGUUUGUAGGUGCCUCGUGCAUCAUCCCAGUUUUUCAUUAGCAUCUCAGCCAAGUCAGCAAUCUUUAGGGGAUAUAAUGUCCCAAGAGGGAGAUGCACUAUAACCCCCAAGCUUUCAUGUCCUAAAUUUUUCAUUUUCUCUUCAUGUAACAAGAUCUAGUUUGAAGUAACGAGUACUCAUAAGUUGACUCUCUCAUUCCAAAUCUCAGUCGUAUGAUCAUUCCCACACCAUGACAUGUAUUUAAGAAAUUAGUUCAGUUCAUGGUAUUCAGUUUAUAUAUCAUGUUUCAGACUCAGUGAUGUUCUCCUGUUCCCGUUCAUACAUGUCCAGUAAAUGAUCUCAGAUUCAUCAGUAUUCCCAGCCUAAUAUAGCACCCUUUCUUAGAUUUACUAACUCUCAUGUUCAGUUACAGUUAUAAUCUUGGUAUUCGUUACCGUUUUAUUUUUAAUCAUGCAUUCAAUAAUAACUUUAGUCAUGUAUUCCAUGAAUCAGAUAUGCAUGUCCAGUAUGAGAACUCAGCUUGUCAGUAGUUUCAAUCAUGUAGUCAUGCUUCAGCCGUGCAUGUUCAAUGUGUAAACUCAUUCUAUCAAUGUUUCUCAGCUUAAUUAGUCUCAUUCGAGGACGAAUGUUCCCAAGAGGGAGAUACUGUAAUACCCCAUAUUUCUCUAGCUUAAUUUAAGUCUUAGUACAUGAGUAAUCCUAUACAAAAUUUUUGAAAUACUCAGUAUCUUUCAGUUUAGAUCCUGCCAUUGCGUAGGAAAUUGAAUUAUCUUUUCAACGAUAUGAAAUGCACCUAAAUCCAAUAACUGGGUAAGAAUUUAGGGAUAUGCACGGGUAGAUUUCUCUCUUGAUUUUGGGGAAAAAUUGAAUAAUGAAUGACUUCAAGAGCUUUCUCUCUACAAUACAAAACCCUAACUUCAAGAGACCAAGAGCAAUCUCAAGAAUCACACUAAGAACCUUCAAGGAUUAAUCCUCUUAGGUAUGUUAGGUGUUCAUAUAUGGGUUCCUUUCACCCAUAGAGUCCAAGAAUCUCUUUUUAAACAUACAAGAUCUCAGAUUUAUGAUUUUCUUGUUUGAAUUAGAUUAAAUUCAUGUUCAUGAUAUUAGGUGAGUUUCAAUCCAUGAUUUAAGAGCAAGUUUCAUGAAAUUGAAUAGCAUGUGUGAUGAAUAUAUGAUUAUCUUGAUAAACCCUUGAAUUUACAAAUUGAUUAAUGUGUCUAUGAUGUUAAUUGGGUUUUUAAUCCAUGACUAUUAUAAGAUUCAUGAAAUUAGAUUAGUAUUUAUUGGAAUUAUAUGAAUUGCAUGAUAAACUCAUGAAAUUGUAAGUUUUGGCAUUUUAGUUGCCAUGUUUAUAUGUUAACCAUGAUUAUGUGCAUGAAGUUGUGCUCCCCCCCCCCCAAAGUGUUUGAUAGAAUGUCCAUGUGAAUAAAGUGAUGAAAUCAUGACAUGUUAGUAUAUGUAUAAGCUUAUUCCCUACAAGUGUUUGAUAAAAUGUCUCUAUAGAAGAAAAAUGAACAUGUGUACUUUGUUAUGCUUUACAAGAUUAUGUGAUGCUUUACUUUUCAUGCUAUCAAGUCCUGGGGAUAUUUAAUACCCGAUAAUUUAGCUGUGUACCUAGAGACAGUGUCAGUUACAGAGUAGUAUCAGUCAUGUCCUAAUCAGUACAAGAAAACUUAGUAAACUCAGUAUCAGUCCAGCCCAGUUCAGUAUACUCAGUUUAGUGUCUUUUAGUUGGGAGUAGGAUUCAGUACUGAGAGAACCCAGGGAUGGGGGAAUUCCUGUUAGUAUAGGGUUUGACCCUUAGUUGCAAUUCCUGAGUUACAGAACUAUAUAGCCAGCAUAGGUUGGGAUGACUUUCUGCCAGAUAAGGGUUGACAUAUCUCUUAUGAGUUUUCCUGCCAGUUAAGGGUUGACAAAAAUAUCUUCCUUGUAGUUAGGGUCAAUUCACUGCCAUUUUUAGUACCCAUGGCACGGUACGGACACCCUUCUAAUUGUGGUUAUAGAUUGGACCCCAACUCAGUUAUCUUAUCUUAUUUGGCGUAUGUAGGUUAGAUGAUUACCUCUCACAGUUUUAGUUUCAGUCUUAGUUUAGAACUCAAUUCAGUUUUUUAGAAUCAGAACUGUCAGACACAGUCAAUCAAUUAUCAGUAUCUUCAAAUAUCAGUUACUCAACUAUUAGAACUCAGCGCUCAGCUUUAGAAAAUCUUAGUUAUAGUCUAAUAUAUAUGUACAACAUUGUAUACUCAGUGAUUUCCAUAGUAUCAAUUAUCCAUGUACUCUUAUAUUCAAUUACUCUAUAUCAUUCAGCCAUUUACUGUUCAUGCAUAUAAACCCUUGCAUUUAGCCUUACCGCAUCUAGCAUACCAGUACAUUCCAUGUACUGAUCGCAUAUUCCUUCUUUAUGCUUAAUGUAUCAUAUCAUAGGUUCGGACGCUCAGGUUCCUGACUUUUCUUGGACAGAUCCAGUCAACAAUUGCAGAUUUAGUAGUGAGUCCUCAUCUAUCGAGGAUAUGCUUUUAUAUCUAUAUUUCAGUUUAUCAGUAGUUCAGUAAUUUGGAGUUAGUUUGGGGCUUGUCCCAUCAACGCCACUUUCAGACAGUUCAACUAGAGGCUUUGAGACUAGACCAGUUCAGACAUUAUUUAGUUUUAGAUGUUUUUAAUAGAUGUUAUAUUUAUGAGUAUUUCAGAUAUUUUGAACCUUAUGGCAUUUAAGACUAUUUUCCAUAUUUAUUACAGUAUACUUAUUCAGUGUUCACAACAGAUAUCAGUCAUGGGUUAGCUUGUGGUCCUUCAGGGUUGUAAGCACUGUGUAGCGUUCGGGAUACAGACUCGGGGCAUUACAUUCUUGAUUUGUCAGAGGACAACAAAGCUCAUUUCCAAUUGAAAAUGGCAUAUGAUCUUCUUAAGCAUUGGUUUGUGUAUGAAAAUAAAUAUUAGAUGGAUGAGAUAUGGAUAAAUUACUAUGGCAUGUCUGUUUGUUUUGGUUGGAGGGAAUUUGCCAAAGUUACUGGAUUAACAUAUUAUCUUCCUUCUCCUUCUCAAGUUAUACCUAUUCUAACCCAAAAAAAAAGUACCAUGCACACCCAAAAAUUUAAAGGCAAGUUGAGUGAUCAUGAUGACCUGGUUUCCCUUAUUGGUCCAAGCUUCAAAAACAUAAAUUUUAUAGAAGAGUUGAAAGGUAAAAGACUUUCAAAGAAGCACAAGCAAUCAUUGUGCUUGGUUUGGUUUGUACAUAAUAUUCUUUAGGCGAGAGAGAUUAACAAAAACAUACCACUUGGUUUGAUAAAACUCUUCGAGGAUCUUGAGGCAUUUAACAGCUAUCCUUGGGGUUAUGAAAGCUUCAAAAUGACUGUCAAAUUUUUGUUGACUUCGUUAACGCCAAAGACAGUCAACUUAUAUGUCUUUUCAAGGGCUUUCAUGGACAAUAUGUCUUAAAUUAUGAGAAUGCUUUUAAUUUAUUGGCGUUAUUUUAUAGGCUUGAGCAUUUGAAGUCAUUCCUUGUUUUAGACAACAAGAUUACAUGGAAGAAGUUUCCUGUCCAAGAAUUCAGAGAUGGUUGUCGGCCAAAACUGAUAAAAAUACAAAAUUUCUUGAUCUCUUCAACCCCCUGAAGGAAGCAAUAAGUUUAAUUCUAAUUAAAUUUUUAUUUUAAUUAAUGAUUUUUUAAAAAUGAUUUCAUCAUCAUUCUAAUAUAUGUACUAAUUUAUUUUAGAUUGUCCAUCAUUGGCUUGUUCCGACCAAUCGAGAGUUGAAGAUGUCAUUUUUUCUUACUUUACGGUCAGUGCAAAAUUUAUCGGAUCCUAAGGUCAUUGAUAGAAUAAAUAAGAAAUUGUUUGGAAUAACAACCAUCACAAGAAAAAAAAUUUGGAGGUGGGCUUGUUAUUGUUGAAUAUGGUACUAUUAGUGGUCUUGCUGUUGGGGCUAAUGAUGCUCCUCUAUAAUUUUUGAAAUAGCAAAUCAUUAUGAUUAUGAUCAUACUGGUUAUACAGAUUUUUCACCUCCAGCUAAUGUUCAGCAUACAAAUGUCAAGACUGUAAGGCGAAACAUGAUGGAAUGAUUAAUGUUAUUAAUAUAUUAACUGCUUCUGUAAAGAAAAUGACAUAUAAGAGGGGUGUCAUUUCGUCAAAGAGAAUUUCAUAUCCAUACACUCCAAUAGAGAUUAAAUUGGCUAAGAGGAGAAGGAAAGAAAUUUCCAAAGCAUCAUCAAUCAUCAAAGAAUGCAAAAUUGUAACUUGUCUGUCUUUGUCUUGUAUCUUUGAUCAAUGUAAAAGGGCCACAGGUGAGCAGCAUGAACUGAGGAAGGUGAAUCUAUAUCAUUUAUUCCAACAAAUAAACAGAAACAUAUUUGUUUCAACAGACGAUGCAUAUGCUGAAAAUUAUCAAGUAGAUAUAUACAUCUGUUGUAACUGUCGUAUAACCUAUUCUAUCAGAUGCGUUUUCUAUUACAACAUAUGUUCUUCUGUUUCAGCGAAUCAAAUAGGUAUUCAGCGAAUCAAACAGGUAUUCAUACUAUUUUAAUUUGCACCAACAGAUGAGUCAUAUGUUAUAAUAGAUGGGUCAUCUAUUUGAAAUUAUUGUACAGCUCUGCUUUACCUAUUCGAAUUUGUCCCAAUAGAUGAUUUAUUUGAUGCAACAGAUAGAUAAUCUUUUGUAAAUCUAUUUUUAGCAUGGACAAUUCUAGCUUUCUAGGUAGAUGUCACAAUAGAAGUUACUGCUGAACAACAUAAUAUCAUAGUUGAUAAUCCAUUAAUUGCUUCCAUGGAAAAAGAAAAAAUAGAGUCUGUCAUUUCGGGAGAACAGAAGAAUUACCCAUUUGAAGGGUUCAACAUCUAGGAAGAGGCUCCAAAAAAAUUAACAAAGUUGAUCAACGACUAUUCAGAAUGGAUUGAUGAUGGGUUGUUAAAGCAUCAUGUCGGAAGGUACAUAAAUCAUUUUUAAAGAUAUUGAUUUAUAAAAUUCUUUUUGUAAGAAUAUGACAUUAACACAUAUAAAUCAUGUAGAAAAUAAAAUGAUGAACACUACAAAGUGAACGAAUUGAGUUUGGUUUUGAUAUGUUCGACUUUGUUGUUGUACAUCCCAGAAUGAAGGAUUGGUUCUAUUUGAUGUCACAGCCCUAAACUUUCGAGAAUGAUGAGUUUUAAAUUUCAUACAUAUUACUAUUAAUUAAUACUUUAUUUAAUUGCAUAUGUGUAUUAAUUUUAUUAUAACGUAAUCUAAAAUAUUUGAUAAUAUGUGCAGCACAUCGAUGUCAUUUUUUACUACCUCUGAAAAAAUUCAAAGUUGCAAACACAAAAACACUAUAGAUACAUGAUAGACAAUUUUUUGUACAAAGUUUACAUCAAUAAUUCCUAUGAUAGAUUUUGUCAACAACAGCCAAAAGUUUCUCGAAAUGAGGAAUGCUUAAUUAACAUCAUCAAAGGUUUUAACAUUCUAGUUGGCUUACAUUGGCAUUUGGUCGAUGAAGUGUACAUCCCAAUCAAUUAUGGUAAUGACUUCCAUUGGGUGUUGGCUAUUGUCAUUCUAAAAGAGAGGUGCAUCCGAGUUUAUAACUCGAAGUCACAAAGGUGAUGUUCCAGGUCGUCGUCUAAGAUACAAAUUUGGCCAAAAUAUUGUCCACUUACCUUGAUAUGAGUGGCUUUUUGGACCAAAAGAUUCAUAUUAAUUGGUCGACAAUUGAAUCAUAUCAGGAUAAAAUAGAUAAUCCAUUUGAUGUAGAAUAUGUUAAAGGAAUUUGUCAACAACCCAUUGGUAACCUGUAAGUAUAAUGAUUUAGUUUCAUUUAAUAAAUUUCACAACUCUUACGUGAAUUGCAAGAUAUAGAUUAUCCAUUUUUUUAAACGCAGGGAUUGCGGUCUUUUUGUUGUCACUUAUGCCGAGUAUUUGAGCAAUGGAUUACAAGUACCAAAUGAUGGAAUUGAUUCUUCUUACUCCGCAAAAGAUAUGCUGCUCUUUUAUGAAAAUAUGGAGAAGCAAAAGCGCAGAAACCAUACGCAAGAGACAUUAAAGAUCCAUGACAACCAAAGCCAAAUUCCAUAGCACCAGAUGAAGCACAACUUGUUCAUAUUGAGUAGAUCUUUAUAGAUUGAGUCUAUCAAAGUAAUAACCUCUCCUAGGGAAUUGUUGGCACCAAAGGUUAAAUUGUUGAUUUAUUUGUAGAGUAGAUCAUUUGUACCCAUAAUAAUGUAAUACCCCAAAAAAUCCAAACCAAUAUUAGCACCAUAUUUAAAUCUCACGCAUAGUACAUCAUGGUUAUUUUAUAGUUUUAUGAGUAAUAUAUAUGUAUAUUAAGGAUUCAAAUAACUCCCAUCUAUCAGACGAAUCAAAACAUUCCUUGCUGAUUGAAUUCUUGGGAAGGAUAUUACUAUAGUCAAAUUCAAAUGAGAAUAUCUCUCUUUGUACUACAAAUUUUUGAGCUCAUGACCGCCAAAAUAUGUUUAAUUGAAUUAUCUUUCAAAUGAUAUCAAUUUCACUCAAAUUCGAUAUCGGAGCAAAAAUUAAUACCCAUUUUAUUCCAACAUGUCAGCCUGGAAACUAAGUGACGACCUGUCUGACGACUUAUCACAUUUCUUAUGACCUGUCUGAUGGCUUAUCACAUUUUUGAUGACCUUUCUGAUGUCUUAUCAUAUUUCUAAUGACUUAUCAGCUAAUGUCGUCAGCCUUAGGUAGAAGCCCAUCAAUUUUAGGUCCUAGGUAACGACCUGGGCUGACGGGAUAUCAUAGACCUGACGGCUUAUCAUCCUAUGUCGUCAGUUGAUAAUUUUAGCAACUAGGAAGUAAGUUCGUAGGGGUAUUUUGGUCUUUUUACCACACCCUAAAACUUACCGCAUGACAUAAAACACCAAAAACUCAUAUAUAGCUAUUGGUAUUUAUUUUCAAAAGCUCUUAACCCUCUUUGUUCCUAAGAACAAACUUAGGGUUUCUUCUUAAUUAACUUCAAGAUCCUAUCACACUCUCCGCCAGAUAUUCAAGAAUUAAGAUUCCCAAUCCAAGAACAUUCAAUAAAGGUCAAUUUUCUUUCAAGAUUCAAUCCCUAAGGUAUGCGUAAUGUUCAUCCAUGGAUUCCUUUCAUCCAUGGAGUCCAAGAAUCAAGUUUUAAAUAAUAAAUUAUGAUUUUCUUGUUAUGGUGUGAUCAUGUUCAUGUUGAUGGUUGUUAUUGGAGUUUCAAGAUGGUAUCUUGAUGUAUUUUCAAGAAAUAUGUGAGCAUGUUAGUUGAAAUCCAUGAGUUUGGGUGGCUCAAGAUUGUUAAAUUGAUGAAUACACCUAUGCCACAAAGUGUGAAUGUAAGGUGUUUGAUAAAAUGCCUAAAAGACUAGAAGUCAUAUAUUAUAGUUGAAUUGUGACCUAAAUGACAAAUGCAUGCUACACCCUUAUGAAAAUAAUGAAUUCUAUGAUAUUGUUAUGCAUCAUGAUUGUUGAUGGAAUGUUCAUGAAACUAGAUUGAUGGAAUUAUGGCAUAUUGUUAUGUGCAUUCCCUUCCAUGUAUAUGACUUUGAGAACUAUGUGUAGUAUGAAAUCCCCAACUUAUGGUAUUUUGAAUUAUGAAUAUUGGUUAUGUGUUCAAGAAGAGCAAAGUCAUGUUUUAUCAGUUUUCUUCCAUCGAGUCCUGAGGGUACUUGUACCCGACAAUUUAACUGUGUGCCUAGAGCCAUAUCAUGUUUCACAAUAGUCUCAGUCAAUCCAUGAUUCAUAGAACUUAGUUAACCAUGUGACUCAGGAAAUCUCAAAAAUCUCAGUAGUUUAGUAAUCUCAGUGAUUUUUGUAUUCCAAGUAAAAUCUCAGUAACUAAGUACUCUCAGUCAUUCCUCUGACAUCAGUACAUUCCAUCAGUCAGCGAAACUCAGUAAACUCAAUUUAGCUCCUCUAAACAAUACCACUAGUAUCAGUUUAGUUAAUCAGUUCAGUUCAGCUAAUCAGUUUAGUUCAGUUAAUCAGUUCAACUCAAUUAAUCAGUUUACUAUCUUUUAGAUGAGAGUAGGAUUCAGCACUGAGUGAACCUAAGGAUAGGGUCUCACCCGCUAGAUAGGACGGAGAUCUCUAAAAGUAAUCCCUAAGUUCCAGAACUACGUAGCCAGGAUAGGUAUGAGAUUUCACUUGUUGGAUAGGACUGAUAUACUCAGGGAUCACCCGUUAGAAUAUUUAAAUAUAUAGGACUGAUCCCAGGGGUCACCCACUAGAUUAGGACUGACUCUACAACAGUUGUCUUUACUAGUGGUGCGGUACUGACACCCUUCCAACUGGGGUUACGGGUUAGACCACAUACUAGCUAUAAAGGGGCAUGUUGGUUAGAUGAAUACAUCCCACAAUUUUAGUUACAGAUUCAGGACUAUCAAAUACAGUCAAUCCCUAUCAUUAACAAUAGACUCCGGGAUCACCCACUAGAUAAGACUGACCUCAACUAUGGUCAAUCAGUAUCAAUAUCAUUAGAUUUAGAGAUCACCCGCUAGGUAGGACUGAUCUCAGACUAAGUCAAAUGAUCUUUAUUAUCAUUAUACUCAGAGAUCACCCGCUCGAUAGGACUGAUCUCAGAUUCAGUUACUCCCAUACAGAAUGGAACUCAAAUAGUUCCAUCAGAACUUAGACAGUCAGAUACAGUCACUCAGUAUUAGUUAUAUCAGUUAUACGAUCAUCACAGUUAUAUUAGUUAUAACAGUCAUCAUAACUCACGUUAUCAGUAUUCAGUUUUAGGACUGUUAGACACAGUCAAUCACACCAGUUCUUCAUAAUUUGAACUAUCAAAAAUAGGUGUUUAUCUAUUCAGUAAUACAGUAUCAGUUCCUCACUUAGUAGUGACUUAUAUAUUAAUAUCAGUGAACUCAGUCAUUCAAUAUCUCAGUAUCAGUACACUCAUGUUGUUAGUAUUCAGAUUCAGUAGUCAGUAUCACCACAAGUUCAGUUAUAGUUACUUAUGCAUGUAUGCAUUCUCAUGUUUAUAUCAAUUAGCAUUGUUCAUACAUAUAAACCCUUUGCAUUUAGCCUACCUCACUCGUAUACUCAGUACAUUCAGUCGUACUGAUAUAUUCGUUCUAUGGUGUUUUAUUUUACUCCAUAGGUUCAGAGGUAAAAGUUCUAGAGCAGCAGUAACAUUGCAGAUUUUAGCAGUCAGAGUUAGCAGUGAGUCCUCAUUCUCUAAUGACAUGAUUACUAGUUUAUUACUUUAGUAUUUCAGUUUGUCUUUCAGUAGUUGGGAUUUAGUUGGAUACAUGUUCCUUUCACUCCCUACUUCAGACAGUUAGAGGGUUUCAAACUAGAUUACAGACUAGAUUCAAACUUCAAUAUUUCAUUUUUGUUUUGGUAUUGCGAUACCACUUUAUUCAGACAUUGUUAUUAUUCUAAUUAUGUUUAGUAUUGAACCUUAUGGCCUUUCAGGUCAUGUUUCUACAUUUAUAUUCAUAUAUUAUGCAGUGUACAAGUAUAGAUAUCAGUCAUGGGUUAGUUUGUGGUCCUUCGGGGUUAUGAGAACUGUGUAGCAUUCCGGUUUAGAAAAAUUGGGGCGUUACAAAUAAUUUUUUGACAUUUCAUUUAUUUGUUGAAUUAUUUCAUGUAAUUUUUGGCUUCAAUUUAUUUUAUGUUGUCUAUGAUAUAAUUUAAUCCUUAAUUUUGAACUUAUUAAUUGAAAUGAAAUACUAGAUUCAAAUAUCACAACAGAUAAUACAUCUAUUGCAACAAAUGACAUAUAUAUUGUAAAUUAUCAAAUAUAUUUAGACAUAUAUUGCAACAUAUAGGUCAUUUGUUGGAAAUUAUCAAACAGGUCUUCCUACUAUUUUGAUUUGUUCCAAUAGAUUACUUAUCAGUUGCAACAGAUAUACUAUAUAUUGCAAUAGAUUUUAUAUUUGUUGCGAUAGAUAGACUGAGAAACAUCUGCCUAAUGCAACAGAUGACCAACCCAUUACAAAAGAUAAUCAAUCUAUCACAACAGUUAUACUAUCUGUUGCAUUAUAAGAAAUUCAACUUUCAUCAAACAUACAAAAUUGCCACUACAUGUAAAGUGAAGUGGCUUGAAAUAAAAAAUUGUUAUGGUAUUUGUCUUUGUACAUUUUCUUCUUUAUACACAGGCUCCUAGAAUGUAGUUGGUAUCCAAUAAUCCCAUACCUCUUAUAUAUUUUCCACAACAGCAUUGCAUAGACUGGCUAUUUCUGUGCUGGUCAACGAACAUUCGAUGUAUGCAAGCGUGUACGGCCCGCACACAGCAUUCGUUUUAUUUUUUUUGAGGUCCAUGUCCUUAUUUCAACCUUCAAAAUCCCAUGCUUUCUUCAUCAACACUUCUGCUGGUAAAUAAUCCAACAGUUUACUCUACCUCAACAAGCUACGAAGCAACUCCAACAGUGACUACAUAUAGGUAAAAAAAUUACAAUCGUCGAAGACAGAUAAGUUGUAGUGAUAAAACUUAAUCGUUUCCUCUUCAAGAAGUAUAUCAAUAGCGAGAAAAUAUUUGACUUCCAUGUUCAUGACUGGGAGAACUUUCUUUGCCUUUGUCCAUCUCUUGCCGUAUGGAUAUGGCUUCUUCACUCUAACAUAGUUAAUCAUAUCUUCAUCCCAUUGGAACCUAGAAACUAAUGAAUUAAAUUUUGGUACACCGUGAGUUGAUGCUAGAUUACUGAGUUUAUUGUACCUAUUCUUGAAAUUAUUGUAGAAGUUGAGGUCCAUUAUCCUAUUGGCAACAUCAUAAGCAUCUGUGUACGCUAAUUGUCUGCCCCUCAUAAGGUAGAGAAUUUUAUCAACAUACUAUUAUAUAAGAAGAUAAUUUUUAAAUAGGUUAGUAAUUAUAAAGAAGAAAAAUAUAAUGGAAAGAUGCAACGGGCGGUCCAUCUGUUAUAGAUGAUUCUCUGAACCUGUUCACAGAUUACCCAGCUAAUGCAACUUAUGCAACAAAUAUUUAAUCUGUUGUAACAGAAACACUAACAGUUGCACUAGAAUGCUCAGUUGUUGCUACAAAUUACACAUCUGUUGUAUGGCUUCUUCUUCAUAAAGUAGAUUAGAAGGCUAGGUUAGGAAAAGUAAACUUACCUUGUCCACAUACCACUUACGCAUAUUUGUCAUACUCUUGAAGUCUUGGGCAUCAAACAUAUACAUGAUGUAUUCUUGAGCAGGUUUCUUCUUCUUGGUAUACAUGGUCUUUCAUCGUUUAUUCCUCUCUUCAUCUCCAAGUGUCAUAUAUAUGUCCACCUUAUUCAGUGUCCCUUGAACUUUAAAAAAUUUUGGAGAGAGAGGAUUUGCAAGUUUGUUUGUUUUUAGAUUGGAGAGUAUUUGACUAAUUUUUCUUUUCUUCCUCCUAACCACCAUGUAUGAGUGUGUGGCUCUCUCACUUUUUUGGAUAGUAGAAAACCCCCUUUGGAUUUUAAUUCCUUGGCAGCUUCAGCGACAACCUCUAGUUUUUCAAAAGUUUAUCAUAUAUGUCCUUGCACACUUUACAUUUGUAAUAAGAACAUGAGGGUGAAGAUGGGUAAGAGGGACCACUAUAAGAUUGAAAGUUAUCGAUGUAAGGGUGAGAAGGACCUAUGUAAGGGGUGAUUUUAAAUAUAUUUAUUUUGUCUUGAGCAUCAAUAUGCUCAUCAUAACGACUAGAAUCAGCAUCAGAAUUAAGAUAGCUACCACCAAUAUCACCAACUCCACCAACAAUACCCCCAAAAGAAGUUGUAAUGCCCCGAUUAUUUAAAUCGGAAUGCUACAUGGUGCUCAUGAUCCUGAAGGACCACAAAUAAACCCAUGACUGAUAUUUAUACCUGUACAUUGUAUAAUAUAUGAAUAUAAAUGUGGAAAUAUACACUAAAAAGACAUAAGGUUCAAUACUGAACAUAAAUAAAAAAUGAUAAUGUCUGAAUAAAGCGGUAUCACAUUAUCAAAACAAAACUGAAGUCUAAAUCUGAUAAUACUAUAAUCGUUUGAAAGCCUCUAACUGUUUGAAUACUCUAGAUAAGGAGUUGAUAGGACAUGUCCCCAACUAACUCCGUCAACUAAAAAUUGAACUGAUAUGAUAAAAUAAGAUAACGCCUCGGAGAAUGAGGACUCACUACUAAAAACUAAGUACUGGAAUGCUACUGUUGUUGCUGCUACUGAUCUGAAAGUCGUGUCUCUGAACCUAUAGUGUAACAUAAAAAGAAGGCACCAUAGCGCAAAUACGUCAGUAUAAAAGAAUGUACAGAGUAUACGUGUAAGGUAGGCUAUAUGCAAGGGUUCACAUGCAUGAGCAAUACUAACUGACUAGCUACUAUGAACGUGAGAGUGCAUACAUGAAUACAUAGUAACUGAGAUCGUGAAAAUGUGAUAACUGAGUCUAUAUACUGAUUGCAUGAAUUUACUGAUAUCUAACAUGGCUGAUAAUGAGUUCUGAUAAAUGAUAACAUGAGUGACUGUGUCUGAUAGUCCUAAAUUUGAUGAAACUAUCUGAGUUCCAUAUAGUAACAGAGUUGACUGUGUCAACAGUCCUGAUAAUCUGAAAUCUAAAGAACUAUCUAAGUUUCUUUACUUUGACUGAGACUGAAACUAUGGAAAAUAGUCAUCUUACCGACAUGCCCCAAUUUCACUAUAAUAGCUAAGCUGGGGUCCAAUCUGUGCCCUAAUUGGAAGGGUGUUAAUACCACGCCACUGGUAAGGACAAGCUGUGGGUAACCCUCAUCUGAAAGUAUCCCCAAAACAGGACGGUGGAGCCCUCAUCUGACAGUGCUUAUCCACCUCACCAACCCUCAUCUAAUAGUUUUGAUAUCUCAACCUAUGUUGGCUACAUAGUUCUGGAACACAAGGAUGACUGUUAAGAAUCACACCCUCAUCUGACAGUUUGUGUUUCCAUCCUUGGGUUCACUCGGUGCUAAUUUCUACUCCAAUCUGAAGAGACUAAACAUGAUUAACUGACUGUACAUGGACUGAAUUACUGACUUCCGUUGACUGAUAGAAUAUUACAGCUAUCUAAUAAUUAAUUGAGAUUUCUGAGAUUUCCUGAGUCACAUGACUGACUGAAUUCUAUGGAACAUGGCUUAACUAAGGAUAACGUCAAAACAUGACUUAUCUCUAGGCACACAACUAUAUUUUUUGGGUACAAGUACCCCCAGGGCCAAUGGAAGGAAACUGACACAACCAUACCACUUCUUGAUCAUAGAAUAGAGUUCACAACUAAUAAUGCCAUAAAUAGGGGAUUUUAUACUUUACAGGAUUAUCGUAUUCUGGAUCAUGGAAGGGAAUGCAUAUAACAUGUACAUACUUACAUGGUUUCAAUAUCAUGAACAUUGCAUAACACAUCAACCAAUAUACAUCAAUAGCAUGAAAAUUGAGUUGAAUCAUGAGGGGUAAAAUGGACUUGCUAUUUAAGUACUAUUGAGUCAUAAGGAGAAUGAUUUUAUCAUUCUAGGCAUUUUAUCAAACACCUUACAUGCACACGUGAUGGCAUAGGUGAAAUCAUCAAUUUAAUCAUCUUAAACCACCCCAAAUUCAUAGGUUACAAGUAACAUGUUCACGUAGUUCAUAGAAAACACAUCAAGAUACUAUCUUGAAUCACCAAUAACAACCAUCAACAUGAAUAUAAUAAUUCAACACAUAAAACUCAUAAUUUUUUAUUUAAAACUUGGUUCUUGAACUCCACGGAUGAAAGGAAUCCGUGGAUGAAUACUACGCAUACCUUAAUUGAAAUAUCCGUGAAAGUUAAUGGUGAAAGCACUUGGAUUUAGGUCUUCAAAUUAAAACUCUUGAUCUUGUUCUUGUGAGAAAUUGAUGAAAGCAAGUAUAUUUUGGUGUUUUGAAGUCUUAAUAACAUGUUUGAGGGUUUAUAUAUGGGUGGGAAAGGACCAAAAUGCCCUCUAAAAUACGGAGGUGGAAUGCUGAAAAACUCGGCACCCAUCGGAGUUGCAGGGCGAUGCCUAGCUAGUCCCCCACUCUAGCUAGGGCAACGCCUUGCUUAAAGCGGAGCUCUAGCCAUCGCGGCAUGGGCAGAUCGCCCUGAGCUACUGGUUUGGGAACCAAAACGUACCCUCAAGCUACUCCAAAAAUUUUGACACUCACCCGAAAUGUACUACGACCUUGCCCCAUCGCAAUACAACUUGAAAAUUUGAAAACUAAGGUCGGGAAGAUCAUCAAAUAAAUCUCUGAAGUUUAGAGGUCUAAAAUGAGACUAAGUGUUGAAUACUUAGCCGAAAUUUUUUAAGUGUUGGACCUUACAUUGAGCUUCAAAGAGCUAAAUAAGCUGAAUAUGAACGCAAAAUUUUUGCGGGGUCUUACAGAAGUAUUCGAAUCUGCUGCAGUAGGUUGGUCAUGAAGAGCUUCAACAUUAGGCUGACCUUGACUAACUGCUCUUCUUAUGGUUGUCGCUCCAGCCAAUUAAUUCUUUAUUAACUCCACCGUUCGGUAUGCUAUUGUAUUAUCAAGAUCUAGAGUAAUAAAAGAAGUCAUCCCCAACUCCUACUCAGUCGCCAUGAUCCAAGGAUUCACAACCUAUAAAAAAUAGAUACAUUUAAAUCAUAUAAUAAUAAUUUACAGUCAGCUGGGUUACAUGUUAACACAGUCAACUUAUGCAACAGAUGAUCUAUCUAUCGCAAUAGUUGAUCUGUAUGUCACAAUAGCUUAGUAAUAUAUUAUAUCAAAUUACCCAUCUAUUGUAUAAUUUACAGUAGAUGGGUAAUCUGUUGAGUCAGUUUUAGAGAACCAGAGCAAUAGAUAGUUAAUCUAUUGCAAAAUAUUGAUCAUCCUGCGUAAUAGAUUACCAUCUAUUGCAAAAGUUAUAGUAGAUAGGUAAUCUGUUGUAAUAGAUGGCCCAUCUAUCACAACUGUCACAACAGAUGGAACAUAUUUUUCAAUAUCUUUCUUUGAGUGAAAUUAUUUUACUUGAAAGAAGAUGUACUACAUCAUCUAGUGAGUUAAAGAGAUCAGCCUCCUUAAUUCUUAUGCUGCUUUUUGCAGCCAACCACCUAAGGAUCGUUGGAUGACAAACCUCACCUGGGUAAUCCUUGACCUUCUUUUGGAGGGAGGAAUGACUUCAAAUGCCCAAUCCUAAAAUAUGUAAACAGAAAGCAAGAAAGUCAUAAUAAUUAUUCAAUAUAAAAUAAUGGAUAAGUAAACAAAUAGUGAUUAAAUUUACCAUGAAAGCCCAAGGAAAUUAGUAUAAUAUGAUCAUCUUUGGGGAUAGCUUUGUCAGUAAAUAUUCGACAAUCAAGUUGUAGUUGUCAUAUCCCUAGGGAUAAUCAUUGAAUUUCUCAAAAUCCUCAGCAAGCACCAAUAAAUCAUCUUCUAUGACUUUCUUGAUGUCUCUUGCCAAUAUAACGGAAUGGGAAACCCAAACUAAGCAUAAUUUCUCCCUGUACCGCUUUGGUGUGAUUUUAUCCUUGAGAUCUUCUAUCAAAUCUACUGCUUUUUAGCUACGUCCAAUAAUAUCCAACAACCCAUCUAUUUUUUCCUUUUGUUUGUUGGUUUUGGUGGGUGGUUGCUUGGAAAAUGCCUUCCCUCUAUUUGAUGGUAGUGGUUUGACUAUCAUGCUUGGCUUUGACCUUUUGCAGGGUGUUUCCUUGAUGGGAGGUUCUUCUGGACGAUUGCAUCUCAAGCCUUUCACUAUGGCAAAAUCUUUCAAGCCAAAACAAACUGGCAUACCAUAGUAGUUAAUCCAUAUUUCAUCCAUCUUUUUCCCCCCUCUUUUGAAUAUUUAUCAUCCCCCCACGUACUUGAUCCUGCGCUUAAGAAUAUUAUAUACCAUGCUUAUUUGGAAAUAGGUAGUGUGGUCCUCAGGCAGCUCAAGAAAGCGUCCAAAGUAGCUCUUCUUAAAAAGUUCAUCUAUGUUUUUAUUCUUCAUAAUAUUUCUAAAGUCAUCAAAAGGUUUCCCCAAUGACAUUUAAGUACAAGAUCACCGGUUAGUUCUGCAGGGUCAUCUAUCAAUAUCACAACUUGAAACCUAUCAAUACUAAUAGUUUUGAUAGACUCAUCUGGGAUCUCAAUCUUAAUUCACGCCUCAUUGGUGAUGCAUUAUCAUCAUGUUGAUCAUCAUCCUCUUUCUCACUUUCUACUUCUUCUACUUCUUGUUUAUCAUCCUGUUGAUCAACAUCCUCUUUCUCACUUUCUAGUUCUUCCUUUUCUUAUUAAUCUUCUUCUUCCUCCUCACUUUUAUUUUCCUGACCAGCCUCUAUAUACCCUUCUCCACCUUUCUUCUCAUAACUUUUCUCAGCUUUAAUUUUUCCUGACUGAGAUUGUUCGAAAGUUCCUUCGAAUCCAUCUGUACUCUAGCCUUUUUUGUUGGGUAGUAAGAAAUUGAUCCACUUUCAGUUUCUUUCAUUUUAGGAGACAUCUUUUAACUACAAACAACAGAAAAAUAAAAGAUACAUUACAUUUGAUGUUCUGCAUAAUUUUUUUAAAAAAGGUAAGACAAGUUUCAAUAAAUUAUUGUAUGCUACAUUAUAAAAGAAUACUCCAAUGGAUAACCCAUCAGUAGGAACAGAUGGGGAAUCUAUUUGAAGACCUAUUUAAUAUCUCCCAAUAGAUGCUCCACCUUUUGCAAUAGAUGGAACACUAAGACCACCACCCCACCAAUGCCACCAAGACCACUAAGACCACCAACACCACCACCAAUACCACCAAUACCUAAACUAAGUCCACCAAGACCACCACCAACCACACCAAUGCCACCAAUAUCGACACCACCAACAAUAACCACCACCAAUACCACAAAUACCAUCCAAUAAUACCAUAAUAGUUAAUGAAACACUGCAAUAAAAACUAGGGUUUUCUCAGGUUCUUCCUACGUUCUUAGCAUGAAAACUCAAAAUUGUUAACCCAUUCACAAAGAUAAUACAACUAAAAGUGUUCUUUUUCAUCAUUAACUAAAAAAUCCUAUUUUUUAGAAUAACUAAUAAAUGUAGAACUCUUCUCGAACUCUAUUACCUGUGAAGACAGAGAAAACAACGAAUAUAACCGAGAAUGAAGUCGAAAAUAACAACUAUGUGGUCAGAAAUAGAAAGAAUAUUGAUCUAUUUUGAAGGUUUGAGACUAAUAUUGAUAAGUUGUUAUCUGUAUUGUUGAGCUAGAACUCGAGAUUUGAAAUGAUGAAAUAUUUUUCCUACAAAUAGAUGAUUUGUAUAGCUUAAUUUGUAUUUUUGAAAAAGACUGACAACUUUUAAAAUUGUUAAUUUGGUCCAAAUUGAUAUUAAUUAUUUUUUAAAAUUUUAAUAGAUAUGAAUUGUUUCAACUCAGAGUGAUCGAUCGACAACUUGAAUCGGGAUGAACGCAAUACUAACAUCAUGCAAUUGCAAAGAAUCAACUUAAGUUAUAGUUGACCCUAUGUACUCAUCCCUAGUUAUAGCUAAAUCAAUUUAGGUAUUAUCUUCAUAAUAAGUUUAUAUGAAUCAUUUUAACUCAAAGUAAUCGAUCAAUGACUCGAGUCAGGAGGAAGCAAUACCAACAUCAUACAAUUGAAAAGAUUUAAUUGAAUUCAUAGUUGACCCUUCGUACUCAUCCCUAGUUAUAGCUAAAUAAAUUUAGGUAUUCUCUUAACAUUAAGUUAAUAUGAAUUGUUUCAACUUAGAGUGAUUGAUCAACGACUCAGAUCGGGAGGAACGCAAUACCAAUAUCAUGCAAUUACAAAGACUCAAUGUAAGUUAUAGUUGACACUAUGUAAUCAUCCCUAAUUCUAGAUAAAUUAAUUUAGAUAUUAUCUUAACAUUAAGUUAAUAUGAAUCAUUUCAACUUAUAGUGAUCAAUCAAUGGUUCGGGAUGGGCGGAAUGCAAUACCAACAUCAUGCAAUUGCAAAGACUCAAUUAAAGUUUUAGUUGACACUAUGUACUCAUCCCUAGUUCUAGAUAAAUCAAUUUAGUUAUUAUCCUAAUAAUAACUUAAUAUGAAUCAUUUCAACUCAGAGUAAUCAAUUGACGACUCAGGUUAGGAGGAAUGCAAUACCAAUAUCAUGCAAUUGCAAAGACUUAAUUGAAGUUAUAGUUGGUCCUAUGUACUCAUACCUAGUUCUAGCUAAAUCAAUUUAGUUAUUAUCUUAACAUUAAGUUAAUAUGAAUUAUUUCAACUCAGAGUGAUUGAUCGACGACUCAGAUCGAGAGGAACGUAAUACCAAUAUCAUGCAAUUGCAAAGACUCAAUUUAAGUUGUAGUUGACCCUAUUUAAUCAUCCCUAAUUCUAGCUAAAAUAAUUUAGAUAUUAGCUUAACAUUAAGUUAAUAUGAAUCAUUUCAAUUCAUAGUGAUCGAUCGAUGACUCGGGAGGAACGCAAUACCAAAAUCAUCAUGCAAUUGUAAUGACUCAAUUGAAGUUGUAGUUGACCCUAUAUAAUCAUCCCUAGUUAUAGAUAAAUAAAUUUAGGUAUUAGCUUAAAAAUAAGUUAAUAUGAAUUAUUUUAACUCAGAAUGAUUGAUUGAUGACUCGAGUCUGAAGGAAUGCAAUGCACAUCAUGCAAUUGCAAAGACUCAAUUGAAGUUGUAGUUUACCAUAUGUACUCAUCCCUAGUUCUAUCUAAAUAAAUCUAAGUAUUAGUUUAAUAUUAAUUUAAUAUGAAUCAUUUCAACUCAGGGUGAUCGAUCAAUGACUCGGGUCGGGAGGAAUGCAAUACUAACAACAUACAAUUGCAAUAAUUAUAGAGGUAUUAAGUUGUUGAGUCAUACUAUGAAGGUUUAGAAAAGGGUGGUAGAGUUGAGGCUGAUAAGGAUCGUGACUAUCUUUGAGAAUUAGUUUGGUUUGAUGUUAGGUUGCUCGACCACAGAGGCCAUUCACCUUGUAAGGAGAUUAGUAAAGCAUUUUUUAGAGAGGAAGAAUUAUAUUCUCAUGGUGUUUAUUUGUAAUACCCCGUAUGUUUCUAAGCUAGGAGACAAACCAUUUUUCCUACGUAUGAAACCUCCUAUCCUGUGAGUAGCAUUUUAGUUCAUGAAUUAUAAUGAGUAUCCUAGUGAUAAGAUAGCUUAUUAUGCAUUAAGAAUGUUCAUAUGAGUCACUUAAGGUAAUACAAGCUAAGAGUUUUUGAAUCCAUCAAGUUUUAGUGUCUGAUUUUGCGAGGGUCAUUUUUGAAUGAGUAUAACUCGAUGUUAAUGUUGUGUUUUGGCUGAUUUAGACCCACCAAAUUGUAGAGAAUCAAAUUAGCUUUCCAACGAUAUCAAUUUCACCUUAAUCUAAUACCCGAGCGAAAAUUUAUGCCCUUUUUCGUGAGAGACAGUAAGGAUAGGCGAUUGGUUAGGCGCCGCCCAACCCAAACAUAGGCGAUUUGUUAGGCGCCGCCCAACCUAGCUUAGGAAAUAACUUGGGCGCCACCUAAGUCAGUUCUAGGUUCCAAAAACACUCCGUUUUGAGUUAUUUUAAGGGUAAUUAAGUCUUUUAACACUCCUUACACGUCCCUAAACUUAACCAUACGAAAUAUAUAACUUCUAAACACAUUACAACCCUAUUAACAUCUCAAAGCUCAUCAUCCAAGAGCACUAAAAGAGAAAAACAACUAGGGUUGCAUAAUUAAGCUUGAAGAUCCAAUUUCAAGUAAAUUCCUCCGUGAAUCAUCAAGAACCUCCCUUCCAAGGUAUGCUUAGUGUUCAUCCACGGAUUCCUUUCAUCCGUGGAGUUCAAGAAUCAAUCUUUAAAAUACAAAAGCUUGGUUGAUUGUGGUGAUAUGAUCAUACCUAUGUUUAUGCUUGUUUGUUUUGCUAUAUAAUAGUAUUAUGAUGGUAUAUCUCAUGAAAGUUAAGUUGUUAGUUGAAAAACAUGAUCUUUAGAUGGAUUGAUAGAAUGCAAGUAUGAAAUUCACCUAUUCCUUAAAGAAUGCAUGCAAGGUGUUCGAUAAAAUGCCUAGUAUGUUAGAACUUCAUAUUUACAUGAUUUCAUGAUAUCUAAAUAACAAGUUCAUGUUAGUCAUACACUCCAAUAUGAAUUUCCAUGCAAAUUAUGUGUUGUUAUUGUUGUGGUAUAAAGAAUUAUGAUGAUGAAGAUAUGAAUUAUGUAUGCGAAUUAUAUCCAUGCUUUUCCUACCAUGUUUGAGAUGUUGAAUAAAUACAUGAAGUUUAAUAUCCCCAAAUCAUUACAAUAUGAACUAAAUUUUACAUGUUGUCAUUCCCUUACGCUUGAAUGGUUUCCAUGCUAUUGCUAUGAAUAGUAUAUGUUGUCGGAAUGCCCAUGAUAUUAGAAUAUGAGAUUUAUGACUUGAUUAUAAGCAUUCCUAUUCAUGAUAGAUAUUAUGAUGACCAUGUACUUCAUGAAAUCCCCCACUCAUGUAUUAUGGAUUUUUAUUGAUGGUCGUGUACUCAAGAAAUUCAAGUUGUGUCAGUUUUCUUCCAUUGAGUACUGGGGGUAAUUGUAUCCAAAAAAUAUAGCUGUGUACCUAGAGCCAUGUCAUGUUUUCACGAUACUCUCAGUUAAGCCAUGAUCUAUAGAAUUCAGUCAGUCAUGUGACUCAGGAAAACUCAAAAAUCUCAGUAAUCUCAGUAGUCCAGUAAUCUCAGUGCUCAAUAACCUUAGCAACCUUAGUAUUCACAGUCAAUCCCAGUAACUUUAGUACUCUCAACCAGCCCUCAGAACUCAGUACAUUCCGUUAGUCAUUGGAAAUCUAGUAAACUUAGUUUAGCUCUGCUAAACAAUACCACUAGUAUUAGUCCAGUUAAUCAGUAUCAGUUCAGCUAAUCAGUUCAGUUCAGUUAUUCAGUUCAUCUUAGUUAUUCAGUUCAGUGUCCUUCAGAUGGGAGUAGAAGUUAGCACCGAGUGAACCCAAGGAUGGGAACUCACCCGCCAGUUCAGGGUGUGAUUCUUAGUAGUCAUCCUUGUGUUCCAAAACUACCCAGCGUAGGUUGAGAUAUCUUAACCCAUCAGAUUAGGGUUGAUGAGGUGGAUUAACCCAUCAGUUUAGGGUUCCCACCAUUCUCAUUGAGUCCCUGCCAGUAUAGGGUUCUCACAGUUGUCCUUACUAGUGGGGCGGUAUUGACACCCCUCCAGUCGGGGCAGAGAUUGGACCCCAGCUUAGCUAUUAUAGCAUAUUUGGGGCAUGUCGAUUAGAUAACUACUUCCCAUAUUUCAGUUAUAGAUUUCAAGACUGUUAGCUAUAGCUAUCCAGUCUCAAUAAAGAACUCAGAUAUCUCUUUAGAUUUUAGUAUAUCAGGUUUGUCAGAUACAGUCAACUCAGAAAUAGAAUGGAACUCAGAUAGUUUCCUUCAAAUUUAUGGACUGUGAGAUAUAGUCACUUAUGCUAUCAAUCACAAUAUUUAUCAGAACUCAUGCUAUCAGUACUCAGCUUCAGGACUGUCAGAUAAAGUCAAUCAGACCAAUUCUUCAUAAUUCGAACUGUCGGAAAAAAUCAUUCAUUUAUUAGUAAUGCAAUAUAAGUAUCUUAGUAUAUCAGUAAUACAGUAUCAGAUCCAUUAUUUAUUAGUGAUUCACAUAUCAAUAUUAGUAAACUCAGUCUUUCAGAAUCUUAUUAUCAGUACACUCAUGUUGUCAGUAUUCAAACUUCGUAGUCUGUAUCUCUACGAGUUCAAUUACAGUUAUGUAUGCAUGUAUGUACUCUCACGUUCAUAUCAGUCAGUAUUGUCCAUGCAUAUAACCCUUUACAUUUAUUCUACCUCACUCGUAUACUCAGUAUAUUCAGACGUACUGACGCAUUUACGCUAUGGUGCUUUCUCUUAUGUUACACCAUAGGUUUAGAGGCAUAGCUCCAAAUUAGCAGUAGAUUCCAGGAUCAGCAGUCAGAGUUAGACGUGAGUCCUCAUCCUUCAAGGACAUGAUGAUUUUAUUUCUAUUUCAGUUUUCACUUUAUUUCAGUAGUUGGAGUUAGUUGAGGACAUGUCCCACCAACUCCUUAUUCAGUUCAGUUAGAGGAUUUCAGACUAGAUAUAAGAUUAAAUGUUCAGACUUUAGUAUUUAUGUUCCUUUUUGGUAUUAUUAUACCAUACUUUUCAAAUAUGUAUUAGUAUUGAACCUUAUGGCCUUACAGUUCAUAUUUCUGCAUAUUUUAUGAGAUAUUAUGCAGCUUAUAGUUACAGAUAUCAGUCAUAGGUUAAAUUGUGGUCCUUCGGGGUCAUGAUCACCAUGUAGCAUACCGGUUCACCGAAUUGGGAUGUUACAUUAUUGAUCUUGAGAAGGCAUAUGACAGAGUUCCCAGAGUGAUUUUAUAAAGGUGCUUGGAGGUUAGAGGGGUGCCCAUGGCGUACACUAGGUCAAUUUAGGAUAUGUAUGAUGUUUCAAAGACUCGUGUGAGUAUGAUAAAAGGUGAUUCAGAGGACUUUCUAGUUUUGAUAGGUUUGCACCAGGGAUCGACUCUUAGCCAUUUUUCAUUUGCCUUAAUAAUGGAUGUAUUGAUGUGGCAUAUUCAAGUAGAGGUGCCUUGGUGUAUGUUAUUUUUUGAUAUAUGGUAUUGAUCGAUGAGACUCGAGGAGGAGUUAAUGAUAAGUUGGAUAUUUGAAAACUGACCCUUGAGUCUAAAGAAUUUUGGUUGAGCAUCACUAAGAUGGACAACUUGGAGUGUAAGUUUAGUGAUAUGUUGUAGGAGGCUGACAUGGUUGUGAAGAUGGACUCUUAGUCCAUUCAGAGGAGGGAGAUUUUCAAGUAUUUGGUUUUAUGAUUCAGGGAAAUGGUAAGAUUGAAGAGGAUGUCACGCAUCGUAUUAGGGAAGGGUGAUUGAAAUAAAGGCUCACUUUGGAAGUUUUAUGAGAUAAGAAGGUGCCCCUGAAGCUUAAAGGUAAGUUCUAUAGAGUGGCAGACCAAUAGACUAUGUUGUAUAGAGUAAAGUAUUAGCCAGUUAAGAACUCCCGCAUCCAGAAGUUGAAGGUGGCGGGGAUGAGGAUGUUGUGAUACAUGUGUGGACAUAUCAGGAAAAAUAGGGUGAGGAAUGGGAUUAUUCAGGAGUAGGUGAAGGUGUCUUCAGUGGAGGAAAAAAUAUCAGAAGUAUAGUUACGUCGUUCAGACACAUGAUAAGGAGGGGCUCUGAGGCUCCAGUGUGGAGGUGUUAGUCACUAUCUAUGGAUGGUUUUAGGUGAGGUAGAGGUAGGCUAAAUAAAUAUUGGAGGGAGGUGAUUAGGCAUUGCAUAGAGCAGUUACAGCUGACAGAGGACAUGACCUUUGAUAGAAAAGUGUGGACGAUACAGAUUAGGGUAGGUUUAGGGGUGGGACCAUUUCUUUAUUUGUGUUUGAAGUUUCUUGUUUAUGGGUAUUGCGUGAUGUCUAUGUUUUUGGUUAGAUAAUUUUUUAGUAGCAUCUGGUGGUUGUUAUUGUAAGACCCCUCAAAGUUCCCUUGUUGUGAGAGCUUUCAAAAUGAGUCACAUGGAGCCUAACACUUGGAACUUUAGCUAAGUGUUCAACACUUAGUUUAUUUUGAACCUUCAAACUUUGGAGAAUUAAUUCAUGAUCUUUCCGACAUCCGUUUUUCAAUUUUCAAGUUGUGUUACAAUCGAUCAAGCUCAUAGCACAUAUCGGAUGAGUUUUAGAAUUUUUCAGAACGCAUAAGGCCGCGUUUGGAUUUCAAACCAGUAGCAAAAAUACUACUUUUGCCCAAUUUUCAGCAUUUCAGGUCAACUUCCAACGAUCAUAACUUCCUGUAUUUAACGAACUGGGUGAGCUACUAUAUAUCAAAUGAAAUAUCUUUGAGUAUUUUUUCCAAUGAAGUUGGUUUCAUCCAAUUUCAUCAUCGGAGUAAAAAGUUAUGAUCAAUUUACUUCAGCAUGUCAAACCAGUGACUGAGGGACCAAUGUGACUUUAUUUGUUUCCUUAGGGGGAUUUUGGUCAUUUACCAUCCCCCAAUUAUUCUUUAAAACGGGAUUCAGCUUACAUUGGACCAAAAUUUGGUCAUUUAUCUGAAAAUUCUCAAGAACCAAACACAUGAGCUUCAACCAAGAAUUCAAGAUCUCUAAAAUUCAACCACAGGAAUUCAAAAAUAAUUUAGGAAUCAUAAUUCCCAAGUUGAGAUCUUCAAGAAGCACCUAUUAUUUUACGAGUAAAGUUCCAGAAUCGCAAGUUCAUCUAAAGUUACAAAUUUGAGGUAUGUGGGGUUUGAACAAUAAUAAUCCUUCCGGUCUUGUGCUCAAAACUUGAAUUUUAUAAAGAUUACGUAAAUUUUUAUGUUGAAGUUUAUACCAAUNNNNNNNNNNNNNNNNNNNNNNNNNNNNNNNNNNNNNNNNNNNNNNNNNNNNNNNNNNNNNNNNNNNNNNNNNNNNNNNUUGAGAUAUACAUAUUUUGAUUUAUAUUUUCCUAUUAAGAAUUGAUGUUGUUGAAUUUAUUUGAAAUGAGUAUUGAGAAUGAAUUUACAAAAUUUGUGAUAUGAAUUUUGAGUUGUUGAAAUUAUGAUAUUUAUGUCAUGAAUUUAUUUCCAAUAUUUUAAUUAAGAUAAGUGAAGAUUUUCGAGAUGACUGUUGAGUAUAAAAUUUAGAUAUGAUUUUGAUGUAUUAAAUCUUUAUAUUUUGGGUUUUAAAUAUAUGUGAUGAAAUUAUAAGUAGAUUUUGAUCUCGAGUUGUGUACAUGAUUUUAUAAGUAUUUCCCAAAAUCAAAGAUUGUUGUUUUAAUAUUGAACAAGUAUGGAAUUUGAGAUGAUAUUUUGGAAGAUGGAAUCAUUAUAUUUAUGUCAAGGUUGAAAUUGGAUUUUUAUGAUAUUACGAUUUGGAGUUUUCCUUUAUCAAAUUAUUUACCGAGAUUUGAAUUGAAAUUUAUAUCAUGAUUUUUGAGUUGAAAGUAGGGAUCCAUAAUUUAUUAUGAUUCAAUUAUGAGAAAUAUGAUUUGACCUUCAUUAUAGGCCGUUGAGAUUAUUUUGAGGUAGAUUUCCUAAAUGAGACUGAGCUUGAGUACGGAAGUAGUAUUUAGCACCGAGCGGGAGGUGUGGGCGAGCAUACCCUACUUCCCCAGAACUACGUGCCACCGUAGGAUUGAGAUUUGUGGUCCUAAGGCCGAGUUUUUGAUCACUGAGUUGAGGUUAUACUCCCUGGGAAGAGUAUAAUGCUCCUUCCCAAUGUGGGGUUUCUUCCUUAGGAGGACAAAACGUUGGACUCCAUGAUAAGCUCACAUGGUUUAUGUCGGUUAUAAGAAAAUCCCAUGGUGUGUGUGUGUCUCUGCUCUAUCUAAGAUAAGUGUGUAUGGUUUGAAAACUAUGAUUUGUGAGAAAGUUCCUUGUUUCCGAAAGAUUGAAAUGUUAUGUUCUAAAGAGAGUUGUUUUAAGACUUGAUUACUUUACAAGUUGAAAUCGAGCAGAAAGUGAAUUUGAAACAUAUUGUAAUGACUCACGUGAUUUAUUUUACAUGUAUUAUUCAUCCAUGAUUUUGAUGAUUUAAUUCAAGCUAAGUGAGUUAUUUAUAUCAGCAUGCAUAAUUUUAUAAACUGUGAUGAUAUUCAGAUAUUAUUUUAUAUAUGUAUUGCACCCCCAUAUGCUCGGUACAUUUACAUGGUACUGACCCACAUAUUCGUAUGUGGGAUACAUUUUCUCGGAAUGUAGGUACAAGGUAUAGUAUGCACCUUUAUAUCCUGUCAGUUCAUGGUAUCCAGUCAGCAGGUGAUGAGUCUUUUUGAUUGAAAGGUUUGGGUCAGUUAUGCAGAGCUAAUAGUGUUGUAUUUUCUUUAUUCGGUCGUAUUGAGUUGGGAUAGUCGGGUGUCAUGACCUGGCUACCUACAGUCAAUACUAGUAGAGGCUUCAUAGACAGUCAGUAGAAGUUGAUGUAUUCUGUUUCAGUUUUGGUUGUAAAGGCAGAAUUGUAAUCUUGUAAAUUCAGUUUUGUAUCGAUCAGAUUCAGAAAAGAGUUAUUUUCCGCAGAUUUGUAUAGAUUUACACAUUUUGUUCAGUUGCUUAUGAGUUAUGCCAGUAGAAGGGUUAGAUUGGGGUCUCUUAUGACCCUAAGCACCGUGUGACGUCUCGGAACCCGAUUUUGGGGUGUUAUAGUUAUAUUACAUUACUAUACUGUUAUCUGUGCUAAGCCGGGGUCUAUCAAAAACAACCUCUUUACUUCUUCGGAGGUAGUGCUAUAGUUUGCUUACACUGUACCCUCCCCAGACCCCACUAUGUAGGAAUACACUGGGUAUAUGGUUAUUGUAUGCAAUUGGAAAGACUAAAUUAAACUUGUCGUUGACCCUAUGUACUCAUCCCUAAUUUUAGAUAAAUCAAUUUAGGUAUUAACUUAAUAUUAAGUUAAUAUGAAUCAUUUCUACUCAGACUGAUCGAUUGAUGACUUAAGUCAGGAGGAAUGCAAAACCAACAUCAUGUAAUUGCAAAGACUCAAUUGAAGUUAUAGUUGACCCUAUGUACUCAUCCCUAGUUCUAGAUAAAUCAAUUUAGGUAUUAACUUAAGAAUAAGUUAAUAUAAAUUAUUUCAACUCAGAGUGAUCGAUCGAUGACUCAGGUCGGGAGUAACGCAAUACUAACAUCAUUCGAUUGCAAAGGCUCAAUUGAAGUUGUAGUUGGCCCUAUGUACUCUUCCCUAAUUCUAGCUAAAUCAAUUUAGGUAUUAUCUUAAUAUUAAGUUAAUAUGAAUCGUUUCAACUUAGAGUGACUUAUUAACGACUAGGAUUGGGAGGAACGCAAUACCAACAUCAUGUAAUUACAAAGACUCAAUUGAAGUUAUAGUUGGCACUAUAUAUUCAUCCCGAGUUCUAGCUAAAUCAAUUACAAAGAAAUUUGUUGCAACAGACGACUAAGCUGUUGGAAAUUUUUAUAUAGAUAUUGAGAUUUGUUGCAACAGAUUACCUAUUUGAUUUAAUUAUCAAAUAGAUAUUUGCAUCUGUUGUGACAGAUAACUAAGCUGUUGGAAAUUUUCAAAUAGAUAUUGAUAUUUGUUGCAAUAGAUGACAUAUCUAUUUGAAUUUUUUUUUUAAUUUUAAAGCAAUCUUCUAUACAGAAGAAGAAAGAUAAAGUACUACUAAGGCGGUAAAACAUAUUUCUUGGAUAACUCAAAAAUCUCCUCAUUGAGUAGUCUUAUAUUAUUUUUUCAAUGUCACCUAUCUUCCUCAUGCCCCUUAAGUUAUUAAUGAAUAUUUAAACUUAUGUCUAGAAUUAUCUCUCCUUCAGCCUAAAUUUACUCAUCUUUUUUUUUUCUUUCUUUCUUUUUAGGAUUAUCACAGUUGUCUUCUUUUUUCUCUUUUUAUCUCCUCUUUCUCAUAAGAAUCCUGUCGAAUCUAAACCAAUCUAUAUCUUUCCUCGACUGAAAUUGUUAUUUGAUCCCCUUGCAUUUGACAUUGCAGGUAUGGUUCACUAUUGCUCUUUCAUUCUCGUCUUCUUCUUUGCAAGUUAUUUAAAUUAGUUAUUUACAUUUUUUUUAUUUAAUUACCCUUUACCUAUAUCAUAUUUAUUUACAAAAUUUGAAGGAAUGGCUGCUUUUAAGUCUUGAAUGAAUGAACUAUUGUUUUUAUUAAAAUAUGUAAAAAAAAAAGUCAUUUGUUGGGAGAAGUUUAAAAGCCUUGUUGGCAGUAUCAUUUUUUUUGUAUGUAUUUUGGUUGGUUUUUUGUCGUUGAUGUUGUUAUUGAUGUUUUUGGUGGGGUUGGUGUUGUUGGAACUUGUGGUGUGGUAUUGUUGAUGGUGUUGGAACAAAUAAUAUUGUUUCUUUGUUGUUGAUGUUGUUUCUUUGUUGUUGAUAUUGUUGUUGAUGUUGCAACAGAAAGAGAAACAGUUGGAACAAAUCAAACCACUAGUAAGGUUGUUUUGAUGUAUUCCAACAGAUUACACAUCUGUUGUAACAGACUCCACAUCUGUUACAAUAGAUUGAUAAUUUGUUGAACAGAUGGAAAGCUGUCACAACAGAUGUGGAGCAUGUUGUAAUAGAUGUGUAAUUUGUUACAAUAGAUGGAUAGUAUUCUUUCUGUUCCUCUCUUGUUUGACAUCAAUUAUUUUUCUCUUGUUUGUAGAUAUAAGGAAAUAAAAGAUGAUCAACUUUUUCCCGACCAACACAAGAGGCUACAGUAAAGAUGGGUUCAGAGGAAUAAGUUCCUUGCAGAUGGAACCACUUUAUAUAUGGGAGGUAUGUCAUACUAAUAAUGUUAUCGCGAAAUACACAUAAAGUACACUGAUUUUGUGAAUUUUGUUUUUUACCGAUUAGGCAUUGAUCAUUCAAAUAAGAUAUCUACAAUUUUACAAUUAAAUUUGAUAGGUCCAAACUGAUAAAGUUGAGGGACCAUGAAUAUGGUUCUGAUACCCUAUUAAGAUUUAAUGACGGGUUUUGGUCAUGUUUAUAUGCCAAGCAUAGUGAAAGGAUCAAGUUUUGGUGGCAUUGUAAAAUAAUUUAAUAGCGAUUAGACUAACUUUUAAGGUGCAUUGGACUCUGAGAGGGCCUUCGAAGCCUCCCAGUACUUCAACCAAGAACGAAAAUCAAUAUAGUUAUUGCCUUAAUCCAAAUAUUUGGUUGUGUUUCUCAGGGUGAUGAUUACACGCUAGAAGGUACGGUAGAAGAAUACCUGUGAGGGAAAAGAGGUGUUGAUGAAUGACUAUAUCAUUUGAGAGCUAAUUGAAGAGAAAACAUAGGGUGGAAAGGAACUUCUAGCGAAUCUGGCCGAUGGAAUUGACUUAGAACACGAGAAAUAUGAAUCAAGUGCAAAUAUGAAAGUUUUUCCAUAAAUGAAAAUCCAUCUAUUGUCUAUCUCAAAGAAAAAUAGUGCAGCUAGGCACUUUUUUAGGGAUCUUCAACUAGGUAGCGUGGUCGGGAUGAUUAACUACAUAGAAAAUAACAAAACACCAAAAAAAAUAGUUUUGCGGACACCGAGGAUUAAAAUGAUGUACAAUAAGUCAAGAAAACUUAUGCCAAGAAAAUCUGCAGUUAAAAUAAGGAAUCUAAGCAAAGACGGUAAUUUAUGAAUUUUAAAUUGCAUCCCAUGCCUUCAUUUUUAUGGUUCCAAUUAGGUCCACUAUUAUUGACCUUAUUGGAACCACAAACAAGAUUGAAAGGCAGAUUGAGUAUCAUUACUUGCUUAGCAAUAUGGAUAUAUAUGAUUGUGUUUUCUUGCCUUAGCAUGCUUUCAACAUAUCUUGGAGAAGAUUAGAUGUUUCUUGUAGUGUGUGAAUCCCGAUAAUUUUCAAGCUUGCCUCCAGUUUGCUGAUUCAGUAUUUAAGUUUGUCAUUGUCGACUUUAAGAUUAGUAUAGAGUUCUUGGUAUUUUGUGAGCUCGUCUAUGAGGAACACUUCCUUUAAAGUUGUGGCAUUGUAAAAGGCCUUCAGAAGGCUUCCAAAACACUUUCUUCAGAUAGGUUAAAUGAUACAUGGAGGGUCGCUAUAUUUGUUUUAGGUCAACGUGUUGAUGCACACUCAAGCAGUAGUUCCAAUAGUUGAACAACUCGCUUUCUCGAACGUUAUUCAACGCAGUUUGUUCAACUAACAUUUAAAUGAUUUGAUAGGAUAAUGAGCCUGAAAUUACGUAACAUUUGAUCAAAAUUUAUUCUACUAAUCCUAUAACCUAAAUGCUAGGAAACAAUUUAUUUGGAUUAGUGGAAUCAGUUUAGAUCAAACGUUAUGUAAUUCCGGGCUCAUUAACCUAUCAAAUCCUUUGAAGGUUAGUUGAACAAGAUGCACUGAACGAAUCUCAAGAAAGUGAGUUGUUUAAUCGUUGGGACCAUUGCUUGAGUGUGCAUCAACACGUUAACCUAAAACAAACAUCGCGACCCACCAUGUACUAUUUAAGCCUUCUUAAGAAAGUGUUUCGAAAGCCUUCUGAAGGCCUUUUACAAUGUCACAACUUCAAAGGAAAUGUUCCUCAUUGUCGAGCUCACAAAGGACCAAGAAAGUAAUAAUAACCUCAAAGACGGCAACGACAAACUUGAAUACCGAAUCAGCAAGCUGGAGGCAAGCUUGAAAAUUAUUGGGGAUUCACAUACUACAAGAAGCAUCUGAUCUUCUCCAAGAUAUAUUGAAAGCAUGCUAAGGCGAGAAAACAUAAUCAAUUAUAUCCAUAUUGAUAAGGAAGUAAUGAUAAUCAAUGUACCUUUCAAUCUUGUUUGUGGUUUCGAUCAUGUCAAUAAUAAUGAACCUAAUUAGAACCAUAAAUAAGAAGGCGUGGGAUGCAAUUUAAAAUUCAGAAAUCGCCACCUUCGCUUAGAUUCCUUAUUUUAACUGCAGCUGUACUUGGCACAAGUUUUCUAGACUUACUGUACAUCAUUUCAACCCUCAGUGUCUGCAAAGUUACGUUCUUGGUGUUCUGUUAUUUUCUAUGUAGGAGAUCAUCCCAACCAUACUACCUAGUCGCAGCUCCCUAGCAAAGUGUCCAUCUUCACUACUUUUCAUUGAGAGAGACAACAGACGAAUUUUCAUUGCUGAAUGCACUUUCAUAUUUGCACUUGAUUCAGAUUUCUCGUGUUUAAUUCAGUUUCAUCGGCCAGGUUCGCUAGAAGUUCCUUGCUACACAAUGUUUUCUAUUCAAUUAACCCUCAUAUGAUAUAGUCUUUCAUCAACUCCUCUUUUCCCUUACAAGUAUUCUCCUAUGGAUCUUUCUGGAGUAUAAUCAUCUUCUUAAAUAACCCUUCCAUAUAAAUUUAGGCCAGGGGAAUUUCUAUUGGUUUUUCAUUCUUGUUUGAUGCAGUGCGAGGCUUCAAACACCUUCUCAAAGUCCAAUACACAUUAAAGUUAAGUAGAAUCGCUAUUGGAUCUCUGCAAUAAUGUCACGACCCAAAAGUAAAGGUCAUGAUGGCACUUAUCGCGACAUACCUUAACAAGUAAGCCUAUCACCCAAACCGAUAAAAAAAGAGAAAAAGACAGAAAUAUCCCAAGGUAAGGCUUCUAGAAUGAAGUUGAACCAUAUAAGUAAUCAUAACAAUACGAAAAGAACUUAUCCAAAAUACCAAUCAUGCCCAAAACCAAGUGUCAAUUGUGUAAGAACUACUAAUACACUCUACUAAUACACUCCAGGAUUCAAUUACAUCAAAAAAAUAACCGAAAGGGAAUAAUAUCUGUCUCCAAAUACUAAUAAAGACAUAACUACUAUAGAAAGAUAGAGGUUAACUUUGGAUGCAUAAAUUUCCAACUGUUGCCUUGGAAGCUCCAAUAAUCGCACGAGUCAAGCGAGCUAAGGCACACUCGAGCUAGGACCUACACUGAAAAGGCACAGUAGGCAUGAGUACGGUCUACUUGUACUUAGUAGGUAUCAUAGGAUGACCAAGAAAAGUAGUAAAUAAAUAAUAUAAAAUAUACACCAAGGGUACGUCACUUGCAAUCAGAAAAUGUCCCACAACGGUAGCCCACACCGCUUACACUAACAGUUCUAUAGUAUCCAUAUAUAAUACAAAAACUUACAAGAUAGGGAUACAAAUAUACACAAUAUCACAUACAUGUAGAACAAAAGAGGGACAUGUAUAAACAAGAUCAUCAAAUACAAUUAAAGGAAGAUAGAACAAUUAGACGUUAACAAGUCAAGAUAUAGAACAAAUAGGUAGAUGACAAUUCAAUAUGGCAAUUCAAACACAACAUAAACACAAUAAGAGGGUGCAAUGUAUAUGAUGAUGAUGUAUGGUAUUGGAACACAACCUCAAGUUUGGCACAAAACCUCAAGUUUGGCACACAACCUUAAAUUUGGCACACAGCCUCAAGUUUGGCAUACAGCCCCAAGAUCACCAAUACCUCAACUCUUCUCCAACAUAAUUCUUCGGAGAUGAUCCAUAAAAUCCAAUAUCCGUUACCAAUAUCCAGUAUUUUAGUAUUUUCAAUAUUUUUAAAGCACAUACAUAAAAUAAGACAUAAAUAAAGUACACAUACACGACAACAAGUAUAUAUAUAAAUUGUAAAAUGAACAAGUGAAAUGAUGUGUAUGAUGACAUGAGAAUGAUCAUGCAAUGUUCACAACCAUUCAAAAUGAGUAUUUCCACAACCAAUCCACGUGAUGUAUUUUCACACCCAAUCCACAUGAUGUAUUUCCAUAACCAACCACAAUGUUCUAAUUCUACAACCACAUGAACCAAUAUCCACUCAUUACUUCCGUUUUAUCCAUGAAGUUCCACAAGUCUUAUGUACCAAUAAGUAUGGAUAUAUCACAAUAUAUCAAUGAAACCACAUUAGGCAUUUCAACAACAUAAUACAAUUAUUCACAUGCAUUCAAGACUAUCAAUGUCACAUAGGACCCCACACGGUCACACAUAUCACAUAAUAUCUCAAUUUCAACAAUUACAUUACAUAUAGGACCCCACACGGGCACAACACAUAGAUAGACAUUUUUCAUGAUUAGUUCUCACCCUUAACAUGCAUUUUGUAUCAUUAUUUACUACCCAGUCAAGUUUGAAAGAGUUAAGCCAUAACCUACCUCAAAAGUCGAAACAAGUUCGCUACACUUCGAACCCACAAUCUUACUUUUCACGAAAAAUCUCAAACUCCACUAAAAAUAUCAAUUAUGAAAUCUAUGCGUCAAAACAAAAUCAAUGACACUCAUAUUGACUACUUUUGAUUUGGGGUUAAUACGGACUCCCGAAAUAGGUUUCCAAAAAAGAAGGGCAAAAUCAGAACUUUACUUCAAAAACGUUUUUUUCAUAUUCUUAGGAAUCUACAGCUAAAAUUCCAAGUCAAAUCGAGUCACAAAUGAGGUUCAAAUCGAAGAAAAAUCAUUUUGAGCUUUACCGGGUAAAAUUUUUAAAAUCCGGGUUAAAAUCAAGAAUCAGAGUUGUUUUGAAGGUUAAAUUGAUAAAAAAAAAAAAACAAACUAGUAAUUAUAAGAUAAAAAUAUUAUUCAAGUGAAAAUGGGGGGUUAAACUCAAGCCCUAAAAAUUUUGGGGUUUUGAGAAAUUAAUUAAGAAAUUACUAAGAAAAAUGUGAAUUCUUACCUUAAAUCCGUAAUAAAAUCAAGAAAUAGAUGUUAAUCUAGCUUUUCAAGCUCCCACAAGCUUCACUUUUAAGCUCUCACAUUAUUUUAGGAUUUAAUUUCAACAGGCAAGAUGAAAAAUGAGAAAAAAAUGGGUCCAAAACUGAUUUAAUAGUGCAGCAAAAAUUGCACCAGCAAUAUAAAGAAAAAACUGCAGUUUUUUUCUUUAUUUUAAGUCCAAUUCAGACUUCGAAGGGGUGUCCAGGAUUCAUUUGGAGUCUGCUAUAUGCAAACGAACUACUCGACCAUACUAAAGUCAACGUUUCGAACGUGUUGGCGAAGUCAAAUUUUCCAAAAAAUAUCAUUUUCAUAAAGUUGACCCCCGAAAUUCCGAAAUCAUAAUUUUCCAAACCGAGGGUCGAAUGAGAUUUAAAAGCCGUUAAAUUAUACCAAACAUGCUAACACCCUACACUCGAUAUUUUGAAUCUGAUGGAGAAGUUGGAUUUUCUAUCUGAGGUCGUUACGAUCAAAUAUGGGUCCCACGCUCAUAUUUUUAAUAUUUUCAACUUUCCAAUCAAUAGGUCGAAAUGUGUUCGGGUGCAUCGAGACCCAAACCAAAGGUCUACCUAGAGAAAAAUCGAUAUUUCGGAGCUGCUGACGUAGUUCGUUCAUCCAUCCACCGCAUGGAUCAAAAGAUAUCUCCAUAAGUCGAAAAUAAGGCUCUCAAAGCUAUCAAAAACCACAAUAUCGCUUAAAUGAUACCAAAAUGCAUCAAAAUCAUGUCAAUCACUCCCCCGCCUCAGAAAUACCAUAAUGAAACUACGGGGAGUGGUAAAAUAGUCAAAUCAUAUAAAAUAACAAAUUUCACAUAUUUAAUCUAAUUUUUAGGUCAUUACAUCAUCCACCACUAAAAAUCUAAUUCGUCUUCAAACUAAGGCAAAGAAAUACCUAAAUCAAUGAAGAGCUGAGGAUAAGAACUACACAUAUCAGACUCGAACUCCUAAGUAGAUUCAUCUAUAGGUUGAUAUCGCCACUGGACCUUAACUACCGGGAUCACUCUCGAGUGCAACCGCCUAACAUCUCUAGCCAAAAUGGAAAUCAACUUCUCAACAAACGACAAUUGCUUAUCUAGCUGAACUGACUCCUAAUGAAUAAUAUGAGACUCAUCCGAAAUAUAGCGACGAAGCAUAGAAACAUGAAAAACUAGAUGAACAGCUGAUAGAUCAGGGGGUAAAGCCAACUCAUAGUCACAUAACCAAUAGUCUGAAGAAUCUCAAAUGGACCAAUAUACUUGGGUCUAAGCUUGCUAUUCUUCCCAAACCUCAUCACACCCUCCAUGGGUGAAACUCGAAGGAAAACAAGAUCAGCAACACCAAAUCUCAAGGCACGAAGUCUACGACUAGCAUAGCACUUCUGCCUAAUCUGAGCUGCACUAAGUCUAUCCUGAAUGAUCCAAACUCUGACCAAAGACUCACGAAGCAAGUCUGCACAUUGAGGUCUUAUCUCUGUAACAUCAAACCAAUCCACUGGGGAGCGACAACGUCUACCAUACGAUGCCUCAAAAGGAACUAUAUCAAAACUGAAAUGGUAGCUAUUAUUAUAUGUAAACUCUGCUAAAGCCAAAUGCUACUCCUACAGGCCACCAAAUUCUAUCACACACGCGUGGAGCAUACUCUCAAACCUGGAUAGUCCGCUCUGUCAGGCCAUCAAUCUGGGAUGAAAUGUUAUGCUAAGAUCAAAUCGAGUACCCAACUCAUCCUGAAAAGUCUUCCAAAGGUGAGAUGCGAACACAGAACCUCAAUCUAAAAUAAUAGACAUCAACGCACCAUGUAGAUUCACAAUCUCACAAAUAAAGAUAGGAGCUAACCUCGAAUGAGACUCGAAUCGGAAUAAAAUAAUUUGACUUGGUCAAUCGAUCCACGAUGACCCAAGCACUAUUAGAACCAUGAGAUGUAUGAGGCAAACCAGUCACAAAGUCCAUGGUGAUCCAUUCCCACUUCCACUCAGGAAUAGGUAACCUCUAAAGCAAUCCACUAGGUCUUAUAUGCUCAGCCUUCACCUCCUGACAACAUAGGCAAUGAGCCAUAAAAUUCAUAAUAUCUCACCUCAUAACACCCCACCAGUAGUGUUUUCUCAAAUCACGAUACAUCUUAGUCACACCUGGAUGGAUAAAAUAUAUGGAACAAUGGGCCUCUUCCAAGAUCAACCUAAUCCAAUCACCACUCUCGGCACACAAACUUAGCCCCUAAUCCUCAAAACUCUAUCUGAAUUAAGUGAGUCUUCCUUAGUCUUCUCACUCAACAUCUUAUCUCAAAUCAACCUCAAUCCAACAUCGUCAAACUGAUGAGCUCAAAUCUGCUCCAUCAAAGAAGAUCUAGCCACCACAAAUGCCAAAACACGCCCCGAUGUUAAAAUAUCAAGUGUAACCAUCUAGUCAAAGACAGAACCUUUAAGGCCAAUAGCCUCUCCUAGGUCAAAAGACAUGCCAACCCACCCAUGCUAGUCGACUUUCGGCUCAAGUUAUCCACAACCACAUUAGUCUUUCUCGGAUGGUAGAGAAUAGUUAAAUCAUAAUCCUUAAGCAAAACAAGCCAACGACGCUACCUCAUAUUAAGAUCUCGCUGGGUGAAGAAAUACUGAAGGCUACGGUGAUCUAAAAAGGUCUCACAACAGACUUCAUUCAAAUAGUGCCUCCAUAACUUCAAGGUAAACACAACUGCGAACAACUCCAAAUUAUGGGUAGGAUAAUUCCUCUUAUAAGGCUUCAACUGACGAGAUGCAUGCGCAAUUACGUUUCCUUCUGCAUCAACACAGCACCUAACCCAACACCUAAAAUAUCACAAAAGAUGAUAAAUCUCACACCUUCCUUGGGCAAAACCAAUAUAGGAGAUGAAGUCAAUAAAUCCUUGAGCUUUUGGAAGCUCACCUCAUAAGCAUCAGACCACUAAAAAGAAAUCUUCUUCUGAGUCAACAUAGUCAAUGGAGCUAUAAUGGAUGAAAAACCCUUAACAAAACACCAAAUCUCGGUGGGUGAAGUAGGUCUAGCCCAAUUACGAACCACUGCAACCUUGGUUGGAUCAACCAUAAUACCUUCUUUAGUCACUACAUAAUCUAAGAAAGAAAAAGACUCCAACCAAACUCGCACUUUGAGAACUUUGCAUACAACUUCUUAUCCCUCAAUCUCUGAAGCACAAUCCGCAAAUUCUCCUUAUGCUCAACCUUACUCUUGGAAUACGCCAAGAUAUCAUCUAUAAAUACGAUAACAAAGGAUUCAAGAUAUGGUCGAAACACCAUGUUCAUAAACUCUAUGAAUACGACAAGGAUAUUGGUCAACCAAAAAGACAUGACCAAGAACUCAUAAUGACCAUAUCGAAUCCAAAAAAUUGUCUUCAAAAUAUCCAAAGCUCUAAUCCUCAACUGGUGAUAAUUGGAUCUUAAAUCAAUCUUCGAAAACACUGCAGCACCCUAAGACUGAUCAAACAAAACAUCGAUGUGAGGAUACUUAUUCUUAACCAUCACCUUAUUUAACUGUCUAUAAUUAAUGCACAUCCAUAUAGAUCCAUCCUUUUUUCAUCACAAACAAGAUAAACGCACCCCAAGGUAAAGCACUAGGUCAGAUAAAUACCUUAUCCAACAACCCUGCAAUUGAUCAUUCAGUUUCUUCAACUCUGCUGAGGCCAUCCUAUAAGCAGGAAUGGAAAUGGGCUUGGUGCCCGACUAAACAUCAAUAAUAGAAUCAAUAUCUCAAUCCGAAGGUAUAUUAGGCAAGUCUGUAGGGAACACAUCCAUAAACUCAUGGACAAUACGGACAGAAUCUAAGGAAGAGACGAAAUAACACUAGUGUCAUGAAUAUGGGCCAAGUAAGAUAAACAUCUCUUCUCAACAAAUUUAUAAGCCUGAACAUAAGAUAUGACCCUCUUAGGACCCGAAUGAAGUACAUCCUUCCAAGCUAUCCUUCGCACAUCCGGUGAAGCUAAAGUAACGGUCUUAGCAAAACAAUCCAAGACAUCAUGAUAAGGUGCUAACCAAUACAUACCCAAAAUAAUCAUCAAAAUCAAUCAUAUCUAACACAAGCAAGUCUACUAAAGUCUCAUACCCAGCAAAAGUCAUAAUACAAUAUCGGUAUACUCGAUCCACCACUAAAGAAUCACCUACUGGGUAGAUACACGAAUAGGCAUGGCAAGAGGCUCACAAACAAAAUCAAAACCCAAAGAAAAAUAUACAGACACAUAGGAGAAAAUCUAUCUGGGAUCAAAUGAUACAGAUGUAGGUCUGAAAUAAAUGGGAAUGGUACCUGUGCUUACAACAUCAGAAGCCUCAGCCUCAGGUCUAGCUGGUAUAGCAUAAAACUGACCACAGCCACUAACUGCCUGGGUGGGCCCACCACCACACCCUCAAGUUUCACUAUCUCUGCCCCUCACACCUUUAGUAGCACCCUACCCCUCAUAGCUAGAAUAGAAGUAGCCCAAACCACCUGACAGGGAUAGUCCUUGGCCACAUGGCUAAUCUCACACUCACAUAGCAACCUCUACGACCAGUAUCAAUAGAUAAAGGUAAAACUGAUCCCAAACGGCCACCCUGAACUGCUGAGUUAAAAGAUCCACCACCUAAACUCUAUAAAGCCGCCACUAGCCUACCAUGGUAUCUACGAGAACCUCUAAAAUCUCUGCCUUGAGAGAUCUAACUUCUGAGCUUACCAAAACAUCAAGCCUUCCUAGUGCCUCCAUGAUAUGCACUAAGAAUACCCUCUGUCAUCUUAGCACGAUCCACUAUACUCUGGAAAGAAACCCCAAACACAACCAUCUGAGAUGUAGCCAACUAAAGAGAAACAUCCAAACCCUUCACGAACUUAUAAAUUUUCAUAGACUUAGUGGAAAUGCUAUUAUAGGAAUAUAUAAAUUGGGCAUGGAAGUGUACCUCAUACUCAACAACUGUCAUGUAGCCCUACUCCAAAUGAUAAAACUCAUCCCUCAUCCGAUCCCUCAAACUAUAAGGCACGAAUCUCUCUAGAAAGGCAUUAACAAACUGAUCCCAUGACAACUUAAGAGCAUCAACAGGCCUACAAUCGACAAAUAAUCUCCACCAAUCUCUCACAACAUAUCUCAACUGAUAGUAGUAUAAACCACACCAUCCGUGCAGAAAGAGUGAAACAUAACUCAGAACACAAGGUAUGAAAGAACUUCGCAUGAUAAAGAAUAAAAUAAGAAAAUUUUUAUAAAGAUGUCCUAUACCUUCUCAAAGAUAGAUAUGGACGUCUAAGUACUGAUCAGUGAGACUAUAGUAGAUAUCCCCUUCUUACACCAUAGUUGGUUUGAUACCAAUUUGUCACAACCCAAAAAUAAAGGUCAUGACGGCACUUAUCGCGACGUACCUUCACAAGUAAGCCAAUCACUCAAACUGAUACCAAAAAAAAAGAUAGAAAUAUCCCAAGGUAAGGCUUCUAGAAUGAAGUCAAACCAUAUAAGUAAUCAUAACAAUGCGGAAAGAACUUCUCCAAAAUACUAAUCAUUCCCAAAACUAGGUGUCAAUAGUGUAAGAACUACUAAUACGCUCCAGGAGUCAAAUACAUUAGAAAAAUAACUGAAAGGGAAUAAUAUCUUUCUCUGAAUAAUAAUAAAGACAUAACUACUAUAGAAAGAUAGAGAUGAACUCCAAACGCAUAAAUAUCCAAACACUGCCUUAGAAGCUUCAAUAAUUGCCUGAGUCUAGUAAGUUGAGGCGUACUUGAGCUAGGACCUACACCGAAAGGGUGCAGUAGACAUGAGUACGGUCCACUUGUACUCAAUAGGUAUCAUAGGCCAACCAAGGAAAGUAGUAAAUAAAGCAUACAAAAUAUAUCCUAAGGGCACGUCACCUACAAUCAGAAAAUGUCCCAUAAUGGUACCAUAUACCGCUUGCACUAAUAGUUCUAUAAUAUCCAUAAAUAAUACAACAACACACAAGAUAGGGAUACAAAUAUACACAAUAUCACAUAUAGGUAGAGUAAACGAGGGACAUGCAUAAUCAAGAUCUUAAAGUACAAUUAAAUAAAGAACAAUUAGACAUUAACAAGGCAAGAUAUAGAACAACUAGGUAGAUGACAAGUUAAUAUGGCAGAUCAAACUCAACAUAAACAUAAUAAGCAGGUGCAAUGUAUAUAAUAAUGAUGAUGAUGAUACAUAGUAUUGGCACACAACCUCAAGUUUGAUACACAGCCUUAAAUUUGGCACACAGCCUCAAGUUUGACACACUACCUCAAGAUCACCAAUAUCCGCAACUCUUCUCUGGCAUAAUCCUUUGGAGAUGGUCCAUAAAAUCUAAUAUCCGAUACCAAUAUCCAGUAUUCUAGUGUUUCCAUUAUUUUCAAAGAAUAUAGAUAACAUAAGACAUAAAUUAAGUAUACAUACAUGACAACAAGUAUAUAUAAAGUAGUAAAACAAACAAGUGAAAUAAUGCAUAUGAUGACAUGAGAAUGACGACACAUGUUCACAACCAUUCAAAAUGAGUAUUUCCACAACCAAUCUAUAUGAUGUAUUUUCACACCCAAUCCACAUGAUGUAUUUUCACAACCAACCAUAAUGUUACAAUUCGACAACCACAUGAGCCAAUAUCCACUCAUUACUUCUAUUUCAUCCAUGAAUUUUCACAUGUUUCAUAUUCCAAUAAGUAUGGAUAUAUCACAAUAUACCAAUGAAACCACAUUAGAUAUUUCAACAAUACAAUACAAUUAUUCACAUGUAUUCAAGGCUAUCAAUGUCACAUACAACCCCACACGGUCAUAGAUAUCACAUAAUAUUUUAAUUUUAACAAUUACAUCACAUAUAUGCCCCCACACGGGCACAACACAUAGAUAGACAUUUUUCAUGAUUAGUUACCACCUUUAACAUGAAUUUUGUACCAUCAUUUACUAUCCAUCCCAGCCUGAAAGAGUUAAGCCAUAACCUACCUCAAAAGCCAAAAUCGAUCCGCUACACUUUGAACCCACAAUCUUAAUUUUCACGAACAAUAUCACACUCCACUAAAAAUAUCAAAUAUGAAAUCUAUGCAUCAAAACAAAACCAACGACACCCAUAUUGACUACUUUUGAUUCGGGGUCAAAACGGUCCCUCAUGAUGGGCUUCUGAAAAAGAAGGGCAAAAUUGGAACUUUACUUCAAAAAUGUAUUUUCCAUAUUUUUAGGAACCUACAGCUGAAAACCCAACUCAAAUCAGGUAAAAAAUGAGGUUCAAAUAAAAAAAAUAUUUUGAGCUUUACCGAGUAAAAUCUUUAAAAUCCGGAUUAAAAUCAAGAAUCAGAGUUGUUUUGAAGGUUAAAUUGAUGAAAAACUAGUAAUUAUAAGAUAAAAACAUGAUUUAAGUGAAAAUGAGCGAAAAUGAGGUUUAAAAUCAAGCCCUAAGAUUUUUGAGGCUUUGGGAAAUUAAUUAAUAAAUUACUAAUAAAAUGAUGAAUUCUUAUCUUAAAUCCGUAAUAAAACUAAGAAAUAGAUAUUAAUCUAGCUUCUCAAGCUCCCACGAGCUUCACUUUUAAGCUCCCACACUAUUUUAGGAUUUAAUUCUCAAGAGGCAAGAUGAAAAAAGAGGAAAAUGGGUCCAAAACUGAUUUAAUGGUGCAGCAAAAAUCUGCACCAGCAAUAUAAAGAAAAAGCUGCAGUUUUUUUCUUUAUUUUAAAUCCAACUCAGACUUCGAUGGGUGUCCGAAUUUUUUUCGGAGUCUGAUAUAUGUAAACGAACUAUGCAACCAUACUAAAUUCAACGUUCCAGACGCGUUGGCGAAGUCAAAUUUUCAAAAAAAUAUCAUUUUCAUAAAGUUGACCCCUGAAACCCAAAAUCAUAAUUUUUCAAACCAAGGAUCGAAAUGAGAUUUAAAAGUCGUAAAAUCAUACAAAAUAUGCUAACACCCUAAAUUCGAUAUUUCGGAUAUUCUGGCAAAGUCAAAUUUUUUAUCUAAGAUUAUUUUGAUCAAAUGUGAGUUCCACACCCAUAUUUUCAAUUUUUUCAACUUUUCGAUCAAUAGGUUGAAAUGUGCUCGGGUGCAUCGGGACCCAAACCAAAGGUCUACAUAUCCUAAAAUCUAUAUUACAGAGCUUCUGGAGCAGUCCGUUUGGACAUCCUUUGUACGGAUCUAAAUAUAUCCCCAUAAGUCUAAAAUAAGGCUCUCGAAUUCGUCAAAAAUCACAAUAUCGCAUAAAUGAUACCAAAAUGCAUUGGAAAUCAUGUCAAUCACUCCCACACCCCAAAAAUACCAUAAUGUAACUAUGGGGAGUGGUAAAACAUUCAAAUCACAUAAAAUCACAAAUUUCACAUAUUUCAUCAAAUUUUUUAGGUCGUUACAAAUAACACCAACUAUUGAUCCCUUUUCAAAACUUGACAAGCAUAAACAUAAGACACAACCGUCAUUAAUUCGUAAUAGGGUAUCGAAACCAUCUUGGGACCCUCGGCCUUAUCAAUUUAAACCUAUCAAACUUAACUAUACAAUGCAGGAUCUUGUUUGAAUGAUCAAUGCCUAAUCGGUUACAAACUAUAUUCACAAAAUUAUUGUACUUUAUGUGUGUUGUCCCGAUGACCUUAUCAGUAAUACAUAACUCCCACACAUUAAAGUAGAUCCAUCCAUCUACACGCAUCUUAUGCUUCCUAGCCCAUCUAUGGCUUAAUUUGAAUAAACAGAUGACUAACCUGUUGCAACAGAUGAUACAUCUGUUAAAAUUAUCAAACAAUUAUAGAUAUCUAUUAUAAUAGAUGAUCAAUCUAUUGCAACAUAUGACUUAUCUGUUGGAAAUAAUCAGACGGAUAUAUCCAUCUGUUGCAACAGAUUGUCAAUAUGUUGUGAAUUAUCAAACAGGUAGAAUAUAUUUUGCAGCAGAUUAUCCAUCUGUUAGAUUUAUUUUAAAGCAAUUUUUUUCUUUUUGAAAUACAAUAAAGAUAAAAAUUUGUAUUUAGAUUUUUUUUUUAAUUUACAUAUUUGAAAAGUCACCAGUUUUAUUUAAUUAAGUGAUGUAAUUAUUAAAAAAGAGGUGAACAGUCGUGGCUUUUUGACUAACCCAUUCGAAUUCAAUCCUUUAUAAAUGGGUCCCUACUUACUCGUUCAUUCUACUACACUUCUAGAUAUGACUGAUCCAGAUUUGUAAAAGGUGAUUCAUCUCGAGUCCUUGUGGGGACUUAAAAGGCAAAUUCAUGAACUCCGGAGGGAGUUAGGUGACUUCAGAGCUAGGAUGAGGAGGGCAUUGUUGUUGUCGGAUGGCGAUUGGCUAGUUGACAAUAAUAAUAAUAGUAAUAAUAAUAAUAAUAGUAGUAAUAAUUAGGUUGUGUUUUCUCUUUUAGCGUAUGUAUUUUCUUUUUUUUUCUAUCGGAUCUACCUAAGGGUAUGUUUUUUGUUAUUGUAUAUAUUUGCUUAUAAUGGAUUCAAAAAUCUAUGUUUGGUCGACUUUGAAUUUUUAAUUCUUAUUUAAUAUUUAAUUUUCAUUCUGUUUAUUUCUUACUCUCAAUAUGUUGACACUUGAAGGUAAGGAUUGAGCGUUUGUGGCAACGGAUGAACCAUAUAUUGCAACAGAUAGUUAAUCUGUUGUGACAGAUCGAUUAUAUAUUACAACAGGCGGUAAUUAAUAAAAAAGGGGGUUAUUGUUAUUGAGAGGGUGAAAAGUCAUGACUUUUCGAUUACAUAAUAUGAAAAAUGGUUCGUAAAUAAAUAAUAAAAAAAUAAAUUAUAAACACAAUUUAUAACUAUAAAAGAGUGGUUAUUUAAUUUAAAUAACUGAUCGUGACUUUUCACCAUUUUUGUUUUAAAUCUGUUUUUUAAUUCUUUAUUUAAUUUAUAAUAAAAAGGUUACAACAUUGGAUUAAUUAAGGUAUAUGAUAAUUGUUAAAAAAAAAAGGUGAACACCCAUGACUUUUUGUCUAAUAUAUUCAAAACAGCCGAUGCAUCAAAUUUCCCAUUUAUUGCUACUGAUAAAUCAGUUGUUAGAAGAUAUCAAAAAAGCUCCUAAAAUAGAUGGUCGAUUUGUUGCAAUAGAUGGGUUAUCUGAUGCAACAAAUAUACAAUCUGUUGUCACAACUCAAUAAAAAUGGUUAUUAUUUUAUUAAAGAAAUGGUUAUUGAAAAGGUGAGAAGUCUUCGAUUUUUUAAUUGAGAAAAAGGCUAUUUAAAUUUAAGAACUAAUUAAUAAUAAUAAGCUGAAAAGUCAUGGCUUGUCACAAUAAUAAAAAACUCACCAGCUUAAUUUAAUUAAGUCAUUUAUUUUCACAGAAAAUAAUAAGGAAAUAAAUGAUAAACACAAUUUAUAAUUGUAAAAAAAUAGUUAUUUAAUUUAAAUAAUUGAUGUUAAUAUUAAAUAGGCGACAAGUAGUGACUUUUCACCAUUUUUAUUUUUAAAUCUAUUUUUUAAUUUAUAUAAUAAAAAAGUCACUAAAUUUGGAUUAAUGAUAUGAUGAUUAUUAAAAAAGAUAGAUUAUAUGUUGCAACGGAUAGAUUAUCUGAUGCAAUAGGUUAUCGAUUUGUUGCAAUAGAUGAUAUAUCUAUUAUCAAUUAUCUAAUGCAACAGAUAUAGAAUUUGUUGUCACAGCUCAAUAAAAACGGUUAUUGAAAAGAACUAAUUAAUAAUAAUAAGCUAAAAAGUCAUGAAUUAUCACAAUAAUCAAAAAGUCAUAACUUUUUGCAGUAAUAAAAAAAUCACUAGUUUGUAUGUAAUUAAUAAUGGAGGUGAACAGCCACUCCUUUUUGGCAAACUCAUUCAAAUUCAAUUAUUUAUAAAUAGGUCAUACCUUACCCGCUCAUUCUGCUACACUAUAUUUAUUUCUUGCAUCUUAUCUUUCAUAUUACACCUUCAACCACUUUCUCUUUCCUGACUCAGGUAAGUUUUUUUCUUACUUUUUGUGUAAAUAUACCUAAUUGAUAGUAUAAGUUGUAUUACAUUUGAAUUCUUUUCUUUACUUUUACUUUUACGUUUUUUGUCAAUUCAUGUGUGUUCUAGAUAUGGCUGAUCCAGUGUGGGACAUUGCUUUUCUGCAAGACGUCGUGCGGGAACUUCGGGGGAAAGUUCAUGACCUGUAGUGGGAGUUGGGAGCCGUGAGAGCAAGGAUGCUUCGGGAGAUCCGCAAGCUGAGGAGAGUCCUGCUGCUGUCGGUUGAAGAUUGGUUGGCUGGCAAUAAUAAUAAUAAUAAUAAUAAUAAUAAUAAUAAUAAUAAUAAUAAUAAUAAUAAUAGUAAUAAUAAUAAUAAUAAUAAUAAUAAUAAUUAGAUUUUUUUUCUUUUAGCCUAUGUAUUUUUAUUUAUUUUUGUUUAAUAAAAAAAUUUAUGUUCGAUCGACUUUGAUAGUUUAAUUCUUAUUUAAUUUUCAUUAUGUUUUUCUUCUUUUCAACAAACAUGUUAACGAUUAAGGAAUAAUUAGUAGCAGUAGCAAGAGUUGAAAUAUAUUAGUUAUCUGUUGAAUUUGUGGCAGGAGUUGUAUUGUGUUGUUCCAAACAGAUUAAUUACUCGUCUAUUGCAAUAGAUAAAUAGUCUGUUGCAACAGAUUACUCGUAUGUUGCAAUAGAUGAGUAAUAUAUUACAACAGAUAACUAGUUUGUUGCAAUAGAUAACUCGUCUGUUGCAACAGAUUACACAUCUGUUCGAUUCAUGUUACGGUCACUAUAGGACUAUAAACAUGAAUUCAAUAUAUAAGUCUUUUGAUCCAACGAAAUAUUUAUCUGUUGUAACAAACUGAGUAAUCUCUUUAAAUUGUGGACUUUUAUGUUGUAUUCUUGAACGGGUUCUAUUCAUUGUUGAAAAAACUGCAGCAGCAGUGUACCCAGAUGACAAAUUCAACUAAAAAUCAUAAUUUUACUUCCCAAAGUCACCUAUUAAGUAAUGACAGAGUGGAAAGUGAUGUACGAAAUAAAAUUUCACCUAAAAAAUUGGUCAAGUAGCAACAGUAGGUGUAAAAACAACAACAAUGGUCGAUAAGAAGAAGAUAAAGAUCAUAAUGAAGUAGAAGAUGAUGAUAAUGAAGCAGAAAAUGAUGAAUAAAGCUGCAGCAACAAUGAACAACAAAAAUCGCGAAGAGAGAGAGAAAACUACAACAAAUGGGAAGAGAGAGAAACACAUCUUUUUCUCUUCCGUUUCCCGUUAUAUUAACUAACAUUUGGAUCAAAGUACAAAUUUAAAUACUUGUGGGUUAUUGUCAAAUUUCUCAACUUUAUUAAUCCAUAAUAAAGUAAUUGUCAACUCCACUCAAUUAUUAAGACUUGAGUCGCCUACACCUCAUUUUCAAAUUUUUUUGUCACUUUUAGCUUCUUAUGAUUUUGGUAGAUAAUCAUAAUUAUUUAUGUUACAUACGGUUACAGAUAUUAUAGCAGAGGUAAUCAAAACCUGAAUUUCUUGUGUUUUUUAUUUAGUUUCUUUUAGAAUAUUCAUUCCAAAUUCUAUCAUUCAAAUUUCUCACAUUAGAAAUACAUUGUGUAAUUCUAUUUUUUUUGGCUUCUUAAUAGAUGUAUUUCGAUAUCCGCAUUGAACCUCGAUUGAAUCCAAAUUCGAAAGUCCCGUAUUAGGGGGUAACUACUCUCUAACAAAAGAGACUCGAAACCAAUUUUGCAAAACUAAAGUUGUCAAGGUGUAGAAAUUGAUGACCAAUGUAAAAACAUGAUAGCAAUUUAUAUUAUAAUCAAGAAUUAGGUCUUUUUGGGGUGAACCUAAAUUGUAAUUGUGAAGUCAAUUAUUAUUGUAUCUUAAUUUGAGGUUGUUACUUAUACUUAGAAGCACCGACAUCUUAUUUAAGAUGCCACAGAUUUUAGCUAUGGAAAUUAAUGGCACAAAGUUUAAAUUUGGUGUCAUAGUGAUCUUCAGCCAUCAAAUUGGAAGAAGCUACAUGGGUUACUCAUUUUUUUCGGGCCAGUGUUUCUCCAUAAGAGUACAACAAUGAGAAAAGGCAAAGUAUAAUAGUUAGUGUUGUUGCUUCAGUUGAUUAUGCGGCAGAAUCCAAAUACUUGCUGAAAGAGAUGUCUAAGAAGAAUAUUUCUAUGUUAUGAGGCUGGCCAAGUUGAGAACGUUAGAUUACUUUUGUUAUAGUUAAAGGCCGGCGAUCACUCACUAGGAUAUAUUUUAUCUUUGUUGCUUGAUGGUAAUUCAAUACUUUGAACCUAGAUGUACGCACCUUUGGCAGUUCUGCGUCUUAUUAAAAAAAAAACUCAUUAAAUUGACAAAAUUAUUUUUUACUAUUUUCUCAAUAUCUAAGUGUUAAAAAUUAAUUAAAUAUAUUUAUGGUACAAUCAUUCCUUAUCGCAUCAGAAUUCAUGACAACUAAAUACUUUUUUUCAUUAGUUUAAUAAUUCUAAAUCUGCUAUAAAUGUAUUUACAUUAUAGUGAAUGUCUAUCAAGAUCUAUCAAGAUAUACUUUAAUAUCUAUUAGGAUUUGAAGCAUCCGUCUUUUACUCAGACUAGGAGUAAAUUUUCUCUAUAAAUAGAGGGGUUUUGUUCAUUGUAUUUACAAUCUUAUGAUCUCUCAUCCCUCAAGAAGUAAUAAUAAUUACUCUCUCUUCUCUCUCUCUACUCUUCUUCUUUGUUCUUUCUUAUUUUAUAACACGUUAUCAGCAUGAGACUCUGCCAAACAAGGUGGGAUUAUAAAUCUGAAGGAUUUCAAGGUUAGUAAUUCUUUAUAUUAUCUUUCUUUUGCUACUACUAAUAUAAUUAUUAUUGGAUUUGAGAAAAAAUAAUUGGUUUGGAACCAUUUGUAUUUUAGAUUUAUUCCUCAAGAACAAUAUUAUCAAAAGGGAUGAUAAUAUGUUGGGUUCAAGUCCCAUCAAUUUAUGCCUAAGACGCCAUAAUACAUUGAGAUUGGAUCAAAAUGCAUGUAUUGAUGAUAUUGUGAUGGAUAAGGCAAAAUAAUGGGUGUUUGAUGAAAAGUUAUGAAAUUCGACCCAUUGAAUAUGCUCCAUUCCAUGAAGCGAAUGUGGCAGCAAUAUAUUAUAAGUCUGAAAUAUGACAACCUACUUCAUUCUUGAGGUGUAUGUGGUAGCAGUGCAUAAUACGUCUGAAAGAAGACAAGUGAUUGAAUGCACCAAUAUACGCGUGGACGGAAAAUAUGAUAAUGAUUAUAAAAAAUGAUGAUAUUUUGCACAUGUAUUAUGAUCAUAAGAUAUGUUAGAGAAAAAUUCUCUAGAUCAUAUGUAUGCCUCGAGUUGCUCCUGAAGUAGAAAUAUUUUGAAAGAGAUUCUAAGCUAUCAUAAUUUGAUACGCUUAAGGCAUGAUUAUAUUUCAUUCCUGGGGAAUGAGAAGUUUAUUAAUGCUAACGUGCACUUGAUUGUGAUGGUAUCACAACUCACCUCCGAAAGAGGUUGAAUAAUUGAGAAAAGUUAUUUUGAAAUCUACUUCUGAAGUAGUAAACCUGAAAUUUAUUCCUAUAAUAGUAAAUCUGAAAUUUACUAAAGCAAAAACACAUAUCAUGGUAAACUUGGAGUUUACUAGAAUAAAAUUUCAUAAAUUGAUAUGAACGAUUGUGACAUCUCAAAGAUGUGCAUGUAUUGAAGAACUAGAAGAAUCUUCUCAUGAUAAGCUGGUUGGACCAACUAAUAUUGGGAUUGGAUCCCUUCAAAUCUGAAAAUUAUAAAAGGUGAAUAAGGGCCCGUUCACCUAUCAUGUGAUAUGUUGAAAAGAUGCAUCAAUAAGAUAAUCACGUGUACAUUUAUUGUCAACCUGCAGUUUGACAUUCAUAAAGUUGCUUGCUCAACAAAAUUGAGUUAAGAACAUAAUUUUCAGAUUAUGCAAUCAAUCAAGUUAUCUUUAUGAUGAUGGUUUGGCAUUGAAUGCCUUCGAUAAAUAGCUAAAACAUCGCUAAUGAGAACAAAGCUUCAUGUGUUGAUCUGAAAUAUGAUAUGUUGCAUACAAUAACACUUACAUGCAUUAGACCAAUAAAUUAUGAUUAUUUCUUCCCCUCAAUUGGUUCAAGGUCAUGAACCUACUAUUCCAUCUAAUAGUUUUGAUGUGCGGUAUACGAUUAAUAAAUAUACCAUGAUGCACAAAGAUGGAUCCAUCAAAGAAGAUGGAGGAUGUAUGUUAGUUUUCCUAACAUACGGGGGAGAUUAUAAGCAGCUAUGAAGUAUGUUCGAAAUUAUCAUCAGAUCCUCAUUCAAAAUAUAAUUCAAGUCAAAUGCCGAACGCAUCUCAUAUUUAAGCUACAAGUGCUCCUAUUUUAUAUCUCUAAAGGACAAAGUCUAUGCAUGCGUGAAGCGUGAUAGAUCAAUCUGUUUCAAAUGAAAUAGUACUUGUAUAGAAUAAGGAGAAAAUAAUCAUAAUAAGAAAGAAAUAUGCGCUUGAAGAGCCUAUGACAUAACACUUCAUGAAAUCUUAUGAGAGGUUUAUGUACCUGAAAAUAAUGAAGUGAUGAGAUCUCAAAAUGUUAUGUCGCAUUGUGAACCGAUACNNNNNNNNNNNNNNNNNNNNNNNNNNNNNNNNNNNNNNNNNNNNNNNNNNNNNNNNNNNNNNNNNNNNNNNNNNNNNNNNNNNNNNNNNNNNNNNNNNNNNNNNNNNNNNNNNNNNNNNNNNNNNNNNNNNNNNNNNNNNNNNNNNNNNACUUGAAGAUGUCACACAUAAAAUGUUUAAUAUUUUCACGUGACAAAAUUUGUAUGAAAAUUUCUUUAAGGAUUCAAAAUAUAAAAGUUUCUAGGAAACUUAUUGAUAAUGCUAAUAUUGUAUAAGCUUAUAGCUUGAAAAUUAUUGAAACUCUUGAAGAGUUUUCAAAAGCAAUAAGAUUAUUUGCUGAAAUGAGAAAAGAAAUAUAUUGAAUUGGUUGUGAAGUACCAUAUCUUAGUACAAUUGGUGCACUCAUGUAUUUUGUAAAAAUCUACAAGACCCAAUAUAGCCUUUCGUUCAAUUUGUUAGCAAGGUAUAUUUCUACUUCUACUAUGAGACAUCACAAUGGGAUAAGAUAUAUGAGUUUAUUUUAUUCUAAAGAUUGCAGUCCUAAUCUUACUGGUCAUUCUGAUGUUGGGUACUCAUCAAAUCCGCAUAAAUCUCGGUCUCAAACAUACAAUAUGUUCACAUGUGGGGAUACUGUCAUAUCUUGGAGAUAUAUAAAGCAGUCUAUCAUAGACACUUUAUCAAAUCAUGCUGAGAUAAUAGCUAUUCAUGAAGCAAGCCGAGAAUGUGUAUGAUUGAGGUUCAUGAUACAUCUCAUUUGAGAAUAAUGUGGUGUGAAAUAUAACAAUCUACCCAAAAUUUUAUACAGAGAUAAUUCAGCAUACAUAGCACAUCUUAAGGGAGGAUUCAUAAAUGGAGAUAGAACGAAGCACAUUUUGCCAAAGCUUUUCUACAUACAUGAGCUACAAAAGAAUGAUGAUAUUAACGUGCAACGGAUUCGUUCAACUGACAAUGUGACGGAUUUAUUCAUCAAGUCUUCUCCAAUUACAACUUUUAAGAAGAUGGUGCAAAAGAUCGGGAUACAAAUGUUCAAGGAUGUUCUCAUUAGGGGGAGUUAAUAAGCGUCGUACUCUUUUUCCCUUACGAGGUUUUGUCCCACUGCGAUUUCCUUGUAAGGUUUUUAAUAAGGCAGCCAAAAUGCGUAUUAUUAGAGAUGUGUACUCUUUUUCCUUCACUAGAUUUUUUUCCUCCUGGAUUUUUUUUUAGUAAGAUUUUAACGAGGCACAUUAUCUACCAAUUAGACAUUCAAGGGGGAGUGUUAUAAAUGUAUUUACAUUAUAGUGAAUGUCUAUCAAGAUCUACUUUGAUAUCUAUUAGGAUUUGUCGCAUCUGUCUUUUACUCAGACUAGGAGUAAAUUUUCCCUAUAAAUAGAUGAAUUUUGUUCAUUAUAUUUACAAUCUUAUUAUCUCUCAUCCCUCAAGAAGUAACAAGAAUUACUCUCUCUUUUCUCUCUACUCUUCUUCUUUGUUCUUUCUUAUUUUAUAACAAAAUCAACAAAAAUAUCUAAAACAUCUAGAAUAAAUAUAAAAACGUUAAUAAGAAAAAUUUAAGAAGUAUCAAAAUUUUAUAAGUUUUAAGUACGUAAGAAGUAUGUAAUUAAUUAAAAGUAAUUACACGUGCGAUUAAACUAGUAUGUCAAAUAACUGGAAGUAGUAUAUUUAAUCUUCGUUGCGUUUCUUUCAUUUCCGAAAUUUAAGUAGAAUUGAAAAACAUUUCCAAAAGAUAAUUAGAAUGUAGAAAGGAAAUAAUUAGUUUGUUUAUUGGUUCUUGUGUAACAGUACCUUCAUAAUUUAAUUAAAUUCAUUAUUUUUUUUUUUGAUUCUUUUGACUUUUUUUCUAAGUUUAAAAGACAUGUAAUAUAUAUAUAAUAAUAAAGAAAAUAUAGGUAAGGUGAUGUGGUACCUUUCUAUGGCCAAAAAAUUUAUUUAUAUUUUUUUUCUCAUAUUUUUGAUAAUUUUUCCUAUAAUUCUUUACUUAAUAUUAUGUAAGAAUAUAUGUCAAUUACUACUCCUUUAUUUUUUUCUUAUUUUUUAAUGUAUUUUAUUAAUUAAUACUCCACCCAGAUUUUCAUUCAAAAGUCUUUAAACACAAUUUAAUGAUAGUUUUUCUAGCCAAAUAACAUUUUAAAUUUAAUUGUGUAUUGGUUCAAACCUUUAGAAACGUAAAUUUUAGUGCAAUUGAUUAUUUAUGUUUAACUGUAAAUUUUAUAACAUAAAUACAGAUUGAUAAUUUCACUAUCAAGAAUAAUAUUAUAUUAGGUUGAUCCUUAAUUAACAAAUAGAUUAGCUUUAUUUUAUUUUUUUCUCCUUUAUUUGUUUUCCUAUUUCACCUCCAUAACUCAUACCAAAUAAACUUCUACUCUCAAUAACACCUCUAUAACUCAUACCUAAUAAACUUCUACUCUCAAUAACAUCAUUAACUCCAUGAUUUUUAGUUUUCAUAUUCAUAACCUCCAUCUAUUUAAUAAUAAAAUUUAAGAUAUUUUUUUAUAUUCCUUAAUUUUCAUCUAUAUAAAUUCAUAACUUGUGGUUCAUGAAAUCCCCACUCAAGACUAUUCUUUUUUAUUUCAUGCUGCCCCCAACUCAAGGUUAUCCUUUUUAUUCUAUUUUUGAAUUAGUGUUUUUCUUAUAUUACUGUUGUAGUAUCAAAUUCAUGCUUUAAUUUAACUCGAUGAAAAAGACUCUUGAAUGUUGAUCGAUUUAUCGACGUAUUAGACAAGAUUCCAACAAUUAUGCUAUUUCGUUUUUCAUCUAUUUUCGUUAUUCAUUUUUACUUUAGAAGAAAAAAAAUCAAAUGAAUUGAAUAAUAUGUAUAUCUUGUGCACUUAUUUUGUAUUUCUUUUCUCAUUUAUUUUUUUAUAAUAAGAAUGUUAAAAAAGAUGUGUGUAUUGUGUGUUUUCUUUAUUUAAUUUAUUUAGUUUGAAUUUUUAUUAUAACAAGUUUGUAUUUUUGUUUAGAUGCAAAUUAGUUAUUAUAAUUUUAUUUAUAACUCAUGUUUAUAAAUCUGAUUCAGUCAAAAUAGGAGAAUUCCAUGAAAUCUAAAGUAAAUGAAAGAAAAGAAUCAAUAAUUUGCUUUUUUUUUUACAAUGUAUUUAAUAAUCAAAAUUAUUUAUAUUUUAUUUACUAUAUUUAACAUUAUAUCUAUCUACUUAUAUAUAGUAAUAUUAGGCAUUAAGUAGGUGAUGUAUCACUCUUUUGUUGGACGUUGCACAAUUGUGAAAAGUAUUAGUAAAUUUUUACUAUAAAUUUAAUCGAGUUAGAAAAAUAGAAAAAUCAAUUAUAAGACCAAGAAAUGAUAAAAUCACAAUAUAGGUAUUUUAGUAGAAUCAAAUGUAUAGAAAAUUAUUAAAAACUUUUAUAUAGUAUCACAAGCUAAUACAAAAUUUUUCUCCUUACGUUAUAUCUAAAAUAGGUUUAAAUAUUAAUACUCUACAUUAAAUUACAUAACACAAUUAGAUAUCUAAAAACAAAAGAAAAUUCAUAUAUUUUGUAUAUAUAGAUAUUCACAUUAAAAUUCGAUUUAUUAAAAUCAAACUUUACAUUCUUAAUAAAAGUAAAGAGAAUAGUUUCAUCCAAGAACAUGCUCAUUCUUCAACCGUAGAGAGACUUUUGAAUUGUGAGGUACCACGAACUUCUUAUUGGGGCAGUACUAUAAUAAGCAUUUGCGAGUGUUUGGAUGCACGUGUUUUGUUCAUAUUCCUGCGCAGUUAAAUGAAGACAAUAGUUUCACCGAUGUAAAAAACAUCAUAAAAAGAUUGAAUUUAUGGUCACGCAAAGCGUGAUCGAGUUCAUAGAUUGAAUUUAUGAUCACGUAAUGCAUGAUCGAGUUCACUAGUUAUAUAAGUGAACACAUAGCCGAAUAAUUGAUCUAUUUAAUAUAUUCUUUAUUAAAAUUAAAUAACUAAUUGUUUUAUAUUCUCUCCGUUUAAAAAAGAAUGACCUAUUUUCUUUUUUAGUUUGUUUAAAAAAGAAUGUCUUCUUUCUCUUUUUGUCAAUAUUUUAAUUUCAAUUUUCCAGAUGACAUGUUUAACACCACAAGAUUAAAGAACAUUUUAGUACAUCUAACACAAUUUUAAUUUAAGGCACAAAAUUGAAAAAUGUUCUUUAUUUUGUUAAAUUUUGUGUAAGUCAAAAUAGAUUAUUUUUUUUUUAAAUGAAGUAGUAAUAAAUUAGUGUUCAUCCAAUAGACGAACAUAUGGACGUUAUUCGAUCGCCUCUUUGUGAAGAAAUGUUUAACGAAAGCGCUAACGAUACGAAGAACAUGGUUGACUGGUCAAGAAUCAAUAAAUAUCUGAGCUCGAAUGAGUACGUGUUCGAUUGCUAAUGAGUCGCAUUCUGUUCUUGAUGGAUUAUUCAUGAUUCUGCUAAUUUGAGUUCUGUAACAAUCUUUGCUCCUCCGAGUUUGCGAUUUUUAUUGUCUCCUUCACCAUUGCUUGAAAGAAUUGUAAGGCUUCAUACAAUGCCGAAGAGGUAUACUUUUAUGGAAUUGGCUUUCUUGCCUAUUGUAUCAUCACUCAAGACACUGGCUCCUGGUUUGAAUGUUACUAUUUCUAAGAGUAAUUUUUCGCCGAUUUUGGUCUCUGAUGUCGUGGAGGUGACAGCACCUGAUAUUUUCGUGUCCAAGACAUUCGACAUUCAUGGAAUGUCUCGAACUUUUAAGUUGGAAGAUAAUAAGCUUUCUUAGUUUUUGCCAGUAAAGCAUUAGCAUUUUUGUUAGAUGUAUGUUGAAAGAGUGCUUCUUAUAGCUCCAAAAUUGUUGCUGGAUGCAAAUAUGCAAGCAGAAUAGCGAAACACUAUGUUACACAUUUCUAAUUUCUAACAUACUCUAUCAAUGUCCAUAUUGAUUUUUCCUCUUAAGGAACUUCAAAUAGAUAUUAAGGCCACAAUACUUUCUGCAACAAAAUCCGAAGCCACAAUCAUAUAAAUCAGCAAACUAUACAGAAUAACUGUCCAUUACAUAAAAACUAUAUUCGAAUAAAGCCUCGACAAACAUGUGACUGAUAUUUUGUAAAACAAGCAUACAAACUAGCAAAUAAGUCUCCACUGUGCCAACACAUAAUAUCAUACCAGUUUCCCAAACCAAAAAAAAAAAAAGAAAUGCACAAAUGUGUACUGAAACUGAAGAUUGGAAAUCCUAUAAUUUCAGUGUACUUCCUCGACUUCACCUUCAUUGCCUCCGUGACACGAAAUCACGUCUUGUUCUUCCUUGUUUUCCACUUCUUCCUCUGGCUUUGUCCAAUAUCCUAAACCCUCAACGUUACAUGGGAAGUUUUCCAGGGAGUUGCAGUGGCUGAUUUCUAAGUAUUUGAGGGCAGGCAUUGCACUUUGGAAUGUUUCCCAUGUUUCCUUCAGCCUUGGCAGGAAUUUCAAGCACAGUCCUUCGACGUUCCAGCUACCCUUAUUAUCUCCCCAGAAAUUUUCAGUCAUGUGACUAAUCACUCUUGAAUCUUCGAUGCAAAGGUACUGCAGUUGGGGAAGUGAAAUGGGGUUGAGCCAUGCUGGUGUGGUUUCUCCAAGGAAGUGCCUUAGAUAUAAUUCUUCAACAUGCGUUGGUGGUGAUAGGUUAUCCAGUUUCCUUAUGAUGUCCUUGUUUUCACAGUCGCCUGCAUUGAUUGAUAACACCCUUAGUAGUUGAAGUUGUUUCAGUGCAGCCAAUUCCUUCUCCUCUAUCGUGCUUUCCUCCGUUAUGUCUAAUUGCAGUACUCGAAGUUGAGUCAGUGUCACGACCUCACUAAGGCGACAGGCUUCUGUUGUUGCUAGACUCGGUAUCUUGAAUCCAUACAGCUCUUCAAGAUUUGAAAGCCCAGAGAGACCUUGUGGUAAGCAUGAAAAAGAUGGACAACCUCCAACAUCAAGAAUUGCCAAUCUUGGAAGUGUUGUGAUUGAUGUUGGUAGCCUUUUCAGUUCCUUGCAUUCUCGGAUUACCAGUAUUUGGAGGCCCCAUAACUUCCUCACAGAGUCUGGAAUUUCUUCCAGGUUUGCAACAUCUCUAAGGUUUAAAUACACUAGUCGCUUAAGUGCUGUGAUCCAUUGCCAUAGAUCAGGUAAACAGAUCUUGUCUAGCUUGACACAUGACAAGUCCAAGACCCUUAGAGUCUUGAUUUCAGCUAGAGCAAUUUUCCUGUUGAAGCCAAUGAAAUUUGUAGUAGUGAGAAGAAGUGCUCUUAGCUUUGAGUUCCCAGCCAAGGACUGGAAAGUUGUUUCCUUCAUGACCCCCAAGUGCCUAGAGUCAACAGUAGCUAUGUGCCUACCUCUAUUAAAGCUACAAAACUUCUCAUCUUCUGCCAUUAGAAUUAUCAUGUCCCUAACCAUGUCAUGCAUCUUGCAACUGUAAACUCUGCCAUCAAAGUUUCUUCUUUGGACAGCUUCAACCAAGCACCUACUUACCAGUUCAGACAAAUGAUUAAAAGCUACAUCUGUUGCAGUUUCUGUGCCAUCGCCACGAACCAAUCCUUCCCCUACCCACCAACGAACCAAUUGUUCCGCCUCAAUUUCAUGGUCAUCUGGAUAGAUUGAGAAGCACAAUAUGCAUUGUUUUAGACGAGAAGGAAGCUCAUCAUAACUUAGCUGCAACGAAGCCAUUACAGAGCUAUUGCUUGCACUAUCUGAUACCAAUUGCUCUCGAAAAUUUUUACAUAUCCUCAUCCACUCCACGAGUGAAUGUGGCUUUGAUGAUAACAUCCCACCUGUGGUUUUGAUUGCUAAAGGAAGACCAUGACAUUUGCGCACGAUCUCUCUUCCAACAUCUUUCAAUUGAGAAUUGCACUUUCCAUUAGUUGAUAAAAAUGCAACUUUGCAAAACAACGACCAACUCUCUUCUUCAUCAAGCAAUCUUGGUCGAUGAAUUCUUGAUUCUGUGGCUCCCAUCCUCCUGACUACAUCCUCAUUUCUAGAUGUGAUUAUAAUACAACAAUUGUGCUCUGUAAACUUGGGCAAUCCCUUGGAGAUCCUAUCCCACCAUCCAUCAACAAUAUCCCAUACAUCAUCCAUGACAAUCAGGAACGACUUAUGUGAAAGCGCUUCACGAAUUCUGUUUAGCAAGUCUCCUUUGUCAGUUCCACUAUCAUCUGCACUCAGCUGUUUCAAAAUUCCCUUCAUGAUGGAAAGCUCAUCAUAAGUUUGAGAUAUUGAAACCCAAACUUUCUUUUGAAAUCUCGCAUUCACUUGUAUGUCAUGGUAGAUCUUUUGCGCGACUGUGGUUUUACCCAAACCACCCAUCCCUACAAUGCCAACACAAUGUAAUGACUCGCUGUGAGGUAGGAUCCAUUUUUUUAUUUUUGUUGUAUCUUCUGAUAACCCCACAAUAUCAUCUUUAUCAAAAAUGUGUGAGGUCCAUCUAGUCCGUCUGCUGCUGCUUCCGUCACUUCUGGAUUGUUCAGUUAUUGGACCAACAAAAGUCCUCAGUUUCUCAUGCAUUUUCACCAUCUCCUUGUUUAGUUCUGUCAGUUUCCUUCCGGUGUUGUAUCUGAAAGAAAUUUCCCCCAGAGACGGAAAUAAGCAAGAAGGAUUCCCUUUCAUCCUCAGAUAGUCUUCACGAAUUUGGCAAUCCGUGAUCACAUCAUCUGCUUCAUAAAUUAGUUCAUUAAGUUCAGAUAAGGUUGACUUGACAGACUCAUUGUUUCUUUUCAUCCUGUUUGCUUCAGUGAGAUACGAACGCAUGCGAUCCAGCUCUCUCUUCAUCUCCGCAAACUGACUUUCAAAUUGGAUAGCAUAUUGAGCAUGCAUAUUCACUUGUUUUGACAAGUCUGUUACGAUGAGGUUAGCUACAGCACUUGUGAUUGGGUCUCCCAUAUCUCAGCUGCAAAUUUAUCAAAAUUGAAAAUGUAAUGAGUCCUCGUAGACACUAAAGGAAGCAGAAAAUAAGAGUCUUGCUCAAAGGUAGUUAAAUGUUUCUCUUUUUGGUAUUAGUCAUCUGAUACAGAUCCUAUAUCAGUAAUUACUUCAUUUACAGACAAUUAUUUUCUGCCAUAUCAGAUAAUGUUAGAAGAGAGUUUAUAGUUGUAUAGUUAUGUUACACCCCAACUUAGAAAGGAGUCCCAUAUCGGCAAAACACAGAGGGUUUUUUGAAGAGUUUUUGAGACACUAACUAUUAAUUGAAUGAUCAUAUGAAAAAUCUACUCUGCAUGCUUGGAACAGUGUUACUUAACUGAACAUGUUUUGGAAGUAAGGGAAAAUAAUUGGUCGAGGAUGUAAAUUUCUAUGUCCCACAUAAUUAAUUUAUUUAUUGGUUUAAUAAUAAUUGAAUAAGUUAAAUCCUUAAUCUAUAUGGAAAGUUACCUAGUAGGAUGAUUACUGACUCCUAGUAGGAUUGUAUCUACAAUUACUGACUCAUAAUGAUUGUAUCCACCAAUCACGUUGAUGGAACGUGAAAACAUAACUGACUAUUCCCAUUAUAAAAGGCGUCCUCUCUCUAUCAAAAGAAGGAUAAGCUCCAUCACAAUUAUUCUGAAAGUAAGGUAAAGAGAGAAAAACAAUUCAGUGCUUCUGCUAUUACGCUGUUGCUUCCGCUAAAACCAUGGAGAAUUCAGGUAAGUAAUUCUUUACUGAAUUAAUGUUAUUAUGUGUAAGUGAAAAUCAUUAAGUUCAACGUUCCUGAAUAAUACAGAGGAUUAUGGAUAGGAUUGUUUAUGUAUAAGAUUGUUUAAGUUUAUAUAAUCCGUUUUAUGCUUACAUGUGGUAUCAAAGCCUGGUUUUUGAAACAAGUGAUUUUCCAUUAAAAUUAAUGUUUCUCCAGAUCUUGUGAAUUUUAAUUAUGUUUGUUAGAAAUUUCACAAUUAUUGAAUAACGAAAUUUGAAAUAUUGAUAUUAUUAUAAUUGAUUCUAUUUAAAAUAACAUGAGUUUAAUCUUUGUUAUUUUAAAUAUUAAAGAAACAACUCUUUGUUGUUAGAACGUUGUAGUAUGCAAUAAUAAAAUUUAUUGUUUCUUAAUAUAACUUGGAAUCAUAUAUGUAAGAUUCGUUAAUCACCAAAGUGGUGAAAUCUUUAUGAAAUUAAUUCCAAAAUAAAGGUUAAAGUUUAAAUUAAUUACCCAUUUAUCUUGAUGCUUAUAAUUGAUCUAAUAAUUAUGGGUACAUUAAAUUUUUGGUCAUAAGACAUUUGUGGAUCGCCCAAGGAUUGAUUGUUUGUUUGUAUGACCAAUAAAUAUUAAAGAGAUAAUUUUGAUGUAUCGUUAGUUUUAUUUAUUUAUUCAAAGAUGAUAAAUAUUAUUAAUUGAUGCAUUAAAUAUUAUUAUUUUGUGUUAAAUAUAUUUUAAGCAUCAUUAUGUUUAAAGUUGUAUUUUGAUGUUUCGCCCAAAGGAGAACAUCAAUAUACAUUUAAGUAAGUUAUUUUUGAAUUUGAUAAUGUGUUUAAACUCGUAACUCAAAGUAUUAACAAAUGAGUAUGUUCUAUUUCAGCACUUGCCCUUCAUUCACACUCUGCCUCUGUUACGACUUUUAAUGGACUUAACUUUUCAAAUUGGUGCGAACAGAUCAAAUUUCAUCUUAGGGUUUUAGAUCUUGAUGUUGCACUUUACUCUGAAAAACCAACUACUAUUACUGAAGCUAGCAAUGAUGAAGAAAAGUCCUAUUAUAAGCACUGGGAUCGGUCUAACAGAUUAGGCCUAAUGUUUACGCGAAUGAAUAUUGCGGGCAACAUUAAAACUACUCUUCCCAAAACUGAAAGUGCGAAAGAACUUCUGAAACUUGUGGAAGAGUCUUCCCAAACUGCUAAUAAGUCUCUUGCUGGGAUACUAAUGGGUACUUUGACAUAAAGUUUGAUGGUUCACGUACUAUGCAUGAGCAUGUCAUUGAAAUGACAAAUAUAGCAGCAAGACUUAAGUCAAUGGGAAUGGAAGUGGAACAGAAUUUCCUUGUGCAGUUCAUUAUCAACUCAUUAUCGUCUGAGUAUGGUCCUUUCCAAAUGAAAUACAACACCAUGAAAGACAAAUGAAAUGUGCAUGAAUUUCAUGGUAUGUUGGUUCAAGAGGAAACGAGGCUAAAGAAUUAAGGAACCCACUCCAUUAAUUAUGUAAAAUAUCAAGGAGCUGAAAAAAAAGGAAAGAAGCAUGGUAAGGGACAACAGAAGCAACUUAAUAUUAAUCAGUCCUCAUCUCAAGUACAUAAUAAAGGGAACAAGAAUGGAAAAUGUCAUUUCUCUGGACACUUUCAGAAAGAUUGACUGAAACGUAAGGCAUGGUUUGAGAAGAAAGGUAAGCCUUGUGCUUUUACAAAUCUUGAAUCAAAUUUAACUAAAGUUACUUAUAAUACUUAGUGGAUUGACUCUGGUUGUACUGUUUAUGUUUCUAAUACUAUGCAGGGAUUCCUUACAAUCCAAACCAUAAACAAGAAUGAAAGAUUUGUUUACAUGGGGAAUAGAGUGAAGGCUCCAGUUGAAGCUGUUGGGACUUAUUGUCUGAUUCUCGAUACUGGGCGUCACUUAGAUUUAGUUGAAACUUAUUAUGUCCCUUCUCUUUCGAGAAAUUUAGUUUCUUUGUCUAAGUUGGAUAAGACUGGAUAUUCUUUUAAUUUUGGUAAUGGAUGUUUUAGUUUGUUUAAAAAUAAUUAUCUCAUUGGUACUGGUAUUCUUUGUGAUAAUUUAUACAAACUGAAUCUUGAUAAUCUUUUUGCCGAAACACUCUUAACUAUGCAUCAUAAUGUUGGUACCAAAAGAAGUUUGGUGAAUGAACAAUCUGCUUACUUGUGGCAUAAAAGUUUAGGUCACAUAUCUAAAAAAAGGCUGGAAAGAUUAGUUUAGAAUGAAAUUCUUCUAGAUUUACAUUUUACUAAUCUUAAUAUUUGUGUAGAUUGUAUUAAAGGAAAACAAACAAAACACACAAAGAAAGGAGCCACAAGAAGCACACAGCUUCUUGAAAUUAUACACACUGAUAUAUGUGGUCCUUUUGAUAUCACAUCUUUCAAUAAAGAAAAAUAUUUUAUCACUUUUAUUGAUGACUUUUCACAUUAUGGAUAUAUCUAUUUAUUGCAUGAAAAAUCUCAAGCGAUUAAUGCCUUAGAGGUAUUUAUUACUGAGGUUAAAAGACAACUAAAUAGAAAUAUGAAAAUAAUCAGGUCUGAUAAAGGUGGUGAAUACUAUUGAAGAUGUGAUGAAAGUGGACAACACCCAGGUCCAUUUGCUAAAUUCCUCAAAAAGCGUGGCAUAUGUUCUCAAUGCACAAUGCCUGGCACACCACAACAAAAUGGUGUGGCAGAAAGGCGUAAUCGUACAUUAAUGGAUAUAGUUAGGAGUAUGUUAAGUAAUUCAUCUUUACCUCCUUCUUUAUGGAUGUAUGCUUUAAGGACUGCCGUUUACUUGCUAAAUAGGGUUCCCAGUAAAGCAGUCCCAAAGACACCUUUUAAACUGUAGACUGGUAGGAAACCUAGUUUGAGGCACCUGCAUGUUUGGGGUUUUCCGGCAGAAGUUAGAGUUUAUAAUCCACAAGAAAAGAAACUGGAUUCAAGAACAAUCAGUGAUUUCUUCAUUGGUUAUCCUGAAAAAUCAAAGGGGUAUGGAUUUUACCGUCUAAUCAUAGUACGAGAAUAGUUGAAACUGGAAACGCUAGAUUUAUUGAGAAUGGCGAAGUUAGUGGGAGUGAAGAAGCACGUAAUGUGGAAAUUAAAGAAGUUAGAGUACGAAUUCCUCUACCCUGUAAUUCUUUUAAAUUUGUUUUUCCUGAAGAUGUUGUACAACAAAGUAAUCAACAAGAACAACAAAUUAAUAUUCCUAUUAAUGAAGCCAUGAUUGAUGAACCUGUUGUAAAUGAACCACAAGAAGUAGUAUCAAGAAGAUCUCAAAGACAAAAGAGAUCUGCUAUUUUUUAUGAUUAUUUGGUAUAUCUAUAUGAGUCAGAAACUAACUUGGGAAUUGAUGAUGAUCCAGUUUUAUUUUCACAAGCCAUUGAAAGCAAUAAUUUUGAUAAAUGGAUAAAUACUAUGAAAGAUGAGUUAAAAUCUAUGGAACAGAAUGAAGUUUGGGGCCUUGUUGAAUUACUCGAAGGUUGCAAAAGAGUUGGGUGUAAAUGGGUCUUUAAGACCAAACGCAACUCAACUGGCAAUAUCGAACAUCACAAGGCCAGACUUGUUACCAAAGGUUUUACUCAAAAAGAUGGCAUUGACUAUAAAGAGACGUUUUCACAUAUCAAUAGAAAAGAUUCACUCAGAAUUAUAAUGGCCUCGGUAGCUCAUUAUGACUUAGAGCUACAUUAAAUGGAUGUGAAAACAGCAUUUCUAAAUGGAAAUUUAGAGGAAAAAGUUUAUAUGAAUCAACCUGAGGGGUUUUCUAUUAAAGGAAAGGAACACAUGGUGUGUAAACUUAAGAAGUCAAUAUAUGGACUUAAGCAAGCUUCCCGACAAUGGUAUCUUAAGUUUAACGAAAUGAUUGUCACCUUUGGAUUUAAAGAAAACAUUGUUGAUCGGUGUAUAUCACUACCAAAAAAACUGUGUUUAGCAACGAAAUUUACUGACAGACCAAAUUUCGUCACUAUGUAGCGACGGAUUAGCAACGGAACAUUCAAUUUGGUCGCAGACAUUGCAGUCCAAUUUUUUGAUAUGUUCUUAGCAACGAAUCAGUGACGGAAUUUAAUUUUCGUCACUAAAUAAUAGCAGGAAAAAUUAGCACCCAAAUUUAGUGAUGGAUUACCAACGAAGUUUUUGGUCGCUAUGUUAAUUAUUUCGUAGAAACGGAUUUAGCAACAAACUUUCGUCGGUGCCCUUCAUUUUUUUUAAAAAAAAAGUUUUUUGUUUAGCGACCAACUAUGCCGUCGUAAAAUAUUAAUUAUAGUUUUCUAAUUAAUUAUUUUUACUAUAGAAAAGGGGGGGCCUCUAGGGUUUUAUUCAUUUCCACCCCUCCCCCCCAUCUCUUCCUCUCUAAAAUGAGAUACUUUCCCCUCUAUAUUGAUGUGCCUCUCCAUUUCUAGAUCAAAAUUCUUCACUACUCUUGCUUCACUUAUCUUCCUUUUUACUGAAUCAGCUUUCGAUCUUCAAGUUCUUGGAUACGUGCUUCCAAUUUGACCUCUAUUCAACUGAUUAAUUCCAUUUGCAUGUAAUUUCUGAACUGAUCUGCAAGGAAAGAUUCUUGAUUCCCGACUACUUUCUUUUGGCUUUGAUGGAACCAACUAUUUGAGGCAUUUUCCGCUUUAUGUUCUUUGUAAGUGUUGUUAUGAUGUGUGACACUACUACCCUGUCUUGUCCUUUAUUUUCCAUUUAAUCCGUCGAGUGAGGUGGUUUAGGAAGUAGGGCAUCAACCAAUAAUGUAGAAAGUUUGACUUCUCGUAAAGAAUCAACAACUUUGGUUUAUUGAGUCAUCCUGCUGGUUUUUAAUCCCCCGCUACAUGUUGAAAUAUUUCUAUAAUGGGUUGUGUUAUUUUAAGCUUACUUCAAAAAAAUCUUGUCUAUUUGUAUGUUCUGUGAUUUAGAGCUAUCCUCUGAGGUAUUUAACUUUGCCUAGUCCUACGGUAGAAAUCCAUCUUUGGUAGUUGGAAUAUGCUUUAGCACUUUUGAGUAUUUAUUCGUCCAGGGAGGGAAAGAUUGGUUUCUUCACAUUGUGAGUCUAAAAGCAUGCUGGAGGAUUGUUUGGAUACUGAUACAAAAGCAUCAUAAUAAUUCCUUUGGACUAUGGCUAGUGAAGCAAUGUAAACUUUUGUCUUAUAUGGUCGGUUUAUUAGUUGAAUGGCGAAGUUAGAAGUUGAAACUGGAUUGUUUUAAAAUAUACCCUUUUCUAUCAAUGUGUAUGGUUUGAAUCAUAUGUAUCAAUUUCGUAAUUAAAGUUAAACAAGUGGUUUUCUUCUUAGGGUAGUUUCUAGCAACCAAUGCUUCCAAAAUGAUGCAUUAACUUCUUCUCUAAUUAUAAGAGGAGCUUUUUGAAUCCUUAAGUUAGUCUUGCAAUUGUAUGAAAAUUUAGAGGUACUUCACAAAACACAUAAUAAAAUUAUUCAACUGUACUGAAGAUAAAAAGUUAUUCCAUGUUAUUUAGGCAUCAUAUGUACAUCAUAUGUUAUUUAUCCAAUUGUACUGAAGAAAAAAAAGUUAUUCCAUAAUACUUCUAUAUUCCACGGAAGCUCUAAAAUAUAUAAGGAAAAUAGUUUUAACCAAUAAACCGAUAAUCGAUUCUUUACAAAUGUUUUGUAUGUACAUCAAUGUUGCUUGGAUUCUGAAAAAAUGUUAACGGGGUGUGUCAUAUAUUCAAAUACUUAUUUGAUACACUUACCUUUCAGGUGUCUUUUUACUGGAAUUGGUGUAGUGCACUUGUAGAUUGGUGGUAAAAUAAGUGGAGCAUUGUAUUCAAUCAGGUGUGUUUUAAAACUUUCUUUCGACUUUUUAAUUUUUCUUGGUAAGCUUGUUAGCUUCUCGAUUAUGUUUGUAACGUAAAAUAGAAGUAUGUAUCACUUUUAUCUUAUUUUAAAGGUAAACUAGUUUUGUUUUUUACUUUAAGAGCAUAAGUUUGAAUAAUUUAGUGAAACUAUUUAACUGUCAAUUGAUCAACUUAAUUAUGCUUUCUUUGCUAAGUAGUUCUUUAUAUAGAGCAUGAUCAUACAUUAUCAUAUUUGUUAAUAAACAUUUCCAAUAGGGUUAAUUAUUAAUUAAGACUAAUUGUCGUGUUUCUUAUUAAGCUGGUUAAUUAGCACUGAUUAUUCUUUUUUUUAUUUCAACCUUAAUAGGAGCAUGAAUAAUCUAGAGCGUAGUUAGAUGUAUGAGAGGUUAGAUGGCCAAGGGGGUUUAUACUCUAGAUUUGUAACCGGGGUGGAUGAAUUUAGUCAAUUUGCAUGUUUUCAACCAAAUCGUAUGAGUGGUGACAAAGUUAGAUGUCCAUGUGCAAAAUGUCAGAACUAUAAAUUCAUGGAUGUUGAAACUGUUAAAUGUCACCUUUAUCAAUCUGGAUUUAUUGAGAACUAUUUUAUUUAGAAGCAUCAAGGGAAAAGAGAUGAUAAAAGUGAGACUUCUUAUGGUAAUGCAUUGCAUGGUGGUGGUCAACCAAUAUUCGAAGAGAAUCUAUACCGACAAAUGAUUUUGGAUGCAGCUGGUCCCAACUUUUCUCAUAGUUCAAGUUGGCAAUCUUAUAGAAAUAGUGAACCCGAGUCAUCUCAUCCUUUUCAACAUUCAAUGGAGGAAGAUCCUAAUCCCGUUUCCAAAAAAUUUUAUGAUUUGUUAGAUGUUGCUGAUACAGAAUUAUAUCCCGGUUCAUCCCUCUCUCAACUUGCAGUUGUCUCUCGAAUGUUGAAUAUUAAAAUGGAGAAAAAUAUGUCAAAGAGAGGCUAUAACUAAAUAAUGCAAUUGCUUAAGGAGUCUUUACCUGAAGAUAACAUCGUGCUUGAUAACUAUUAUCAGACGAAGAAGUUAGUGAGUAGCUUGUGUUUGCCAGUUGAAAAGAUUGAUUGUUGUGAAUCAGGAUGUAUGUUGUAUUGGGGUGAUGAUGAUGGACACCUUACAUCUUGUAAAGAUAUUCGUUGUAUAAGCGUUGUGUUGGCUCUCGUAAGAGGAAAUUGGUCCCUUACAAGAGAAUGUAUUAUUUUCCUUUGAUUCCGAGAGUACAAAGAUUAUAUGCAUCUUAUGCUACAGCUGCUAACAUGAGAUGGCAUCAUGAGCGUAAAAAAAAGAAUGGUGUGAUGCGUCAUCCAUCAGAUUCUGAGGCUUGGAAGCACUCAAUGAAAGUCAUCUUUUUUUUUUGCCGCUGAACCAAGAAAUGUCAGGUUGGGGUUAUGUACAGAUGGUUUUCAACCAUUCAGUCAGUCUGGAAGAAAAUAUUCUUCGUGGCCAGUGAUUGUUACUCCAUACAAUUUACCUCCAGGAAUGUGCAUGAAAGAGGCUUAUAUGUUCUUAACUAUCAUUGUUCCAGGUCCGAGUACUGUAGGUAAAUUAGCAUGUCCUUAUUGUAUAGAGGAAACACAAUCUUUUAGAUUGCAGCAUGGAAGAAAACAAUCCUGGUUUGAUUGCCACAGAAUGUUCCUUGACCAGCACCACCCAUUUAGGAGAGAUCAAAAGAACUUUCUUAAAGGCCAGACUGUCAGAAGACCUCCCCCAACAAAUAGAACAGGAGAGGAAAUUUUGGACCAGAUUUGUAAUUUAGGGAUAAUAAAUGUAACAGAGUUAGAUGCAGAACAAGUUAGUAAAAUAAUAUGUAAGAUAUGUGGGUGGAAAAUGCGAAGCAUCUUUUGGGAUUUGCCAUACUGGAGUUCUAACAUGAUUCGACAUAAUCUUGAUGUUAUGCAUAUUAAGAAAAACUUCUUUAAUAAUAUACUUAACAAUGUUCUUAAUUUUGAUGACAAAACUAAAGAUAAUCCGCAGUCACGGUUAGAUACGGCAAAAUAUUAUGAUCGACCUCAAUCGGGAAAGGAUAGUAAUGGCCAAUAUCCAAAAGUUGUCUAUACAUUAGACAAGGAAGCAAAAGCGAUCUUGUUUAAUUGGGUGAAAUGCUUAAAGUUUCCAGAUGGGUAUGUUUCAAAUUUAGGUAGAUUGCCAGACACAAAUGCAAAAAGGUUAUUUGGAAUGAAGAGUCACGAUUGUCAUGUGUUCAUGCAACGACUAAUGCCUAUUGCUUUUCGUGAACUACUUUCUAGUAAUGUGUGGGAGGAACUUACAGAAUUAAGCUUAUUUUUUAUGGAUCUUACUUCGACCACUCUACGAAUGGAUGAUAUGGUGCGAUUAGAGAGAGAUAUUCCACAAAUUUUGUGCAAGUUGGAACGCAUAUUUACUCCUGGGCUUUGACUCAGUGAAACAUCUUCCUGUGCACUUCCAUAUGAAGCAAGGGUUGCUGGACCUGUGCAAUAUCGAUGGAUGUAUCCUUUUGAAAGGUAAAUAUGUAGCUCUAUAUCAAACUUGUGAUGGUUAAUUAAUACAUAACCUUCCAAAACAUAAUGUUACAUCUUUUUCUGUAUAUAGGUAUUUGGGAACUCUUAGAAAGAUGAUUAUGAAUAAAGCUAGUGCUGAGGGUUCCAUUUGUGAAGCGUACUUGAUGAUGGAGUCAACACAACUAUUUUCUCAUUAUUUUGAACCUCAUGUCAUGUCACGAAAUCAUAAUGUGGAUCGUAAUGACGAUGGUGGUGUUGUGGAAGAUCUUAAAGGAAAUCUUUCAAUAUUCUCCCGUCCAGGUCGACUUUGGGGAGAAGCAAAGAAAAGAGAUUUAAUCUUAGAUGAAAUCAAGGCGGCUCAAACUUAUAUUUUACUAAAUUGUGAGGAGGUUGAGCCAUUUGUGAGGUAACCAAAUUCUCUUAAUUAAUAAUAAUAAAAUCUAUUCUUAUAUCNNNNNNNNNNNNNNNNNNNNNNNNNNNNNNNNNNNNNNNNNNNNNNNNNNNNNNNNNNNNNNNNNNNNNNNNNNNNNNNNNNNNNNNNNNNNNNNNNNNNNNNNNNNNNNNNNNNNNNNNNNNNNNNNNNNNNNNNNNNNNNNNNNNNNNNNNNNNNNNNNNNNNNNNNNNNNNNNNNNNNNNNNNNNNNNNNNNNNNNNNNNNNNNNNNNNNNNNNNNNNNNNNNNNNNNNNNNNNNNNNNNNNNNNNNNNNNNNNNNNNNNNNNNNNNNNNNNNNNNNNNNNNNNNNNNNNNNNNNNNNNNNNNNUUUUGUUAACAGAUAUAAAUUUCACACAGAAUGUCAUGGUAGCAUGAGAUCAACAAUGAAUAGUGGAGUUUGUAUCUCGGAUCCAAAUUUUGGGGAUUAUUAUGGGCGAAUAAAAGAGAUCAUACAAGUGGAAUACCACGAAGCACCUUUAAAGCAAAUUGUGUUAUUCAAAUGCGAAUGAUUUGAUCCAAUAGUAGAUGUCGGUGUUAAGAAGCAUGAUCGGUACAAAUUGGCUGAUAUUAACCAUCGUCAUUGAUAUAAAAAGUAUGAGCCUUUUAUUUUUGCAAUGCAAGCAACGGAAGUAUGUUAUGUACCUUAUCCAAGCAAGGAAAAGGACAAAAAAGAUUGGCUAGCUGUAUUGAAGGUCAAACCUCAAAAUGUUAUUGAAUUACCAGUUGAGGAAGUGGUGAUAACUUCAAAACUGAAUGUUCCUUUUCAAGUUAAAGAAGUUGAAGUCCAUGAGAUAGAUAUGUCUGUUUCUGUAGAUGAAGAUAUUCUAUUGCAUGAUCCAAAUGGGGGAGUACUUGAAAUGAAUGAACCUCUUAAUGAUGAUUUAUUUGAAGAGCAUCAUGAAAUUCAAGAUGGAUAUACAGAAGAAGAAUAUGAAACCGAGGAAACUGAGGAGAAGGAUGAAGAGGAAGAGUUUGAAGAAGACAUAGAUAGUGAAUAGAACUUGAUAAAUAUCUGCUACUUUAGCUUUGUUGUAUUUUAUUUUUAGUAAGAAACUAUGGAAUCUGCUAUUUUUGCUUUGUUGUAGUUUGUUUUUAGUUCAAAACAUAGACUGUGCCAAGUGCUUCAAAAAAAUGUGUUAUUUUAGCUUUGUUGUGUGUUGUUUUUACUAAUUUUUCUCUAAGAUAUCAUCAUUUUAUAAGUUUUUGGUUUCCUUUUAAUAAUCUGCUAAUUUUUCAUAUUGCAUCAUUUUAAUUUGAUUUUUAAUAGUGAUAAUCUAAUGACACCGUUAUUUUUCAGAUAUAAAUCGAGGUGGAUAUCGUGCCGGCAAGUCCACAGGCAGGAGUAAGGCUGCUAAUCAUGCAAAAAUUCCUUCUAUUCCAGCUCCAGUAAUCGAACAGGAUGAUACAAGUUCCAUUCCGACUAUGCCACCCGAUCAAACACCGAUCAUUCCUGAGACAUCUCCUGUUUCACCUAACCAAAGCAGCCCAACAGGACAGAUUAUGAAUGCUCAAAGCAACACAGCAGCUGAGGCAAUUAGAGACAGGAAAUAACUUCACUUGUUAUAGGAAAGGUAUGAAGAAAUUAUACGGGGGAAAGUACAAUGUGAAUCUGAAAUAGAUCAAUUGGAGACAUAUUAUGAAGCUGCGGGAGGAGAAAAGAAGAAAAGAUUGUUUGAUCUUGGAUCUGAAGCUACAAGUUACUUUGGGAAAAAACUACGUGCCUGCAAUGUUUCCACAUCAUCAGUAUCACCUUUGAUUUCUUUACCGACAACAAAUAUGGAGGAGUAGCAAUUGAUUCCGGCCCUUACUACUCAUUUUCUUCCGAUAGUUAUUGAACGUGUUGGUGGUACUAGGGUACAAGAUGGGACCAUGCUUCAUCCUCCUCCUGCUCAUGAUGAUGAUGACGACAUUGAUUCGUAGCUUCAUAUUAUUCGUAGUCCAUGAUCGUUGCACUAAUUUUUGAUAGACUAUUUUGACAUUAGUUUAUGUUUGAUAAAAUACUUGAAAUUGUGGGUGUUGGACACAAUUGUUAUGAAUUUUGCUAUCUAUUUGAAUGUUGGAUAUUUAAUUAUUUUAUAAUUUACGUGUUUCAACUAUUUUCUUAUAAAAUUAUUAGCAACAAAAAAUUAGUGACUAACUUCUGUCGUUGCUACUAAAAAACUUUAGGGACGGAUUAAUUUAGUUGCUAAAGACGGUUGUAAUUAGCGACAAAAAAUUAGUGACUAACACCAGUCGUAGCUACUAAAAAACUUUAGCGAUGGAUAAAUUUGGUUGCUAAAUAAGUAGACCAAAUUAUGUUGCAACGGUUCAACGACAAAAUAUUCUGUCGUAAAUUAAGCCACGACCAAAAUAAAUUUUGGGAAUAGCAACGCUAUAGCAACGGAAAUGUACGUCCGUAAUAUCAAUAACCAAACUAUUUCGUCGCUAAUUGGUCAUAAAUUUUGCGACAGAAUUCAAUUUUUGUCACUAUGAGGUUAGCAACGAGCAAUAUAGCGACAGAACAAAUUUCAUUGCUAUUCCGUCGCUAUUUCUAUUUAGCGACAGAUUUUCAUAUGAUAGCGAUGAAUAUGGGGUAUCGCUAAAUGCUAUUUUUUUGUAGUGUAUAUCUGAAGGUCAGUGGGAGUAAGUUUAUUAUGUUAGUCUUGUAGGUUGAUGACAUCUUGCUUGCUACUAAUGAUCUUGGUUUGUUGCAUCAUACCAAGAAAUAUCUCUCUAACAACUUUGAAAUGAAAGUUAUGGGUGAGGCAUCCUAUGUGAUUGGAAUAGAAAUAUUUCAAGAUAGAUCACAAGGAUUGUUGAAAUUGUCUCAGAAAAUCUAUAUUAAUAAAGUAUUAGAGAGAUUUAGAAUAGAAAAAUGCUCAUCAAGUCCCGUUCCAAUUCAAAAAGGAGAUAAGUUUAGUCUCAAUCAAUGUCCAAAGAAUGACUUGGAAUAAAAGCAAAUGAAAGAUAUUCCUUAUACAUCAAUAGUUGGGAGUCGUAUGUACGCCUAAACAUGUACAAGAACAGACAUCAGUUUUUCUAUUGGAAUGUUGGGUCGAUAUCAAAGUAAUCCUGGAAUGGAUCACUGGAAGGCUGCAAAGAAAGUAUUACGAUACUUACAAGGAACGAAAGAUCAUAUGCUCACUUAUAGAAGAUCUGAUCAUCUAGAUGUGGUUGGAUAUUCAGAUUCAGAUUAUGCUGGUUGUGCGGAUACAAGAAAAUCCACAUUUGGAUAUUUAUUUCUAUUAGCUGGAGGAGCAAUAUCAUGGAAGAGUGCGAAGCAGUUUGUUAUAGCUGCAUCCACUAUGGAAACUGAGUUUGUGGUAUGCUUUGAGGCCACAGUCCAGGCUAAUUGGCUGCGGAAUUUUAUUUUAGGACUUGGACUAGUUGACAAUAUAGCCAGGCCACUGAAAAAUUAUUGUGAUAAUACCGCCACAGUUUUCUUCUCUAAGAACGAUAAGUAUUUAAAAGGUGCUAAGCAUAUGGAAUUGAAAUACUUUUCGGUUAAAGAAGAAGUCCAGAACCAUAAAGUGUCAAUUGAACAUAUUAGCACUAAGCUUAUGAUUGCUGAUCCUUUGACGAAAGGAUUACCGCCCAAAAUAUUUAUUGAACAUGUUGAAAGGAUGGGUCUUAUUGAUAGCAAUGAAUGAUUUUAUGUAAAGNNNNNNNNNNNNNNNNNNNNNNNNNNNNNNNNNNNNNNNNNNNNNNNNNNNNNNNNNNNNNNNNNNNNNNNNNNNNNNNNNNNNNNNNNNNNNNNNNNNNNNNNNNNNNNNNNNNNNNNNNNNNNNNNNNNNNNNNNNNNNNNNNNNNNNNNNNNNNNNNNNNNNNNNNNNNNNNNNNNNNNNNNNNNNNNNNNNNUAUUAAACCAUUAACUUAACAUUAUGUGUGCCAAGUGGGAGAAUGUAAAUUUCUAUGGCCCACAUAAUUAAUUUAUUUAUUGGUUUAAUAAUAAUUGAAUAAGUUAAAUCUUUAAUCUAUAUGGAAAGUUACCUAGUAGAAUAAUUAUUGACUCCUCGUAGGAUUGGAUCCACAAUUACUGACUUCUAGUAGGAUAAUGAUUGUAUCCACCAAUCACGUUGAUGGAACGUGAAAACAUAACUGACUAUACCCAUUCUGCCAAAAGAAGAGUAAGCUCCAUCACAAUUAUUCUGAAAGUAAGGUAAAGAGAGAGAAACAAUUUAGUGCUUCUGUUAUUACGCUUUUGCUUCCGCUAAAACCAUGGAGAAUUCAGUUAAGUAAUUCUUUAUUGAAUUACUGUUACUAUGUGUAUGUGAAAAUCAUUAAGUUCAACGUUCCUGAAUAAUACAAAGGAUUAUGAAUAAGAUUGUUUAUGUAUAAGAUUGUUUAAGUUUAUAUAAUCCGUUUUAUGGUUACAGAGGAAACUAUAUCAAAUUAUCACAAAGAUGCUCUAUUCAAGUAAUUUGAAGAAAACAUUGAAAAACUAAUUAAAAUCGGAAAUAAGUACUACCAAAAACGAAAAAAAGAAAAAGAACCACAUCAAAGCCCUUGAUUGUUUUUCAAAAAGGACCUUUUUUUUAAUUCUUUAAUUUUAAUUUUCCCAUGACAUAUUUAAGACCACAUGAUUAAAGAAUAAUUUGGUACUUUCAAACAAACUAAUUGAAAUGAAUGAAGUAUAUUGUAACUUUUCAAGAUGAGUCUUGAGACUUCUUACCUCACUUUUAGUUGAUAUUCCGAUAACAGUUUUGAUCAGAGGACUUAGAAAUCCAGCAGUGUCUCCUCCAAUGAAGCUCUUCAACGCGUAAUAACAAGUCCUGAAUUCAAAGAAAAUUAAAACAGAAAAUGGAACAUAACAGACAUACAUAAAGAUUUAAUAACACUUAGAGGAACUAAGUAUAUGACAAUUAAAAAAAAAAUAGUACUAUAACGUACAUGUUUUACAUCAACUAUUGGCAUAUCUAAGUAUCGUAGCAUAAUUUUUUUAAAUAGUUGGUAUGAUUCAAGUAUAACAGAGUAUAAAGUAUGAAAUGUUAAACAACAAUAACAGUAACAUAACCAGUAUAAUUUCACAAGUAGGAUCUACGGACGGUAAUGCGUAUGCAGCCUUACCUCUACCUUGUGAAUAUGCCGAGAAACUGUUUUCGAUAGACGUUCGGCGCGAGUAAGCAUAUCAAAAAUCAAGUAUGUAAAACAAAUACAGUAGUGAAUAAGUCAUAUUGAGAACAACUAAGAAGAGAACAAGUAUCGAUAUCAAGCAACACGAAAACUGAGGUAAAGGAAAUGACAGGUACUACUUGAAGAAAAAUAUGGCAUGUUUAACAGCAACAUUAAAACAAUGAAGCAUAGUAUAAGAAUGGAUAAAGGGAUAUUUACCUUAAACUAGUGAUUACAAGUCUAUAGUUCAGAAGAAAAAGAAAGGUUUUGCUUCUUCAAACUUGGUAAGUGCCUAUAUAUGAGAAAGGAAUUUUAAAAGGAAAUACAAAAAUGAGCAAGGUCCCUUUUCUCCUUUAAUUUAAUGCAUCAAAAAUGAUAAGUAGAACUAGAAGGUAGGAGAUUCCAUUUUGCUUGUGGUUAUUAUCAACGCUAUUUUAGUCAUGCGACCUUUUUCCAAAAGAGAUGGGUAAGUAAAAAAGAACACAUGAGAUUUUUAUAGGCUCAUUUUCUUAUUCACAUUUUAAGUAGUUAUAGGAAAUUAUUUUCUUUAAUUAGUGUAGACACAACUAGAAAUUUCUCCAUAUGUUUAAGAUUUGUUUUAUUUGCAUUUCUUUUUUAGUAGUCAGAUUCUGUGUUUCUUUUGACAUGAAGGAACAACAAAAAUAACUUUUUUAUCUUUUAAAGAUUAGAGUAAAGUUUAUGUACGUUUUAUUCUCGUAGAUUUCACUUAUAAAAUUAUAUUAAAUAUGUUAUUGUUGAUUUAAAUCAAAAUUACUCAUUGUGAGGUUACGAGUUUAAGCCACUAACUUUUUGAGUAGAAUAAGUUAUCUAUCUAAGAUCUCUUAAGGUGAAUCCCUUCUCAUAAUCUUAUUAUAUAAAUGUCAUAUAUAAUACAUUAGCUUGCCAUUUGACUUGGUCAACUAACAUAUGUGCUCUUCAAUUUUGGAUGUGUACAAGUAAUAUUGAAACUUGUAUAAAAUUGAACAAGUAUACAUGUGCAUCCUACAUGGCAAUCUCACGUGAAUUGCUACAUAAGAUGUGUAUACCUAGUUGUUUAAUUUUAUACAAAUUUAAGUACGUUUACUUGUGCAUGCUUAAAUUAAACUUGAAGAAUAUAAAUAUUCGUUGAAAUUAAGUUAAAAGGGCAUAUUUAUGUAGUAUGCCUACGUAAAAUGGCUAAUCAUUGAGAUUUACUAGGUAAAAUAAAAGAAAGAAAUAUUUGCUUAGGUUACUAUGAAUGUUUCAUGGAAAGUCUAGUCAUGAUGGCCGAUGACAGCAAAAUAGAGGCCCUCCAUGGAAUUUUUCAUUUUUGCUUAAUUGCAAAAAAGUAACUUUAGUAAAGUGUUGUUUUUGACAAAAUGGUCAUUAUUCUCCACUUUAGUAAAGUGUUUCUGACAAAAAAGUAACAGCAAAAUAGGGGCAUCUUAUCCUCAUCAAUCGUUAUGCAGCAUAAUUUCUGCUAUAAAAUGACCACUCGAUUAUUCUCCACUUUCAGAUCUCAAGGUCCCAUCAAUGUGUUCUCAUUCCAAUUUAAUUCUUUCAUAUUAUAGCCAAAUUAAUUUUUGGCUGGUAAAUGGGUACCAAAUACUGGGGUGAAUACAUAACGGGCUAAUUUGGUGGAGCUUUAUACAUUCACUAAUCGUAUCUUUUGUGAUUUUGCUUGAUAACUUUCUGAAGAAGUUUUAAAUUUAAUUUUUUUGAUAUUGAAUGAAUAAAAAAGAUAAAAUUCAUCGGCAGAUUCUUAAGUACACAUCAUCUUUCACUUAGGUAUCGCAAGUGAGGGUUACAUUUUAAAUACCUAAAUAGUCUUAAAGUGUGUCACUUUUGCACGUUUUGCUGAUUUGACACAUCGUGAGUGUUGCACACACUUUAAGCGUGUAAAUUUUACUAAUUUCUUAUCUUUUUGCUUCUUCCUUUUGAUCUUCUUCAAUACUUUCCUCCAUUUUUUUAUCCAUUAAUCACUCAUAAAAUUAUGGCUUCUUCCUUAACAAUAGCCAAAAAUGAUGGAGAAAUAGUCUACCAUCGCCUUCUUCUUUUAAUUUCUAUAAAUUCAUAAUUUUCAACCGCUCAUUUUAGUUCAAUUUUUGCCUCGAUUUUACUAUAUAGUACAUUAUGUUUUUGCAUCCAAAAUAACCCAUGAAGGCAAUCUCAACAAAAUUUUUUCCUCAAUUUCCUUCAAUUAUUGACAAUUCGAUUGUGAAUAUUUCCUUCAAUUGUGAAAUCUCAAUAAAAUUUUAAUAAAGAAUGUUUGAAAUCUUGAUUAUUCUUAAUAGAUUUCCUCCAAUUGUCGACAUUCGAUUAUGAAAAUUUUCUCAAAUUGUGAAAUCUUGAUAUUUUUUUAACGGAUUAUGUUAAAAAUGAAUUCUUAACAAUCUUUUUUUUUUCUUUUUGAAAAAAAAAAAUCUAUGGUGCAUUUGAAGGUAAUUGAUAAAGAGAAGAUUUUGGUUGUGGGGAUUGGUGGGGCGUGGGUGGGGAGAGGAGGUGAGUGGUGGACAUUGAAGAAGAUGACUGAGGGGUGGGGGAGCUGGUGCGGGUGGGGGUGGAAUCUGGUAGGUGGGCUGAAGAAGACACAUUUGGUAGGGGUGGGUUAAUUAUAAUUCUUUUUUUUUAAAUAAUAUUUGUAUUAAAAAUGCCAAGUGUCAAUAUUUAAUUGGCAUUUUUUUAUUUUAGUUAAAAUUAGUUAUUUAAAAUUUGAUUUUGGACAAAAAUGACAAAUGUCCACAUUUUAUUCGUCAUUUUUCAGCUCAUUGGCGCAUGUAAUACACGCACGCACUAUUAUUUUGCUGAUUCAGUAAAACGUGCCAAAAUGACACACUUUAUGGUUACUUGAGGUGCCAAAAGUGAGCAGCGUUCACUUGAGGUGCCUAAGUGAAAGAUGGUGCAUACUUAAGGGUUUUGUCGAUGGGUUUUGCCAUUUAAAAAAAAAAUUAAAAAUUACACAAAUACACAACUUAUGUUUCCAAUAUUAUAAAAAAUUUCAACUCCCUAAACAUAUUACAAAAAUCUCAAUAUAUACAUAGAAUGAUAUGUAUAUGUCGGUUAUAUUAUGUAUAUUAAUAGGGAGAGAGAGUAAAAUAAUUAAAAAAGUGGAAAAGAGUGUAAUUACUUCCAAAAGAGUUGAUAUUUAUGUUGUUUAUACAUAAAAAAAAUAUCAAUUUAAUAAACUCUACACUAAUUUUAAUUGUUUCUCAAUUCACAUAAAAAAUUUCUGCAUUGUUUGCAUGGAAUCAAAAGGUUAAAUGUCACUUUUAGGAUGAAAUCAAGUUAAAUUGCACAAUUUUAUGGAUUAUCCAUCACUAAUCGAUCGUCUUUGAGAAGACAUCGAGGCACAAUAGAGCAUAUGAGCAUAAUUUUUGACUAAAUUCUUGUGCAAAAUCUAAACAUUAUUUGUGUUGCGUGCUAAAAUAUUUUUUAUCUUCAAGUAUUACACACUUGUUGAAAUCAAAAUAAAACAUGAUAAAUUUUUAAUUUUUCAAUAAAACUAAAAAUCUAAACUAUAUGAUUAACUUAAAAAUUUAAUAUACACAUGAAACUAAAUACAAAAUUAUUUUAAAAAUAAAAUUUGUUUGCACAUAUAAGUGGAUGUUAAUGUAUUUUACAUUUUCACUUUCUUAUUUAUAUUUUAAAUAUUACAAAUACUAUAUAAUUAACAAAAUAAUUUCUUCAUCUUUAUAUGUUCAAAAGAUGUUAUAUUCAUUUUUAUUAUUUAAAUAAAUAUCAUAAUUAAGAUAACAUUUAAAUUUAUUAAAGUGAAGUACACGCGCAACGCGUACACCUAAACUAAUAAAUGUAUAAAGGUGAGAUAUUCUUAUCUUUAUUUUAUUUGUGCGAAAAUGCAAAAGUGAAAUGUAAUGCUGGAAAGAUGUUUCUUUUAGAAAAAUGUUAAAAGUUUGUUCUCAAUGAAUUUAUUUAUUUAUAAAGAAAGGCCAGAAUCAAGACUACAUAUAAUAUUAGGUCACAUGAACACAUGCUUUCCUACAAAAGGAUGAUUGAGCCAACCCACAUUAUUUUUAUUUAUAAAAAAAGACCAAGACCAAGACUACAUAUAGUAUUAGAGUACGUGGACACAUGCUUUCCUACAAAUGGAUGAUUAUUCGAGAGGAAAAACUACUCGACUUUUAUUGACUUGAUGUACUUUUUAACUUAAUAAAAAAAUAUAUUUUAUUAAAUUAAUCUUAUUAAUAAUAUUUUAAUUUUAAAAAUUUAAAUUUAACUAUUAUUACUUUAUAUUUAUUUAAUACUAAAGUUAAGAAGAAAAAAAAAUAAUAAAACUCUUUUAAUUUUAUAAGUUAGAUAAAUAUACAUAUUAAAAUAACUAUUUUUAAUAUAUAAAGCUGAUCCAAGUAAAAGAAUAUGGCGAUAAUAAAAGUGUGCACAAAUGCUUUCAAAUCAACUGAUUGAGCCAACGAAAUUAUUGGAGAGAGAAAAGUACUCUGGAAGAGUGCAUAAAUGGAGUGAGAGACCAAAUAUAUCUACGCUUCAAACAACUGAAAUAAUUAUGUCACGGCUAUAAAAGGUAAUCAAAAUAGAUUUUAUGUAUUUUUUUUAUGUAUUAUAUAUAUUUUUUUAAUGGAAUAAAAUUAAUGGCGUAAAAAAUGAAUAGUGCACUAUUUUUGUAGAGUAUUAUUUAUUUUUUCAUAUAGUACGUUAUUUUUAUGCACUAUUUAAUUUAUUUUAUAUAGUGUACUAUUUUAGUGCUUAUCAAUUUUAUAAAUACAAAAUAAAAAUGAGGGAUGAAGAUACCAUGACAGUUUUCAUGAACGACAAAAUAAAAUCACAUCAUUCAGCAUUUAGAGGAAUUUUGUCCCAUCAAUUAGUACGUAUUUAAAUUGAUGAUUUUUUUAAUUGAAAUUAAACUAUGCAAUCGUUAGCUAAUGUCAUGAUUCGAGUCGAGGUCUUGACCGUGAUGGACGACAUCUCGAACCACUAAGGUUCGAGAAAUUCCUUAACAUACUAUCAUAAGCAUAAUUUAUACGAAAUGUGAAAGAUGUAAUGAAGUUCCAGAAAUCUAAUAAGCAAACUCUGUCAAUGAAGUUGUAACACAAUGAUAACAAAAUUUAUCUACGAAGUCUCUACUGAAGAAUACCUGUUUAGGUUGGGACAAGGCCUCCGGCCAGAUCAUAAACUGAAAAAAUUAAACAUAUAAAUAAAAUGCCUUCCGGAAGAUGGAUGACUCACCAACUCCAAUGUUUCGAAGGUUAUACUGCUAUGAUGGAGGACCACAGGAUUGAACCUCAAAACCUACAUUAUGAGACAGUGCACCGCCUGAGGACGGUCAAUACUUAGAAUGCAUUGGCAUAUUGUAGAACAACCUGAAAACAACAUAUACUUUAUACAAAAUAAACAAGAGCAUUAUAAAAAUAAUUUAACAAAAUAGAAAUCAAAACACAUGAGCAAAUUAAAAGCUUCAAUCAAUCUAAAAAAAAUAUAGACCCAACUCUUUUCUUUAAUUUCGAGCUAGAUAGUAUGCCCUACAAGUCUAUUACACCACGUGCUACAUGGAUUUGCCAUUAACUCAUUGUCCAAGCCGCCAAUUUGAGUUUGUUGCAAGGAUUGAAGUGUCUAUGUCUAGAAUAACAGUGCACAAAGCAAGUGUACAAUGUUUAAUCAUAUUUCAGGAUAGAAUCACUUCCCAUCGGUAAAACACAAUUUCGAUUUAUAAGCUUUCAAUUCAUGCCUUCUUCGGAUAACCAUCUAACUUUCUUAGAGCCCAUUCUUAGUUCUUUAAAAUAUACAUUUCUUUUCAAAACUUAUUCUGAGUCAAAAGUACAAUGUCUACAUUGGUAUCGUCAUUCCAAAACUUACAAACCGUAUAAAUCAUAUCAUAUUAUUUUCAUAGCCCUUUAUUCAAAAACAUAUUAUUGACCACCAAAAUGAUUUAAAUAUCACAUAAGAUUUUUCUUUCGAAAUUCAUGAGCAAGUUUAGGUAAAACAACAUUCUUUAAAUAUAUCUCUAUAAUAUCGUAAAGGUGGUCAGCCUUUCAUAAUUUCACACAAUCUCCGUAAGAAAUAAGAGCAUUUAAAAUACAAGAAACACCCUUUGCAUUCAUAUAAAUAAAUGCUAUAUAAUUUGCUAAAACAAACAUUAAAACUCAACCUUUUCAUUAUGAGGAAAGGAAUCACUAUUCUCAACACUAGUUAAAUGCAUAAUUUUCACUAUAAAAAGGGGUCCAUAAUUCAUGCCCUUCAAACAAUUACAAACCCCACAUCAUAUACAUACAAAUACAAUUUUAACACUUAUAAAAACAUCAUUGUUAUGCCCAUGAGUAUUAGGAUUGUUCUACAUAUCUUUUGAUGGAGGCAAAACUAAAGAAGAACCUUGAGAUUGAAACCUACAAGUCUUGAAAUUGAGAAAUUCUUCUUGAUGUUAUUGGGAGGAAGAGAAUGAGGAAUUUAGAAAAUUUCUACUAAUUUAGGACGAUUUUAGGGUUAUAAAAUGGAUUGGGGGGGGGGGGAAGGGGAGGGGUCGACAUAAGAUAAAACAAUCAGUUUGCCCCUUGUUUUAUCAAGAUAAAAUGUAUUUUUAUAUUGGGUAAGCACGGGGGGGGGGGGGGUCUUUGCACCACAAGCCCAAUCACGCGGCAGCGGCCGUGCCUCGUGUGGUCCAUUACACACCUUAGACAGUGUUUCACUGAAACACCAAUAACUUCUUGCUCCAAACUCGAAUUGAAGAACGGUAAGUUGCCUUGAAAAGAAGACUCAAAUAUCUUUAAUUUGGUACAUAGUAGGCCACCAAACUCAUUAUAUUCUAGGAGUAAUGGUCGUUGAAAAUUAAUCCAAGUAAGAACAUCUACUAAAACUCAAUUAGUAGGAAAAUUCUCAACUCAACAUUGAGAUAGAAGAUUUCUAUGACCUCAAUUCAUCUACAAAGAGGUUCCCAUCCUAAAGAAUUGACAACGGAUUGAUAUUCACACUUAUAUCUAAACAGAAAUUGUUGGGUUCAGAUCUAUGCACAUAGGAAGGACGGUUCAAACCCUAACAUAAAACAAUGGGGUAUUACAGCAUGAAUACACCUCCAAUACGUGUUUUUCUAGAAAGCAACAUAUGAUUAUUGGGGAUGGGGGGCCAUCGGAUUUGAAAUUUUUCGAGAGAAAAUGAAGAGGAGGAAGGGGGGGGGGGGGGGGCGGGGCAUGGUGGGAAGAUGCAGAUAUGAUAUUUAGGGUUAGGUUAAAUGGAUAUAGUGCACUAUUUUUGUGCAAUAUUCUAUCGGUUAAAACUUACACGCAUUCGGUGUAUACAUCAAGUCAAUAUAUACAUGACAUAUGUUUGAAUUUAGAGUUUAUGUUACUUAACCAUGAUUAAUUAACAAAUAAUUUACUUAAUUUAAUCACUUAAACAAGGUAAAUAAUAUUAGUUUGGUGUAUACACCGGAUGCAUGUAAGUUUUUACCCUAUCCAAUUUCCUCAUCGUUAAAAAAUUAUAUACAUAUAUAUAUAUAUAUAUAUAAUAAACAAACAUAUACACUAAACCUAUUUUGAUUAUUUUUUUAUAUCCAUAAAACAGUUAUAUCAUUUAUUUAAAGUGUGGCCAUAUUUUGGUUGCCACUGGCAUAAAUAUUUUGCUAAAACGGGUGAUUGAGCCAGCAUAAAUUAAAGUUGCUCCGUGGAGAAAAUUACUUUCCAAUAAAGGGUGAAUUAAUUAGAUAAAGCCGAGGAGAAACAUGAAACACGUAGAUCAUUGGGCCCAUAGUUAAAACCUUUUUUUUUUUUUAAUAUUUAAUCAAAAUUAUGUCCAAAGUAAUUUCAAGUUGAUAAGAAGUCACUAUUUAGUGACUUAUAGAUUGAGUUAAUAUCUCACAAGGUCAUUGAAGUAGUAAAAAUUAUCUCACAAAGUAAUUGAACUUUAAUUUUUAUCAAAAAUAUUAUUCAACUUAAGGUUUUUAUUUUUUAAAAUCACUCAAAUACAUUUCAUUUUUAAAAAAAUGACAUGACAAUAAUUUAUUUUUUAAGCCGUUUAAAUAUGAACUUCACGUUAGGAAAAUAUAUUCAUUUUAAUUUUUAUAGCCGAUCCAGACCACUAAUAGAGAAAUUUUUAUUGAAAAAGAUAAUGAUUUGGUUGUUGGGUAAGAAAAAUCUCAAAAAUACAAGUCACUUAUUGAUACAAAAAUGGUAUAUUGAACAAAGAGAAGAAAGAAAAAAAUAGUUGAAAUUUUAACAACACUAAAAUAAACUGACAAAUUGUAGACAAUUAGAGAAUUGAGAUGACAAUAAAUUAAAAAGGAUAUAAGAAUCAAGAAAAAAAAGAAAAUAAGUGGAAAAGAAAUUGAAAGAGGAAUUUUUGAGUAUAAGUGAAAGAGGGUGGAAAAAGAAUCUUCUAACUGAAAGGACUGUUGAGAGAAGAACAAAAAGGUUGGGAUAAUAGUUAAGAUAAAUCUAUGAGAGAUUGUAAAAGGAUCGUUCGGUGUAUUAAAACUUUCAUUAUGUACGAAAUUUCAGAAAGAAUUUGAUUAUAAUAAUUAAUUGUACGUAGCCUUAUUUAUAUUUUUGUAAAAGAUUGUUUUCGCGAAUUAGACUCAUGGCCUUCUUAUUAGAGAAGGUAAGCAUUUAUAUGGUUAUAAUAAUUUCUCGUUCCAUUUUUAUCCUAUCUUGCUUGAUUAUCACAACUUGAUAAAUGAAGUGAUUCGUGUUGGAAACUGAAAUUGGAUUACUCAUUUAGGUCAAACUCGGAUCCAUAUCCAACUAAAUUAAUAUACAAGUAUAAUAUAUUUGUUAUGAUAAUAAUAACAAAAGAGAGAAAAGACACAUCUCUUCUCAAAAGUUGCGUCACUUUAGAAAUAUAAAGAGUCCUGUUUAUUAGGUAUUCUUAAUUUAAAAAUAUUGGAAGUUAGCAAAAAAAAUACGCGAGUUUAGAAAAAACAAUUUCUCUUACAUAAUGAAAAAAACACGCUUUCUCUUCUUCUUAGAAGAACUACAAUGGUAGAUUCUAUAAAGAUGAAAGCAAUCUCCACUAAAUACCAUAGCACUCUUUUGUAAUAGUUCAUAUUUAUUAUAUGAGAUUACACAUUCAAUCUCAUGCCCAAUAAAUUAAUCGGAGAUAAAUUUAUGAUUACUUUCAAAGUUCUCCUCUUGCAAUGCACUUAUAAAAAGAUUUGAUUAUAUAAUAAUAUAUGCAUAUUGAGGUAUUAAUUUAAGGAAUAGAUCGGAGAUAUUAACUGAAGGACUAGAUUGGGUAUAGAAAUUAAAAGGAGUAGGUUUUUCUUUUUAAUUUUUCAUAAAAAAAUUAUUUUGCCAUAUCAUUUUCUUUUAAAUGAUAAAUGCGGUUGAGAGAUAUUAUAAAAAUAAAAACUUUAAGGUGGGUGAUAAUUUUGAUAGAAAGAAAAGUUAGUUGACUUUAUAAGAUAAUUUUCAAUAGUUCAAUGACCUUUUGAGAUAUUAUCUCCUUAUAGAUCCAAACAAACUUGUAAUUUAUGACUUAUAAGUAUAGGUUGUAAAUUAAAAAUCUUAAGUUAUAAUUUGAAUUAUUUUUGGUCUUUGUAAUUUAAAAAAUUAGUGUUUUAAAAUAUCUUUUUUAUUUUAUUCAAACACUAUAAUUUUUUUUAAAGUUAAUUUAGCUUUAAAAACCUUAAAAAUAAAACAAUUCAAUCUAACUUUAGCUCACAAUUAACUCAUUAUGAUGAUAUCCAAUCCAUCCAACACAUAUAAAAUUGUGCCUAGAAAUCAACUCAAUAUAUCCACAAUUCAAGAUUAUUAACUCCAACUAGGCACCAUCGAAAAAAAAUAUGCAUGUAAGACAUAAUUUAUAAUAUAUCAACCCCCAACUCAGGUAUUUCUAUCAUGAUAAGAGAAACCAAUGCUCAAUAAGGCUUAAAAUAAUAAUUUAAGCCCCCGCACGGGCACUAUAUCUAGAAUAAAGGCAUUUAAAUGCACAGAAUUGGUCCAAUGAUGUCAAAUAAAUUCCUCACACAAGCAACACACAAUACUAGAUAUCACAAGUCAUUGACAACAUAAUUUAAGCCCCUACAUGGGCACACAACAUUAAUGUAAUAUUCAAAAUAUAAAUCCCAGAGUAAUUUUUCUAACUCAUAGCAUGCUUACUUAUUUAUUAACUACUCAGCUCAAUCUGUAAGAAGUUAAGUGAUAAUUUACCCCAAAAUGACAAAAUCCAAGCCAAAAGUAUUUCAAUAAGAAGCCUUCCCUUAUAAACGGACUCAAAAUCAACUACAACAUUCAAAAGAUAGCAUCUACUCAUUAAAAAAUCUAUUAAUAUCCUUCGGGUACAAAACGGAUUCAAAAGUUGAGUUCAAAAACAAAGGGGUAAAAUUAAAAAUUUUUAUUAGAAAUAUAUUUUUCAGGUUUAUAGGAGUCUAUAGUAGAAAGUCCACAUGAAAAUGAGUUUAAAACAAGGUCCAAAUUGAAGAAAAAAUAUUGUUAGGCUUUAUCGGUACAAUUCUCGACUUUCAUUUUAAAAUCAUGAUUAAAAGUUGUUUAUUAGAAGAUGUAAUCAAUAGGAAAUAAUGACAUUAUGAUUUAGGAAUUUAUCCAAGCAAGAAUGGUGAGAAACUACUAAGAAAUUGCCUCUUCUCGAAGCUUGGAGGUCCAAAAAUGGUCAAAAUCACGAAAAGAGAGGGAGAUUAUAUACAACUAUUGUUGCUUAAGCGGCUACCAUUUAAGAGAUGCCUGGGUACUAAAGCUGACACCACUUAAGCAGUCUUAGGCCGCUAAAGAUUCUGCCUCUUAAGACAACCAUGACCACUUAAGCAACCGCACCAAAUAUCAGCAAAUGUUGAUUAUGGUGCAAGCCUACCAAGCUUUGAACAGAGCCUCAAGAUUUGAUCAGGACCUCUUACAGAUAAAUAAUGUAUGCUACUAGACUAUUUUCAAUGUUCCGAACUUAAUGAUGAUGUUUACUUUUGAAAAAAAAAAAACUAUUAAACCCCCGGGACCCCUUUUUCACUAUUCUCCAAAUUAAGGGUCGAAAUACAAAAUAAAUGUUUCAAUCCAAACAAAUCAAGCUACUAACUGAAAUUUGACAUUCUGAUGAAAUUUUCUGGGAGUCGACUACUCAGUUCUCACAGUUGACCUUUUUGCAGAUUAGUAUGCUUUACAAAAUAAAUUAGAUUUAAAAUAAACACAUAAAUAAAUAAAUAAAUUCAAAAGUAAAGUACAAGAUAAUUUAUCCUGGUUCAAAACAUGAAUGUGGUACCUACUUCCAGUCUCCUUGGGUUUCAAUAUUUCCUUAGAUCUUUUAAUAUUGACUUCGAGUACAAUGAUGAGAAAUAAGUUUUGAAGACUUAUUUUGCUCUUCAGAUCUUGUGACAUAGCUUGGCUUUGAGUACAACUAUGAUAAAUAAGUUUUGAAGACUUAUUUUUCUCUUCGAAUCUUGUGAUACAGCUUCAGUUUAAUCACAAAGUUGAAUUGAUACUAUUCUUUGUAUAACAAUUGUAAGCUAAAUAUUACAAAACCUUAUGAGACUAAGAUUAAGACACUUUGAGUUAUUUUCUUGAAGUUGUGCAGUGUCUUCUUUCUUCCAUUUUAGCCUUUAGAGUCUUCUGUUGUAUAUGCUUCUUUUCUUCAUAAUAAAACCUAAGAUAUUACUUUUCAAUCAAGUAUUUGAGAUGAUUCCUUGAUUGAGGGAGUUUGCACCUUAUGGUAUGUCCAUAUCAGAUAAGUCCAUACUUGGUGUGAUUUUCCUUUCUCACAUCUAUACAUAUCUAUAUCAGAUAUGUCCAUGUAAGUAGUGAGGUCUUCUUUCUCCUUUGAUCUUGUCAUGAGGUACGUCCAAUUACCUUGUCUAUUGGUAUCUUUAGUUGACAUUAUUUUUAUUGCCUUGUCAAGUGAUAUUCUACUUUUGAUGUGGCUCCAUAUUUAGGAUGAUAUUCUUUGAGAGAAUAUUCCUUUUAUUUUGCAAGAUAUCCUCCUUUGAUUUGAGAUUAUCAAUGUCCUUUGUGUCAGAUCUCCUUCCAUCAUUAGGGAUCUUCAAUAUCUUUGAUGUGGAUCCAUAUUUAGUACGAUAUUGUUUGAGAAAAUAUUCCUUACCUUGUGCGAAAUAUCCUCCCGUGAUUUGAGAUCUUUGAUGUCCUUUGUGUGAGAUCUCCUUCCAUCAUUAAGGAUCUUUCAUAUCCUGCAAAGUUCACUUAUUAGUUUGUCAUUAUUAAAACAUAAAAAAUAAAUAUAUGAGGCUAACAAUCUCCCCCUUUUUGUUAAUGACAAACAAGCAUAAAUAUCAGUUGACUUCCCUGUCUAUCAUUGUAGUCGGCUUGCUCCCCUGACUUGUAGGCACUUCUGCUGUUCCUUUCUUUCUCCCCUUUUUGGCAUAGUAAAAAAGAACCACAGAUUAGCAAAAAAAAGUAGUAGACAAAUAGCAGAGAUUUAAUCUAUUAACUAACAAGUACUAGGCAAAACAAACAAUAUGGCAGAUAGUGUAUUAAAAACCAUUUUACAACCCAGCGAAAAAACAAGGGACAGGACCCUCUUUUGAAAACUAAUUUUUUGGUUAAAAAUUGAUGAGAAAAUUGGAACAAGUAAAUGAGAUUUUUGUCCAAAAAUAAGACUCAUAAUUCAUUAAUUCUAAGAAUACCAAGUCUUUUUUAAGGUAACAAUAUCUUUCUGCUAAUAGGGGUUUUGUAAAAAUAUCUAUCAGUUGAUUUUUGGAUUCAACAAAUGUUAAUGAAAGAUCACCAUUUUCUACAUGAUCCCAAAUAAAAUGAUGCUUAAUAUCAAUGUGUUUGGCCCUAGAAUGAUUCAUAGUUUAUCUAGAUAAACUAAUAGCACUGGUGUUAUCACAAGAUAUGGGAACAGAUUCAAAGGACAAAUUAAAAUCAAAUAGUUGAUGCAUAAUCCAUAAAAUUUUGAGUACCAUAACUUCCAAUAGUUAUGUAUUCGACUUCAGUUAUUGAAAGAGCAACUGAAUUUUUCUUCUUAUUAUGCCAUGAGAUCGGGCAUCACCAAGAAUUUGACACAUUUCACUAGUUCUUUUUCUAUCACUUUAUCAUCUACAAAGCCAGCGUCUGAAUAUCCAAUUAAAUUAAAAUAGGAAAAAACAAGGGUAUCAUAGUCCAAUGUCUUGAGCUCCUAUGAGGUAUCGGAUGAUCCCUUUAACAACAGUCAGAUGAGACUUUUUGGGAGUCAACUGGAACAUGACAUACUUACAUACACUAAACAUGAUCUCUGGUUAACUCGAGGUCAAAUAGAGUAGUGAUACAAUCACUCCGCUAUACAUCCUUUCAUAACAUCCUUCCCAGACGAGUCUAAAUCAAGACUUGUGGAUGGACUCGUUGAAAUUCCAUAAGCCUUUACUUUUUCCAUACUAAAUUUUUAAUGAGUUCCUUUGUGUUCUUAGAUUGACUAAUGAAGGUACCUUUGGGAGUUUUUUUUUACCUGUAAUCUCAAGACGAAUGUGAGCUCUCCCAUAAGACUUAUUUCAGAGUCUCCGUUCAUCAAAUUAGCAAAAUUCUCACGCAGAGAGAUGUUAGGACUUCUUGUGGGAGUAGACUUGAUCUACAAAGCAAUCUUUGCUUUUGAUAACUUUAUCUUCUUUAUUUAAUUUAUUUUUGUAGACCCAUUUAGUUUUAAUUACUGAGAAGUUCUUGGGUGUAAUACCCCAAAAAAUCCAAACCAAUAUUAGAGCCACGUACCAAGCUCAUGCAUAGUACAUCAUGGUUAUUUUAUAGUUUUAUGAGUAAGUUAGAUGUAUAUUAAGGCUUCAAAUAACUCCUAGCUAUCAAGUUAGUGUUGUUCAUUAAACUAUGGUGGUCUUAUGGAGGAGUGACCAUCCUUGAGAAGAGCAUCGAGAAUUUGAUAAUUUGUCAUUUGAUCUUUGCUCAUUUGUAAUUAAGCAACAAUGUUGGUGAGACCUGCUCUUAUACCAAUUGAAAUUCAAAAGGGUUUGAAUUGAAAUUUUCAGUGAGUCGACUACUCACUUCUCACAGUAGACUUGCCCGCAAAUUAGUGUGCUUCACAAAAUAGAUUAGAUUUAAAAUAAACACGUAAAUAAAUAACUGAAUUCAAAAGUAAAGAACAUGAGAAUUUAUCCUGGUUUGGAACACCAAUGUGGUGCUUACUUCCAGUCCCCUUGGGUUUCAACAUUUCCUUAGAUCUUUCAAUAUUGGGUUUGAGUACAAUGAUGAGAAACAAAGUUUUGAAGACUUAUUUUUCUCUUCGAAUCUCGUGACACAUCUUGUCUUCGAGUACAAUGAUAAGAAACAAGUUUCGAAGACUUAUUUUGCUCUUCAAAUCUUGUGACACGACUUUAGUUUAUAUCACAAAGUUGACUCAAUCUUAUUCUUUGCAUAACAAUUGUAAGCUAAAGAUUACAAAGCCAUAUGAGAUUAAGAUUGAGACACUUUGAGUUUUUCUUCUUAAAGCUGCGCAGUAUCUUAUUUCUUCUGUUUUGGCCUUUAUAGUCUUCUGUUGUAUAUGCUUCUUUUCUUCAUAAGGAAACCUACGAGAUUUCAUCUCAAUCAAUGAUUUGAGUUGAUUCCUUGAUUGAGGGAGUUUGCACCUUAUGGUAUGUCCAUACUUGGUGCAAUUUUCCUUUCUCACAUCUAUACAUGUCCACAUUAGAUAUGUCCAUGUAAGUAGUGAGAUCUUUCUUCACCUUUGAUCUUGUCGUGAGGUGCGUCCAAUUUCCUUGUCUAUUGGGAUCUUUAGUUGAUAUUAUUUUUGUUGCCUUGUCAAGUAAUAUCCUACUUUUGAUGUGGCUCCAUAUUUAGGACGAUAUUCUUUGAGAGAAUAUUCCUUUUAUUGUGCCAAAUAUCCUCCCAUGAUUUGAGAUCUUAAAUGUCCUUUGUGUGAGAUCUCCUUCCAUCAUUAGGGAUCUUCAAUAUCUUUGAUGUGGCUCCAUAUUUAGCACGAUAUUCUUUUAGAGAAUAUUUCUUGCCUUGUGCGAGAUAUCCUCCCAUGAUUUGAGAUCCUCAAUGUCCUUUGUGUGAGAUCUCCUUCCAUCAUUAUGGAUCUUCAAUAUCCUGCAAAGUUCACUUAUUAGUUUGUCAUUAUCAAAACAUAAAACAUAAAUAUAGGAGGCUAACACAAAUAUUGUCUGAAGUCAACUAUAUGACAUUUAAAGCCUCUUUAACCCACAAACUUGCCCAAAUUAUUUUUUAUCGCAUUAGAAAUUAUGCCUACCAUCCUCAUACCCCAAAAUCAAUAUGUCACGACUUCAGAGAAGAGCAAAAUAGUCAAAACACAUAAAAAUUAAGUUUUCAAAAAUUAGGCCAUUACACAUGGAUAGGAAUAUAUCUUUUAGCAAUAAAAUCUUCACUAGUUUUAUCCUUACUUACACACAACAACCAAGGAAAAGUCUUUUUUCCAUACCUCACUCUAACUCUAUCAGGACUUUUCACGUACUUUUCAAUUUAAAUCUUUUCUUAAAUUUCAUACCUAGUUAUUGCUAGCCUAAAUUCCUUUACACUUGAAAAAAUCCUUCCUAAUUCCCAAAUAAUUCUUUCACAAGUUUCAUAAAAAAACAACUCUAUUUUUUUCUUCCUUCUCAUAGGUUUAUUCACUACUUGAUCAACCUCUUCGUGAUAUCCCCAACCUGUUUCAUCAUCUAUUUCAAAGCUAGAAACUUUAUCACUUAGAUUGUAAGGUUCAUCACCUUCUACAUUACCAAUUAAGCUAUUCAUAAUACCAAUAUUUAUCUCAUCAUACCUUAUGUCUGGACCUUUUUCAUCAACAUGUUAAGAAGUCUUAACUCUACUUCUCAUUUGUGACUUAUUGAAAUGUCUAUUGCUUGCCUUUAUAUCGAUAUACUUUUGAUGGACAUCACUAUCGAUCCCACUUUCUUCACUAGUAGGUAUUUCAUAUUUUGAAUCAUCUUCCAAAUCAUCAUCACUUGGAUCUUUAUCUAUUGUAGGAUCAAGGGGUUGGAAGGUAUAGCAAAAGAAGAAGGUUGAUCAGCAGAGUUGGAAGUUUCAGCAAAAUGAUUGGAAGAAAAAGUUGAAGAAGGAGGCUAAAUAUUAGGGUUAGAAACAUUAGCCUCAUUAAGUGACUCCAAAUAUUCCUCACCUACCUCACUGUCCCUCACAGGGGGGACAAACUCCAAUUCAAGUGAGGCCUGACAAGGUUCAAUGGCCUCGUGAGAAACAUACACAUCAAGUCCAUUCCUAUUUUUUAACUUGCUGACAAAGUCACAAAUAACCUUGUCAUAUCUAAUUCUACCAAAAACUUAUCCCAUUUAACAAAAAAACCAUAAUCUAUUAUAUAUCCUAGAUACUCCACAUAGUCUCUCAACUCAAAAUAGGACAUCAUAUCAACAUUUCUAUCUAAGAACUCAGUCACACGCCCACCAACAUAGAGGGGGGACCAAAUACAAUUUGGCCCCGAUGAUACCACCUUAAAGUUAUCACAACCAAAAGACAUAGAAAAAAUCCUGAAAAAGUAUGUAACAAAUAUAUUUCAACCACGAAAAAUUACUAAACAAAAUCCUAAAUCUCAAUAGUCCAAAUAUAUAGGACUAAAAGUCUAACAGUCCUAUAUAAUCAUAUAAAAAGGACACAAAAUCAGUAAACACAUUUUAAUAUUCACAAAAUGAGUAAACAAAAUUAUAAAUGUCAACAGUCCUAACAUAAUACGAACAAAAUCAUAACAGUCAAAUAUAAUCAAAUAUUUUCCACAAACAUUUCCUACAAAUAAAAUCAGUUUAUAUAAAACCCUAGUUGUAACAAGUAUACAUGCACGCAUAUAGAUAGCAUAAUAUAACACUACAAAAUCCUAAUAGUAGCAAGUACUAAAUAAAUAGUACAACUUAACUAAAUAAAUAGAUACUAACACGUUUUUCACUAAAACAGGCACAAUAUCAACAAAUCUUCCCAAACAUUCUGUCACGCCCCAAGCCGAGGCCCUAGACGUGACUCGCACCCGAUACUAUUACUAGUAUGAGUGAACGUUCUGGCAUAUCACAUGAGCAUACAACCAUCAGAACGAAUAGAGAGGAAAUAGAAUAGGACAAGAUUUCUUAGAGGAUAAAGUCUUUCAACAAUGUUCAUUAAUAUCACUUAACAUCUGAAGAUACAAUAGUCACGAAGAAUAAGAUUAAAAAUUACAAGAUCUGUCUGACAACUAAAUCAAUCUAUGAAGCCUCUAAUGACUGACUAUAACUUUUGGGAAAAGGCCCUAGCAUAUCCUGAAACUGAAAGGAAUAUAGAAAAAUUGUCAUGUCUAAAUUUGCCCUAGGUAGAAAGGAGGCUCACCAAUAGCAGAAGAUGAUAAUCCUAAUGAUGUACUUGACCACGGAAUUCAGAUCCAAAACCUACAUCAUGAAAUGAUGUAGCACCAAAGACGAUCAAUACGUGGAAUAUAUUGGUAUGAAAAACAAUUUCAGGAGGGUAGUACAACAAGAGAUUAGAAGUAACAAUGAAAUUUAAAUAUAAGUGAAGGCAACUGAAAAGGAACAAGAGCGUAAACUAAAUUUAUAAUUGACCGUGUAAAGUAGAUUUAAUUUCUUUGAUUAUUUGUGGGAGAAAGUAGUGAACCGUCAUAAACCACCAUGUGAGCGCAUGGAGUCUGAUCUCGGCCUGAUCAGCUAAGCCAUCCUAUACCUUGCCGGGCAUAGGACGUGACAUGACAUAAUUUACUAGCAAGUAUCCAUGGUUAGUCUCUUUUCGGGACACAUAAAAAAAGAGUCAUCCAACUUGCAGAAUGAUCUCUAUCCUAUGUCGGCAAAUAUAGUUUUGGGCAUUUGUCAUUUCAACCUAUGCCUUCACGGUCAGCUAACUAACUCCCUUAUUUUCAUGACGUUAUCUUAUUUAUUUGAUUAGAUCUUGAUCAAAAUGUUAGCCUUGGCAGGAUCAUGCUCAUGGUUUAGCCAUUUUAGACUCACGUACAUAUAUUUUCCGUUUUAGGCUAAUGAUCAUGAAUUUGUCCUUUAGGACUCAUGCUUGGAAAAUCAACCUCUUUGGUAUCAUGCCUCACGAAUUAUUAUAGUUAUUGAGCAUUUGGGGUUUCAUGAAUGAGGAGGUUGCUCUUACAUACUAUGCAAUAUAUUUACUUAAUAAUAGAGUAGGAUAUUUUUGAAUUAGCAAUGUAACAGUAUGUUUUUUUUGUUGUCUGAACAUUGCUACGAGAGAACAAGUAGUCUGCGCUAGUUCAUGUUUUGUGAUUAUGCAAUUGAAAAAGAAAGUAAAGAAGCAAAUUGGAGCUACAAGGCUACGACACUGGUGAACCAAAUAAGGACUGCCCGAAAGUGGACCGUGUGCAAAAACCAUGUUAUAGACGGAUAUACAAUCUCGUAAUGAAGUCAAAAAAAGAGUAGAUACAUUUAGAAAUUCAAAAAAAUAACUAGGAGAGGUCACAUUUGAUCAACAAAUUAUGUCAUUAGUUCUCUCUCACUUCUUUUAAAUAGUGAGGUGCUCUCUAGGUGUAAUCGCUUAACUUUACAAAUUGUAAAUAUUUUACAGUUAUUGCCAAAAACAUCUAUGAUUCAUACAUCAAAUCACAAGGGUUGUUGGAACUCACAAAACUUAGAAAGGAAAACAUGAAACAGAGAGUUAUCUGUACACACCCAACAACUAUUAAACCAUUCAAUUUCAUUGAUAAGAUUGUAUAAAUAAUUUGAAUUGAAUAACAGUAAAAUGUCUAGAAAUGAGAGUAAGGAAUAUGUUUGAAAGAACUUGAAAUCCGGAAGAAGAAAUUUGUACUUGAUUUUUUAUCAAGUCCCUUGUGUUUCUUGGAGUUGUAAUUGAUAGGAUGAAUCUGGAUAUUUUCUGACGGAAAACAUAUGAAAACUGAUUGAAAAGUAAAGCUUUUAUCAUGUGAAUCUUGAGGAAAAGAGAAGGACUCUUCUUUAUUUUAACGCACGAAACUGAUGUGAAUAGAGGGGAUUUUAUCUGCUGGAAAAGAAACUAACGCCUCUGCUGAAAAUAAAACUUCUGCCAUAAAACAAAUAACGUUUAGAAACUGAAGAAUAAGGGUUUAAUUGAUUAGAAUAAGGUAAAAAAUAAAAAGACGAAAUCACCUCCAAGAAUAUGAAAAUAAAAGAAAAAAAAUAAAAAAAAUUCGUCAGGUAUAGGGUUAUUCUGACUAUUCUUUGUUAAACACACGUAACUUUUUACUAGGGAAUCGAAUUGAAGAGCUGUUGGUGGCGUUGGAAAGAAGACUCAAAAAGUUUCACUUUGAUAGGUUAUAGGUCAUGUGACUCUAAAUAUUUUAGGAGAAAUCCUUGUUUAAAUUUGGUCCUUGUAUGUACCUAUACGAAAACUUAAUCAUUAAAGGACCUUUCAACUCAAAUUUGUUUUAGAGCUUUCUUAUGCCCUUAAUUCAUACCCAAUACCCCUACAUCACAUAAGACAUGACCUUUACACCUAGAUACAAUAAAAAUUCUAGAUUCACGUCUAAGUACAUUUGAAGAGACGUUCAAUUUGUUUUAUCUUUAGCUCGAACAUGUAGGGUGUUACACAUUCACACAUACAUGAACAAAAAGAACAAUUUUUUUAAAAAAAUUGAAAUACAAAAAUUCUAAUAUGGUAAUCGUUCUUCAUUUAAUCAGUUAUUUUCCCUAAAAAAUUGACCAACAAAGUUUCUAAAUUACCUACAAUAUUGUUAAUCAUCAGUCAAUAAAGAAAAGAGAGAGAAUUAAGAGAGUUAGAUGAGAGAAAUAGAAAAGAAAAAAAUAAAAAGAGGAAAAUGUUUGAUUAAGUGGUAGGUGAAAGGUCUGGUCAGGUUAAACUCGUCCUUGAUCUAUGAUUUAAUUUAAUUAUUUAAUUAAAAGAAAAAGUGAGGAACAUAUGCCUAUUUUUAGACUAAAAUUGAUGACAAAGGCGGUUAAGAUAGUCAAUUUACAAUGGUCUAUACAACCUUUGAAGAAUAAUAGGUCGUCCGUAAAGUUAAAAUGUCUUUUAACAUAUUCGAGACAACUUCAAUGGUGACUUUAUGUAUUUUCUCUAAGAAUGACGAUUUAAUCUUUCGUGUGUAAACUAAACUAUAUACACAAAAUCAUCUACUAUAUAAAUAAACAUACACAUAAUCGAAUAAUUGAUCUAUUUAAUAUAAUUCUUUAUUAAAAUUAAAUAAAUAACUAUUUAAUAAUAAAUAUUAUAUACAAAACACAUGGUUAGUAGUAUAUUGGAUUGGGCUCCUCUCCAUUUUCCCCAAGUUCCUACUUGGAUGAGAGACACAUGACAUGAGUUGAAAUUAUUGAUUAAAAUUUAAUUGAUUAAAGGUGGAUUCUAACCAUGAUUUAAAUAAUAAAUUUUUCAUGUAUUUGCUUUCAAUUUUUUUAGCAAUCCACAAUUAUAGCUACAAAGUUAUUUUAUUUGGCACAAUUCGUAAAUAUUUUUUAAAAGUUCUCUUUAAUUUAUUUUUUCUUUUUUUUUUUAUUUUCUUACGUAUUCACUGUAUUAACGUUUAUUAGUUUUAAAACUUUACUAAUUCUCCUUUUUCCAAAUUUCUCAACUCUCUUUUCUACUCUUCGUCCAAAAUAAUAUUUGUUAUAAAAAAAUUGACAAUACCAAAAUUAUGAUGAUAGAAAAAUCUUUUUUUUGUCAAUUUGAAUCUAUGAAUCUAGCAAAGUAUUGUAAGAACACAAUUAAACAUCAUCAAAUACUACGUAUAAAUAACUAAUCAGUAUAAUUGAAAGAAACUUGAUUAUUAAAAAUGCUGAACUUCAUUCCUACUUACAGUUAGUUUCAAAGAAAAAGUGUAAAAUAAGUAAAAUGAUAUCAAAAGAUUCAAGGAGAAUUGGAAGAUAUAGACACUAGACAGUGAACAACGUAAGAAAAUUUAAAAAAGGUGAGAAAAAAUUAAAGAGAACUUUUUAAAAUAUUUAGGGAUUGUGUCAAAUAAAAUAACUUUGUAGCUAUAAUUGUGGAUUGCUAAAAAAUUUGAAAGCAAAUAUAUGAAAAAUUUAUUAUUUAAAUCAUGGUUAGAAUCCUACUUUAAUUAAUUAAAUCUUAACCAUUAACUUCAACUCAUCCAAGUAAGAACUUGGGGAAAAUGGAAAGAAUGAAAUGGAGAGGUGCCCCAUCCUAGUAUAUUCCCCUAACAUUUUCUGCGUGGAUUUUCGUAGAAUGGACGAACAUAUGGACGUUAUUCGAUCACCAAUUUGUGAAGAAAUGUCUAAUGGAAAUGCUAACGAUACGAAGAAUUUGGUUGACUGGCCAAGAAUCAUUAAAUUGAUAGCUAAUAAGUCGCAUUCUGUUUUUGAUGGGUACGUUUUCGAUAGCUAAUAAGUCGCAUUCUGUUCUUGAUGGGAUUAUUCAAGAUACUGCUAAUUUGAAUUUUGGAUUUGUAUCGUCUCCUCCACCAUUGCUUGAAAGAAUUGUAAGGUUUCAUAUAAUGCCGAAGAGGUAUACUUUUAUGGAAUUGGCUUUCUUGCCUGAUGUAUCAUUACUCAAGACACUGGCUCCUGGUUUGAAUGCUGCUAUUUCUAAGAGUAAUUGUUCGCCUCUUUUGGUCAUUGAUGGCGUGGAGAUGACAGCACCGGAUAUUUUCGUGUCCGAGAAGUUCGACAUUCAUGGAAUGACUCGGCAUUUUGAGUUGGAAAAUAUAAGCUUUCUUAGUUUUUGCCAGUAAAGCAUUAGCAUUUCUGUUGGAUGCAUGUUGAAAUAGUGCUUCUUAUGGCUAAUCUUGCAGCUCCAAAAUUGUUGCUGGAUGCAAAUACGCAACCAGAAUAGUGAAACACUAUGUUACACAUUUCUAAUUUCUAUCAUACUCGCUAUCAAUGUCCAUAUUGAUUUUUCCUCUUAAAAAACUUCAAAUAGAUAUUAAGGCCACAAUACUUUCUGCAACAAAAUCCGAAGCCACAAUCAUAUAAAUCAGCAAACUAUACAGAAUAACUGUCCAUUACAUAAAAACUAUAUUCGAAUAAAGCCUCGACAAACAUGUGACUGAUAUUUUGUAAAACAAGCAUACAAACUAGCAAAUAAGUCUCCACUGUGCCAACACAUAAUAUCAUACCAGUUUCCCAAACCAAAAAAAAAAAAGAAAUGCACAAAUGUGUACUGAAACUGAAGAUUGGAAAUCCUAUAAUUUCAGUGUACUUCCUCGACUUCACCUUCAUUGCCUCCGUGACACGAAAUCACGUCUUGUUCUUCCUUGUUUUCCACUUCUUCCUCUGGCUUUGUCCAAUAUCCUAAACCCUCAACGUUACAUGGGAAGUUUUCCAGGGAGUUGCAGUGGCUGAUUUCUAAGUAUUUGAGGGCAGGCAUUGCACUUUGGAAUGUUUCCCAUGUUUCCUUCAGCCUUGGCAGGAAUUUCAAGCACAGUCCUUCGACGUUCCAGCUACCCUUAUUAUCUCCCCAGAAAUUUUCAGUCAUGUGACUAAUCACUCUUGAAUCUUCGAUGCAAAGGUACUGCAGUUGGGGAAGUGAAAUGGGGUUGAGCCAUGCUGGUGUGGUUUCUCCAAGGAAGUGCCUUAGAUAUAAUUCUUCAACAUGCGUUGGUGGUGAUAGGUUAUCCAGUUUCCUUAUGAUGUCCUUGUUUUCACAGUCGCCUGCAUUGAUUGAUAACACCCUUAGUAGUUGAAGUUGUUUCAGUGCAGCCAAUUCCUUCUCCUCUAUCGUGCUUUCCUCCGUUAUGUCUAAUUGCAGUACUCGAAGUUGAGUCAGUGUCACGACCUCACUAAGGCGACAGGCUUCUGUUGUUGCUAGACUCGGUAUCUUGAAUCCAUACAGCUCUUCAAGAUUUGAAAGCCCAGAGAGACCUUGUGGUAAGCAUGAAAAAGAUGGACAACCUCCAACAUCAAGAAUUGCCAAUCUUGGAAGUGUUGUGAUUGAUGUUGGUAGCCUUUUCAG
rnacentral:lncRNA from 1 species